GAAAACAGAUGGGAACUGAGAAAAUAAGAGGAAAUUAAGAAGGAAAUGAAAAUAAACAAGGAAAUGAAAGGAGCAGAGUUUGGGUUCCAAACAGAGAGACGGUGAAGGAAACAGAGGUGAACGAGAGCCAAGUUAGGAAUGGAUGAUAAAACGGGAAAGAGGUAGUGAGUCGAAGAGAUGGGGAAAGACAAGGAUUAAGCAACAGCAACAAAGAAGAGAGUGGUAUUGCAAUUAGGUAUGGAAAGGAGCACACUACUUUUUAACUUGGGGUGUUAUUAAUUUAAUUUUCCUUAGAAGAUUUCACUCCACAAAUCAUAAGUGUAAUUUUCUUUACAAAUAUUUCAUUACUAAUCAUUUAAAAACCUUUUUACAACUUUAGAAGAGAUGGUUGCAAUUUUUAAUUUUCCAUUAAAGAAUAUGUAAGCAUUGUAGCUUUAUGUUCUCAAAUCUGCUUGCAUGAAAAAAAAAUCAAAUUUUCCAUAUACUAAAUUUAUAACUAUAUCUACACAGUGAUGUAAAUAUUUGAGGACAUAGUGGAUUUAAAAAAAAAAACGUUUUUAAUUGUAACAUUAAAUAAUAAAUAUUUUUAAGUAUUACAAAACUAACGUUUUUGUAAAUUUUUUUUUACUAUUAACGCUUUUAAAGAGAAUCAGCCUAAUGAAAUGUAAAUUAAAGCAAAAUGGAAAUUGAAUGAGCCUGUCAUGUCAUGCUUGCAUUUUCAAACCAAGACAAAAAUCUGCAGCCGCCCACGGCCUUCAAUUAUUAUUAUUAUUACGAUGGGACCAUGUACAGAUGUACAGAAAAAGGCUUCCAUUAUUGACGUGAAUCGGUGAAAACAGCUGUAGCAAUGAACAAAGUAGAAAAAGAUGCAGACAUAUGAAUCAUGAUGUGACUUGUGAGCUGUGAAUGACUACAAUACUUAUUUGAAUGAUAUGGGACCCACAGCCAAUUCAAUAUUCUGGGACGGCUUUGGUUGGAUUUUUUACGAGGGCACCAUCAUUUUAAAAAAUAUUUUUUAGUAGAAAAAUUAAUUUUAAAUUUAUAAAUAAGUAGAAAAGAAAAAAUUAAAAAUGGUUAUUUUUUUUAAAUCUUUUUUGCAAAGGAUGAUUUUUUUAAAAAAAAUUAUAACAAAAAAAUAGUCUGGAAAUGAGUUUUUUAAUUUCUUUUAAAAAGAAUUAUAAACUAAUAUAGUCUAUGGAGAGAUGAUUUUGGAAAAAAAGAAAUUUAAGGGACACAAAUAUCAAAGACAAAUACCUUGACUCUUGAUUCAUUUAGAGACAAUUGUGUUUUGGAUAUAGUUGAGUUCAAAAAUUAAUUUUUAAUUCAUAUAAGUUUUAGAGAAAGUGUAAAAAUUAAGAAGAAUAAUAUGAAUGUUUUAUCUUUCCAAAAAAUGAUCUUUAUUGACUAUAAAAAAAAAAAGUAGAAAAACAUUAAUUUAAAUUUUAUUUUUUUUUGUAAACCUCAAUAAAAUUUAAUUUAAUUUAGUGAUUUGAAAAAAAAUACACACUUUUUCCAAAAAAAUAAAAAUAAAUUAUUAUUAUUAUUAUUUACAAAUAAAACAUCUUGGAAAAUAUAUAUAUUUUUAAAAUUGUAUAUGUAAAAAAUAACUAAAAAUAUGUCAAAAUUAUUUUGUUAAAUGAUAUAUUUAAAAAAAAUUAAUUUUCUAAAAUUAAUAAAUUUUUAGAAUAAUUAUUAAAAAAAUUUAAGAUCAAAUUUUUUUCAAAUAUUAUGGUAAAAAAUACUCAAAAUAGUUUUAAAGGGUAUAUUGAUAUCUUUACAUUUUAUAUCAUUUUCAUUAAUUAUGUGAUUUUUAUGGACUAAAUUUUAAUUUUUGGAUUACCUAGUUCCAAAACGCAAUUUUCCCAUUCCUUUUACAUGAACUAUUAUUGUGUGUAAAGGGCUCCCAUCACUAGACUCAAUCAAUGAAAGCCACCGUAGCAAUGGAUAAAAUAUAGAAAAAGACAAACACAUAUGAAAUCACGAUCAGUGACUUUAAAUUCCAUCGUGUGCCAUUCAUCGGCUGCAUGUGAAUAUAUUGUAACUCAUUCAAGUUUCAGUGACUUUUACAAAAACAAUUAUUAUUAUUAUUAUUGUUGUAAAUGAAGAGUGGUGAAUGACCACAUUGAUGGUCAUUAUGAACUCCAUUUACUCAUCUUUAAGAUAAGUAAUGGGAGUUCAUAUUAUGAAGCCUAUAAAAGGCUUCUUACACCCCAUGUAAGAGCAUCCCGAGAAAAAGAAAGAAAAGUUCUUUCUCUCAUUCUCUCUCUCUCUCUCUUUCCUUUAUUUUCUCAACUCUCUUCUUUGAUUUCUUCUUCCCUAUUAUACAUCAAAGUAAGAUAUACUUCAUCUCUAUUACUUUAAUUUGCAUUGUAUUUAUCCUUAUUUUAUAACACAUUAUCAGCACGAAUUGCUCUGAAAGUAAUUCUCAUAUCUUAAACUUGAAGUUAUUUAUAUAGAAUAAAAUUUUACAUAUUUAUAUUAUUGAUGAUUUGUUUUGUUACAUAUUGUUAAAAGUUAUAAACAGAUUAUUUGAUUUUGUUUAUAAUCAAAGUUAUACUAAUGUUAUCAAGUUAUUAUAAUUGAUUCUAAUAAUAUUGUUUUGUCAUAUAUAUGAAGUCAUUUGACAAUGUCAAAUCUCACAAAAUUCGAAUUUGUGGCACUUGACAUUUCGAAAAAGAACUAUCUAUCUUGGAUCCUUGAUGCUAAAAUACAUUUUGAUGCAGUGAAUCUUGGAGUUAUGAUCAAAGAAGGAAAUCAAGCAUCCCUGCAGGAUUGCGCAAAAACAAUAAUUUUCCUUUGUCAUCAUCUCCAUGAAGAUUUAACAAAAAAUGAGUUUUUGAUGAGAAAUCACCAAUCUCGUCCAACUAGAUUUGAAUCAUUCCCUGAAAUGAAUGCAAUAUCGUUCCAAAAUCAUGGACGUAGACGAGGACGAGGACAUGGUUGUGGUCAUGGAAGAAAUCCCCGAUACCAUGGUUCUUAUAAUAAUAAUUCUCAUAAAAUGAAAGUUUCAUUGCACCACUAGAAGUGGAACAAUAUUGAUGCAAAACAAGAAAAUGAUAAUUGUUUACAAGAUAAACCUCCUAAGAACCAUGAAAAUAAUUGUUAUAGAUGUGGUAUGAAGGGGUAUUGGUCGCGUACCUGUCGUACGCCCAAACAUUUGGUCGACCUUUACCAAGCAUCAAUAAAAGCAAAAGGAAAAGAGAUAGAGAUGAACUUUACCGAUGGUGAUGGAUUGAACCUAACCUACUAUGACAUUGAUUUCUUUGGAAGUCCCAAUGAAAAAAAUAAACCAUUUGAUAAAUGAUGAGAAAAUUAACAUUGAUUGAUGUUACUUUGUAUAUGAAAUAAUAUAUUAUUAUGUCUUAUAUUUACAUUUGAUUUUCUUUUGUUAUUUACAUUAUGCCUUGUUUAUAUGAAAUCCAUGUGUUGUUUAGUCUCAAGAUGAAUGAGGAUGAUGUAUGUCUCACAGACUGUGUGACCACGCACAUAAUUCUUCGAGAUAAAAGAUAUUUUCUCGAAUUGACAUUAAUAAAAGCUAAUGUAAGUACCAUAUCCAGUACUACAAACUUAGUUGAAGGCUUUGGAAGAGCAAACAUAAUGUUGCCAAAUGGAACUAGAUUCCAUAUAAAUGACGCUUUAUAUUCUAGCAAAUCCAGAAGAAAUUUGCUUAGUUUUAAAGAUAUCUGCAGAAAUGGAUAUCAUAUUGAAACUAUGAAUGAAGAUAAUGUAGAAUAUCUUUACAUUACUUCCAUUAUAUAUGGCCAGAAGCUUAUAAUGGAAAAACUCCCGGCUUUCUCUUCUGGAUUGUAUCAUACAACUAUAAAGCCUAUUAAAUCAUGUGUUAUCGUGAACCAGAAGUUCAAUGACCCAAAAGUUUUUGUCCUUUGGCAUGACAGGCUUGGUCACCUAGGGUCUUCAAUGAUGCGUCGAAUAAUUGAACACUCACAUGGGCAUCCACUAAACAACCAGAAGAUUCUUUCGCCUAAUGAAUACUCAUGUGCUGCCUGCUCACAAGCCGAUGUUUUUAUAGCCCGCUUUGCGGAUUGUCAUUUUAAUGAGAGUGUUUUCCCGCCAUUAGGGGGAGAAAAAUAGAUUCCUGAAGAACGACGAGAAAUUAGUUGGAAGACAUCUACUCUGACUUAUCUUGAUCCUCGUACAAAUCAAUAUGAACUAGAAGUUUAAAGGAUCAUUCAUUUGCAAAAUCUUGCAAAUCAAUUACCAGAUGCAUUCAUUGAUACAAAGAAAGUAACAAAGUCGCAUAUCUCGGCUGCAAAUACUCCAGUACGGAUUGAUGUCCCUAUAGGAUAGUUAACAAAUGAAUCUAAGAUACGCUUGAAGCAUGGUAGAUUUGUCAGCUCAAAGGAUGUAACUCCUCGGAAGAGGAGAACCCAAGAAAAAAUUGGCACUCUAUAAGAGGCUAUCAAAAUGACUGAUCAGAUUAAAAUUGAUAAAUCUAUAGCCCCAAAAGAGGCACAAAUAAUGUAGAAAGCUCCUGAAGAGGCACAUAUUGAAUGAGAAGCCCCUGAAGAGGCAUAGGUACCUGAAAAUUGUGAGAUCUCAGUAAGUUAUAUAUACACGGGAGAAAAAUGAGAUCGAAAUAAUAUUGUUAUUAACAAUUUUUUUGCUUUCCAAGUGGCCUCUAAUAUCAUAAGAAAUGAUGAAGAUCCUGAACCACGAAAUAUGGAAGAAUGUAGACAUAGAAAUGAUUGGCCAAAAUGGAAAAAAGCUAUACAAGCAGAGUUAAACUCUAACAAAACGGGAAGUUUUUGGACCUGUUGUCCAAACACCUGAAGAUGUAAAGCUUGUUGGGUACAAAUGGGUAUUUGUACGAAAGUGCAAUGAGAAAAAUGAGAUCAUAAGAUAUAAAGUGCAAUUAGUAGCACAAGGUUUCUCACAGAGACCUGGUAUUGACUACGAAGAAACAUAUUCUCCCGUCAUGGACGCAAUCACAUUUCAUUUCUUAAUUAGUUUGACAGUCUCAGAAUGACUGGAUAUGCGUCUCAUGGAUGUUAUUACAACAUAUUUAUACGGAUCCAUGGAUAAUGAUAUAUACAUGAAAAUCCUUGAAGGAUUUAAAUUGCCUGGAGAAAAUAGUAUAAAGCCUUAUAGAAUGUACUCAAUCAAGUUACAACGAUCCUUGUAUGGAUUAAAGCAAUCUGGACGCAUGUGGUACAAUCACCUUAGCGAAUACUUGCUAAAAGAAGGGUAUGUGAAUAACCCUAUAUGCCUAUGCAUCUUCAUUAAGAAAUCAGAAACCAGAUUUGCAAUUAUUGCAGUGUAUGUUGAUGACUUAAAUCUUGUUGGAACUCCUAAAGAGCUCACAAAAACAAAAAAUUACUUGAAAAAGGAAUUUGAGAUGAAAGAUCUUGGAAAAACAAAAUUUUGUCUCGGCCCGCAGAUCGAGCAUUUUCCAAAUGGAGUUUUAGUACAUCAAUCAACAUAUAUUAAGAAAGUUUUGAAGCGUUUUUAUAUGGAUAAAGCGCAUCCUUUAAGUUCUCCAAUGGUUGUCCGAUCACUUGAUGUGAAAAAGGACCCAUUUCGUCAUUGCGAAAAAAAUGAAGAGUUACUUGGUUCUGAAGUACCAUAUCUUGGUGCUAUUGGUGCACUUAUGUAUCUUGCCAAUUGUGCACGCCCCGACAUUGCUUUUUCUGUCAAUUUAUUAGCAAGAUAUAGUUCCGCUCCAACUCGAAGACAUUGAAAUGGUAUCAAACAUAUAUUGGGUUAUCUUUGCGGGACUACUGAUAUGAGUUUAUUUUACUCAAGGGAAUCAAAACAACAAUUGCUUGGAUAUGCAGAUAUAGGAUAUCUUUCAGAUCCACAUAAAGGUAGGUCACAAACAGGGUAUGUGUUUAAUUGCAAUGGUACUGCUAUUUCAUGGAGAUCUGUCAAACAAACAAUGAUGGUCACAUCAUCAAAUCAUUCAGAAAUACUGGCAAUUCAUGAAGCAAGUCAUGAAUGUAUAUGGCUAAGGUCUAUGAUUCAGCAUAUUCGGGAAUCAUAUGGACUCUCUUCUAUCAAAGAUGACCCGACAAUAUUAUUUGAAGAUAAUGCUGCAUGCAUUGCACAAAUAACAGGGGGUUAUAUUAAAAGAGAUAGAACUAAACACAUUUCACCAAAAUUCUUUUAUACACAUGAACUCCAAAAGAGUGGUGAAAUUGAUGUGCAACAAAUACACUCAAGUGAUAAUCUAGCAGAUUUAUUCACAAAAUCAUUGCCAACCUCAACAUUCAAGAAGUUAAUACACAAGAUUGGAAUGCGUCAACUCAAGGAUAUUGACAUGAGGGGGAGUAAGCUUGUAAAAGGGUGUUAGUGUACUGUACUCUUUUUUCCUUCGUCCAGGUUUUGUCCUACUGGGUUUUAUUGGCAAGAUUUUUAGCGAGGCAAUCCUAAUAUACCAAGAAAAGAAUAUUGUACUCUUUUUCCUUCGCUAGGUUUUUCCUAUAUGGUUUUUUACUAGCAAGGUUUUAAUGAGGCAUAUUCUUUUAAUAUAGUGGUCAUCCAAGGGGGAGUGUUGUAAAUGAAGAGUGGUGAAUGACCACAUUGAUGGUCAUUAUGAACUCCAUUUACUCAUGAGUAAUGGGAGUUCAUAUUAUGAAGCCUAUGAAAGGCUUCUUACACCCCAUGUAAGAGCAUCCCGAGAAAAAGAAAGAAAAGUUUUUUCUCUCAUUCUCUCUCUCUCUCUUUCUUUCAUUUUCUCAACUCUCUUCUCUGAUUUCUUCUUCCCUAUUAUACAUCAAAGUAAGAUAUACUUCAUCUCUAUUACUUUGAUUUGCAUUGUAUUUAUCAUUAUUUUAUAACAAUUAUUAUUUUAUAUUGUUUCAUCAAGUUUAUUAGUAUUAUUAUGUUGAUAUUCGGUUGGUGGUUAGGAUUGGAUAGGUUAUAAAUAUUUUAAAAUAUUAAUAAUAAUAACCUAAAAUAUUACAUCAUAUAACUUAUAUCAUAUUGGAUAUGUAAUAAGUCGUAAGUUAAAGAAAUAAAAAUUAGAUUGAACAACAUCUCAUAUUAAUUUUAAUUUUUCUUUUAAAAUAAGAAUAAGUGAUAUUAAAACUCUAUGAAAACUCUCUUAAUUUAUUUCUCUUUUUUAAAAGUUUUGAUGUCAAAAAUUUUAAAAUUAUUUCCUAAUUACUUUUUAAAUUUGAUAACAAAAAGUUAAGAAUAAAGGUAUAAAAUUUGUUUGAUACCUAAUUUAAUAAAAAGUAAAUGGAUAAUUUAACGCUCAACUCGCCUUUUUCUUAUCAAACCAACAAUGUGGGUGACAUCAAAUAUUUCAUAAAAAAAUAAUAAUUAUUAUUUUUUAAAUAACAAAACAAAUUAUAACCACCAAAUAUAUUUAAUAUUUAUAAAAACUAAAAGAAUAAAUAAAAUUAUUUAUUUAUUUUUUAAAUAUUAUAAAAAUAUUUCUUAUCUAUUAAUUCUAUUUAAUCAUAUUGCUUUAUGAUUAAUGAUUUGCGUGUAUUUAGGCAUUUUUAACAAAAACAAAUGUUUUUCAGCCUUGGAUUCCUGGCAUGGAGCAUGGAUUAUUAUAAUUAUUGUGAAAAGUAGUGGAAGCCAUACUGCCUGUAUAUAAAAACAGAUGCAAGUGGAAAACAGGUCUCCAUGACUUAUAAUAUGAGGAUGGGGCUGCCUUUUCCAUGAAUCAAAUCUCAAUAACCGAUUCCAUUGUCUGCCAUUAUUCACCUGCAUCUCACUCUCACAACUCAAAUCUAGACUCAGGUUCACACGCCUUAAUAUCUUGCCACAAAACCCUACAUAAUACUAAUAUAUACUAGUAAUUAGAAUUUACAGUGACCGUGUAAAAUAAGUUUGUAGAGAGACAAGCCAUGUGCAUUGCACUAAUAGAAAAUGACUGAAAAUUAAUAUAAUUCAGAGAGCGAGAAGGCCCAUGUGAAUUGCAUCAAUAGAAAAAUAGUUGAAAAUAAAUAUAAUUCAGUCUCCGGAGCGAAGCCCCAUGCGAAUUGCAUUAAUCGAGAAUAUAAUUCCAAGGCCGCCCCAUGUGCAUUGCAUUCAUAGAAAAAGAGAGUGCAAGACCUGGUCUGCUUUGCAUUAAUACAAAAAUGACCCAAAAUUAAUAUAAUGCCUAAGUGCCCUAAUCUCUAUUCUUUAUUAAUAUUAGUUAUUAGAUUUUACUUCAAAGUAUGUAAAACAAGUUUGUCCAAUUAAACCGUAAGGUUACACUUCAUUGACAUGAUUGGAUAAGAUAGAAUAUAUAUAUAUAUAUAUAUAUAUAUAUAUAUAUAUAUCAUAGGAUAUGUAUAUUUUAUGAUAUGAUUUUCAAUAGGUUAUGUAUCUCAUUGGAUAUACAUAUCAUAUGAACAUGAUAUUUUAAUAUAGCAUAUCAAAUAAGAUAUGUUAUAUUAUAUUUAUAUUUUAUUUAUAAAAUAAAUAAAAAAUAAUAUGAAAUAUAUAUCAUUUUCAAUAUUUAAAAUAAUAAUUAUAUCACAUUCAAAUAUUUAAAUAAUGGAAAAUUUAUUAUGUUUAACAAUAUUCAUGAUUAAAAUAUUUAAACUUAAAAAAUAAUUUUUUUAUAUAAUGUUAUUUAAUAUAUAAAAAUAAUUUAUAUAUCAUAUAUUAAUAUUAUUUUAUAAAUAUUUUUUGUUAGUUUUUCUUUUUAAUAAAAAAUUUAAUUUAUAAUAAAAAAAAUUUUGUAAUAUGAGUAUAUUAAAAAAUAAAAAAUUGAUAAAAAUAAAAAAUUGAUAAAAAUAAAUAAAUUUUUUAUAUAUGGGAUAUUUAUAUCUCAUAUCUUACCAUGAGAUUAAUAUAUCCCAUGUGAAAAUGAUGAAAAAAAAAGAAGGUGGAUAAUAUAUCUCAUUACUUAUCUUAUCUCAUAUUUGGUUGAAUAUAAGAUAGAAUAAGUAAUGAGAUAACUUAUCUUAUUCCAUCACCAAUCAAACAUAAGAUAGGAUAUAAUAUCCCCUUUCCUAUCCUAUCUCAUGCUAUAUUUGGUUAACCGUCUAAGUUCACUAAGUUUCUACUAUUCAUUAUUAUUAAUUUUUUUUUUUUUGCAUAUAAUUAAAUUUUCCUUACAUAAAAACACUAUUACAGAUUUGUUCUCCAAAAAGAUCCAUAUUUUGGGGAAAUAUGUAAACUAUCUUAUUUGCAUAGAGGGAGCUAUAAAGAAGAACACCAAAUUGUCACACAUGAUGGCUCAUUGGAGAUGAUAUUAAAUCAAUCACAUGCAAAAAUUUAUUUCUAUAAACCAAAAAUGAGUUGCAUCAUUAACUUAAUUUUCCUUCACCAUUCCACUCCAUAGACCAUAAACCAAGAAUAAGUUGUAUCAUUAAUUUAAUUUGCCUUCAAAAUUCCACUCUAUAAACUAUAAACCAAAAAUGAGUUGUAUCAUUAAUUUAAUUUUUUUUCUUCUAAAGAUUCCAUUAUUGAUCAUUUAAGAACUUUUUACAAUUUUAAAUGAGAUAAUUGCAAUCUUUAUUUUUUUAUUAAAAAAUAUUAAACAAUAUGUAAGUAUGUAUCUUCAUAUUUUCAAACUUUCAUUUAAGAAAUUUAUGACUCAAAUUUCUAAAAUUAAGAGUGCUUCCCAAUUACAAUUCUCCAUCCCUCAACCUAGAACUUCAUCCACCCGAUGGAUGUAAUUUCAAAAUAGAAUUAAUUUGAAAGUGGUUUUUGUUAAUUUAUAACACUUUUUGUUAGUGAUAAAGGGAAUCACUCUAAUAAUAUAUAUUUUUUGGAUUAACAAAUGAAUUCAUAAAUGAAAUAUAAAAUUUAUUUUUAUAACCAAAAUUUUAUUCCCUUACCCUGCUUUGCACAUUUUCUUUGGUUUUUUUCAUUGAUUUUAGUGGGCUUUACGCUAAGUUGCAGGUGUGGGUGUAGAGGAAAUGGAGGUGGUGUAAGUGGGUUGUAACACCCCAAAAUAAACUUUAGGGACAAAAUAGUAAAUUAUAAAUUAAUUAAUUAAUUAAACUCAUUAAAGGUAAAAAAUUCAUUUUACAAUUAAUAAUCCUAAAUAUAAAUUAGAUUGGGACAAUUAUGUUUUGGGCCUAGUUGGGCCAAAAAAUUAAGUUUUGGUCCAUAUAAGUUCACCAUUCAAGCCCAAGACCUAGAAAAAGUGUGAAAAUUGAGAAAAAUAUAUGAAUUUUUUAUUUUUCCAGAAAUAACCUUUGCUCUAUGGAAAAAAAAUAGAAAAACAUUAAUUUAAAUUUUAUUCCUUUUGUAAACCUCAAUAAAAUAUAAUAUAAUUUAGUGAUUUGAAAAAAAAUACACCAUUUUCCAAAAAAAUAAAAAUAAUUUAUUAUUAUUAUUAUUUAAAAAUCAAACAUCUUGGAAAAUAUAUAUUUUUAAAAUUGUGUAUAUAAAAAAUAACUAAAAAUGUAUCAAAUUUAUUUUUAAAAAAUGAUAUAUUUUUAGAAUAUAUUUUUAAAAAAAUUAGUUUUCUAAAAAUAAUAAUUUUUCAGAAUAAUUAUUUAAAAAAAUUAAGAUAAAAAAGUUUGUCAAAUAUUAUGGUAGAAAAUAGUUUUGAAGGGUAUAUUGGUUUUUUCAAACUCUAUAUCCUUCUCAUCAAUUAUUCAACUUAUAUGGACCAAAACUUAAUUUUUGGGCCCAACUGGGUAAAAAAAAACAUUGUCCCAAUUCGAUUUUCCUUGUCUUCUUUAUUUAGAAAACUCUAUUGAUAAAAAAUCAGAGAAUUGGAGAACGUAUGGUUAAAGGUUUGAAGGUGUAGAGUUUAAAGUUAAUAUUUUUUGAGGUAAGAUUUUAACCCUAGAUUAAUAUAUUUCUUUAGUUAGUUUUGAACACAUUAAAUAUUCUUUAGAAAAUUUUAAUUUAGAUUAGGUUUAGUUUAUUUAAUUUAUUUUAAAAUCAAAAUAUUGAAAUUAUGAAUAUAGGUUAUUUCAUUAAUGAAAAUAGGGAAAUUUGAAAUUUUUUUUAGAUGAAUAAAUCUAAACAAUGAAAUUUUAAAAAUUAAAUGAGUAAAUAAAUAUAUAAUUAUAUGUGGCUUAAAGGAUUAGAAAAUAAUAAGCAGAAGAAUUGCAUGUUUUUGAGGCAUUGUGUUGGGGAGACCAAAAACUUUAAAAAAAAAAAAAAAAAUCAAUAUGUAACCAUGAGAGGUAAAGUGUGGUAGUGGAAUAAAUUAAAAUAAUAAUAAUGAGUAGAGUUGGUGGGGUUGUUAAAGUUGUUAAAAGUACAUGGGGUAUUUUGUUAAGUAAGAAAGGACAUUGGGAUUAAUAAAAAUAAUGAUAAUGAUAAUAAUAAUAAUAAUAAUAAUAAUAAUAAUAAUAAUAAUAAUAAUAGUAAGAAUUGUAUGAUUUGGAUGUUUGUGAGUGACGUACAAUAAGGUUGUUCGGUAUUGAAAAAUAUAGUAAUAAUAAUAGUAAUUGUUUUUAAUAAAAGUUUUAAUUUAGUUUAAGUAUACAAAAGAAAUAAAUUGUUAGGAUAAGAUUUGGAAGAAAUAUGAGUUUAUAAAAAAUUUAGAAAUUAAUUAAAUUAUAUUAUUAUUGUUUAAGAAGUUGAAAAAUAAUAUUGGGUGGUAAUAAUAUUAGCAUGUGAAAUUAAUUAGGAUCCUUAAUAUUAAAUAAAAUAUUUUUAGGAUUGUCAAAUUUUUAUCUUUAAAUAAUUGUAUAUAAUAUUAUGUUAGGCGAUGAAUAAAUUCGUCAAGUUAAAUACUUCGAGUUUUUUUUUUUUUUUUUGGUUUUAAAGUAAAGUUAAGAAGAAAGUGAAGUUUGGCAAAAAAAAAAAUGAAAGAGAUGGAUUUGAGUUAGGACAAUUUUUCUUUAGAUGAUAAAAGUGAUAUAAAUCAUCUCAUAAGGAUACAAAACUUUAUAAAUUGAUAUGAAGCAUUAUUAAAUAGAUUCAUCUCAUAUCUCUAUAUAUAGUUGAAUCCUUUUUUUUUUUUUAAUAAAUAAAAUUUUUAUAUAAAAAGAUCAAAUUGCUCUUCAGCUUCUAAAUUCCACCUCUCCUAAACUCUAAUUUCAUUCUUCUCCUAUUUCAUCUUCAUCCUUAAAUCCUUUUUUUUCUUAUACUAAAAUAAAAUUUUUAAAAAUGGAAAAUCGCUAAGGGUGGCAUAGCUAAGCCUAUGAUCACAAUUGCAACUGUGACUAUAGCACUACGUCAUCCCAAAUUGUUUUUUUUUUUUCAAUAUUAAGAAAAUUUGAUGACGAUGAUGAAAAAGGGGGGUGGCCUUUUUUUUCUUAUACUAAAAUAAAAUUUUUAAAAAUGGAAAAUCGCUAAGGGUGGCAUAGCUAAGCCUAUGAUCACAAUUGCAACUGUGACUAUAGCACUACGUCAUCCCAAAUUGUUUUUUUUUUUUUUCAAUAUUAAGAAAAUUUGAUGACGAUGAUGAAAAAGGGGGGUGGGGGGGGGGGGGGGGGGGGCGGCGGGAGAAAAUGGAAAAGAAAAAGGUGUUAGGGUUUUGGAGAAGUGGGUGAGUUGAGGAUGAAGAGGAUAUUUUGGGUAUUUCAUAUAUAUAUAUAUAUAUGAAAGAAAGUCUAACUUUAAUAUUAUAAAAAAAAGGCAAAUUAUCUAAAUUUAUACAACUUUAAUUAAGGAGAGUCUAACUUUUCCACUUUCAUCUUUGGUAAACCUAAAUUAAAAUUAUUUUAUAGAAGAAAAUAUCUUUCAUGGACUCUCAUCUUAUCCCCCUUCCACUUUAAUCCAUCUUUAUAUAGUUUUAUUCAUCAUUAUUUAUCUUCAUUUUUGAAAAGCGAAUUGAUAGAGCACAAUGUUUAAGUGGCUUCACAAUGGUUUGGCCACUAUGGUUUGUCUUUUUUAAAUCCUUUGUAGUUUUUGUUUUAAAGUAGAGCUAAGAAGAAAGUGAAGGUUGGAAAAAAAGGAAAAAGAUAGACCAUUAUGCCUAAGUGUCCCCCAUAAUGGUUUUUUCAUUUUUUAUUUUUUAUUUUUUAUUUUUUUAUUUUUAUGAAGUAAAGCUAAAAAGAAAAUGAAGUUUGACAAAAAGAGAAAAACAUGGAUUUGAGUUGGGACAAAUUUUCUUUAGGUGAUAAAAGUGAUAUAAAUCAUCUCAUAAGAAUAAAGGAUACAUAACUUUAUAAAUUGAUAUGGAGCAUUAUGAAACAUAUUCAUCUCAUCUCAUCAUUUUUUUUCCAUAAAUAAAAUUUAUAUAUGAAAUGAUCAAAUUUCUCUUCAACUAUCUAAACUAUAAUCUCAUUCUUCUCUUCUUUCAUCUUCAUCCUCAAUUUUUUUUCCUUAUAGUAAAAUAUAUAUAUAUUUUAAAGAAAGAAAAAUCAGUUAGGGUGGCACAACCAAUCCUAUUAUAGGUGACCGACAAUAAAGCCUAACCGUGUAGCUGUGAUCACAAUUGCAAUUGUGACUAUAAAAUUGCAUCAUCCCAAAUUGAUUUUCGAUUCUUGUUAAGAACCUUGUCAGUAAAACCCAAUGAGACAAAACUUGAAUAAAGAAAAAAAAAGUGCAAUUUAUCGAUAUCAAUAUUCUCCCCCUCGUGUUGACUUAAUUGUGCCCUUUCCAAUACUUCAACGAGUAGAUAUUUCAAUCUCUAUAUUCCAAUAUUGUAACUAAACUUUUUCAAUAUAGUUAUAAUGUUUUUAUGAAUAGAUCUAUUAGAUUAUCACAUGAUUGGAUCUGUCAAUACAUUAAUUUCACCAUUUUCUUGGAGUCAUAAGUAUAGAAGAUUUUGUUGAUAUAUACUUAGUUUUGUCACCUUUUAUAAAUCUUCCUUUAAUUUGUGCAAUAUCAGAAACAUUAUCUUCAUAUAUCUCAGUAGCAUUAUCUUUGAUGGAAGGUAGUCUACAUGAUUCCCAAAUAUGUUGGAUCAUUGACCUUAGUCAUACAUAUGCACAACUUGCUUCAUGAAUUACAAGUAUAUCUUAAUGAUUUAGAGAGGUGGUUGCCAUUAUUUAAUUCACUAACCUCUAUGAUAUAGUCGUAAUAUUGUAGGUAAAUACAUACCCUUAUUUGAAAUCAAGCUCUACAAACUCAAUUAUGCUUUCUUCAACAUUUCAAUGGUAUAUCUCUCAAUCUCUACAUUCCAAUGUUGUAUCUUAACUUUUUUAAUGUAGUUGAUUGUAAUAAUUUUAUGAAUAGAUCUAUUAAAUUAUCAUAUAAUUGAAUAUUUUGAACAUCAAUUUCACCAUUUUCUUGAAGCCCGUGAGUAUAGAAGAAUUUGCGAGAGAUAUGCUUAUUUUGUUCACCUUUUAUAAAUAUUCCUUUGACUUUUGCAAUAUAAGGAACACUAUCUUUGAUAGAGGGUAGUCCACAUGAUUCCUAAAUAUGUUGGAUCGUUGACCUUAACCAUACACAUUCAUGACUUGUUUCAUAAAUUACAAGCAUCUCUCAAUGAUUUAGAGAGGUGGCUAUCAUUGUUUGUUUGACUAAUCUCCAUGAUAUUGUUGUAUUAACAUAGAUAAAUACAUAUGCUAUUUGAGAUCAAGUUUUGUAGAGGUUUGAAAGAUAGCCAACUUCCACAUAUCCAAGCAAUUGAGAUUCUACUCAUUUCAAAUAAAAUAAACAUAUGUCAAUUGUUCCAUGAAGAUAUUGUAGUACAUGUUUGACUUUAUUCUUGCAAGCAAAAUGACAAAGAAUGUUAUAUCUGAUCAUGUAUUGUUUCAAGAUACAUUAGUGUAGCAAUUGCAAGGUACUUUUGGACGAAAUAGUUAUCUAUUAUCUUCUUUAGGAUGAACGAGGUCCUUUUUCACUUCAAGUGAACAAAUUACAUUGAAGAACUUAAUGGAUACAAUUUAACCUUAUGAAAGUUCUUUAGAAUUUUUAUUUAUUUAUUAUAUGCUGAUUGAUGGACUAAACAUUCCAUUUUAAAAAUGCUUGAUUUCCAAGUUGAAACAAAAUUUUCUUUUUCCAAGAUCUUUUGUUUGAAAUUCUUUCAUUAUACAUUUAAUCAUUCUAAUAUACCCUUUAAGAGUCAAUAAGAUUGCAACAAUGACAAACCUCCACUUUAAUCCACAUAAAGACAUAAUUUGAUCAAGUAUAUUGUCAUCAUGACUUGAUUAAGAAUGUGAUAUGAGAUUUUCAAUCAUUGUUUCAAUCAUUUUAAUCCUUCAGAUUUUUUUUUAAGCAUGUUAAUUCUUAAGGGAGAUAUUUGCUUUAUUCUUUUAAAUCUUUCAAGGAUUUGGUUGCUUCAUGCAUUUAGGAUCCUUUAGGAUUUUAACAUAUCCAUGAAUCCAUAUACAUUAUAAAGUAUAUAUCAAAUCUUUGAGGUAAUGGGAAAAACCUAAAUCUCUCUGUUUUCCAAUCCCGGAUCAGGUUAAGAACAUGUAUAACAUCCUAGGAUUUUCUAAAUCCUAUGCACAAUGAAAAAAAAAACAUUUUUAAACUUAUAAAGGGAUUUAGAAAGUGCUAAUAAAAACCAUACCUCAAAUUUGGAUGUUCCCGAAUCAAAUCCAUGUGGUGAAGAUGAAUAAAGAAAUCGCAAAAGUCUCGUAAACCUGAAGUCUUCCGUUUGAUGACUCGAACCUUGAUCUUGACACACUUCCAGUGGGAAUGAAAUGGAGGGUGGAGGCUAUGACUCUCUCUCUCUCUCUCUCUCUCUCUCUCUCUUUCUCUCUCUCUUUGGAGAUGGAAAAUGACUAUUUAAAAAAAGUUGUGGGAACCCUAACCACUAAGAGGGUAUUUAUAGGGCCCCUUAUUGUGUUUAAGUGACUUGAUCCCAUUACAGGCUCGGGUCACUUAAUGUAGCCUAAAAUGGGUCCUAAUAGAUUAAUCCUUAAGAUCACCCAAGGGAACACAUUAUUUCAAUCCCAAGAAAUAUUACGGUGCCUCUAUUGAGAAUACUUAUUGCUACUGACUUACAUUAAUAGUAACUCGAUCCAUAGAGAAUAUAUGAUCAACUUACGAUCUCACUCAUAGGUCAAAGCCUAUUAACUUCAACAUAAGCUUAAUAUUCUCUCUAGGUUGAGAGACAACAUAAUGAAACAAUUUGGUGAAUUCAUGACUAUUUAAUAGUCUUAACUCAUAACUUAUCAUAGGUUAUGUCAAAUGUGCAACCAUACACACCAGUGCACUCACCAUGGGAAACUCAUCCUAAUAGCCAAAACUAGUCAUCCCUCCAAUUAGGAAGUGACGCACUACAACCUCUAAUUGGUUGCUUAAACCCAUGAAUUGACUGUGAAUAAGUGAUCUAUUUGCUAGGAACCCAUGACUUGGAUCUUCUGUGCAACUCCUAAUGCACCCAAGUCAUGUACAAUGCAAAAAAUGUUGAUCAAAGUAUUUACAAGAUAUAAUGCAUGAAAAUAGGAUAAAUAAAAGUGAACUAAAACUUUAUUAAAUAAAUAAUAAAAACCAAGAGUUUAUUAUAUCAUAUUAUGUUUUUAAGGGCUCUAUCCUAACAUAAGGGAUUGUCAAUCAUGUGACUGAAUCAUUACAAGGAUGAUGCUAGGUCUUUGCAGGAAACCUUAUGUUAUAAUUUUUGCUUUAUAACAUAAUAACUCAUUGAUAUCUAACAACUUUUACGUCUUUGGGCAUUAAACUUCAAGUCCAUUUGUAUUCAAUAGGUGCAAUAUCUUUUGGCAUUGGACUACAGGUCUAAAUAUUCCUCAUUUUGCUAAGAAGUUUAACCUUAUAUGUAUUUCAUCUUUCUAUUUUGACCAAUUAGAAAUAUAUUAGCAUUCUUGCAUAAUUCAUGGUUUACAAUUUUCCUAACUUUGUAUGAUGUCAAAGCCCAUCUACCAAGAAGAUGAAUUGUCAAUGACAAUAUUAUUUUUGAUCCCAUCUUCAUCCUAUCAUGUUCAUAAUAGAGGCCUUUUUUACUUUUAGGUAUUGAGGUAUCUAUACCUUUUUAGGAGCUAUUUUGUACAAUUUUUGCAUCUUCAAGGGCCAUUCAUUUAAUUUGUACCUCUUCAGGCAUUAUUUGUUUAAAUUAUACCUCUUUAAAGACUAUUUGUUUAAUAUGUGCUUCUAUGUUAUCUAUUUUAGUUGUGCCUUUUUAAGAGCAAUAAGUUCCUUAAUUUUGGAUUGAUCAAUCACUUUUGUGGCCUCUUCAAGAGUAUCAAGUUUUUCAUAUGUUUUUCCUUAUAUUUUCCUUUUUCAAUGAAUUACAUCAUUUGAGCCAAUAAGUCUACUAUGCUUCAAGUGUACCUUGGAUUCAUUUGUCAUUAUAAUAGUUAAUUGUCCUACUAAUUUUUUUUUGCUGCGAUUAUUUUACCAUGCGUCAAGCAUAUAUCUGGAAUAGUGUUGGUUAAUUUUCAUUCGAGGACAUCUAUUUAUAAUAUUUAUUUGCAUAAAAAAAUUCUAAGAAAUUUCAUGUCAUUCUUCAAGGAUCAACUUCCUCCCGCUAAUUAUGAGAAAAUUUAUCUUAUUAGAAUAAUAAUUUACACAACAUGUUAUACUACUUUUUAGAAAUAUAGAUAAAUCACUCAUUAGAUAAAAAACUUUUGAUUUUAUAUAUAUGUUUACAUGACUUGUAAUGAGUAGAUGGAUUAUUAUUUACCCCAGGGAUCAUGUUGGUCAUGUCAGAUUCUCUUAGAUAUGAUAGAAUGUAAAGUGUCAUUCAUAUGAAAUUUUAUCCCAUUAGUUAUAUAAUUUUUAUCUCUUUCAAAGUCUAUAAUCAAGUUUACUUGAUAUAUAUUAAAAUAAACUAUUAUAUACAUUGUACAAUUGAUGAGGUAAAUAUCUUAUAAUAAAUCUAUCAAAGAAUUGAUAUUAUAUGUAUAUAACUAAUAAAUAUGACAUGCAUGUAUUAAAAAAGUAGUUUAUUUUCUUUUUCCAUAAGAUAGGAUGUACUAUUUUAAAGAUUUCAAUCUACAUAACUAGCAAAAAGAAUACAACAGGUAUAAUCAAAUCAAAUUUGAAUCAUUGCAAAUUAAGAAUAUAUAAAAUAAUAACUUCAAAUUAUGAACAUUUAUCAUAUUUAUAUAGUUUUUCAUAACGGUAGAGUAAGUUAAUUUCUCAUCUUGAUAUGAUUCCAUACAUAUAGUUUAAUAAGAACAAUAAAUAAAAAAAACCUGGAAUAAAAAUUAUACUAAAAUUUCCAUUAAAUAAUAAAAAUAAUUACUAGCUUGUAGCUAUAAUAAAUAAUCUUAGCAUAGCUUCUGGGUAGAGUAUUUAUUUUCUUGUUUUCAUAACUUUUGGUUAUGAAUAAUCAUAAUAUUUACAUAGAUUCUCAAUAUUAUUUUUCUUUUACCCAUAUGACUUUGGGCUAUAAUUUUCUAUAAAAACCCAUUUUAUAUAUAGCCUCAAAUAAUAAGAGGUUAUAAAAUGAACCUUUAUUCUACAUAGCUCAUGACUAUAACAGAAAUAUAUAAUAUUAACAUUUCUAUAUAUUUCUUAGAUCAGAUGAGAAAAAAAAAAUGUAGAAUACAUUGCAUAUAACGUCAAGCUAUAAUAACAUAUGAAAUAAUAAAUUCUUUAAAAUCUUCAUUUAGAGGAAAUAUAUAUUUGCUCUCAUAUAAAUUCAUGGUAUGAAAGUUUUUUAUAUAAUUUUUCCCCUAUGAGAAUAUGCAAGAUAUUUUUCUCUACAACUUUAGGCUAUAAGAAUGUAUAAAUUAUUUUUUCAUAUAACUCUAAGUUACCAAAUAAUUAUUACAUGCAUUACUUCUAGUUAUAUAAGAAUAUGAGAAUAUUUUAUUUUCUUCUUCUCUACAUAGCCUCUAGCUAUGAGAAAUAAUCUUUUAUAUUAUCAUCAUAAAAUAAUAUAAUUAAAAUAAAAAAUAAAUUUUUCAUAACUUUUGACUAUGAAAGUUUUUAUUGAAAAAUAUAAAAAUUUUCAUAGCUUUGAGCUAUGAAAUAUUAUUUGUAAAGAUUUUGACCCUAAAACUAUUUAAAUUGUUAAUUUAAUUUUUAUAUAAUUAUAAAAAGAAUUUAACUCCAAUUAAAUCCUUAUGGUGUUUGACUUGUUUUACUUAAUGAUAAUAUAACGUACACUUAUUGACUAAAUUUUCAUCUUUAUUAUUUAUAAGUGAUGAAAAAUUCAUAGUUGAUUCAAAUUCUUUAUUAAUAAGUAUAUAAGGAGUGGAGAAGUCUUCUCAAAUAAUAUCAACAUUUUAUAAUAAACUAUCAUAGAAUUGUAAAAAAUCCUAAUAUUAAAAGGUCUAGCUACUAAAAUUAUUACCUUUGAAUGUCUUUAAAAAGCACAAAAGGGAAUAUAUAUAGUUUAUUAUGCACAUAUAUUAAUAUAUAUAUAUAUAUAUGAAUUAAUUGACACAAGUUAGUUAUUAAAUUUAUUUUUAUGUACAAAAUAUGUUAUACAAUGUGAUUUUAACGUAAUCUUAUAAAAUUGGUAAAGGCUUCGAAAAAGGCAAUAUGCACUAAAAAAAAAGCAGUGAAGUGAGCAAGGAGUUUAUCCAAAAACAAAUCAAAAGUAACGAAGACUUUGUAUGUCCUAUAUAAUAACACGUUAAAACCAAAAUAAAAUUGAGAGUAUUUCAAAUAUUAGCACCCUCAUACAUCCCAUGAACCUUUGCACAUCAAUAGAAGAUAAUAAAUGGCUUAUCAUUUAAACAAGCUUAUUUGUAGUAAUGUGUAUAAAAAGUACAUUAAUUAUUUAAGAAACUUCUAUGGUACUAAAAAAGUACAAUACAAAACAUUCACUAUUAGUCAUUUGAUUUUGAGAUUGAAUCUCCACCGUUCAAUUAAAAGAUUUGGAAAUUGAAUUCCCAUUCUUUAAAUUUAAAAAAUAAAGAUAAUAAUGAAGAAUUGAUAAGUAAAAUUGUCACGCCCCAAAAUCCACUCCAAGGGCAUGACAAUCAUUUCACACUUCAAGCUCCAAGGUUCAAAUUGAAAACGACACAAACAUUGGUAUUGUAGCUGGAAAUUUACCAAUUACCAAAUUCCUAUUCAAAGUAGUAGGACAAAAUUCUAAAAUCUCCAAGUAUCAUCUUUAAAAAAAACUAAUACAUCAAUCAAAGUGAUAUUGUCCAAAUAGCUCUAAACUCAAAAAAAUUCAAACAAGAAUUAAGUUUUAACAUCUAAACAAUAUCCAAAAUAAAUAGAGUUUAAACAAAUAUCGUAAUAAAGCCAAAUUUCCCUCCUAGCUGUCACCCCUCGCCCGAACUGAGGUUACCUAAAAGAUUAUCAACAAAGGGGGAUGAACUUAAAGCCCAAUAAGGAACAUUAAUAUAGUUUCAUGGAUAAAACAUUUUUACUCAUGCUUGCAAAUGGGAGUAUUUCAAAUAUAAUCACGCACCCUCAUACAUCCCAUGAACCUUUGCAUAUCAAUAGAAGAUAGUAAAUGACUUAUCAUUUAAACAAGCCUAUUUGUAGUAAUAUGUGUAUAAAAAAUACAUUAAUUAUUUAAGAAACUUCUAUGGUACUGAAAAAGUACAAUACAAAAUAUUCACUAUUAGUCAUUUGAUUUUGAGAUUGAAUCUCCACCAUUCAAUUAAAAGAUUUGGAAAUAUUUUAAAAAAUAAAGAUAAUAAUGAAGAAUUGAUAAGUAAGUAAAACAAAUCUAUAAAUGCAAAUAAAAAGAGUUUUAUUGAUAGACAUACAAUGAAGAACCUUAAUGUUUCUCCUUUCUGUUAUGCUUUUUUGUUAUAAUAAUAAUGAUGAUGAUAAUAAUAAAUAUAAAUAUAAAAGUACUUUUUUCAAUCGAUUUAUUUUUUGUGAAGGUACCAUGCAUGUAUCAUUACUCAAGUCUAAAGUUUGACAUGUUUAGUUAAUGAAAAUAUAUGAUACACAUAGUGGAAGCACUUCCAAAGGUGACCACAUUGCUUAAACAUGCAUGUUAGUUCAACAUUCAUUAUAUUGCAAAUGGUGACAUAUGUUUCAUACACAAAAGCACUCGUUUUACUCAAAUUUGUUAGAAUUAGUAAAAAUUUGACUACAAUAUAAAUAAUGUUACAAAGAUAUAAAAAUUAUGACAAAUAUAAAUAAAACAACAACACAAUGUGAAUACAGUAGUAACCAUAAAAAUUGUGACAAUUGUACCAAAAACUAAUUAGAGUACAAAAAAUAUGAUCAAGUAUAAAAAAUGUAAUAAGGAUAUAAAAAUUUUAAUUGAGGUACUAAAAUAAGAAAAAUGUGAUCACCUCAAUACAAAUAAUGUAAUCUAGGUACCAAAAAUAGGGCCCAUGCACUAAGGUACGAAUGUGAUCUAAGUACAAGUUAUUUAACCAAGUUCCAAAAAUUUUAACUAAGGUACAAAAUCUAUAAUUAAGAUGUUAAGGCACAAAAGACAUAACCUAAGUACAAAGAAUAUAAAUAGUGUAUAGACAGUGUGACUUAGUUUUAAUUAAUUAUUUAUGUAUAAUUGUAGGCCCUCCAUUUUGUCCUCUUAGCACAUGUAACAUCAAAUGUUCCUCCUAUUCCCCUCUUGGUCCCUAGUCAUCCCUUGGUGGUCUAUUGACAUUCAUUCGACUUACUCUUUCCUAGCUAUCUUUGGAGACCUUGGUUGAAGGAUUUGUUUGCUCCUUCUUUGUGACCCUUGGCAACCUCAAGUUAGAUAUAGGAUUUUCCUUUUUUCUUUGUAGGAUAGCUCAUUUAGAUACACUUUUUAGAUCACGUAGACACCUUUUGAGAAUAUGAACACUUUUAUUUUCAAACAAAAAUUGCAUGAGUUUGAUGAAAUUAAUUCUUUUUAAUUUGCGUGAAACAAUAUGUUGUUUUUUGUAAUAUGCAUGUGAUUGAUAUUUUAGUUUUAGUUACAUAAUUUUAUUAUUAUUAUUAUUAUUUUCAAUUAUAGGUUUUUUUAUUCUACUUCUUUUUAAGUUUCUCAAAAUUUGUUCUUUUAUUAAUGAAUGUUAUUGGUCUCCAACCAAUUGGAGUUAAAUCCGUCUAAGUUAACAAGGGUUAGACAACCUUCUUCCUUAUGUUAUGCUUCUUAGAGCUCCUGCCUAGUAAUGGGGAGACUGGGUGAGCUUCUUUCCUGCAUAAUGGAUGUUUGGAUAGGUGGUCUAAGCAUGCCCCUUUGAAACUUAAGUUAAGCAAAAAUAGACUAGACUCCUCAAAGGAGGGAGUGAGUAGGUCAGCUGAUGUGUGCCUACCUUGUUUGUGCCUCAGAAAGGUUUUUAUAGUGCUGAAAGAAAGCCACUAUAGUGUUGACUAAGCACUUUAACCUUCUCUGUAAUGAUGAUCGUCUUGUGGGUGGCAAGGCAAUCAUUACAUCUUUGGGCAGCUGGCAGGUGCCGUAAGAUGAUAUGGCAGGUGCAUAUCCCUUCAACCUGCUGGUGGUAUAGAGUUGUGUGUGGUAAUUAAUUGACAUGGACUGGAGGGUUGGGGGAGAUCUCAUCAACCAUUCCCAUGUCAGACAUGAAUGAUUACACAUAAUAGUGGGCCUUGAAGGCGUGAUUGGGUGGUUCCGUCUGUUUAGGGAGUCCAGUCUUACUUUCCAUCUGUUCUCGUAUGGGAAGGACCCAUUUUUGUCUGUGACCAAAUAAAUUGGACGUAGUCCGGAUGGAAGAAUUCGAACGCUGCUUGUCCCACUAUCUGGAUAGUGCUGGGAUUGGACAGUGACACGUGGAAUGACACAUGGAGGGAAACUCCUACAAUGCCCCCAUUUUACUCCGUUUACCUAUGUUCGAGUAGAGGUGGACGGGUUAUGUGUCUCUUCAAAUCACCCAAGUACUUUUUCAACACGUGUUACUUGGGAAAUUAAAUAUGGGUCAUUUUCACCGAGGCCAUCUAUCAAGUGGCGCAUUGAUUUGAGGUGCAUUUCCAAGUAGUUUGUUUUUUGGGAUCCUUAAGGUUUCGAUAUCCUAUAAAUAGGGGAUUCCAAAACUUUUUAGGUUACUUUUUGAACAUUCCUUUUUUGGAACAUUUUCUUUCCAGUCUCUGCACAUUCAUUGUUGUUAUGCCAGUCAUCGUUCUUUCUCCGUUGUGUUGUUGCUAUUUCCAAGCCUUCUACAGGCAGACUCUUCCUUUGCUUGGGGUCAUUCUUGUUGGCUUUGGUGAGCUUGCUUCUCUUUGCAUUCAUUUUUUUUUUUUCUGUUUCUUUGUUUGCUGUUAGGACUGCUUUAGGAUUUGUGAGUUUUCUUGGAUGCAAAGUGAACGUUAUGAAGUCCAAACUGUAAGGCUUUUGUGCUCUAUUGGGGAAAGUAACUGCCAUUGAGGGGAGAAGGUUGGUAGAAUCUGUUAUGUUUAGGGUUUUUCACAUUUGCCUUUUCUGUUUCUUUUCUGUUGGUGCCCUAAGUAGUCUCCUUAGGCAUUUUGGCCUGUAGUAGUUGUGGUGGCAUAAUGGGAAAGUCCUUUCUUGGGGUUAGGGCUUGCUCUCCAAGUUGGGUUAGGCAUCCUGCUUAAGUGUGGGCUUUAGAUUUGCUUAGGUUGCUUGUUGUACAACUAAGGCACUACCUAAUGGCAGAUGAGUCAGGUGACUGUUUUUCUAACACUUUGUGUUGUGCUGCGCAGGUUUCACGUGUCCUAGAGUUUCUCAGUUAUGUCAGUAAGAGGGGCAUUGCUUCCACCAGCACAAGUGGUAGAGGUCAGAAAAAGGGUUGAAAUGGUGUAGUUGUUGAACGUCCUUGGUUGGAAUGCCCAGUCUACCUUCUAACCGAACAAGAAUUCUAGGAUCACUUUCGCAUCUCGAACGUCAUCUCCAUACUUUUGGUAAACGACAAACCUACGCCCAUUGAGAAGUUGUCUCAUAAUGCUACCUACUUUAGCAAGGAGCAGUUCAAUGUAGGGCUUCGUUUCCCUCUGCCUUCUUUGCUCAAGCAGUUUUUCCAUUUCACCAAGAUCCCUCCAGCAUUUCUUCACCCAAAUGUUGUCCGAGUGCUAAUGGGGUGUAGCGUCUUAGAUAUGCUCUACCACCUGGAUCUCUCCUUGCUGGAGAUCGUCUUCGUCUAUACAAUUAAGAUGAGCCAGAAAGAGAGGUUCAACUUGUCCGCCCAUAUCUCCAGUUAGUGAUAGGGCUUCCAGAUUAGAACAAGGGCGGGGCAAAGGCCACAUCCUUGUUUAUGGUCCCUGGGGUGAUCUAUAUGAGAGUUCGAACAGGGAAUUCCAUUUGUGAUGCUCAUUGUAGAUUUUGAGUAGGAGAUGCUCUUACGACUUUUGUUCGUCCUUUAUAGCGUGUUAGAUGUGAACUCAUUGUUGAUGUUUCUUGUUUAUACGGUGUAGAGAAGGACAAGAGGGGUCAACUCAUGGAAUGAGUGGAGAAGGCUUCUUUUGACCGACUCAACAAGCUUUUUGAGAUAUUUAUAGCUGGGUCGAACCACUAAGUUCUUUUGACGGAUAGGAACCUGCUAGCGAUGGUCAAGAAGUCCAAGUCGUUCAUCAUCCCCAUACUUCCUUGUUUGGCUCCUCAGGCCUUGGUGCCCGACGAGCACCACGUGCUGAAGGAUCUCUCUUGUUAUGAGGUUGGUCAUGCGGUGGACUCAAAAGCACGCCAGGACCUCUUGGAGCAAAGGAAAAAAAAAUUCACAGGAAGGGAAGCUAAGGCAAGCUCCAGCCACAAGCCGCCCAACAUCUAAUUCUGUCGUUCGCCUUCCUACUAAGAAAUAGGGCCCUGUCAUUCAACCUAUUCAAAGGCCUCCAAAUCCGCCACGCGCAUCUCCUGCUCAUUCUGCUUCAACUUCUGCAUCCUCGUAUUCUGUCGCCGGCACUGAGCCAGAGGCAAAGGUCAAGCCAGUAGUGUCUCCUAUCAUCUAUGAAGAGGAGGAAUAGGAGGACAUGGAUGCAAACCUGAGAGCCAGAUUCAGGGAGAGGUAGCGCAAACGCUUGUUCGAAUCCAUCAUGGUCGUUCAUCCUGCUAAAAAGUCCUGUAUGGAGGUCCGCUGCCCGAAAUUGGUCUUUGCCAUUGCAUCGACACCAGAGCCUUCAGCCGUCGCUGUAGGUAGUAACCCUACGCUAGACAAAAAGCCUUUCUCAACUGGAGCAACCGCUCAACCUGAGCUAGGGGGCCUUCCAUUGGUCUGACGCAACUCAGCAACAACUCUGUUGAGUGUGUUGCUUCCGCUCCCCACAUUCUCAAGCGCCUCAUGCUCCCAACUGGGAUGAGAUAAUUGAAUUGAUGAAACAAAUUUCCUACUUUACAAAGAGGGAGACCCUUAUGAACAACAUAGGGGACCUCUUUCCGGCCACCCCGUGGGUUUCAAUAGACCUAGAUGGCAAUCCCAACAUUUCCUUUGUGGCCCGACUUCCAUUCGACAACCCAAAAUCCGUCACCUCCCGUAUUUUUCCUAUGCAAGAUUACACAACCAUCGAGACAACGAAAGUGGUAAGCCUCUCAUCUCUUUUGUUCAUAAUGCCUUAGUCUUUUGAUUUUUUUAAUAUCUUCAUUGUUGUCAUCUCAAAUAGUAGCCGACGUUUGUAAUUUGAUGCGACAACGUGUUCUACUCUUUAAACGGUUGAAGGUUGUCGAGACUAUGAGAGUGUAUAUUGCCCAUAACAUGGACGAUAGUGAAGAACUCCGCUCUAAGCUGAAAUCAGUAGGGGACGAGCUUGCUAUUGCUCGGAAGGUUGCUAAGAAGGGAGUCGGGUUGCUAAGAAAGUCAAAAGAAGAGAGAAAGACGACCGAAGCUGAGGCCCAUUGGUUGAAAGGGGGAGACGGAGGCUAAGCGUACGUAAGAAGGCUGAACAAUAGAAUGAAUGGCUGAGGCAGAAGAUGGAAGAGCUUCGGGUAGGGUUCAUUGCUAAAAAGGAAGGGUUGGAGGGCAAGUACCAAAAGUAGGUAGAUCACAUGUUUUUGUUCAGCUACCGGUGCUGCAUGAAGAAACAAGGCAUACUUAGGACACCCUUAAUUACACUUUAGGUGAUGGGGAUGUAGCAAUCGACGACCCUACCCGAGGAAAUGGAGAUGUUGCUAAAGUUGACCCCUCUAGUGGGUAGACAUGGUCUUUAUUCCUGUAUAUUUUUUGUUUUUUUUUCCUAGCUGGAAAUGGCCCCACAGGAAGUUGUAAUGAAUGCUCAUAUAUUUUUCUAAAUACAAAAAUACUUGUUUUUUUUUUUCUCUAUUCCAUAUACAUUUUACUUUUCAUAAGCCAAUUUUACUGAUAAUACUGCUUCAAGUUGGACACAUUCCACGAGCAGAGUAAGGGUACUUCGUCCAGUGUUUGGAGAUGGUAUGCCCUUGAGUCUUCGACCUUGGUCAUAAAGUAGGGGCAUGUCCAAUUAGCCUGAAGGUUUUCAGCCCCCACCUCCGCCAUGUUCUCAAAGACUUUUAUGAGGACAAAGGAUCCGGUGCAAAAAAUACGUGGUCAGCCCUUUUUAUUAUAGUGAGUGAAAACUUGCUAUUGAUAGGAGGCUAUUCGGAUGGUCCUGCUUCCCCUUACCUCAUCUACCCAAUCUAGUUGCCUCACAAUUUCUUAAGUGUCAUAUCUUUGACCUUGCACGACUAUUUUGGAGGUGGACAUACCAAUCUAAGUUGGAAUAACAACUUCCAUUCCAUAGGCGAGGGCGAAAGGAGUGGUCCCUAUAGGCCACCCGGGCGUUGUUCGGUAUGCCCAUAGAACCCCCAACAAUUCAUUUACCCAUUUUUCUUUGUCUCAUUCCAGCCUUUUCUUUAGUGCAGUUGGUAGGGUUUUUUUUGUUGCCUCUACUUGCCUAUUACUCUGAGGAUAGCAAAGCGUGGAAUAUAAAUUUUUAAUAUUUAUCUUUGAGUAGAAGGUUUUGAAUGCGAUGCUGUUGAAUUGCGGCCCGUUGUCUGCUAUGAUUGCUUAUAGAAUCCCGAACUGGCAAACGAUGUUCUUCCAAACAAACCUAGAGACGUCUUUGUCUUUGAUGCUAGCAUAGGCUUCUGCUUCUACCCAUUUGCUGAAGUAGUCAGUAGCUAUGAGUAGAAACUUUUUUUUCAUGGCUGCAAUAGGUAAGAGGCCAACUAUGUCCAUCCCCCAUAGCGCGAAUGACCAAGGGCUCAUUAUUAGAUUAAGAACUUCAGAUGGCAUACAGGGGAUGGGAGCGUACCACUGACACUGGUCACACUUCUUAACAUAAUUUUCAGUAUCUUGUUUCAUGGUGGACCAAUAGUAUCCUUGUGUGUGAGCACGAUAUGCUAAUGUUCGCCUGCCUAGAUGAUUGCUGCACACACCUUUGUGGAGUUCAGCUAGGACUUACUGGGUCUUUGGAUUGUUCAAACAUUUCAGGUACGAUUCUUUAAAAGAUCGCCUAUAAAGGCUGCUAUUGAUUAGAGUGAAGCGGACGGCCUGUACAUGAAUCUUAUGAGCAUGCUUCUCAUCAUUUGGUAGUUCUCCCAUUUGGAUAUAUUUCAUAAUUUCAUGCAUCCAUCCAGGGCCCAUCUCAAUAGUAUUAUAUACUGGUACUGUCGCAAUUGAGGUUGCGGCCUGGAGGUAGACAGGCAGCAUUACGACUUUCUUUAUAGCGAGAGUAGUAGCUAUUCCGGUCAAUGCAUCAACCUUUAAAUUUUAUGUCUGGAGCACUCGUCUAACUGCUUAUUCAUCUAACUUUCCUAAGCAGUCUUCUACCAGGGUGAGGUAGCGAGCCAUACAUUCGCCAUUAGCUUUAUACUCUUUCUAAAUUUGCUUGACGAUUAACUCAUAAUCGCUACAUAUUUUCAACUUGAUUAUCGAUAAAGUUAAGGCAAGGUCCAUCCCAGCCAAGAUUGCCUCGUAUUCAACUUCAUUGUUUGAAGCAGGAAAACUGAGCCGGAUAGUCUACUCUAGCAAUUCCCCGAUAGGUGACUAUAAGAUUAGGUCCACCCCGGAACAGGAGGCUUUAGAUGUUCCAUCUACGUGAAGUAUCCACAAUCCUUCCCUAAGGGGCUCAUCCAAGUAAGAUGGUUUUUGGGGAAGUUAAGAUAUAAAGUCGUCCAUAACUUGUCAUUUCAAUGCCAAUCUUAGCCAGUAUUUGAUUCCGUACUCACUUAACUCGAUGGCUUACUUCAACAUUCAUUUGGAUAAGUCCGACUUGUGCAAGAUGCUUCUGAGUGGUUGAUUUGUGAGUACGAUCACUUGGUCGGCAUGAAAGUAUGGGUGGAGUUUCCGGACGGUGCUUUUGAGGGCUAAGGUCGUUUGCUCCAUCCUGGAGUAUCGGUUUCUACAUCCACCAUAGCUUUGCUUACAUAGUAAAUGAGCCUCUAUUUUUUAUCUUUUAUGUGAUGAAAUAAAACAGCACUAACCACAUAGUUAGACAUGACCAAAUACAUGUAGAGUUGUUUACCUGACUGAGGGUUACUUGGAAUAGGUGGCUUAGUAAGGUAGUGUUUGACUCGAUCUAAUGCCCACUUGCACUCAUCUUUCCAACCAAUUGCGCUUGCCUCCAUAGUUCUGAAAGGCGCGCCUAAGGCGCGCCUAGGCUCGGGGCGGCGUGACGCCAUCCUCCGGCGCCUCGCCUGAAGAGAGGCGACGCCCCUUCACGAAGGCGCCGCUUAGGCGCGCAAGGCGCUCGCCUCCAGCAAGGCGCGAGGCGGUCGCCCGAGUCGCCUCCGACGGCCCGACCAGGUACGCACUCCUCCUUCUCCUUCUCCUUCUUCUUCUUCUUCUUCUUCUUCUUCUUCUUCUUCUUCCUCCAGUCGGGUUGCAGAGACGGGGCAGCCCUAGUUUUUUUUUCAGUUUUUUUUUUAUAUUUUAUGGGCCCAAAACGACGCCGUUUGGACACUGUGCACUUAAGUGAACAGUGACCAAAACGACAUCGUUUUGGACCCUGUUAUUCAAAACAUAAAAUCUCCUUCCAUCCAGCCCCCUUUUCUGCUGUUUUUCAAUCCGAGACCACUGCCAUUUUUUGCCCUAGCCUCUUCCGUGCUGGAGAAGUGAAGAAGAAGAAGAAAAAUAAGAAGAAAAAUAGAGGGAAAAUAGGAGAAAAAUAAAGAGGAAAUAGUCACGUACCUUCCGGACCUCGGUAUUUUUCUUUUUUCUUCACUUUUCUGCAUUUUUUUCCAUUCUUACCUCAUAACUCUCAUUGGUAUUUUUUUUUAAAAAAAUAUAAAUAUUAUAUUUUGAGUUUUUGACAUGAAAAUUUUACAAAAUAAAAAUAAAUAAAUAAAAAGCACUCAUGCAUAUUUGUUGUUAAUGUGAUAUUUGAUAAUGUGAUAUGCAUUUUUUUUUCAAUUUUUUUUCUUAAUUUAAUUAUAAUUAUUUUAUUGUGGAGUAUAGAUAAUUUGUUUGCAAGAUGGAUAAUGAGAGUGAGACUCAAGUGGACUCUAGUGCAAGUGGAAGAAGAGAUCUAGGGUGGAAAUAUGGUCGUUUGGUUAAUGAAAAAGAUUUGAACACCAUCAUAUGCAUUUUUUGUGAUAAAGUAACCAAAGGAGGCAUCUAUAGACACAAACAACAUCUUGUUGGUGGAUAUAGAAAUGCUAAAAAGUGUAGAAAAUGUCCGGAACAUGUUAGAGAAGAAAUGGAAGAGUAUAUGAGUUCCAAGAAAAAUCAAAAAGAGCAAAUGAAUAUGGGGAGCGAAUAUGUUAAUGAAGAUUUGUUUGGUUUGGAAGAUGAAGAUAUUGGUGAGGAGAUUAAUAGUAGAACGAAUAUCACCAACAUUUCUAGUGGAGGUAGUAACCGAGGAGGAAGUGGUGGUAGGACGUUUUCUUCAAAAAAAACCAAGACAAAAAGGUCCUAUAGAUCAUUUUUUCACUCCUAAUGCAGAGAUGGUUGUUCAAAAUCAAAGGAGUGGAAAGAUGAAUCAAACUACCAUCAAUGAUGCCUACAAAAAGGAAGUAAGAGAAAGAGUUUGCACGCUUAUCACAAGAUGGAUGUAUGAGGCUGCUAUUUCAUUUAAUGCAGUCACAUAUCCGAGUUUCCAACCAAUGAUUGAGGCUAUUGGCCAAUAUGGUGUGGGUAUGAAGGGACCAACUUUUCAUGAGGUAAGAGUUACUAACCUUAAGAAAGAAUUGGCUCUCACAAAAGAUUUGAUGAAAGAUCAUAUGGUGGAAUGGGGGAAAAAUGGAUGUUCAAUUAUGUCGGAUGGAUGGACCGAUAGGAAAGAGAGAACUUUGGUGAAAUUUUUGGUUAAUUGUUCAAAGGGAACCAUGUUCAUGCAAUCCAUUGAUGCUUCUUCAAUGAUUAAGACGGGAGAAAAGAUGUUUGAGUUACUUGACAAAUGGGUAGAGCAAGUUGGUGAAGAGAAUGUUAUUCAAGUUAUAACAGAUAAUCACUCAAGUUAUGUGAUGGCAGGUAAUAAAUACUAUUUCUUGAAUUUUUAUUUACUUUUAAAAUUUGAAUUAUUUAUCUUGAGAACUUAUGUAAAUUUAUUAUCUACAAUUUCAUAUACGGAGGUUGUUAGAAUUAAAGCGUCCACAUUUGUAUUGGACACCAUGUGCUGCACAUUGCCUUGACUUGAUGUUGGAGAUAUUGGAAAGCUACCAANNNNNNNNNNNNNNNNNNNNNNNNNNNNNNNNNNNNNNNNNNNNNNNNNNNNNNNNNNNNNNNNNNNNNNNNNNNNNNNNNNNNNNNNNNNNNNNNNNNNUUGAUGAAAGAUCAUAUGGUGGAAUGGGGAAAAAUGGAUGUUCACUUAUGUCGGAUGGAUGGACCGAUAGGAAAGAGAGAACUUUGGUGAACUUUUUGGUUAAAUGUCAAAGGGAACCAUGUUCAUGCAAUCCAUUGAUGCUUCUUCAAUGAUUAAGACGGGAGAAAAGAUGUUUGAGUUACUUGACAAAUGGGUAGAGCAAGUUGGUGAAGAGAAUGUUAUUCAAGUUAUAACAGAUAAUCACUCAAGUUAUGUGAUGGCAGGUAAUAAAUACUAUUUCUUGAAUUUUUAUUUUCUUUUAAAAUUUGAAUUAUCUAUCUUGAGAACUUAUGUAAAUUUAUUAUCUACAAUUUCAUAUAGGGAGGUUGUUAGAAUUAAAGCGUCCACAUUUGUAUUGGACACCAUGUGCUGCACAUUGCCUUGACUUGAUGUUGGAAGAUAUUGGAAAGCUACCAAACAUCAAGAGGACAUUGGAGGGGGCUAUAUCACUAAAUGGGUAUAUUUAUAAUCGCUCAGGGCUACUCAACAUGAUGAGGCGGUUUAUUGGACAAAGGGAAUUGCUUAGGCCUGCUAAGACUCGGUUUGCAACUGCUUUCAUCACAUUAUCGCGAUUGCAUGAACAAAAAAACAAUUUGAGGAAGAUGUUUACAAGCUCAGAUUGGUCAGAUAGUAAAUGGGCAAAAGAGUAGAAGGGGAAAACUAUAGCCAACAUAGUUCUAAUGCCUUCAUUUUGGAACACUAUUGUGUUUUGCUUAAAGGUUUCGGGUCCCCUAGUUCGUGUGCUUCGUUUGGUUGAUGGUGAAAAAAAAGCUCCUAUGGGAUACAUCUAUGAGGCCAUGAAUAGAGCUAAGGAUGCAAUUGUGAGAAGUUUUAAUGGAAAUGAAGAGAAGUACAAAGAAAUCUUCAACAUCAUUGAUAAGAGGUGGGAGAUUCAGCUUCAUCGGCCUUUGCAUGCAGCAGGGUACUUUUUGAACCCGGAAUUCUUCUAUGAUAAGCCAGAAAUAGAGCAUGAUGCCGACAUUAUGAGUGAUUUGUAUAAAUGCAUCUUAAGGCUAACAAGAGACCCUGCUAAGCAAGAAAAAGUUGUGGCCGAAGUGAGUUUGUUCACAAAUGCCCAAGGACUAUUCGGGAAUGAGUUCGCUGUUAGGACAAGAAAGACUAGAGCACCAGGUUAGUUAUUUAGUUUUGUUUAUUUAAAUGAUUAGAUUGUAUUUUUGCUAAAAUAGGUGAAUUGUUUCACUAAAUUGUUAAUAUCUAUACUACAGCUGAAUGGUGGGCUGCAUAUGGAGCUUUAACUCCAAAUUUGCAAAAGUUUGCAAUGAAAGUCCUCAACUUAACAUGCAGUGCAUCAAGUUGUGAACGGAAUUGGAGCAUCUUUGAGAAUGUGAGUGACCAAAUCCAAAAUAAUUACAAGUAAUAGUCUAAUAGAGUCUUGAAUGUAACUUAAAAGUUAAAAUUUUAAAAUAUAUUUAUGAGCUUAUGAAUUUUUGCAGAUUCAUAGCAAGAGGAGAAAUAGGUUAGAUCAUCAACGCUUGAAUGAUUUGGUGUACAUCAAGUAUAAUCGAGCCUUGAAGAGAAGAUACAAUGAACGUAACACCAUUGACCCAAUUUCCUUGAAAGAUAUAGAUGAUAGCAAUGAAUGGUUGAUAGGGAGAAUGGAAUAUGAGGAUUCUCAUGGAGGUGCACAAGAUGAUUUUGUAUUUGAUGAUGACAAUUUGACAUGGGGUGAUGUUGCUAGAGCUGCUGGAGCUGAGGAAGCCAGGUUUGAUACUAGAGCUAGAGCAAGCUCAAGCAUAAUACCACCAACAAGGGGGAUAGCUUCAAGUUCUAGAACUUUGCCUUCUUAUUCACUAAUAGAUGAAGAUGAAGAUGGAGACAUGGUUGAUUCAGCAGAUGAAGAAAAUGGGGAAGGCUACAAAUGUGGUGAUGGAAAUGAUGAUGAUGAUGAUUUUGUUGAUUUAGAGGAGGAGUGAUGAUUGCUUGUUGUGGACAAAUUUGUGAUUUAAGUGUUUUUUAAUGAUGUUUUUGAAUUGUGGACAAAUUUCAUGUUUUGGACCUUUAGGUUUGGAAACUUUGGAUUUGGAUAUGUAUUAGGCAAUUAGCAAUAUGGAUUUGGAUUUGUUUUUAUGCUUGGAGUUCUUUAUUUUUAUGUUUUUUGUUUAUUAAAUUGAAGUUUUGGAUGAUAUUUGAUGAUUUAUGUGUUUAGGACAAAUAAAUGAUUGUUAAAUUUGAUUAUAUUAUAUAAAAAUAUAUAUGUAAAUUAGGGUGCGCCUCACUUCACUAAAGCCCGCGCCUUAGAUGUGCCUUGCGCCUUAGGCUCCAGGACUACUUUGCGCCUUGGUGCGCCUUGAGCCUUUUAAAACUAUGCUUGCCUCUUAAGUAUGAGGAAGAAAUGCCUCAAUUUGUUUAUAAAAUGGGCUAUAAAACGCCCUAGUGCAGCUAGACGACCUAUAAAACAUUGCAACUCCUUUUUGCUACUUAAGGUAGGUGUCUCAAGAACGACUUUUAUUUGAUCUGGAUUAACUUCGAUUCUCUUUUAAGUUACCAUAAAUCUUAAGAAUUUUCCUAUGCUAGCACUAAAAGUGUAUUUAGUCGGGUUAAGCUUCAUGUUGUACACCCAUAUUAGUCAAAAAAUUUCUUCUGGGUGUUGGGAGUGUUCAUUUCGGGUCAUGUUUUUUACCACAAUGUCAUCUAUGUAGACCUCUAUAGUUCGACCUAUCAAGGGUUUGAAGAUUUUUAGCAUCAACCUUUAAUACAUAGCACCAACAUUUUUAAGCCUAAACGUUAUAACCCUAUAGCAAUACAACCCUUGUGGUGUCACAAGGGCCAUCUUUUCCUCAUCUGGUUGGAACAUGGGGAUCUGGUGGUACCCGAAGAAAGCAUCUAUGAAGAAGAGCAUUUCGUGCCCGGCAAUGGCAUCUACUAUUUGGUCUAUUCCGGCAAAGGAAAACUAUCCCUUGGGCAAGCAUCAUUCAAGUUGGUGUAAUUGACGUAGACUCGCCACUUCCUUCCCUUCUUUGGGAUGACCACCGCAUUUGCCAGCCAGUCUGAAUAUUCAACUUCCCUGAUAAAUCCAAUUGUCAAUAACUUGUCAACUUCGGCCUAGAUGAUCCUCUCUGCCUGUCCGAGUAGAAGCGUCGAAUCUUCUAGUGGACGAGUUGUGAGAAAGGUGUGACAUUGAGCCGGUGUGAGGCUACAAAUGGAUGGAUUCCUGGCAUGUCUGAAUGAGUUCAAGCAAAGAUGUAUUUGUUUUGUUGGAGCACGCUUUCAAGUAGUUUCAUUUCAUCCAGCAUAAGGAGAGAAUUGGCAUAGGUAACUUGGUCAAUACCGCAUGAGAAAUGCAGUGGUUGGAGUGGGUCGACUACGGAUGGAUCCUUCUCCACUAGGCUUAGUAAUUGCUACUGCCCCUCCUUAUUUGAUAGUUCUGGGUGUGGCUCAUUAUUGGUCGGAUGUCUGGAUUCAAGCACUACUUGAUAACACUGGCAUGCAGCCAAUUGACUGCCAAAAAGAUCGAUCUGCCCAUCCUCGAUGAAAUAGCUCACCAUCUAAUGAUACGUAGAAGGAAUGACCUUCAUGCUGUGAGGCCAUACACGUCUCAUGAUGGCAUUGAAAUGGGAUAAAUCCUCUACCACCGAGAAUUGCACAUUUUGGGUGAUCAGACCAGCUUGGACAAGUAAUACAGCGUCUCCUAGAAAGGCUGUCGUGGCUCCACUGAAUCCAGAUAGUACCCGCCCUGGGUUUUCUAGGGUAGAUGGUGGUGAUUACUACUCAAAAAGUGUUAUUUGAUAGCUUGAAAUUAAUCCUUUUAAACACUUUUGAGUAGUAGUUUUGGUCUUUUAACUCAAUUGGCAUGUUAAGGACCCUUGAAAGCAAUUUUAAUCACUUUGUGUAAGUUUUGGUGUUUUUGUUAGUAAUUUGAUCACCAAAGCAAUCCAAGAUUGAGGAGAGUUAUGAGGAAUCUUGGGCAAAGCUUGGAAGUCAUUUGCCAAGAGUAAAUCCGGAAUGCAAGGAGAAGAAGUAAAGAGAAUCUGCCAUGAAGCAUAUUCUUGAUGACAGUCGUGGCAGCCACUUUUGGAGCACUUUCUGAAGUCCAAUUGAUGCAUGCUAUAUACCAUUUCAAAGCUCAGGAAGUCAACAAUCCAAUGCUUCAAACGGUGCGCAAUUCGGAGUUGAAACGAAGAAGUUACAACCAUUGCAAGUCAAUCACUCCAAGCUGAAGGAAGCAUUUUGCAAAGUGUUGCGAAAUCACCCUUUUGUUGCGAAGUGAUUUCGCAGCCUUUUUGUACAGUGUAGUGGAUUUCCUCCUGAAGUUGCCCGAUAUAUGCCGCAAGCUGGAAGCUGAGAACCUCAAGGUGGAAGCCAACUUCGCAGCCCUGCGAGAAUAGCUUUUUGCUGCGAAGUGAUUUCGCAGCCCUUUUGUGUGUCUGCGAAAUCUCGCAGACAUCAUUUUCUCUUGCGAAAUGGUCCAUAGUGCUUCCCGAUAUUUGCUACCGAUAUUGGGAGAUAUUUUCCAUCAGAUUUUUGUUGUCUAAAUCCCAAAAUACUCCUUGUAAGCCACCAAUUACAAGAUUCCUUAGCUUUUAAGUUAGUAAAAAGAACAAAUAUCCAUGUAAUAAUUUAGUUUUGUUUUAGGUUCAUAUAAAUACUCUUCAAGAGCCUAUUCUCAGAAGAGGAGACCCUUUGUAAAUUUUUGGGAAAGCAAGUAAAGUUCAGGCCUUUGUUUUGCCUUACCUUCUCACUUCGUAUUUUUAUUUUCUUACUAAGUUAUGAACUCUCUGAGGAAUUUUCCCCAGAGAAUGAGUAACUAAACCUCUAGUUCCUUGGAGCUAAGGUUGCCGGGGAAGGUUCCAAGUGCAAGAAUGCAAAGCUUUGUGGUUUUAGCCAGUAAUGAAGAGGAAGUGAAGUCUUUUAGUGAUUUCUAUGUUUUUAGUUAACUUAAAACACCUUAGAGUCACCUAGGCCAACACUUGGUAAGGCAAGUGAUUUCCAACCAUGGGAAUGCACUAGUUUACUCCUUGCGAGCCUCUGGGAGGUGACUUUAGGGUAGGAUUUUCUGGAAUUGCCAACACUUGGUAAGCUUUUGGACUCCAAGGAGACAUCCAUUAGUUAUCUCUUGCGAGCUUGAGAAGGGAAGUCCAAGGUUAAAGGUCACCUUGAAUGGUUAAGGCUAAGUGAGAGGCUUAAACCAUUGCAAGUUGUAUCAGUGAGAGAAUUAAAGUUGAAAUCUAAUUAAAGGAUGUAUCUGUACAACACCGGUUAGAGAAUUGACUAUAUGUUGAAUCUCUAACGCGAGGUAAUGAACCAUCUGACCAGAGCUAUGUCUUUUGCAUGAGGAACCACCCCAGUGAACCUAACUCUCCAAGGAAUGCUUUUCUUCCUAAGUUAUUCCCAUUACUUGUUUUGUUAGUUAGUUUGAAUCUAAAUCUUUACCAAUCAAAGUUUGUGUUUUAUUUCUUAAGCUAACCUUGAAAUGAAACAAGACCAAUUCACUUUGAAUUGAUAUCAUUGAUAACUUGUUAAUCCUUCCUAGUGAACGAUCCUAGAGCCACUAUACUAUAGUAGCUUUGUCUUUGCUACCCUAGUAUAUGGUGUAAUAGGUUAAAAAUUUUGUUGAUUACUCCCUCAUCCAAGGAGCACCAGCUGGACGUGAAUCAGUUGAGACACCAUCUGGGCAUGAAUCAGUGGGAGUCUCAUUUACUUGUAGGCAGACAAUUUUAAGAGGUCAGUUGAGUUGCUCAGAUCGAUUAGAACUCUUCUUACAUUAAACACGCUUAUUCCUAGGGUCAAGAUCAGGGCGUCUUCGUGUGGCUGUAAUACCCGGUUAGCAUUGACUGGGGGAAGGUAAUUAUGCCAUCAAUGGGGUGCGUACUCCCAUCUGCCAAGUUAUGUUGAAUGAAACUGAUCCAUUCCCUUACAAAUAUUGCACGGAGCAGCCUUUGCCUUUUCUGCUUGGAGUUUUAUUUUUUGUCAAUGGGGCCACCAUGAAUGUAGCUGAUAACAACCUUGGGAGUUGUUGAAGUUGUGGGGGAUUGGUUGACCAAAUCUCAAGCCAGUUCCUUUUGCCCACCAGCCGUGCAGACAUAUUGCUUCAAGUGCCCAACCUUGAUUAAUCUUUCCACUAGGUAGUGGAGAUUUCUACAUUGCUUCAUGGUAUGGCCAUGAUCUUUGUGAUAGGCACACCUACGGUUCCGAUCCCAUUUAGCCAAAUCUGUUUUGAUCGGCUUUGGCCACCUGAAAUCAAACAGAUCGCGGAUCAUUUGGAUGAUUUUUUCGUAUGAGAUACUGAGAGGGGUUAGGCUAACCUGACUCGGUUGCUGCUGGUCGUCCCGCCUCUUACUAGCUUGCCUCAAUUGGUUUGAAGGCUUCUAGCUUCCUGCAUGGUCGUUUCUUGUCGGACGAUUAGCGACCAGGACUUGCUGAGUGGCCGCGUUGACGUCGUCUUCGAGCCUUAAGUACUUUUUGGCUCGCCUGAACAAAUCGUCCAUUGUCGGUGGUGGUUUUUUUGUGAGAGAUUCGAAAAACGGCAUACCCGAAAAUAUGCUUCUCUUAAAGAUCUAUAGGAUAGAGUAUAUGCUACAAGGCUCCACUUGGAGCACAACUUGUCCAAACCAUUUCAUGAAGUCUCUUAAGGAUUCGUUUUCCUGCAUCUUAAUGUUCUGUAGGGUGUUUAUGUUCUGCUUGUGGCAAGUUGAACAUAAGUAGUGUCCCACAAAGGCUUUCGAUAGAUCCCAAAAAUUGUCCAUGAAGCCCUUCGAAAGGCAAUGGAACCAUGAAAAAGCCUAGUCGUGCAGACUCGUUGAAAAGACUUUACAUAACAGUGCAUCAUUCCUUAUGUCCAGGGUCAUGAGUUGCCUGUAGUACAUAAUAUGAUCGAACAAAUCGCUCAUUUCGUCGUACGUCAUAAAUUUUGGUACCAUGAACUUCCUUGAGGGUUCAUAGUUAAUGAUAUGAAGGCCAAACGACGUGCAGAGCAUGUCAUCUAGUCAUCGGGUGACGGAGCCAGGUGGAGCUCGGUUCACUGAAGUCUUCGCUUGCCACUAUUUGGGCGGAUGGGAGGGUCAUUCUAACAUGAUUGUUGUGGCCGAGGGACCCAAACAGGCCUCCAGAGUUUCUACUACGUAAGGUUUUCCUCCUAUGCUAGGUGACCAGGGUCCCAACUAGGCCUGUAUUGCGUGAGAUAGACAUGACCUCCUAUCACGCCUUCUUUUUGUUGAGACCUAGGUGGAGUCAAAACUCUCUUCCAACUACACCGAGCGGGUUGGUGGAAGCUUCUCUUUUGAUUAUAUCUCAUGACUGCUAGAGGAAGACUCUAUGUUCCUGGGAAAAUACGCAUCGUCAUUUUGUAUAGAGGUUGCUCACAGGCUCUUAGGCUGUCGCUUAUGAGAAGGGCUUGAUGACGAUACUUGGGCACACAACUUGUCAUUCUCUUCCUUAAGUCUCCUAGUCUCGUGAAGUAGGGAUUGUACAUGUUGCUCACUCUCUCGUUGGCGUCUUUCCAUGCUUUCACGCCAGUCAAAGUAGUCCUCACUACCCAUAGCUGACGAUCAACUUCUAAAGGGUGUUGACAUCCUUAAACGUUCCCACAGACGACACCAAUGUUAGUUUCCAUCCAACUGGAGUCAGAUCCAUUUAAGUUAACAAGGAUUAGACAGUCUUCCUCUUUACGUUGUGCCUUUUAGAGCUCCUACCCAGCAAUGAGGAGAUUGGUGAGCUUCUUUCCUACACAAAGGAUCUCCAGACAGGUGGUCCGAGCACGCCCCUUCAAAGCUAAAGUUAGACAAAAAUAAACUAGGCUCCUCAAAGGAGGGAGUGAGUAGGUCAGCUUAUGCGUGCCUACCUUGUUUGUGCCUUAAGAGGAUUUUUAUAGUGCUGAAGAGAAAACCACUGUAAUGCUGACUAAACACUUUGACCUUCUCUGUAAUAAUGAUUGUCUUGCGGGUGGCAAGACAAUCAUUACAGCUUUGGGCGACUAGUAGGUACCGUCAAAUGAUAUGCCAUGAUGUUUGACCGUGCAACCGUUUGUCCCUUCAACUUGCUAGUGGUAUAAGGUUGUGAGUGGUAAUUAGUUGACAUGGACUUGAGGAUUAGGGGAGAUCCCAUCAGCCAUUCCCAUGUCAGAUGUGAAUGAUUACACAUAACAGUGGGCCUUAAAGGCUUAAUUGGGUGGUUUCGUCUGUUUAGGGAGUCCAGUCUUAUUUGUCGCUUGUCCUCAUAGGGGAAGGGCCCCUUCUUGUCUGUGACCAGAUGAAUUGGACAUGGUUCGGAUGGAAGAAUCUGAACACUACUUGUCCCGUUAUCCGAAUAGUGCUGGGGUUGGAAACUAACGUGGAAUGACAUGUGGAGGGGAGCCCCCACAAAUGGUUACUAACUUCUAUUUCCUUAUUGCUUUUCAUGAGGAAAUGCCACCAACUAUAUGGAAUGAGGAUCACUACUACAAAUGGAGUGCAAAUAUUGGGGAUAUUCACUUACAAAAGAGAUCUUUGUUUUGAAAGGAAAGAGAUUCAAAUGGGAAGGACUUUGGGGGAAGAGACGAAUCCAAUUGCAUGGGAUUCAUGGAGACCACCAGAUUUCCUUAAAAAAGGAAGGUUCACACUACGGGAGGCUUCCGUCCGCCUAGGGCACGAAUCACAAGCAGUCUAGUAUAAAGACCAAUCACCAUCUCGCCCAUGGGCAUAAGACCACCAAAUUCGUGCACUCACGAGAUCUAGACAGACAAAACCAACCGAGCAUUAUUCAACUUCGCCUGGAAUGCAUCGAUUGUAACAAACAUUAAAUGUCUUGAUUGACAUGACUACUAUGAAACCAAAACACCAUACUUUAAGGCUCAUCAAGGCAAAACAACUAUUAUGAGCCAACAAUUAUUAGCAUUAACGGUGGAAAUGCGCAAUCAAAGGCAUAAUAAAGACGCUUGAGAAGACAUUACAUUGGAAAAAAGAUAAAACAUCAUUCUGGGACAUAGGAGAGGUAUGUUGCCACUUUUCCAAGAAUCUUUUGCGCAAGUCUUUUCUCUUUGACUUAUUGAUCUUUUGAUAUAUGCGUUUUUUUAGUUUUAAAGAAUCAUUGAUGAUCAUAUAUUAAAGUUUGAAUGAAAAUUAUUGAUGAUUGGUGUUAAAUAUUGUUUGAUACAUGAUUGAAAUUAUCUUUAGGAUCAAUUUGGAGAAUCUCUAUAUAUGAAAUUUUCUAAAAAUUGUUUUUUAUUACCAUUGUUGAUAGUUCACUUCACCUUUGAACUUGUAAAUUGAAAUCCGACCAUUCAAAAACUUUUUAAAAUUUUUCUAAUUAUUUUGUAGUAUUGUAGACUUCUUGAAUUUGAUUUUAGAAUUUUUUUUUUAGUGAAAAAUAAUUUUUCCAAUUAAAAGAUAUAAAUCAAUCUUUCAAAAGGUUUAGUUGUCACUCUGUUUUAGACACUCAAUCUUGUUUCUUAAAAUUAAAUUAUUAAAUGACCUCUUUAGUUUCUUUGGACAUUUUUCACUUAAUUUAUACUUCUUAAAUUCAAUUUUUUACAUAUAAAAUAUUAAGAAAUAAUUAUUGAAAUGAGAGAUAUGAUUUUUUUUUCUUCUUGCACCUAUUGCACAGGUGCUCUUCUAGAGCUGCGAGAUGUUAAUUUAAUUUUAAAUAUAUUAUGCAUAUGAUCUUGUCCUAUGAUUAUUUUUCAUAUAAAGUAGACAUAUUAAUGAGUUGUGUGAAUUUUUGUAGAAUUUUUAAGACAUCUCUAAGUUAAUUAAAAAAUUAAUUCUCUCAUGCUAUGGAAAAUUACUUUGUUCUGGACAUCUCUUAUGAAAUCUGGUAGUAAAUGGGAUCUAAUUAAUUAAUUUGGCCACUUGGAUGAUAAACUAGACAUAUAGGAGAUAUUCCCUGAAAAUUUUCAUGAUGAAAUUCUACUUAUAGAUAUUAUGCAUUUGAAUUUAUGUUUGAUUGUCUUAUGAAAGCACUUGUAGCUAAUUAAGGUACAAAUUUAGUGAGAAAGUCUUCUUUCUAUUAGACCACUUCAAAUAGACAAACUAUGCACCUCUCUUUUAUCAUCACAUGUAAAUGACCUUAAAGGAUGUGAAGAUCACUCUUAUAACUACCACCACUACUUACGUGGAGAGACAAAGGAUUAGCUCCUCAUUAACCAUUUCUUAGAGGCUAGGGCAAAUGAAACAUACCACUAAAGUAAAAUAAAAUAAAUAAAUUUAAAAUAAAUGUGUAAAAUGAAACACCUAAAAAAGAUAAAAUAAAAUAAAUUUAAAACACAUACCAACCCGUUUCACAAAAAUUAGAACUCGCAAACAAUUGUUAAACAUAUAUUAUUAUUAGAUCCUUGACAUGAUCGAUACGCUUCCGAGGAGAGCUGCCUUGUCCAUCAACAGUAAAGAAAUAUUGAUCCUUUUCAAAUUCUAACAAAGAAUGUAUGUAGGAUGUAUAACAUUUUUAAGGACUAGGCAUAACCAACCAAACUUUUUUCGCUACUGAUUCUCAAGAUAUUACCUAAAAACAUGCAUAGACAAAAAAAUUCCAGACAUGAGCUAAAUCAAUUAAUCAAGAAAAAAUGGAUGAUUGAAAGAGAAAAUGAUGCAGUCCCUUUUCAGACUUGAUCAGUAACCUUCAUGUGGUUGAGCAAGUGACAAUGGUGUCGGCAUGGAUAUUGAAGACUUUGGGCUUUGUAACUUUUAGCAAAAGUUUAAAUAUAAUACGCAAGGUUACGAAGGAGAUAGAAAAAAGACUAAAGACUUAUGUACAUGAAAUGGUAUUGAUCUUCAAUCUCAUCUCAAAAUAGAAUGAGAUAGAUUCAAAUAUAGGACCUGUUCUUUGCGGAGUCAGGAAGCAUAAUAUAAUGAAUGAUAGGAGUUUCAGAUUUUGACAUUCGUCACUGAGCCAACACCAUUCAUAAGUAGGUCUGUUUUAUUAUUGAAAAGAAACAUGAGGCAAAGCAUAGGCACCAGUACAAAAAAGGCUUAUGAGCAUAACACUUGAUGUAGAUGCUAUAAAAAAUGUGAUGGUGGCAGCAAUUAGCUUCCCAGCUUCAGGCUUUGCCAGGAAAAGUUGAGAUGCUAUCAACUUCAUAUGUUAAAAAAUUCAACAAAUAAUUAUAAAAACAAGUCCUCUCUCACCAAGGAAAAUACUCUGAAAAAUUCCACUUUUGCUGCCUUUAUCGGCCAAAAAUAAAAUCAAGCUGACAAGAGUUAAAUAGAAACAUGGAUUCAAACAACACAAGUGAAAAUUACCUGGCAUGCAUCUCCAUGCUCAUGGUCAUCAUUUGGCUUUUUCCAUACCUAGAGUGAUUAAAGUGAAUCAAUUGUCAGUUUAAGAUAAACUUGAAGCAAAAUGGAAAUUGAAUGAGAUCGAGUGCAUUUUCAAACCAAGACAAAAAUAUGCAGCCCAAGGGCUUCACACGGAUCCCCUGUAGUUAUUAUUAUUAUUAUGGGACCCAUGUAUAUGCACUACAGAAAAGGCUUCCAUUAUUAACGUGAAUCAGUGAAAAGAGCUGUAGCAAUGAAACAUGAUGUGAGCUGUGAAUGACUGCAAAACUUAUUUGUAUGAUAUGGGACGCCUUUGGUUGGAUUUUUUACGAGGGUAGGAUAGUUUUAAAAAAUAUCUUUUGGUAGAAAAAUUAAUUUUAAAUUUAUAAAUAAGUAGAAAAAAAUUACAAUUAGUGACUUUAAAUUCCAGCGUGUGCCAUUCACCAGUUGCAUGUGACUAUAUUAUAACUCUUUUAAGUUUCAGUCUUCUUGGUGUUGAGGUCUUGCGUCCCGAUGAUCCACGUAGUUGUCAAGUGGACGCACGCUUUCAACCAAGAUAGAUUUCUGGUUCAGUCGUCCUUGCAAAAGGUGUCCAGACACACCCUCCGAUGGUUUUGUCAACCAUGUUUAGAGAGAUUAAGCAGUUGGCAUUUUUCUAGGUAUAACAAGCUUACCUUCUUCCUUGUGUGAAGGUUCCUUUAUAUAGUGUCAGAAGCUCGUCCUCCCUCUUUAAUGAUGGGAGGACUUUUUGGCUCGUCAUGAUAACUCCAAGGUGGUGGCAGGGUCAUCAUCACCCUAUGGGGGCUGUCAGAGAUCGUGGGAGGUGAUUUGCCAUCAUUCCUGUCCUUUCGCUCUGCAGGCAGCGGAUCGUGGGAGGUGACCUGCCACCACUCCUGUCCUUUCGCUCUGCAGGCGACGGAUUGUGGGUUGUGGCAGGCUGUCGGAAUGAUGUAGCAAGACUUGCUCAUUUCAAUCAAUGAUCCGGAUAAGAUAUGUUAUCAUCCGAACGUGACAUUCGGGAGUGACGUGUGCUUCUCCCUGAGGGAGUUCGGAUAGGGGAACGCGCCACAUGUCCUCUUAGGGAGUCCGGAUGAAGUUUGAUCCGGAUAGCAAUGCGUGCCACGUGUCCCACUUUGCGGAGUCCAGAUGGAGUUGCUCCGGAUAGCGAAGCGCGCCACGUGUUAUCAGGGAGAGGAGUCCCUACAAUGCCCCCCUUUUAACCUGCCGAUUUUGCCCGGGCAGAAUGGAUGAGUUAAAAAAUGAUUGUUUUUGAAACUAAGGUUACUUUUUGCGCUCAUUGGGCCAUGUGGUGCGCGGGGGCGAAAAGGAAAAAUAGGGUAUUUAUGAUGAGCUGCCGUCUCUGGGAUUUCCUAGGCAGCGUGUCUUUUCAGCAGUGGCGCGGUUGGGCGUUUGGGAUACCGAGGGUGAGUCUGAAAUGUAAACUGAGUCACAAGACCCAGUCAUAUCAUGCUUGCAUUUUCAAACAAUGACAAAAAUCUUCAGCCUUUGAUUCCUGUACACGAAUUCCCUUUUGCAAUACUGAAGAGGGCUUCCAUUAUUAACCUGAAUCAGUGAAAACAGCUGUAGCUGUAGCAAUGAAGAAAAUAGAAAAAAAUGAAACAUGAUGUGACCUCUAAAUGGAGACAUAAUUUGAGGGAUGUGGCUGUCAUUCCAUGUUCAAAUCACCUCCAUGUGAUGUGACUCCCACAACCCAAUUCAAUAGUCAAAUGUUGAGAUAUAAAAAAAAAAUUAUAUCUUAAUUUUAAAGAUAUAAAUUAAAUCUAUUUUAAAUAUAUAUAUAUAUAUAUUUAUAUAUAGAAUUUAUUAAUAUAUUCUAUUUAUAAAAAAAAAAAAAAAGAAACGUAUCAAGUUAUAAAAUUUGUUUCACUUCUAUUUUUUGUUUUUUUUAACUUUUAAAAUGGGAAAUUAUCACCUAAUUUACCCAUUUAUUUAUUUAUUUACUAAACCAAUAAUAAGGGUGUCUCAAUCUCAGCUAUAAUCAUAAAAAAAAAUUUAGAAAAAAUAGCAAAAUUUUAUUUGAUUUCCUUUUGAUGAAAAUGAAAAACAAAACUAUAACCACCAAUAAAUGAAUACAAAUACGUGGCAUGUAACUCACAUGAAAGUGGGCUGUCAGUUUUCAAUAACAAAGACAAAUUUCUUUCCUUUACAUAAACCAUUCUUAUAUCUACAGAAAAGGGGCUCCCAUCCAUUAUUACUCUCAAUAAGGCACAUAUGAAAUCACAAGCAGCGAUUCUAAAUUCCAUGAUCUGUCAUUUCCCACCUGCAUUUGACUCCCACAACACAUUCAAGUUUUGGUCUCCUUUGGCUGCUAAAUUAUUUCCAUUGAUCAUUGAUCAAGUCUUAAAGACUCUCAAAGUAUAAAAAAUUGUGAGGUUCAAAUAUAUGGGGACUUGGAUUCCUUAGGAGAUAUUAUCUAUUGUGGAACCCGGAUGAGCUCAAGUUGGUACUAACUUUAAUUGGUGAAAGCAACUACACAAAUAAAGAAAACAAAGAAUAAGAUAAAAGGUAUUAAAUAUGAUGUGAGUCCGAAAUCCAUAUCAAUGACUCGGGGUUUGAAAAUUCAGAGGUUUUGGAGCUUUGGGCUUACUAAAAUUAUUACAUUUUAACAUCUUAGGUGAGUACAAAAGUGAUCAUUCAAAAAAUGUAUAUGAAUUAAUUGAUAGAAGCUAAUUAAUUACAUUUAUUUUUAUAUACAAAAUAUGUUGUAUGAUGUAAUUUCAUUAUAACAUCAUAAAAUUAGUAAAGAUUCGGCUAAGCACAAUCUACACCAGGAAGAAUAAUAAAGUAAACAAAAAGUUCGUCCCAAAGAAAACCAAGAAUAGUGAAGAUUUUGCAUAUCCUAUCAUUAUAACCAAAAUAAAAUUACGAGUAUUUUUAAGUAUUAACACUAUCCUACAUUCCAUGACUCUACACAUCAAUAGAGAAUAAUAAUUGUGACUUAUUAUUUAAUCAAACUUAUUUGUAGUAUUAUGUGUAUAAAAAAUAUAUUAAUUUAUGAUUUUUUUUUUGUAUUUUUAUAUUUUUUAAUAUUAAAAGAUUUUAAAUAAUUUCAAAAUUCAUGUGACUAAUAUAAAAAUAUUUUUCCAAGAAACAAUUUUCAACAUGGUUAAAACUAUUGUAAUACUUUUACGACUAUCAUUUUUAAAAUAUUUUUCCCAAUUUCCUAUAGUAGUUAAAAACCCAAGCUGUCCUUUCCAGAAUCAAAUCUCAAUAAGCCAUCAUCUCAGUACAUUCUCGUUGAUGCUUUGCCAAUGACACACCACUAAACUAAACAACAAUAUUUGAUUGAAUGCUUACAUUUUAUCUCUAAUAUCCAGGAUCAAUUUGGAUAUGUAACAUAUUUUAUAUUGUGCUAAUAUUUAAUUUGUUAAAAGAUUAAAAAUUGAAGUGAAAAAGAUAUAGUUUAUCACAAUUUUAAUAUUUUUAAGGAAAAAUAUAUUACAUAAAAAGAUAUCAAGUCUCUUUUAUUUUUAAUAUUAUUUAGACAUCUCUUUACAGUUUUCCGUUUUUUAGAUGUAAUUUUAAAAAUAAUUUUAUAAUUCACGUUUUGAUAACCUAUUUUUUACUUUUUAAUUUUUAAAAUCUAAUAAAAAAUAAAAAUUAAAGAUAUAGAAUUUGUUUAAUUUCUAUUUUCUUUUAUAAAAAAAUUAAAAUGCAAAAUUAUCACCCGUCUCACCCUAGACCAACAAUAUAUGAGUCCCUCUUAUAACAAUAAAAAAUUUCAUCCAUAAAAUAAAAAAAAUUAUUAUAUUAUUUUUCUUUUUUUAUUAGAUUAACAAACACAUUUUACUUUUUAUUUUUUAAAAUAAAAACAAAUUAUAAACACCAAAUAUAUUUAAUAUUUACAAAAACCAAAAAUAUAAUUGACAGAUUGUGAAUAUUUUUUGUGUUUGAAAAAUUAUAGAAAUAAAAGUGUAUUCAAAUGAUACCUUAUCUAUUAAUUCUAUUUAAUUUUAUUAAUUUGUAUUAAAUUUAUGAAAAUUCCAGCAAUUAAUUUUAUAUGACUUUAAUAUAAUAAUUCAAAAUUUUCAGCAAACUUGUAAGAUCAUUAGUACUGCCCGUACUUAAAAGUUAGAGCAAAAUAUCAGACUUGGUGGUAUUCACUAUUCAAUGAGAUUGAGUGCGAAAUGUAAACAGAGUAACAAGACCCUCUCAUGCUUGCAUUUUCAAACAAAGACAAAAAUCUUCAGCGUUGGAUUCCCUCUGCACGAAUCCCCUUUUAUUAUUAUUAUUUAUUGUGUGGGACCCAUGUAUAUGCAGUGCAGAAAAGGGCUUCCCGUUAUUAACCACACAAUCAGUGGAAACAGCUGUAGCAACGAAGACGGUAGAAAAAGAUGAGACAUUUAUGAGAUAUGAUGUGACCUGUUAACGGAAACCUUGCGUUUAUCUCAGCGAUUCUAAAUUCCAGAGGCUGCCAUUUCCACCUGCGUUUGAGUCCCACAACACUUUAAUAUAAUAAUUAAAAUUUUUUCAAAAAAUUAGUACUUAAAAUGGAUUACCAUUCUUGAUUUAGCCCUUUGAAUUUCAUAUGUUUAUAUCUAUCAACGCUUUCUGCUAAGAAUGAAAGUGGACAAACAUUUUUGGAUACCAUUGAUCAUGUGUUUAGAUUCUCAAAAUCUAAAAAGUUGCAAGGUUUUGAUUUGGGUGUUAUUAUUUUGAUUUUUAUGCGUUUACAUCCAUCAACACUUUCAACUGAGAUCAUUGAUCAUCUAUUAAGACUCAUGAAUUCUAAAAAAUUGUAAGGUUUUGAUUUGGGUGUUAUUACUAAGAUGGUAGUGCUUUUAAUUCCAAUGAAAACAAAUUAAUAACCUGCACUAGGAAGAAUAAUAAAGAAAACAAAAAGUUCUCCCCAUAGAAAACCAAGAAUAGUGAAGAUUUUGCAUAUCCUAUCAUUAUAACCAAAAUAAAAUUGAGAGUAUUUUUAAGUAUUAACACUAUCAUAUAUUCCAUAACUCUACACAUUAAUAGAAAAUAAUAAUUGUGACUUAUUAUUUAAUCAAACUUAUUUGUAGUAUUAUGUGUAUAAAAAUAUAUUAAUUUAAGAUUUUUUUUUUGUAUUUUUAUAUUUUUUAAUAUUAAAAGAUUUUAAAUAAUCUCAAAAUUCAUGUUGUUGGGACGUUAUUUAUUUUAUUCGAGUAGGACCACGGAGUAUAUUUGGCUCUGUGCCAGUAAGGGGCAUCACAGAGCCGCCUCCUCACAUGACCUAUUAAGACUCAUGAAGUCUAAAAAAUUGUAAGGUUUUGAUUUGGGUGUUAUUACUAAGAUGGUAGUGCUUUUAAUUCCAAUGAAAACAAAUUAAUAUCUUGAAACUUGGAUUCCUCACAUGACCUAUUAUUAUCCAAUGUGGAGCCCAUGUCCGUAAAGGAUGAGAUCCCAUUUGUAUCAAUUUAAUUGGUGAAAGCAAUUAGACCAAUGAAAAAAAAAUAAAGAAAACGAUAAAAUGUAUUAAAUAUGAUGUGAGUUGUGAAAUAGUGAGGAUAUAUAUGUUUAUAUUAAAGGAAUACUUUUUCACAAAACGCUAAAUGUGGGGGGUGGGUAGUAGAUAAAGGAUGGCGAAAGGACAUGAGAGCUUACAACUAUGCUUCAGUCAUUGAUUGAUGAUGCAUCAUCAAUGUUGAUCAAAUUUAAAGUCUUUGGAAAUUGGGACAUGCUCUCAUUUUCACUUAGCAAUCAAUUAUCGCCUACUAUUCCAACUUUGUUAUUAUUGUUAUUUAUUAAUUUUUGGGUCCUAACUCCUUCCCAUUGGCUCACUCUGGUUUUACUACAUCCAUAUCUUUCUCUUCUUGCUUUCAUACCAUUGAUCAUGUUGUGGACCCCGCAUUUCAGCUCAUGCGUUUCCCACUCGAUGGCGAGCUUGAUUUUUAUUUUAUUAAGAAAAAUGACUUGGAGUCGCCACUUAUUUUUAUUUUAUUUUUAAAAGGGUAAACAAAAUAAGAAAAAAAAAAACCCUAAGUGUGACUCCUUAUUUUGGAAAAGGUGAUCUACGAAAAACCGGAUCGGGUUCGGGGGUCAAGUUACUUAUCGGGAAGGUACAGUAUAAACCGUAGCACCCCUCUAAGUCCCUAGAGUCGGGUCUCUAUUAAUACAAUGAAACUGACGUGGCAAUCAACGAGAAAGUCAAUGGAUACUAACCUAAAUUAUACACAAUAUGGGAAUCAAAACACGCAAUAGAGAUUGACUAGAAUGAGAGUGGAUGCGUACCUUGGCCACGAGCCACAAUGCGCUAUAAAGAAACGGGAUUAGUGCACAAUUAAGGAACACAAAAUAUAACUCAUGCAUAUCGGAGUGCAAAACAAAGCUUAAGCAAAAUACAUUAAGUACGACAAUUGACAAUCAAAAAAGGAUCACACAUAGGGCCCCCACCAAAGCCCAAUUUAUUACUCAUGAACUAGUCUCACAAAUUCCGUGUUUUUGAAUUAUGAAGAAUUUAUUAUUGCUUAUGUAGAAUCAAGAAGAUCAGAAGAUUAUUUAAGAACCGGAACGGAAUUAAAACUAUUCGAGUGAAAACUGGAUUUUUGAAAUUUACUUGAAAAUUGGAGUAUUGAGAAUUAAAUUUAAAAGAUUAGAGCUUCGGUAAUUAAAAUGAAAUUUGUCAAAGAAGAUGAGAAAUGAACUUUAGGAAAUUGAUUUGUGAGAAUAUGGGUUUUGAAAGUUGAAUUUGUAUUAAUUAUAAUGAUAAGGAGUGAACUUUAGGAAAUUGAAAUGCGAGAAUAUAGAUUUUUAAUAAUAAAUAAUAAUAAUAAUAAUAAUAAUAAUAAGAAAUGAACUUUAGGAAAUUAAAUUGUGAAGAUAUAGAUUUUUAAUAAUAACAAUAAUAAUAAUGCUAAUAAUAAUAUUAGGAAAUUGAACUGAGAGAGAGUAUAGAUUUUUAAUAAUAAUGCUAAUAAUAAUGAUAAUAAUAAUAAUAACCAUAAUAAUAAUAAUAAUAACAAUGAGGUUUUGGAAUAAUAAUAAUAAUGAUAACAAGAUUUCGAAAGUUGAAUUAAUAAUAAUAAUAAGAAUAAUAUUUUAAAAGUUGAAUUAAUAAUAAUAAUAAGAUUUUAAAAGUUGAAUUAAUAAUAAUAAUAAGAUUUUAAAAGUUGAAUUAAUAAUAAUAAUAAUAAUAAUCAUAAUAAUAAUAAGAAUAAUAAGAUUUUUAAAUAAUAAUAAUAAUAAGGUUUUGAAAGUUGAAUUAAUAAUAAUAAAAAUAAAAAUAAUAUUUUAAACGUCGAAUUAAUAAUAAUAAUAAUAAUAAUAAUAAUAAUAAUAAUAAUAAUAAUAAUAAUUUAAAAGUUGAAUUAAUAAUAAUAAUAAGAUUCUAAAAGCUGAAUUAAUAAUAAUAAUAAUAAUAAUAAUAAUAAUAAUAAUAAUAAUAAGAUUUUGAAAUAAUAAUAAUAAUAAUAAGGUUUUGAAAGUUGAAUUAAUAAUAUUUUAACAGUUGAAUUAAUAACAAUAAUAAUAGUAAGAUUUUAAAAAUUGAAUUAAUAAUAAUAAUAAUAAGAUUUUAAAAGUUGAAUUAAUAAUAAUAAUAAUAAUAAUAAUAUAAAUAAUAAUAUCCUAAGCCCAGGUCAUUAAACUAAAAGGAGCCCAGGUCCGUAAACUCAUUAAAUUAAAAGAAGCCCAGCCCGCCUCCAUCUCCAUCACAAGCCCAGGUCAUCAAAUUAAAAAGAGCCCAGGUUCAUAAGCCCACUAAAUUAAAAGAAGCCCAGCCUGCCUCCAUCUCCAGCAAAAGCCCAGGUCAUUAAAUUAAAAAAAAAAACCCAGGUCCAUAAGCCCAAACGACCCAAGCCUGCCUUCAAUCUCCAACAAAGCUGGUUUUCCACUUGGGUGUCGCCUUCAGCCAAGGAGCCUCUACCACCAGCGAUGCGAUGGAGAGGGACGCGACGGCAGCGAGCUGGCAGUAACCUGAAGAUGUCACCGUUGUCACUUCCGCGCCAUGGUAGAUGGGCUUUGGGUGGUUUGGAUGUGAAGGAUGGGCUGGUAUCGGUGGUGAGGUUAGCUGCUACAAAUGGGUGUGAUAGAAAAAGGAGAUGGGUAUGAGGGGUGUUUCAGAAAAGCGGGUAGUGGUGUGGGCAUGAGAUAUGCGUAAUGAGUGGGUAGGGGUGGAUAAAGGACAUGAGGAUACAGAGAAAGAAUGGGUUUUGGGCGGUAUGUUUAGAUGAACACAUGCAUUAGGGUGUGGGUAGAGAGAGAUAGAGAUAUCCAUGCAUGCUCCAAGCUCCAGGUACAGGGAAGGACAGAGAAUAUAUGUAUGAUUCUGAUGCUCUCAUAUGCAUAAAUAUCCUUAAGUGAAAAUCAUAAAAAAACGAGAGAGAAGCAGAAAAGUUGCAUCCAAACAGUGAAUAAAAGCUAAAGACAUCAAGGAAAAUGCAUGAAGAACAAUGCAACAAGAAAAUGUAAACAGAAGAUCCACAAUAUUCGCACCUGGAAGAGCUCUCUCCUAGCGGGAACCAAUCGGAAAAAUGUAUGAGUCCCUCCCCUCUUCCUCUGCUCUGCCCUUUCUUUCUUUCCAAUCCCUUCCCCUUAGCUGUCUUUCCUUUCCCGCCUUUCUUUUUUCCUACAGCCCUCACCUACUCUCUGCUCCUCUCUAAUCUGGCCGCCCCCAUCAGCUUAAAUCUCGGGGUGGUCAGAAGGGUAAUCAUGAUAGAAAAAUCACCCCAAAAACUCCUCCCCGGAAGAGGGGGUCUACACAUGUGUUAAGACUCUCAAAGUUUAAAAAAUUAUAAGGUUGCGAUUUAGUUAUUAUUAUUAAGAAAGUAUAAGAGAUUGUUGUGCUUUUAUUUUUUGUUGUGCUUUUAUUUUCAACAAAACAAAUAUAUUGAGACUUGGAUUCCUUUCAUGAGCUAUUAUCCAAUGUGGAGCCCAUGUCUACAAAGGAUGAGCUCCCAUUAAUAUUAACUUUGACUGGUGAAAGCAACUAGACCAAUGAAGAAAACAAACAAAAUGAUAAAAAGUUUUGAAUAUGAUGUGAGUUGUGAAACAUACGUCAGUGGCUUAUAUUUGAAGAUAAGGUUAUGGGAUUAUUUACUUCACAUUCACAAUCGGAUUCACAGAAGAUGAUACAAUUUAGGAGGUGUAUGGUAUCCGAGAAUAGGGAGUGAGAAUAAAUAUUUCAUUCAUUUUCUCCCUUAUUCCUAUGUUUGGAUAAAUGUUAAGAAGAUAGAAAUAAAAUAAAAAAUUAUUUAAGCAGAAAUCAAAUUCAACUUAUAAGUCGAAUUUGAAUUAAUAAAAAGUAGGUGGUAUUCUGAUUCAUUAAACUCAUUUUAUAAUAUAAAAUAACCUAAAUUUACUAUUUUACCCUCUUAUCUCAUUCUUCAAGUCGGAUGUUUAUCUUCUUUGCAAAGUUAGAGACCCAUUCAUCAUUCACUUCUCUGCAACAAGUGAUUCUCCCAAAUUGAAUCAGUUAAACCUUGAUCGACGUUUAGAAAAAUUUUGAUAAAAAAAACGAAUUUUUUCAAAAUUUUUUAAGAUUAUGGAUUUUAUCGGAUAUGAUACUUGUUGAAAAUUAGAAUGAAAUUUAAAUUCUUUUAUUUCCUUUUUUGGAAAUAGGAAAAACAUUUGCUAACUUUGAGAAUUUAAAUAUUAUAAUAUAUAUAUAUUGGUAAAAUAUAAUUUUAUAACUACUUAAGCAUGACAAAUUAUUCAAAUUUUUAAUAAAAAUAAUAAUUGAAUAUUUUUACAUUAGGGUUAUAUGAUUUUUUAUGGUUAAUUUUUUAUUUAUUAAGUAUAUACAUUUUUUUAGUCUUAUUAUUUAAUAACAAAAAAACUCUCAAAAUUUAUUUUUUUAAAAUAAAAAAAUUAUUUUAAAUUAUAUAUAAGGAUAUUAUUGUAAAUUUAUUUCUUUUUCAUUUCCAUUCCUAUUAUUAUCAAACAUUGGAAUUGAAACAAAUAAUCAUUCUAAUUUUGCAUUCCUAAGUUCAUCCAAAUAUUAGAAAUGGAAUCAUCAAAUUCAUUUCUAUCCAUUAAGAAAAAGGAAUGGAAACAAAAUAUUCAUUUCCAUUCCCUAUUCCGACGUACCAAACACCCUCUUAGAGGCUUUGGAUACUAAAAUUAUUAUCAUUUAGCGCUUUAAGUGAGUAUAAAAUUAAUCAUAUACAAGUUGGUUAAUUAAAUUUAUUUUUAUCUACAAAAUUUGUUGUAUGAUGUAAUUUUAAUAUAAUAUUAUAAAAUUGAUAAAAACUCAGCUAAGUUGAAUCUAUGUUAAAAAGAAUAAUAAAGUAACCAAGAAGCUUAUUCAAAAGAAAACAAAGAAUAAUGGAGAUUUUGUAUAUUCUAUAAUUGGAACAAAAAUAAGAUUGGGAAUAUUUUCAAUUAUUAACACUAUUAUACAUUCCAUGAAUCUACUCAUUAGUAGAAAAUAAUAAUUUUGACUUAUUAUUUAAUCAAGCUUAUUUGUAGUAUUAUGUUUAUAAAAAAUAUAUUAAUUAAUUUAAGAUAUAUAUAUAUAUAUAUAUAUAUAUAUAUAUAUAUAUUAUAUUUAAUAUUAAAAAAUUUAAAUAAUUUCAAAACUCAUGUUUGAUAACUUAAUUUUAUUAUUUAAUUUAUCUUUACAUUUUGAUAAAAAAAAAUUAAAAAAUAAAAGUAUAAAAAGUUUUUUCCUUUCUAUUUUUUUUAAUUUUAAAAUAAAAAAUUUAUCACCCAUAACUUACUUUAUUCUUUUUUUUUUUUAAUAAACCAACAAGGUUCAUAUUUAGAGGCAAAAAAUUCAUCAAAAUCAUAAGAAACCAAAAAAUUCAUACUUAUAAACAAUAUUGUGUUAACCCUUUGGUUUUUAUGUUGUUUAAAUCUAUCAACACUAAUAGUUUUAAAAAGUGGUAAAAAGUGAGCAAUAUAUAUGAAUGGUCAAUUUAGCUUAUUAAUGGGCAUAUUAAGGUGGCAUUAAAAUUGAUUAAGACUAUAUUUUAUGCGAGAGAAGCAAAAUAGAGAGGAAAAGUAGAGGGAAAGAAAAAGUGAACGAAAAUAAAAAGUAGAUUUAAAGUUAAUAAAUUAUUUUUAUUUAUUAUUUCAAAUUUAUUUCACUAAUUUUAAUUCAUUGAUAUAAAAAUUAAAUAAUUUGAGAAUACUUAAAUUUAUAACUAGUUUUAAUUAUAUAUAUAUAUAUAUAUAUAUAAAUAUAUUUUAACAUUUUUCAUUGUACAAUCAAAUAUGAAAAAUUAUUUUUUUAGUAUUUUUUUUCUUUCAUUGGUGAGUUAGAAAGAGGGAAACAAACGGAGAAAAUAAAUAUAAAUUUAUGCUACUUUAAAAAGAGAAUGUACUUUUAUCCUCCCACCUUUGCUUAACUUAAAUAAAUAAAUAAAAUAAAAUCCUUAUAGAACCCAACAAUAUUAAUUUUUUUUAAAAUAUGUAAAACUACCCUUAAAGAUUCUUUCGCCAAUUUUUCCCUUCCACCUUCAUUCAUUUUCAAUUUCAUGACCAAAAAAUAAAUAAUUAAAAAGAAAAAAUGGAAGCAAUGAGGGAUUUAUUUGAUAAUGUUUUUAAAACCAAUUCUCCAAAAAAAUAGUUUUUAAAAGCAAUUUUUAAAAUGGUUAUCAAUUAUUUUUUAAAAUAAAAUUUGUUUGAGAAUUUUAAUAUAAAAAAUAGUUUUUUCGACUUAUUCUCCACGAAUGUAUUGUGUAUUUAUGUAUAAUAAAAAAAUUUCUAAAAUAUUUUUUAUUUUAAUUGUUAUUCAAAAAAUUAACAAAAAAUAACUGAAAACACACCUCAAAAUUAUUCUAAGAAAUAUGCUUUUAGAAUAAAUUUUGAAAAAAAUAAUUUUUUAUUAAAAAAUUAUCAAAUAUAUUUUUUUAUGUUUGAAAAUAAUUUUUUAUUAUAAAAAAUAAAAUUACCAAAUAAGCCUUAAUGUUUUUAUCACAAUUGCCUAUCGUGCUUUUGUUUUCAAACAAAACAACAUCUUAAGUUGUAUUCCUUUGACAAGUUAUUAUCCAUUGUGGAACCCAUGCUUACUAGACAUAGGCCGGUAGUACAAACAAAGAAAAUAAAGAAAAAGAUAAAAGUUGUUCAAUAUGAUGUGAGUUGCGAGUUGUGACUUGUGAGGUAGAUGUUUGUGGUUAACAUGCCUCAACCCUAAAAUUGAUUCCACUUAUCCGUUUUAGGGUUGUCUCUUUUAUAUUAGAAUAAAAAAGAUGAUUCCAUUCAUAUGUAGGACCCACAACUUAUCUGAAAUUAAAAGGACUUUAUAAAAGCAAUUAUGUAUGCUCUAUGUCAAGAUUCUUACAAUACCAACCUAAUGUAAACCCCUAAGAGGGGAUGAAUUGGGUGUUGGUUUAUUUUUAUUUUUAUUUUUAGUUUUGAAAAUUAUAAAUUAUGAUGAAUGUAAGAGAUAAAUAAGCAACAAUAUAAUAAAAACAAUAAAAAAAUCAUUUAAUAUAAAUAAAGAGAGUAAGAAAGAGGGAAUUUCAAACUCAAGAUUUAUAAUGUUUAACACAAAUCUCACCCUACAUUUAUUCUCCUCGAAUUUCAAUCCCAAGUUCGAGGUUCCACUAUAUUAAGAUUUUCAAACCAAGCCUUAGAACUUUAUACUUGGAUUAGUUGACUCCAAUAGACAUUUACAAUUUUCAUUAAGAGAUGUCCCACUCUUGAACUCCCCAAAUGAUAUCCCAUACUUGGCAAACCCUAAGUGAUACCUUAUAUUUAUAUUUUUCUCUCAAGUGAUGCCCUACACUUGAUCUCAUCACAUAAGAUUUACAAAAAAAUAAUUUUUAAUAAAAAUUCCUAGUUUACAUUUUUUCUUCUAUAAAAACUAAAAAUAUAAUUAUUAAAAAAUUUAUGUUUUAUGUUUUUAAAAAUAUUAAGAAUAAAAGUAUAUGCAAAUGACACCUUUAAUUAUUAAUUCUAUUCAACUCUAUUUAUUUUUAUUGAAUUUAAUGAAAUUCAAUUAAUUGUUUAUGUAUGAAUUUAAUAUAAGAAUUAAAAAAUUUCCAAAAAUUUUAACACUUAUAAUCGAUUACCAAUCUUGAUUUAAUCCUUUGAUUUUUAUAUAUAUGUUUAGAUCUAUUAACACUUCUAGCUAAGGGUGAAAAAUGGAUGAGCAUUUUCAAACACCAUUGAUCAUGUGCUUUCCAAAUCUAAAAAAUUGUAAGGUUUUGAUUUGGAUGUUAUUAUUUUGAUUUUCUUGUGUUUAGAUCUAUUAAUACUUCCAACUAAGGAUGACAAUGGAUGAGGAUUUUUAGGUACCAUUGAUCAUGUGUUAGGAGUCUCAAAGUCUAAAAAAUUGUAAGAUUUUUAUUUGGUUAUUUAUUAUUAUUGAGAAAGCACAAGCAAGAGACUAUCUGCUUUUAUUUUCAAUGAAAACAAAUAUCUUGAGACUCGGAUUCCUUACAUGAGAUAUUAUCCAUUAUGGAACCCAUGUAUACUAAGGAUGAGCUCCCGUUAGCUCUAACUUUAAUUGGUGAAAGCAACUAACAAAUCAGUAUAAGAGCUUAGGUUGAAGAUUUCUGGAAGAGUAAAAGAUCACAAAGUAACAAAAUAAAAACAAAAGGAAUUUUCAAUGAAGGUGGAGUCGAUUGCUCUCUCGUGGUGAAAUGAUAUAAAAAAGAUUGUCAUGGAGAGUUUGAAGAUUGACUUCAUGGAAUUUGGUCCAAGGUGGAGAUUGUUAGGAAGUGUCUCAAAUUCCUAAUUAGUAUGAUUCUUUUUUUUUUUUGUAAAGAAUAUUACACAGAAUAUUUCUAGGUUUAUAUAUUAUUGUAAUAUUAGAUUUCCUUAUAAAAUAAGGAAGGUUGUUGGAAAUAUCUCUAUGUAAUAUUUUAGGUUAUAAGGGGAAAACAUUAUGAGAUGAAGAUGAGUUUGUGAAGAAACGAGAUAGAUAGAGAUGCGAGGAAGAACAGGAGCUACCCGAUAGAGCUAGAGGGCUUAUGGUAGGGUAUGAAUACAAAGAGUGGGGAAACAUAAGAUGUUUCAGGAACUCAAUAGUUGUAUCUGGUUCUGUCCUCUGUAAUGUUUUGGUUCUAUCUUUUAUAAUGUUCUUUAUUGUAUAGUGGAAUGAUUCUCUUUCAUCCGUGGAUGUAGGCAUGGUUGUCGAACCACGUUAAAACAUUGUUUAUUGUUUGUGUUGAAUUUUUUUAUUUUAUUUUUUAUCUUUGUAUUCUAGAUUAACGAUAUUUGCAUCUAAGUUUCCGUCGACACAACAAUAAAGAAAACAAAGAAUAGGAUAAAAGUAUUAAAUAUGAUAUAAGUUGUGAAAUAGAUGUCAAUGACUCAUAUUUGAAUAUGGGGUCAUGGGAUUAUCUCCUUCACAUUCACAAUCACAAUCAUUGAAGAUGAUACCAUUCAUGUAUGGUCUCAUAACUUGUUGAAAAUUCAGAGGUUUUAGGUGUUUUGACUACUAAAAUUAUGACCUUCUAACAUCUUAAGUGAGUACAAAAGUAACCAUUUAUGGUUUAUUAUGAAUAUUUCAAAAAAGAGAUGUGAAUUAAUUGACACAAGCUAAUUAAUUAAAUUUAUUUUUAGGUACAAACCAUGUUGCAUGAUGUAAUUUUAUUAUAAUAUUAUAAAAUUGGUAAAGACACUGCUAAGCACAAUGUACACUAAAAAGAAUAAUAAAAUAAACAAAAAGUUUAUACAAAAGAAAACCAAGAAUAAUAGGAGAUUUUGUAUAUCCUAUCAUUGGUACCAAGAUAAAAUUGGGAGUAUUUUUAAGUAUUAACACUAUCAUACAUUCCAUGGAUCUACACAUUAAUAGAAAAUAAUAAUUUUGACUUAUUAUUUAAUCAAGCUUGAUUGUAGUAUUAUGCCUAUAAAACAUAUAUCAAUUUAAGAUUUUUUGUUGUAUUUUUAUAUUUUUAUAAUAUUUAAAAGUUCUAAAUAAUUUCAAAACUCAUGUUUGAUAACCUACUAAAACUAAUUAUCUUUAAAUUUGAUAAUAAGAAUAAAAAAUAAAAGUACAAAAAAGCUUUUUCAUUUCUAAAUUUUUUAAAAUAAAAAAUUAUCAUUCAUAACUUAUUGGCAAUUUAUUCCCUUUUUUAAUUAAACCAACAAGGUUUCAUACUUAUAGACAAAUAAAAUUCUUCAAAAAUCAUAAGAAACAUUGAAAACAUAUUUUCUUUAUUUUUAUUACACAAUAAUAAUAAUAAUAAAUGUUUUCAUUCUACAACUAGAAACAAAUUUGGUGCUAUAAUGGUUAAUAUUCAUAAAAAUUAGAAAUACAAUUGAAAAGUCAUUUAUUUUUUAUUUUUAAAAAUAGUAAAUUUGAAAUUGUACAUCGGGAGACAUUAAUUAAUUACUUUAUUUUAUUAAUUUAUAUUAUAUUUAUUAAGAUAUAAUUAAUUAUUUAUGUAUAAUUUUAAUAGAAAGUUGAAAAUUAGAAACAUUAAUUCAUUUUCCAUUCAGUACCAAAUAGAAGUGUUACCAAUUUUGUGUUAAAUCUUUGGUUUUCAUGUUGUUUAAUUUCAUCAGCACUUACCAAUUUUGUGUUAACCCUUUGGUUUUUAUAUCGUUUAAAUCUAUCAACACUAAGAGUUCUAAAGAGUGGUAAAAAAUGAGAGCAAUAUAUAUGAGUGGUCGAUUUAUCUGGAAUUGGUGUGUUAGAAAGAGAGAAACAAAAGAAAAAGAUAAAUAUGAAUUCAUGCUCUUUUAAAAAGGGAGAGUGUACUUUUAUCAUAAAUAUGUAAACUACCCUUAAAGAAUCACUCAUCAUUUUUUCCUUUCCACCUUCUUCAUCUUCAAUUUUGUGACCAAAAAAUAAAUAGUUAAAAAGAAGAAGAAAAGAAUGGAAGCAAUUAGGGAUUUAUUUGAUAAUUUUAUUUUUAAAACCAAUUCUCCAAAAAAAAGAAAAAAGAAUGAAAGUUUUCAAAAGCAAUUUCUAGUUGUUAAUUAUUUUUGAAAACUAAUUUCUUUUUGGGGAAGUCAAAUAUAAUAAAUAGUUUUUUUUUUUUAACUUAUUCUUCAUAAAGGUGUUAUGCAUUUAUGCAUUAUAUAAAAGUUUUUAAAGUAUUUUUUAUUUUUUUAAUUGUUAUUCAAAAAAUUCACAAAAAAUAGCUAAAAACACACCUCAAAAUUAUUAUAAGAAAUAUGCUUUUAGAAUAAAUUUUGAAAAAUUGAUAUUUUUAUUAAAAAUUUAUCAAAUGCAUUUUUAUUUUUGAAAAUAAUUUUUAUUAUAAAAAUAAAAUUACCAAAUAAACCUUAAUGUUUUUAUUUGAGUGUUAUUAUUGAGAAAACACAAUAACCUGUCAUGCUCGUAUUUUCAAACAAAACAAUAUCUUAAGUUGUAUUCUUUAGACAAGUUAUCAUCCAUUGUGGAAUCCAUGCUUACUAGAUAGAAGAAGAUGAAAAUAAAUAAAUAACAGUUAUUAAAUAUGAUGUGAAUUGUGAGAAAGAUGUUUGUGGCGCGUUAUACGGUUGUCUCUUUUAUAUUCGAAGAAAAAAGAUGAUUCCAUUCAUCUUUGAUGACCACAACUAAUUUGAAAUUCAGAGGACUUUACAAAUGCAAUCAUACAUGGUUUGAACUAGGAUUUUAAUAAUAUCAACCCAAGAGGAGGAUGAAUUCAACAAUGGUCAUUUUGCAAAUUAUAAAAAAUAUUAACUAUGAUGAAUGUAAGAGAUAAAUAAGCAACAAUAUAGAAUAAUAACAUAUAGAUAAAGUAGAAAAAAAAAAUUUCAAACUCAAGAUUUAUAGUGAUUCAACCCAAUAUAAACCUACAUCCACUCUUAUUUAACUUUAAUCUCAAGUUUGAGGUUUCACUAUACCAAGACUUUCAAACCAAGUCUUAAAGUUUUAUACUAGAUUAAUGAACUCUAAUAAACUUUUAUAACUUUCCUCCAGAGAUUCUCACUUUUAAACUUCCCAAGUGAUGCUUCAGGUUUGUCAAACCCUAAGUGAUACCUACUUAAAUGAUACCCCAUACUUGAACUCACCUCAUAAGAUUUAUAAAAAAUGAAAUUUUCAAUACAAAUUCCUAGUUUACAAAUUUUUUUCUCACUUUUGAACUCCCCAAGUGAUACUCAAAGAGUUUUUAAAAUCAUUUUGGCUAUGUUUAGUUCCUAGAAAAUUUGAGGGAAAAUGUAAAAGAAAAAAAAGAAAAUUAGAAAAAAAAAAAGAAAAGAAAAAAAAAGAAGGAAAUAAAAAGUAAAUUUAAAAUCAAAAAAUUAUUUUUAUUUAGUAUUUCAAACUUAUUUUAUUUAUUUUAGCUCAUCAAUAUAAAGAUUAAAUAAAUUAAAAAUUCGUAAGUUUUUAACUAGUUUUAAUUAUAUUUGAUUUUCUUUGGUAUUUUCCACAAGAUAAUUAAAUAUGAAAAAAUCAUUUUCCUUACCAUUUUUUAUUUCUUUCCUUAAUAUUUUUUCUCGGAACAAAAAAAAAACCUUUUAAAAUUUUUUUUGCUCUAGAUAGUGACUAAGCACUCAAUGAGUUUUUAAAAUCAUUUUUAAAACUUUUUUUGCUUAAUUAAAACCUUUUGUCUACUUGAUGUCUUAAUUAAAUCCAAUUAAACUUCCUCGAACCUUUCUAUACUUAUGUCAUCAUGGAGUAAUCUAUAGAUACUCCAUUUCUCAUGUUAGUCUUAGGGAUAUUUAUAUAAUUACAAAAUACUUGUUAUACUAAUUAUAGUUUGAAUUUAAUAAGUAGGAGCUAUAGUAGAAUUUUUCUUUUAAGUUAUUCUCUUUAUUUUUUCCUCAUUUACAAUAAGAGAUAUAGUAGAAUUAUGUCAUUUGACAUAAAUACAUUUGAAUAAUGCUUUUAUUCACUCUUUUUUUUGUAUGCAAAUUCUAAUCUCUACCAAAGUAGAGAACAAAAAUCAUAUGAGUGAAGUUAUUAACGUGUGCAAUAAAUUAAAAAAAAACCUUUAUAAUGCUAGAGAACAUCAUACAUUUGCUCCCAUUAAUAUUAACUUUGACUAAUGAAAGCAACUAUACCAAUGAAGAAAUGAAGAAGAAGAUCACCAAUGCUAGAGAACAUUAAAGAGUUGUGUUAGAGAAGUGCAAUCUAAAAAAAUAAAAAAUAAAAUAACUAUUCAAAAGGGUUUCAUUGUUUUUAACUUACAAAAAAAUCUUAUUGCUUUGUAUUUAGGUUUUUUUAAUAUCUAUAUUAUUAUUAUUUUUUUAAAAAAUACUUUGUCAUAUUUCUUUCUACCAUAUACUUACUUCCUAAUGAUAUAGAUUAAUUAUACACUUAAGUAACCUAAAUUAUAAAUCUAGUAUAGUACUGUAGACCCCAUUUUUGCAAACCAAAUGUUUUUAGUUUUUUUUUUAUUUGCUUUUAUUAAGGAGUUGGAGAGCAUUUCAUGGGAAGUGGGGGACACCUCCCAUGAAGCUCCAUGCAUGGACGUGUGGCGAACAUCAACAGCUUGCCCAUGAUGGUGGUUGGAGAGGGUGACAUAUUUGUUGAAUGAUGCACAGUAGAGCGGUUGGAGGCUUGGUAGAGAAGAAAAUGAACUGUUUGAAAAGGAAGCAGGGAAGAAGUCUAGAGGGGGGACGGAUGAGAGGUUGAAGAGCUUUUCGAGGGGUGAUAUCUGGGGCGGAGAAAAAAAAAAAAGAAAACCAAGGGGGAAAAGAAGAAACGACACUGCUGGAAACCAACCCACUCCUUGCUUGAAAAGAGCACUCCAACACACUAUUGUUUGCUGCCAAGGUACGACCUCACUCCCAUUGUGCUUAUUCUUAUGCACCAUUUGCUUUAUUAUUUGAUUAUUUAAUGGGUAUCCAUUAAUUUCCUCAUCAAUUGCCGCACUUGCUUCACCUUAUUUAGUAAACACCCAUUUUUAGGGGCUUAGGGGGGUGCUAUGGUCUUUACCGUAUCUUCCCAAUAGGUAACUUGACCCCCGAUCCCAGACUUGGUUUUCCACAAACCACCUUUUUCAAAUAAGGAGUCACACUUAGGGCUUUCUUUCUUAUUUUUGUUUACCCUUUAAAAAUAAAACAAAAAUAAGUGGCGACUCCAAGUCUUUUUAAAAAAAAAAAUCAAAUUUUCACAAAAUAAAUAAAAAGCUAGUCACGUCAUCGAGUGGAAGCACAUGAGCAAAAAUACGGGGUCCACAAAAUGGCGACUCUGCUGGGGAUUAUUUAGAGGGUCAAGCUUGAACUUAAGAUGAGGCAAAUGUGGCGUUUGAUGGGUCGAUCAGUGGGUACCUAUCUUUUGAUUGCACAUUGAGAGCUCUUGAUAUUAUUGGAUGUGCGCUUGGUUAUUGUAUUCAUUUAAGAUAUUGACAUGCUGAUUAUGAUGAUUGAUUAUCUUGAUUGAGGCUUCUGAUGUAGUGAUUCUUUCUAUGCUUCAUUGUUAUAUCUAUUUAGGACACUAACAUGCUGAUUAUAUUGAUUGAUCAUUUUGCCUUGCUUAGCAUAGUGACCCUGAUUUUGCCAUGUUUGUUCUGAUCACCUCGCAUGCAUAGAUUCAUUGUUGUAUAUCGUUUGACUUGACAUGUUGAGUUUUUGGCUUGUAUAUUAUGUUGAUCAUUUUUGAGCAUGCUGUCUUUUUCAUUGUUCGUCUUGAAUGUCACAACUUGUGUGAACUUGGGUGAUAUAUUUGUACUUUGCUUGACUAUAUGUUGCAUGACUGUCCUCCUUUGUGUGAUUGCAUGUUAUUUGUCCAUGUGGGCUGCACAUCUAUUCCCUUAUCUCCUAUCCUUUAGUUUCGGUCAUUUCCUUCAUUCCGACUCACUUUUGCAAAUGUGAGACCUUGUGUGUGUUUGUUACUUUAACCGAGCUAAAGGUUAGGAAUAAGGUCUAGCAACGGGCUAUAUCGAUGUUUGGGAGCAUUCUGGGGGUGACUGACACAUUGAUGUCAAUUGGAGUCCGAUCAUUGAAGACCUAUAUAGCCCGGAGCUAGGUUUCAUGGAUAUUUGUGCGGCCAGUGUGUUUCCUCUUCUGUUUUAGCUUCAUAGGGUUUUUGAAUGCACCCACACUGCUCACUGUGCACUCUAGUUGGCCAUUGAGUGUUGAGAGCUUUGAGAAUUUCGCCAUAGGAAACCCCCUGGGAUGUCAAGGUAGUGCAUGUGUGGAGGUGAUGACCAUCUUGCAUAGAAGCGCCCCAUAUUUUUGGAGGCAUGUAGAGGGUUGCGUACCACUAGAGGGUAUGAUCGCUUCUGCUAGGGAUCUUUUAAAGUCCACCCUUAUCCUUUUAGAGCCAUCUUGACCUUGUAGAUUGAGUCAUAGAUCAUUCGAUUAGGACUCCAUUCCUACACGUGGGUACAUCUGAGGGCCUUCAGAGCCUCUUUGGUCACAGUUUGGAUUUAGUAUUCUCUCUUUUAGUCUCCAAUUAAGAGUGCAUCGAGAUUAGUAUGAGUUUGAGUUAUGGUCGGACAGUCCGUCUACACUUUGAUGUCUUGCUCGUUUUAGCUCAGAUUAGCAUUUCUUCUGUGUUGUCCUUAUUCCAAACCUUUAUUCCAUUUCUCAUGUUCCAGGAUCAAUGCUUUGUUAUCAGUCUGGAUUUACCAUCUUGGUUCAGAGUAGAGGGGAGAUUAGUCUGAUUUUCAGAGAUAUCAGACAUGGAUCAGUAGGUUGUCACAGUCAAUCAAUUUACGACUGCCAUAGCUUCUAUUCAGGAGGCCUUGGCCAAUCUCAAAUAGGAAAUAGGCAGUCAGCAGAGUAGAUCGCCCGUAGUUCACAAGGAGACACCUCAUGACUCGUUGCCACUUCCACCGCCACCACUUGUUUCGACAGCAUGUCAGACCUCACCUUAUAUGUUGCAUGGUCAUUCUGAGGUUGCCCCACUUGUAGUAGUUUAGACCAUGGUCAUCGAUGAUGCUCAUGCAUGUAUGGACCGUAUUGAGCAGCGUAUGAGACAGUUGAGAGUAUAUGAUGUUUCAGCUGUUUGGAAUGAUCUUGAGGGUAUGCUGGUGGCCAGUUUGCCGACCAAGUUUAAGAUGCCCGACAUUGAGAGAUACACAAGCAUUGGUUGUUCUCGCAUCCAUCUUCGACUCUACAACACAGUGAUGAGGGCUUAUGGCUUGGACGAGUCACAAAUGAUUACCUUAUUCCCACUAUCUUUGAGUGGAGCGGCCCAAUGCUGGUUCGCGUCUUUGGAGUCCUCGCGGUGCAGGACAUGGGAUGACUUGGCCCACGAGUUUUUACGGUAGUUUUUAUUUAAUAAUGUCAUAGAUGUAUCGAGGAGAGAAUUUGAGGCUCUGAGACAGAGGUCAGAUGGGUCUGUUUCUUCAUUCAUCUCCUGUUGGCACGGGAAGAUCGUCAAGAUUAUUGAUAGGCCAUCAAAGAGGGAUCAGAUAUAACCCAGGAUUGCUAGACACGUGGUUGGGGUACCCUUCACAAACUUUGGCUCUCUGGUUUUGGCAUCAUAUGAUGUUGAGGACGGUAUUUCGAGAUGAUUGUGGACAGAUUAUUCUCUUAUUGAUGUUAAGGGGAAGAAACCAUUAGGAUGACAGAGAUCGGUUGAUGUGAGUGCUAUCAGUUCUACCAGUUAGAGGCCUUCCAGGUGUCAUCAGCUUGUUCUACAACUUUCUGGGACUCAUCAUUCAUAUCCAUCUCAGCAGUAUAGGCCAUGGACACCUUAUCAGACUUAUGAUCGGACCUACAUGCCACCCAUAUUGUCACUGCCUUACUAUGUCGCCCAAGGCACAGAGAGACCUCCUGUUUCAUAUUCUGCCACAGGGCAGCCAUGCUAUGCGGCGUAGUUUGCCACGAGACCUACAACAUCUUAUCCCAGGCCUAGAGCUCAGUAGACUUCCGCUACUUUUUCCUUGAGGAUAUAGAGACAGUUUUCACAGUUAGGCAUGCCGUUGAGCUAGGCUCCUCGGAAGCUUAUAGAGGUCGGGUUAUUGACUACUCUCACUCCUAGACCACCACCUCAACCUGUUCUACCUCAGUUCAGGAUGGAUCUACACUGUGCAUAUCAUCAGAGGCCUGGACACGAGACUGAUUGUUGUACUGCUCUGAGACAUGUCAUCCAUGAUCUGAUUAAUUAGGGUUUGGUUCACUUGGGUUAGCCAAGUGUAAACAUAAACCCAUUACCGGCUCACACUACACAUGUGGUUCCCCAUUCGGUCGAUAGCAUGCACUUUAUCGACUUCGCUGAGCUUGACUAUCACAUCCACAUACUGAGUUGGGAUGAGUCACAGCUAGAGCCUUUAGUAUCAUACGGGAUUUAUGAGAUAGGCCGAGUGGCUUUGGGCCCUCUGAUGCCCACACCAUUCAGAUUAGUUCUUAAGGCAGUGUUAGUACAAACGACCACUGUUGUGCCACUAACUUUCCCACAUUAUAGUGCUCAGAUGCCAUUUGUCUUGAUUCCCGAUGUUGAGGAAGUUCGAACUCCAUAUGUUGAUGAUGUUCAUAUUCCUGAUAUACAGUAUGUUAUUCGUGGGGGUAGGAUGGUACGACAACAGCCUUCCAUAGCCGCUAGACCCUUGGAAGGGACGUCAUCCCAUGAGGGGGUUAGGAGGGAGAUGACAAGAUUUUGAGGCAGUUACAGAGCACAUAGACUCGUAUUUCCAUUUGGAGCUUGCUGACAUCUUCCAACACUCACAGAGAUGCAUUGAUUCGAGCCCUGAGCCAGAUCAGAGUCAAGACUACCACCAUUCCUGAGGGGUUGAUCCAUAUGGUGAUGGUUGGCAGAACCACUUACAUAGUAUUCUCUGAUGACGACUUACCACCAGAGGGUUCUGACCACACAUGUCCACUUUAUAUCUCGGUCAGUUGUUUAGGCCGCCAAGUCCUAUCUGUCCAUCUGGACAAUGGUUUGGCCCUGAACGUCUGUCCUCUGGCCACUGCCAUCGCCCUUGGCAAUGCGCCCUUUGACUUUGGUCAUUUUACUCAGACAGUUCGAGCAUACGAUAGCACUCGAAGGGAGGUCAUGAGCACUCUGGAGAUUGAGUUGUUGAUAGGUCUGACCACAUUUGUCACUUUGUUCUAAGUUUUGAGGAUUCCUACAUCCUUUAACUUGCUAUUGGGUCGACCUUGGAUUCACAGAGCUGUGGCCAUUCCUUCUUCAUUUCAUCAGAAGGUGAAGUUUAUUCAUGAUGGCUAGGUCAUCACAGUGCAGUCUGUAGGAGAUAUGUUUAUUUUUGCUAAGCUAGUGCUUCAGAUUAGUCGCAGUGAUGACGACUUAUUUUUGAAUGGAUUCACAUUCGACGAGGUGCAGACUUUAGAGAUGGAGGAUUUUUGUUGAGACUUCGUGGUUAUGUCAUUUGACCAGCACGGUAGCAUGGUGGUGCUCGAUAUGAUGAGGAGCAUGUCUUAUCUUCUCAGCAUGGGAUUGAGGCGACGUUAAUAUGGGCCCAGUGAGUUCAUGGCUAUCCCAAAUCACGAUGUACCUUUCGGACUCGGGUUCAUUCCUACUGAGGCUGAUUACAUAUAUAUGGCACGAUUGUGCAAGGAGAGGGUGAGGGCUCGACUGACUCAUACAUCGUUUGAUUAUCCUAUUUGCCCGUACACCAUGAGUUUGGCAUACUACUUCGUGGGGGCGUCAAAGCCACAGAUGCCUCCAGAUGGGAUCAUUGGGGGAAUCAAUACUACUCAGGAGGCUGAGCUACAAUGCCUCAUCCAUCAGCUACAAUUGAGUGAUGGAGCUCCAACACUUUGACAACUGUCUGGAUCCUCUCAGCAACCUUGAUGAUGGACACCCCGAAGAGGUCAAAUGGUGAAGCAAGCUCAGGCUGGACUGUCCCACCGAUCUGGCUCAGACUCAUUGCGAGUGUCUCAUCAAUGUACUCUUCAUGCGGAAUAGCUUCAUCCACUAUGUCUCCAAUCUCGGCAAAUAUCCCGUACUCAUCAAUCUCAUCUGGGAAAUAUAGCGUCAUAAGGCUCAUACGAUGUUUAUGACUCUUUAUUUAUGGAUUUGAGCAUUUUUGAGUAUUUGCCUGUCUCUCAUGAUGUUACUUUAUCUGCAUUAUUUUCACUCACAACACAUAUAUUUGAUAUAGACGGUGAAAUUGCAUAGCAUGAUUCAGAUGAUGACUCGUCGUCUACUUCUGAUUCAGACCCCAUUGAUCAGAGAGUUUCACUUGUUACAGAGGACACAGAGGUUGUUGAUUUCGGCACAGCACAUCAAUCUAGGGAGUUGAGGAUCGGAUUGGAUUUAUCUACAGAUGAGAGGGACAACCUUAUCCAAUUACUCAGAUUGUAUUUGGACGUUUUCGCAUGGUCCUAUGAGGAUAUGCCAGGCCUUGAUUCGUCUAUCGUCCAUCAUCGUUUACCACUUCUGCUCCAUGCCAGAUCGGUUAAGCAGAAGUUGAGACAAUUGCACCAUCACUGGAGCUUGCAAGUGAAGAAGGAGAUUCAAAAGCAACUCAGUGUAGGAUUUUUAUUAGUAAUCGAGUACCCAGAGUGGCUGGCCAAUGUCGUCCCUAUUCCCAAAAAAGACGGCACGGUGAGAGUUUGUGUUGAUUUUCGAGAUCUUAACAAGACCAGUCCUAAGGAUGAUUUUCCUCUCCCUCACAUCGAUAUGCUAGUCGAUAGUACGACAGGUCAUUCGAUGUUGUUCUUUAUGAAUGGAUUUUCUGGGUAUAAUCAAAUCUUGAUGGCUCCAGAAGACAUGGAGAAAACGUCUUUCAUUAUCGAGUGGGGUACUUAUUGCUAUAGAGUCAUGCCAUUCGGGUUGAAGAACGCAUGAGCCACCUAUCAGAGAGCAGCGACCAUUCUCUUCCAUGACAUGAUGCAUUGGGAUGUCGAGGUUUAUGAAGAUGACAUGAUAGUGAAAUCUCGAGACAAAUCAUAUCACCUAUCAACUCUAGAGAGAUUUUUUAAGAGGAUCAGGCAGUUCAUAUUGAGACUGAAUCCCAAGAAGUGCACUUUUGGAGUGACUUCUGCGAAGCUCCUAGGAUAGAUGGUUAGUGAGAGAGACAUAGAGGCAGAUCUAAACAAGAUCAAAGCCAUCCUUGACAUGCCUGCACCAAGGACAGAGAGAGAGGUCAGAGGCUUUUUGGGUAGAUUUCAGUACAUCAACAGAUUCAUUGCUAGAUUGACAGAUAUCUGUGAGCCCAUUUUCCGACUCUUGAGGAAGAGUCAACCUAUUGUUUAGGAUGAUCAGUGUUAACGCGCAUUUGAGAGAAUUAGAGAGUACUUGUUGUCGUCUCCAGUCUUGGUGCCUCCUACACGAGGUUGUCCUUUACUCUUAUACCUGUCAGUUUUAGACGUAGCAUUGGGAUGCAUAUUGGCUCAGCUUGGUGAUUCGGCCAAAGAGUGAGCCAUUUAUUAUCUGAGUAAGAGGAUGCUGGAUUAUGAGACGAGAUAUGUCAUGAUUAAGUGCUACUACUUGGCAUUGGUUUGGGCCACUCUUCGACUGAGACAUUACAUGACCGAGUAUUUAGUGCACUUGAUAUCCCGUCUAGAUCCUUUGAGAUAUUUGUUUGACAUGCCCACUUUGGUCGAUUGUCUCAUGAAAUGGUUGGUACUUCUGACUGAGUUUGACAUCCAUUAUGUUGCUCAGAAGUCCAUCAAAGGAAGCAUUCUUCCAUAUCACCUAGCCUCAUUACCAGUUUAUAAUGGUAGAGCUAUUGAUGAUGAUUUCCCGGAUGAGAAUGUUGCUGUCGUGACUAGUCUGUCAGGUUGGUGCAUGUAAUUCAAUGUUGCAGCCAACUAUUCUGAAUACGGGAUAGGUGUCUUGUUGAUAUCCCCUCAUGGUGAUCACAUUCCUAGAUAUGUUCAUUUGGCAUUCUUGGAUCGACAUCCUACCACGAACAACAUUGUUGAGUAUGAGGCUUGUAUCUUGGGAUUAGAGACAGCUCUUGAGCUCGGGAUCAGACAGAUGGAGGUGUUUGAUGACUCCAAUCUGGUAUUAAGACAGAUUCAGGGCGAGUAGAAGACUAGAAAUGUGAAACUUAGACAUUACCAUGCAUACUUAGAGUUGUUGGUUGAGAGAUUUGAUGAUUUGAGAUACACACAUCUGCCUAAAGUGCAGAACCAGUUCGCCGAUGCCUUAGCUACUCUGGCUUCCAUGAUUGAUAUUCCUACAGAUACAGUUGUUCGCCAUUUGUUGAUCGAGUCGAGAUUUGUUCCUACUUACUAUUGUUUGAUUGACGAUGCAGAGUUAGAUGAUGGAUUACCUUUGUACCAUGACAUAUACCAGUUUUUGAGACUUGAUGCAUAUCCUAAGGCCGCCACAGCCAAGGAGAAGAGAGCAUUGAGACAAUUGGAUGCCCAAUUUGUGAUAUGUUGAGGGAUACUAUACAGACGAUCAACUGAUGGGAUGUUACUAUUGUGCUUAGACCACGUCUUUGUCGAUCGAGUGAUGAGAGAGGUUCAUGUGGGAGUCUAUGGAUCACAUAUGGGAGGACAUAUGUUAGCUCGUAAGAUCAUGAGGACUAGCUAUUUCCGGUUGACCAUGAAGACGGAUUGCUGCUAGUUUGUUCAGACAUGUCCAGAGUGUCAGAUACACGGGGACCUCAUUCACGUGUCGCCUUCGCAGUUACAUGCAUUGACUUUACCAUGACCAUUUUCAGUAUGGGGUAUUGACAUCAUUGGGAAGAUUUUUCCGAAGUCUUCUAGUGGUCAUGAGUUCAUCUUGGUUGCCAUCGAUUACUUCACCAAGUGGGUGAAGGCUGCCUCAUAUGCAAGAUUGACAUCUAUUGGAGUUGCUAGUUUCAUCAGAUCACACAUUAUCUGUCGCUAUGGAGUCCCUCAUGAGUUGAUCUCAGAUAGAGGUGUACAUUUCAAAGCAGAGGUUGAUACUUUAGUACAGAAAUAUGGUAUCCAGCAUCAUAGGUUGUCUACGUGCAGGCCGCAGACGAAUAAGGCAAUAGAGGCCUCGAAUAAGAAUAUUAAGAGGAUAUUGUGAAGGAUGGUUGAGACAUCUCGAGAUUGGUCUGAGAAGCUAUUUUUCGCAUUAUGGGCUUAUCAGACUUUUUUUCGCACCUCUAUAGGAGUUACACCUUACUCCUUAGUGUAUGGUAUGGAGGCAGUGCUACCAGUUGAGAGUGAGAUGGGUUCAUUGAGGGUAGCAUUAGAGUAGUAGAUUCUAGAUGCAGAUUAGGCUCAAGCUAGAUUAGACCAGCUUAAUCUCCUAGAUGAGAGGGGGUUGAGGGCAGCGGACCAUGUUCAUGCCUAUCAGAGGAAGAUGGCUCGUGCUUUCAAAAAGCGGGUCAAGCCUAGACCAUUACAAAUAGGUGACUUGGUUCUAAAGGUCAUCAAAGGAUUGAUUAGAGAUCCUAAAGGAAAGUUCAAACCCAAUUGGAGUGGACCUUACUUCAUUAGGGAGCUGACCCUAGAGGGCGUUGCAUGGUUGAUGGAUCUAGAUGGAAACAGAUUCUCAGAGUCGACUAACGUGGAUCAGCUAAAGAGGUACUAUGUUUAAGACCAUAGUCGUAGGAUGGGUGGCCAUCAUUUCGGUUAGCCAUAUAUCUUGUUAUUCUUUUUUGAUAUACGGACCAUUACUAGUUCAUUGAGCCUCACAUGUGCAUUAUAGUAUUUCUUUCUUAUUACCUUGCUUACAUUUCCACACCAGGAUAGGGGCUUUUUAGUGUAUGCAUGCUUCAUUUAGAAGCCUCAUGAGUCUUGGACCUACUGGUGCAUCUUUCUCUCUCAUUUUUUUUUCCUACCAUCACUUUACUGCAUUCCAUCACAUCUUAUUGGUUGUGUUCUUUAUCUAUUAUUCUUUAUUAUAUCUACUGCUUGUUUUACUUUAUAUUCUUUUCACCCUGAGUGUUGAUCUUCCUCGGUUCAUUGCAUGGAGGAUAGUCACAUCAUUCCCGCUAUCUAUCCCACAGACACUGGCUCAGAGAUUCUUAAUUAGUUUGAGAAGGUCAUCUUGUUAGAGAGAGUUUUUGUUACCUUAGCACUUGAGAGCGUGUCUAUCUAUUAUUGAUAUCAUCUUUGGGGCUUAUUUUGUUCAUGUUCAAGGUAUGUACAUUUGUAUAUAUCUAAAAAGGAAAAUAAUAAUAAUAAUAAUAAUAAUAAUAAUUUUUUUUUUAAAAAAAAUAAAUAAAUAAAAAUAAAAAAUGAAUGAAAGGAAAAGAAAAAUAAGCACAUGUGUGUAUGUGCAUAGCAAUCUCCAUCAUUGAGCAUGUAUAUUGAUAUUUGAUGGUCAUUUUAUCGAGUAUGUUUGUUGGUGAGAGUUCGUAUGUGAGUUUUCUGAGAUCCUUUUUUUUCUUUGUAUUCAUUUUGUCAUGUAUUUUGAGAGUGAGAUGAGUGCCAUUCUUUUAGGAGUUCUGGGUCAUUGUCCAUUCCUUCAUUACAUUCAUUGCAGAUGUGACUUCACUUCAUGUUGGAUUUGAGCGGAUCAUAUCUCCUCUUUGUACUAUUUGCUUCACCAUCAUUCUCAUUUUUGCUUUUGAUUCAUCAUCUUCGUUUCACCCCUUGUUCAUACCUUACAACGACCCGUUUUGAGUUUGAUACUCCCUUUACAUCAUCAUUACACAUCUCAUUAUCAGUUUGAUUUGCAUAAUUGCCUCAUUAUUAUUAUUAUCUUCACAUUGGGCAUCCUCGGGUCCAUGACUCACGAGAUUUUAUGUACAUGUUGCAUUUCACACACGAGGGCAUGAGUUUUUUAUCAUUGGGUAUUUGAACCUAGUUUCCCUUCAUUUCUGUUACCCUAUCACCCUAGCCUACGUUAUGUCCCGUGUCUUAAGACCACCCUAAGGCCAUGGGAUCAUAUGUCAUCUUUGAUAGCCCCUACUUGGAUAGGUGUUUGAGAUUUGGUUGAUAUUUAGAUAUCAUCAUGCUUCUUCUUCUAAGAGACACCUCUUUGAUGUUUGGACCCGAUUUAGUUGUGCAUAUGGAUGAUCAGGAUUACCCAUUUGAUGAUAGAUGAUUGGGUGUCACCUGUUUUUCUGAUCUAUUACACAUCUGAUGCCCUAUUGGGGCAUAUUCUGUUUUGGAUGAGAUUUACAAAUCUUCAUGGAUUCGCAUGCUUAUCUCCACUUACGAGGUGCACACCAAGACGAGGACUUGUUCGUUAUUUUAUCAUGAUCCCUCGGUGGAUUAUUUCUUAAGCCACCUAGCCAGGCCCGUAUUUUUCAACAUUUAAAUGUCGUCAUACUUCUCAUCCGGGAUACGUCUCUUUUGAUGCGUGAGUCCGAUUCAAUUGUGGAUUUGGAUAAUGAAGAUCAAAUAUUUGAUGAUGGAUGAUUUCAUGUCAUCCAAUUUCCGACCUACCAUAUAUCUGAUGCCAUACUGGGGCAUAUUUCCGUUUUGGUUGAGAUUUGCAGAUUUUCAUGGAGCUGCAUGCUCAUCUCCACCUAUGAGAUAUGCGCUGAGAUGAUGACCUAUUUGCUAUCUUAUCCAGAUCCCCUAGUAGAGCCUCUCUGGAGCCAUCUAGUUAAACUCGUAUUUUUCGGCGUUUGGUUGUCAUCAUGUUUCUCCUUCUGGGUUAUGGAUUUGGAUGACGAGGGUCGUGCUCCUGAUGAUAGAUGACUUGAGGCCAUUUGAUUUUUUUGACCUAUCACACAUCUGAUUCCAUACUGGGGCAUAUUUUCUAUUCGGUUGAGAUUUGUAGAUCUCCAUUGAUUGUCAUGACCAUCCCCAGUUACGAGAUGCACGUUGGGCUGAUGAUUUGACUUCAUUUUUCCUUGAUCCUCCGGUGGAGCCUUUCUUGAGUCAUUCGGUCGGGCCUAUAUUUUUUUAUGUUGUCAUGAUUCUUGGAUGUAGAUAUCUCAGCCCCCCCCCCCCCCCCCAAUUUAGUUGGAGAGAAGAAUGUUUUUUCAAAAAAUCGUUAAAGUCCACAUUAACCCGUCGAGAAAAGUUUAUUUCCAUUGAUGGGCACAAUCUCGAAGAAGUUUGCCGAGAAGAACCUUUAGCAAAAAACGGGCCCAAAAAAUUGACUGCCCCACUAACCCUGAAUCUUUAGUAAAAUGGGAAUGGAGGAGUUACCUUGGGGGAAUAAUCUCUUGGGAAUCCCNNNNNNNNNNNNNNNNNNNNNNNNNNNNNNNNNNNNNNNNNNNNNNNNNNNNNNNNNNNNNNNNNNNNNNNNNNNNNNNNNNNNNNNNNNNNNNNNNNNNUUUUUUGGGGGUUGGGUGGUCAUCAUUUUUUUCUUUUUGGGUUAGGGAUUGGGAGGAGGGGGGUUGUGCUCUUGUUAAUAGAGAACUUGGGGCCUUUUGUUUUUUUUGCCCUUUCACAAUUUUGUUUCCAUAUGGGGGCAUUUUUUUUUUUGGGUUGGGAUUUGUAGAUUUCCUUUGAUUGUCAGGCCCUUCCCCAGUUAGGAGAUGCAGGUGGGGGGGAUGAUUUGAUUUCAUUUUUCCUUGAUCCUCGGGGGGGCCUUUUUUUGAGUCUUUGGGUGGGGCCUAUUUUUUUUUAGGUUGUCAUGUUUUUUGGAGGUAGAUUUUUCAGCCCCCCCCCCCCCCCCAAUUUCAGUUGUAGAGAUGAUUGUUUUCUCAGAGACUCGUUACAGUCCACAUUACCCAGUCGAGAGAUGUUUAUUCACAUUGAUGGUCACAGUCUCGAUGAUGUUUGCCGAGAUGAUCCUUCAGCAAAACACGGCCUCAGAGAUUUGACUGCCCUACUAUCCGUGACUCUUUAGUAGAUUGAGAUUGUAGUAGUUACCUUGGCGGACUAUUCUCUUGUGACUCCCCAGUGGAUCAUUCCUUCGAUACGACGAUGGAUUUCCCCAACAAAGCACCUCGAGUAAGAGACAUUCAAAUUGUUAUAACGCUUCAUCAGGCCUUGUGUUUUAGUUAAAUGGGUUACGAGACUAUGUUUAUAGUUGAUUUGACCAUUCCGACUUGUUAGCAGAGAUCAUUUGAGACUCAUGGAGUCUCUUUAAGACCAUUUCCGAGGAUUGAGAGCUGUAGUAGCACGCUACAUUGGGGCAUAUCCUCCAUUCAUUUUCUCCUUGCAUCUUUAGUCUCGGCGUUCAGAGCCAUCAUUGUUUCAUAGUUUCUACGAUCAGAGCCAUCAUCAUUCUUAGUUUAGGCAUUCAGAGUUGUCAUCAUUCUCAGUUUUGGCAUUCAGAGCCAUUAUUGCUUCUCAGUUUCGACGUUCAGAGCCAUCAUCGCUUCUCAGUUUCGACGUUCAAAUCCAUCACCACUUCCCAGUUCCAGCGUUCAAAGACAUCAUCACUUCCCAGUUCCAGCGUUCAGAGCCAUCAUCAUUCUCAGUUUUGGCAUUCAGAGUCAUCAUCGCUUCUCAGUUUCGGAGUUCAGAGCCAUCAUCGCUUCUCAGUUUUGGCGUUCAGAGCCAUCAUCAUCAUUCUCUGUUUCAGCGUUCAGAGCCAUCAUCAUUCCUAGUUUCGGCAUUCAGAAUCAUCAUCGCUUCCGAGUUUCAGCAUUCAGAGCCACCAUCCUUUCUAGUUCGGUGUUCAAAGCUACCAUCUCUUCUCCGUUUUGGCGUUCAAAGCCAUCAUCAUUCUCAGUUUCGACGUUUAGAGCCACCAUUUUCUUAGUUUAGGCGUCCAGAGCCAUCAUCGCUUCUCGAUUUCGGCGUUCAGAGCCAUUAUCACCAUCUCUUCUCGGUUUGGGUGUUCAGAGCCACCAUCUUCUCAGUUUGGGCAUUCAAAGGCACCAUCUUUCCUUAGUUUUGGCUUUUAGAGCCACAAUCUCUUCUCAGUUUCGACGUUCAGAGCCACCAUUUCUUAUCAGUUAGGACGUUCAGAGUCACCAUCUUUUUUCUAGUUUGACGUUCAGAGUCACCAUUUGUCUCUAGUUUUGGGGGGUCUCCUUUGUUCUUUGGUAGAGUUCACUUCAUUCCACUCAUUAUUCACACUUUCUUUUCACUUUAAUGUUCACAUUCCUUACGCUCAUGAGCUUUACCGAAGAGGGGCAUAUUUGUAGACCCUUUUUUUGCAAACCAAAUGUUUUUAGUUUUUUUUUAUUUGCUUUUAUUAAGAAGUUGGAGAGCAUUUCAUGGGAAGUGGGGGACACCUCCCAUGAAGCUUCAUGCAUGGACAUGUGGCGAACAUCAGUAGCUCGCCCAUGAUGGUGAUUGGAGAGGGUGACAUAUUUGCUGAAUGAUGCACAGUAGAGCGAUUGAAGGCUUUGUAGAGAAGAAAACGAGCUGUUUGAAAAUGAAGUAGGGAAGAAGUCUGGAGGGGAGAUAGAGGAGAGGUUGAAGAGCUUUUUGAGGAGUGAUAUUCGAGGUGGAGAAAAAAAAAACUAAGGGGGAAAAGAAAAACGACACUGCUGGAAGCUAACCCACUCUUUGCUUAAAAAGAGCAUUCUAGCACACUAUUAUUUGCUGCCAAGGUACGACCUCACUCCCAUUUUGCUUAUUCUUAUGCACGAUUUGCUUUAUUAUUUGAUCAUUUCAUGGGUAUCCAUUAAUUUCCUCAUCAAUUGCCGCACUUGCUUUACCUUAUUUAGUAGAGACCCAUUUUUAGGGGCUUAGAGGGGUGCUACGGUCUUUACCGUACCUUCCCAAUAGGUAACUUGACUUGGUUUUUCAUAGACCACUUUUUCCAAAUAAGGAGUCACACUUAGGGUUUUCUUUUUUACUUUUGUUUACCUUUUAAAAAUAAAACAAAAAUGAGUGGCGACUCUAUGUCUUUUUCAAAAAAAAAAAAAAUCAAAUUUUCACAAAAUAAAUAAAAAACGAGUCACGUCAUCGAGUGGAAGCGCAUGAGUAGAAAUACGGGGUCCACAAGUACAUAUUUAUAAGACAACUUUUCUUGCAAGGAUAAAAGGCAUAAAACAAGAAAUUGAUUUGUUAAGGAGAUUAAAACCUUAAUUGAAUUGAUUUCUAAGAAGUCAACUCUUUAUAAAGCCCAUUAAGAGUUUUUAUGUUUGUUUGACUAAUUUUGUUUAAAAAAUUUAUACCUUAACUUUGAACUUAAUACAAAUAUGGGAAAAAUAUUACUUCUUAUAAAAGUUAUGUUUUGACUUAUGUAAAAAGUUUUUUUUUUAUUUAAUAAAACUUUUAUAAUUCCAACAUUUUUCUUGAAAAAUUAUAAUUUUAGUUUUUCAAUUUCCAAGUAAAGGAAAAAAAGAAGAAAAUAUCUCAAACAAGAUGUAAGUGGCUGAGGAAUAGAUAAAUGACUUGCACUCAAAGAUGGGGUUACGGGGCUCAUGUUGACAUUCACAAUCAUAGAUGAUUAUUCAUGUGUGGUCAUGGCUCCCACGAUUGAUUCAACAUUGGGAGGCCUUUAUCCAAAUGACAAGUGAUUAAAAUCCUAAGUUGAUAAAUUGGUACACAAAUGCUUUCAUUUUCCUUGAGUAAUUAGUAAUUACUCAUUUAUUCUACCAACUUUAUUAUUUAUUCUAUUCAUUUAAAGUGUAUUUGACAGUAAUUCUAGAAAACACUUUUAAUUUUUUUAAUACUUAAAAGAUAAAAAUUUUCAAGUAUUAAAAAGAUAAAAACACUUCCUAAAAUUAUUAUUAAAGAGACUCUUACUUUGGUUUUAUUUGAUCCAUACCUUUCUCAUCCUACUUUCAGAUGAGUGGGAAUAGUACUGUGAUGUAUCUCAUUUAUUAAUUUCCAAAGUUAGAAAAGAUUUCAUCCAUAGUCAUAAAAAAAUAAAAAAUUAUCUUCCUUCUUUAUAUUAUAUUAUUAUGGAACUUUUAUGUCUUUUAAUUUUACUAUAAGCAACAUUAGUACUAUCAUGUUUAGUAUCUAUAAAAAUUUAAAAUUUAAUUCAAAAGUUAUUUAUUUUUUUAAAAUAAUAAAAUUUAAAUUGUAUCCAAAUGAUAUCUUAAUUAUUUAUUCUAUUUAAUUUUUAAUUAAUAUUAAAUUCAUUAAAAAUUUAUUAAUUAUCUAUAAUUUUAAUAUAAUAAUAGAAAAAAAAUCAAUUUAUGGACCUCGCAUUUCGGCUCAUGCGCUCCCACUCGAUGGCGAACUCGAUUUUUAUUUGAAAAAUGAUUUAUUGAUUAAAAAAAUGACUUGGAGUCGCCAUUUAUUUUUGUUUUAUUUUUAAGAGGGUAAACAAAAUAAGAAAGAAAACCCUAAGUGUGACUCCUUAUUUUGGAAAAGGUGGUAUGUGAAAAACCGGAUUGGGCUCAGGGGUCGGGUUACUUAUCGGGAAGGUACAAUAAAGACCGUAACACUCUUCUAAGUCCCUAAAGUCGGGUCUAUACUAAUAAAAUGAAGCUGACGUGACAAUCAAUAUAAAGAUCAAUGGAUACUCAAAUCGAUCAUGCGCAUAUGGGAAUCAGAACAUGCAUAGAGAAUGACCAGAAUGGGAGUGAAUGUGUACCUGGGCCACGAACCACAAUGCACUAUUAAGAAAUAGGGUUAGUGCACAAUAAAUAAAUAUAAAAUAUAGCACACAUGCACUAAACAAAAUACAAAAUCAUCAAUGACACACAUGACACUUCACUCGAGUUCAUUUUUAUUUCAAAUAAAAUUCUUUGAUGUCAGGCCCCCACUAAAACCCAAUUUUGUUUUGCAUGAAUCAUUUCCAAUAACUCCAUUACUCGAAAUUAGGGGAUUGAUUCUUACUUAUUUCAAAACAUUUUUAAAAAUAGAGGAAAAGGUGAAAAAACUUGCUGAAAGGAAAAUAGCAACCAAUUUUAUUGAAAAAUAUGAGAUUUUUGGAACCUAAAAAUUCUAAAGAUGAAAAGUUUUUAGACUUAUAUUAUUUAAAAGCCAGAAUUUGAAAAAGAAUUAUUUACAAGAAGGGAUUUGAAAAAUUAUUUUCAAAGCCAAAAGAUGAUGGAACGGGAGAUGACGCGUGACAUAAGAGUGGCCAAGUAAACCAUGCGUAAAUGGGCCCAGAAUGUGAGUACCGAGGUUGGGUACGAGAUAACCAAUGCAAAUGAAGUAACCAGAGAGAGAUCAGUUGCAAACUUCUCAAUGGGGCCUUGUUCUUGUAAGAUCAGGCACCUCGAGAAUGAAAAUCAAGACAUUGUCACGAGUAGACAACACCACAAAACCAUAAGAGAAAGGUCCCAUUCCAUGUGUCACAUAAUACCGAAUAGCUGUCAAUAGUCUUGACUAAGGUGGUGUUUAUUUUUUUACUUAAUUCUAAAUAGAAUCUUAAUGCUUAAUAGUGUUAAGUUGUUUGUUUUUGUAGUAUUUUAUUUCUAUUAAGUAUUAAAAAAUAAAAAAAAUCAAUAGUUAUUUUUUUUAUUUAGAAAAAGUUAUAUAUUUUGAUUUUUUUUAUUUAGUAAAAAAUCUAUAAUAAGUCAUAAAAAAGUAAAAAAACAAAUAACCUAAAUUCUAAAAUUAAAUUAUUUUUAACAAAAAGCCAAAAAAACAAACACCACCUAACCCUUUAACCUAGAUAAUUUCCAAUACCAUUUUUGACUUAAUGCCUCUGGUUUCACAAUGCCAGCAAGUGAGAGUAUCGUUCCUGCACAACUUGAAGUCCACAAAUUCCCUAAGAUUCAGGAACUUUGUGUACGUGUCCUCAUAAAAUUCUUCACAAUAGAGUCUGACUCCUUCUUCUAUGUAUUUUUUUUUUGAAAAAAAAAACCUUCAUCUCCAAUUUCCUUUUCCUGAAACUGACCUGCAAUCUCACGACUUUGAAUGAAUGACCUUCAGAUAUUAAAGGAACUACAAAGCCGAAAAGUGGGAAACACCUCUGAUAUCUUAGGUGAUGACGGUGACAGUCAACACUUGCCAUCUGGAGAUUACUGAAGUUGAACAGAGUAUGACCGCUUGCGUCAUGACUAUAUAUCCCAUGGACUGCAUGUCCCAAAAUCCCCCGAGUCUUCUGUGCAAGAAGCCUAAUGGAACGCUUUAUCAUGGUAUUCUUACCCAUCAGAACCAUAAAAUCUCCACGUGAACACUGUGGCUCCCCUAGCAAAAAAACCUUGAAUGCUGAAACGUCCUUUUGCUCUUCUUUCCAACACACAAUUUCUUGGAUGCACUGGAAAUGCCCACCAGUUGUCAUAAGUCCGGAGCAAACCCAAUCGUUUGACACCAUUUUAGUGCUUCUGCUCUUAGCAUUCAGCCAACUGAUACAAGUUAUGAAGGGUUCCAAUGAUUCCACGCUAUGAACAACAGCGUGACAGUGGGGCAUGCCGUCGUCAUGGUUGUAAGCGACCCAAACAUGGUUUUGGAGGAAACACUUUUCCGUCUAAUGCUUGUUGAAAUCAUGAAUAUUUGGCUUUGUAACGUUCAGUGUCAUAGCAUAAAACCUUUCCCGAUCCUCCCAUGGUCUGAAGCCAUUGAAACAAUAAUUGUAUCAGUGCAGUCCGCAGUCCAUGACCCAUUCUCUCAUCUCCUUCGAUAUUUCUCUUCGAGCCUUCUGCACGAGAAUAUUUCGAGCCUGAAUCUCCGAUAACUCUCUUGCAGAAAAGGAAUCACAACUACCCCUUUGAAAUCGAGAAGGACCCGUCUCCCGUCUUCGCUUUGUAUCCGAUUUAUGAGCAUGUACACAUUUUCUCUUCCAGCUCUAGAUACAGGAGAAGAGACCGGUGCCUCAAAGGCAAAAAAAGUUUGACGGAAAUGGGCGCAUAUGAGGGUGUGCUUGGAGUAUGAAAAAUAGGAAGGUGGCGGGUAUUUUAAUAGGUAUGAUGGGGGUAUAUGGAUGAGAGUGAUAGGUAGGAAGAUUAAAAAGGGAGUGAGAUGGAAGUGGUUGUGUGCGUGAGGCUUCAUGCACGUGGGAAAUGAUAGAAAUGAGCUGAGGAUGGAUUAAAUGGAUAGUGAAGGGUGAUGAAAGAAACGAGCUCGAUGGAUGUGGAAGAAAAGAAAUGAACAACAUGAGAGAAUGCAGACACGAAAUCAGUGGACUGGAUGAUGGAGGUUAGUGAAAAAUGGGUAUAGGGAAACUUUUGGAUGCAUAAUUCAGGUGUGUUUGGGUAGGGAAUGGGUAUGGUGGGUUUUUGGAAAACGUGAUAUGCAUGAGUGGUUAAGAAAGACAAAUAUGGAAAUGGGUAUGAGAAGGUUUAGAGAGAGAGAAAUAGGUUUAUGGGUGUGGAAUGGAAAAUGUGGUGAGAUGAGUGGGUAAAAGUGGGCAUUAAAAAUGAUGAUAUGCAUUUUAUGAGAGGGCUUGGGAAGAAUGCUAAAGGAAGCAUGCACGUGGGAGAAUAGGGGAUGAAUGAAUGGGGAAUGUGGUUGCAUCAUCUAUGUGACCAAUUCUCAUUUCAGAAUGAGCAAGGCUCGGAGUCUGGACUAGGCACCAGGACUGGGUGUAUCGGCCUUAUUUCCUCAAGUGGCACGGAGCUUGAUAUGAAAAGCAGUAACGCUGAAUUCCUUGCAUUAUUUGUGGAACAUCUUGGGCAGCAAGCAUGGUUCAUGUUCGUCAUCCUCGUCAAUCAUGGGGUGAUAAGGUGUCUUGUGCUCAGUUGUUUUUUGUCUAGCAGGUUAGUUUGCAUUGAUUUCUCUCGACUAGUCUCAUCCCAUCUUACAAGUUCCUUCAUACCUUUGACCCAAUGAUCUACUCAAAUACCUAAAGCAGAUUGAGCAGUCGUCUAUUAUUUUGCUUUCACCUAAGCGGUGGAUAAGGAAGAAACCAAUGUUUUAAAAAUCGGACUAGACCAGCCGGUCGAACCGCCGACCGGUCAACUUUUCGGUUCAAUCCGUCUCAAUGACCCGUUUUGUGGUCGAACCGGCAUUGAACCGUUCAAACCACCAGUCGAACUGGACAAACCGUCCGGUUUUUCAAGAAACCGGCCAAGCCUUUUUUUUUAUAUCCUACAAAAAUUUGUUUAAUAUUAAAAGGCUUAUUAUCCAUUGAGCCCAUUCCACACCCAUAACUUUUGAAACUCAAAACAACUGCCCAAUCAAAUAAAACAUUAGCUUAUUAACAUUUCCCUUGGGCCAUGCCUUUCAAGCCCAAUUUGUUGGCUCGUUUAGCUUGGUAUGCAUGUUGCAAGGUAUUUAUAGAGCACUUGAAGCACAUGAAAUUCAUGUGCUUCUGAUGUGGGACUGGGAAUAGGACUGCCUCUUUGAGGGCUGGACUUUGAACCAUAUCAUAUCAUUGCAAUGUUGUUAAUAUAUAUAUAUAUAUAUAAUAUAAGACUUAACAUUAAUGUUUUUAUUUCAAAUUUUUAUCAUAUAAAAUCUUUAAAGAAAUGUAAAUAUUUAAAUUCCUAUUUAUUUUUAUAACAAUUAUAAAAAAUAAUAUAAAUUAAUUAAUAGAAUAAUUUUAAAACAAUAAAAUACAAAGACAAAAAGAUAAAAUUAAAUAUAUAAUUUUUUUCAUCUUAAAUAUAUCUUCAUUCUUAAAUAUUAUAUCUUUCUAUUUAAUAAAAUUUAAAAUAUUAAACUUUAUCAUUUAAUUUAAUAUACCAAAUAUAAAAAUCAAAUAUUAUUAAAAUUUAUAAUUUUAUAUAUUUUUAAUUUUUAUAAUUAUUUUUAAUUUUAUAUAAUAUAUAAAUUAUAUAUUUAUUACAUCACCGGUUCAAUAGCGGUUUGACCGCUGGUCCGAUCGGUGAACUAUGAAUCGGUAAUUUUUCCGGUUCGAUCAUCGGUCCGAUUCUGAAAACAUUGGUAAGAACAGGGGCAUAUCUACUUCUGAUAUGAUUAGGGUGGUGCGUGAUGAAGACUUGGAUAGUGAAAUAGGCCAUUCCCUUUAUAGGAGCGACAUUUGGAGCUAAAUGUGACAAAGCCACGUUCUAGAUCAUUCAUAACAGUAUUUUUCACAUUGAAGCUUAAUAUAUCAUCAAGCACGGCUUCUAAAAGGGACUGAUGGUGCGUCUUGUUGGGCCUGAAUUCCAUUGUGAGUUCAGAAGGGCCAAAAGUCACUACCAUACUGGACUUUAAGGCACCAGCUUUGGCACAUCCCAUUGGUACACUUCCAAUACCAUCAAUCUCAUGCACAUCCUACAGAAGAGGAUGUAGUGGCUUGUCCGAGAGUCUUUCGGGUUUAUUGAUCGGGUUUAGGACCUCAAAAGGGGUCAAGCCCUUGCACCAGCCCAGACUGGCGGGUCUUUCAACUAUAUUGACACUUUCGAAACUUUAUUUCGGAGCACAUUGGCGUCAUGGCGUCUGUCUCAUUUUAGCAGUAAAUCAUCUACUUCCCACCAAGAGUGAGAAUAAGCCUGUGUAUGCAAUGGUUCAUCAGUGAAGACACUAGCCUCAAAAUCAGUGAUGGUUGAGUCAAACUUGCGAAGUAAUGAAGCAAUCUCAGUUUUGGCCAACCGGAAAUGGCCAUCUCUUACAAAAAAGCCUUACCUCCAGGAUGAAUCAAUGUGAGAAACAGAGCCCAUCAACCAUCUUACUAUAGACUGCCAGGUUCAGCUUCAACCAGUUCCUCCUAAUCUUAAAGCCUUGAGUAUACAUUCGGGGGAAAACAGGGGAGCAAGAGAAUAGCAACAGGAAAUGAACAUGAAACCUUUAACAAACGUGUUGAACCCACUUCAUUAUUUUAUCCAUGGGUCCAUCAAUCAGUGGGUCAAAAACGGAAAAUGUUUACAUGAUUAGAGCACAAAAUGCAGUAAGUCAUUCAAAUAUUAAACCAAUAAUCACCAAACCAACACAAACCAACAAGCAGAGUUAAAAUUACAGAGAAUGACGCAAAGGGAAUACCUGCAAGAUGAAAAUAUACGGGAAAACCAUGAUAACCAUACCUGAAAGUCUCUUCCUCAACCAAGUGUCUGGGGCUUCAGCUCACUGCUUUGUCUCUAGCAAAUGGUCCACUCAAAAAAUCCCUCUCAAAAGACUGCUCUCCAAGAGAUCGUCUCCCCUUAUGGUUCUUCCUCUCAAACCAUGACCAGAAAAUGAAAAUCUCUCACAUAUCUCUCAGAAACUGAAUACACCCCCCUCACUAACGUCUUGCGAAAAUAUCUCCCUAGGCUAGCUAACAGAAUCACAUCUCUGUUUUUUCCCCCCCAAAAAGAUGAACCUCUGUUCCCCAGGCCAAAACCUCUCCUCAAAAAGGGCAGCCAAAGCACUUCUCCCUCUCUGCCAGCAUACGCUCCUCCUAACGACAAAACCUUCUCCCGAAUCUACCUUUGCAGGUGUCAACCUUUUAUUAGCUCCUCAAAAAGCACAUUUGAUUCCCUAGUAGCCAUUCAGGAGGCAGCACAUGGCUCUUUGAGAGCCCUCCACUUGGCAAAAGUUAGAUGCAGGAAUACCUCCCAAAAUGGGUCUACAAAUAUGUCCAUUUUCGGUAGAGCUCACGAAUGUAAGGAAUAUGAACACUGAAGUAAAAAAAAAGUGUGAAUAGUGAGUGGAAUGAAGUGAACUCUAUUGAAGAACCAAGGAGACCUCCAAAGAGACACUAGUAAAACACGAACUCACUUAAGCCAAGAAAUGAACAACGAGACUCUAAUCCUAAGAGAAAAUGAUGUCUCAAAAUGUCUCUGAAGCCACAUUGAGGACCCAAAUUCUCUCUAAGACGUCUCCAAAAAUGACUCUAAAAACCAAAUAAAAAAUGAGUAACGAUCAAACCACUCUGAAGUACAGAAAAGACUACACCCAAAGGAAGUUGCCUUAUGUGAACUACAUGAAAAUGCCAAAUGUAGGGUGCCCAACAACAUGAUAGAAGUAUGUGUUGUGAACUCAAAGGACUACGUCAUGAGCAGUGAGAAGGGGAAAUAUGGAAGAGCAAUGAUGAAUAGGCGAUAAGCAUAGGGUAACGAGGUGAAGAAAGUGAGGACAAGUGCAAACCAUGAAGGUUAGAUGUGCAACGCCAGUGAAUAUGAAUGUCGGGGACUGUGGCUUGGAAUGAUAUAGCUGAGGAAAAGUGACUCUGAAUGUAAAAAACACGGAAAGAUGGUGACUCAAGGUGCCCGAACGGAUAUGUACAAUGGCUCUGAACGCCAAACUAAAGAAAAAUGGUGACAUCGAAUGCUUGAAUGAGUAUGAAAAAUGGCUCUAAAAACUCUUCAUCUAUCUUCUUUCUCUCUUUUUCUUUUUUCAAUAAAUUUUCAAUUAAUUCAAAUCAUUAAAAAAAUUCCUUAAUAAACAAAUUUGAAACAUUCACAUAACUUAUUACCAAAAGUCUAUGUUCAAAAAAUUAUUAAAAUAUGGAAGAAAAAAAUUUUAAAAAAAAACUUUAAACUUUUUAUUUUAUAAUAGUAAAAAUAGUAAACUUUAAAAAUACUCUUUAGUAUAAAAGAAAAAAAUAGUAAAUGUAUUUAUUUUAAAUGGUGUUUUAAUCAUUAAAUUAUUUACUUCUAAAAUGUAAAAAAUAAUUUUCAUUAAUUUAAAUUAAUAUUUUUUUUAAAAGUAUUUUCCAAAAUAAUUUUUGAAUCAUUAAUAUAAUUUUUGUUUAUUUAUAAUUUAAAAAUAGAAAAUAAUGCUCAUUUUUCAAUUAUUUUUAAAAGAGCUUAAAAAAAAAUGAAAUAUAACAAAAAUAAUUAAAUAAAGGAGAAUUUUAUGGAAGGGGCAUAUAAAAAGUGGUGGCAUAAAGACAAAACUGAUGGGUGUAAGUCAAAUGAGUAUUUUUGUCUAUUCCAACCUUAUAUCCUUGUAAUUAAUUAUAGAUGUUUGAAAGACCUUUUAUUAAUAAUCAAGUCCAAGUAGGUGUAAAACACAAUUCUCCCCCUAAUUUUAUCUUUUUUAGAGUCUAUUGUCAAGUUUACUUUAUAUAUAUUAACAUCAAUUAUUAUAUACAUUGUACAAUUGAUGAGGUAAAUAUCUUGGAAUAUAUCCAUCAAACACUUAAUAUUAUAUGUACACAACUAAUAUAUAUGAAAUGCAUGUAUUAAAAAAGUAAUUUAUUUAUUUAUUUAUUCCAUAAUAUAGAAUGUACUAUUUCAAAUAUUUCAAUAUGCUUAGCUAGCAAAAAGAAUACAACAAAUACAAUCAAAUCAAAUUAAGAAUAUAUAAGAUAAUAACUUCAAAUUAUGAACAUUUAUCAUAUUUAUAUAAUAUAUAGUUUCUCAUAAUUGUAAGGUAAGUGAAUUUCUCAUCUUGAUAUGAUUCCGUAUAUAUAGUUUAAUAAGAACUAUAUAUGGAAAAAAAACCUAGGAUAAAAAUUAUACUAAAAUUUCCAUUAAACAAUAAAAACAAUUACGUAACUUGUAGCUAUGAUAAACAGCAUAGCUUCCGGUUAGAGUAUUUAUUUUGUUGUUUUUAUAAUUUUUGGUUAUGAAAUAGAUUCUAAAUAUAUUCAAUAUUAUUUUUUGUACGGAUAUGACUUUGGGCUAUAAUUUUUCUAUAAAAAGUUAAAAACCAUUUUGUAUAUAGCCUCAAAUCAUAGGAGGUUAUAAAAUGAACCUUUAUUCUUGUUAGAGUACCCAAAUUCUAUUUGGUCCGUUGAUGGAAAAUAUGGACAUUGGCAGUUCCGAAUCUUUGAUGCCUCAUGAACGGUCCAACAGCGAGGUUUCUUUCUCGCGGCUGGUGGGAUAUUCAUUGACUGGGGAUGUUCUUCCAUGUUUUGACGCUCCUACUAUGGUCCUUCCAGAGGACACAUCCUGCAUCAUCACUGUUCCUUUCACUCUUCAUACUGCUUCUAACCAUGGUGUAAUUGUGGCAUCUAAAAUUGGGAUUCUGAACAAAACUUCUUAUGUUAGUUUAGUCAACAAUCUUCUACAGAAACCUACCAUGGAGGAGCUUGUUAAGAACUAGGCUAUUCUGGAUGAUGUAAGAACAUUGCUUGGCACAGGAAUAACAGCAGUUAGAGGUAAAGCAUGGGCGAAGGCUUCAGAUGGCACUCAAAUUCCCCUAUCAAUUGUUUACUGAAAGGAUCUUGUGAAACUUGAUGGACCUGAUCCAUUACUUCUUUAUGGCUAUGGUUCACAUGAGAUUCGCAUAAAUCUAAGUUUUAACGCUUCAAGGCUGUCUCAUUAGAUUGGGGUUUUAUGUUGGCAGUAGCACACAUUCAUGGUCAUUCAUGGUAGCGGUGAAAUUGGGAAGCAGUGGUAUGAGAAUGGGAAGUAGUUGAGAAAGAGAAAUACAUUUACGGGUUUUGUUGCUUAUGCUGAGUAUCUAAGAGACAUGAAGUUUUGUUCAAAAGAAAAAUCGUACGUUCAUGGAGGAAAUGCAGAAGAUUCCAGUUUCUGGGCCAGUUGGAGCAGGGAAAUCAUCACUCUUAUGCUGUACUUGGAGAGAUACCAAAAAUCUCAGGAACUGCUGAUGUAUUGGGUUCCAUUGCUUACGUUUCUCAAACUUCUUGGAUUCAACGUGGUGCAUCACCUAUAAGCCAAGAUUCACCUGGUCUCUCCACAAAUACAGGUUCUAUGCAAUUAUUGUUGAUUAGAACCAUGACAGUAUCCUGAUGAAUACAUGUCUUGCCUGUCCGUUUGCUUCAAUACUUCACACUCCACUUGGUGAACCAUCCGCAUCAGCAGAGCAAUCACUUCAGUACCUCCAGUUUUUGGCACCCCACAUUUGACAACCAGUGCAAAUGAUUCCAUGCAUGGCUACCUUUGAUGUGCCAUUUUUUUAAAGCCUCUAUGUCUCAUCCCUUAAUGCUUUCACUUAAAAAAAAUUGCUUUUAAAACAUUAAUUUUCGAAAAUCCGGUUUUCAAAUGAUUUUAAAUCCUUUUUUAUUCAUCUUUAGACAUUCUUAGGCAUUAAAAUUCCAUUUUCCUAAUUGGUUUGCUGCCAAUAUUUCCUUCAGGCAUGCAUUUCUUUUAUUUUCUUUGGUUUUCAAUAAAUUUCCGAAUUUCUCAUUGUAGACCCUCUAUUUUGUCUUCUAGGCACAUUUCAUCUAGGAUUGCCUUCCUACAUCUUCUAUUGCCUUAUUGUGCACUUAUGGUCCUUUUUUUAAGCUAUUUUUUAGCUUUCAUAGGUGUCCAUUGUAACUAUUUUGAUCACUAUUUUUGGAUUCUUUUGGAGAUAUAUAUCUUGGAGGGGUUAGUUGGAUCUCAAUCACGAUUUUAGUGACCCUAGGUUUAGUUGAGAAAUAGUUUAGAAGUGUUCUUUAGGUUUAGUUUAGUUUGAGUUUAAUUUAGUUUAGAAGUAGUUUAAAAGAGCUUUUUGAGUUUAGUUUAGUUUGCUUUUAAGUUUAAUUUUGUUUAAAAGUAAUUUAAAUUAGUUCUUUGAGUUUGGUUUAGUUUAAAAAGUAAGAUUAGUUUAGUGAGGUUGGCUUAGCCUAGUGAGUCUUAGAAUAAGUUAGGGAGCUUUGCUAAGAACUUACAUGAGUCCAGUGGGUUUGGUUUAGAAUGAGAUUAGGUGUUAGUUUAAUUAGAGAGUUUUAGUUAGAAUUAGGUUAGUUGGUUGAGUGAAGGUUAGGGAGAGUUGCUUGUAGGUUAGUAGGAUGAGUAUAGGAUAGGGAGACGUUGGAGGGUAAGUUAGGAAUUCUUUAGAAGGUGAGUGAAGUAGUGUAGAAUAGGGAAAGGUUGGAGAGUAAGUUAGGAAUUCUCUAAAAGGUGGAUGAAGUGGUGGCUUGGCAAGCAAGAGAGGGGGAAGAUAGGAAAAAAGGAAGAAAAGAAGCGGUUCUCUAGAGAAAGAGAAUUUGGGGAGAACUUGGAGAGAAACAAGGUUAGAAACAAGGGACAACUAUGGAAAACUUGAGAAAGAGCUAUGAAAAACUUGAGAGACCAUCAUCAACUUGAAAAAUAUCAAGACAAAAAUCCGAUUUGGAAACACUUUGAGGUAAGAUUAUUUAAUUUCCUAACUUGAUUUUAUUUUCUAUAUCUUCUUCUCAUACUUCUCAUUUUCAUGAUUUUGGAUGUAUUAGACUAGGAUUGGUGUGGAUGUAUAGGCCACACGGAGUAAUGGAUUUUUUAUGAUUGCUUGAUGUUGAAUCUUGAGAUUUUGGUGAAAGUAAUUUGAGGCUGAAUGCUUGAAAUUCAUUAAUGUUUACAUGUUGAUGAAGUUUGAGGAACUUUCGGAGAUUACAUGUUGAUGACUAUUAACUUAUUGAUCUUUUGAUAUAUGCAUUUUUUUAGUUUUAGAGAAUCAUUGAUGAUCAUAUAUUAAGUUUGAUAGAAAAUUAUUGAUGAUUAGUGUGUGAAUGAUUGGUGUUAAAUAUUGUUUGAUACAUGAUUAAAAUUAUCUUUAGGAUCAAUUUAGAGAAUCCCUAUAUAUGAAAUUUUCUAAAAAUUGUUUCUCUAUUACCACUAUUGAUAGUUCACUUUACCUUUGAACUUGUAAAUUGGAAUCCGACCAUUCAAAAACUCUUUAAAAUUUUUCUAAUUAUUCUAUGAUAUUUUAGACUUCUUGAAUUUGAUUUUAGAAUUUUGUUUGAGUGGUUUAUUUUUAUUUUUUCCAAUUAGAAGAUGGAAAUCAAUCUUUUAGAAGGUUUAGUUUUCACUCUAUUUUUGACACUCAAUCUUGUUUAUUAAAAUUAAAUUAUUAAAUGCUCUCUGUAGACCUUCCAUUUUGUCCCUUUAACACAUGUCUUUAAGUUCACUUCCAGUGUUACAGUGUUUCUUUGAUGGCCCAUUACUACCAGUGUAACUUAUUUUUUCUGAGCCACUUUGGAGACUUUGGUUGCGAGGUUUACUCGGUUCCACAUUAUGACAUUGGCUGCCCUUCAAGUUUAGAUUAGACUUUACUUAGGUGCACUUUAGGUUAGAUUUAGUUAGACCCACCUAGUCUCACCCUAGGCCUAUAUAGGUAUAGCUGGCCCAUUAGACACUAGCUUAGGCUCGUCUAGGUUCACUUAGACUCAUUUAGACACCUUAGGCCCGUCUAGGUUCACUUAGACUCAUUUAGGCACGCUUGACCCAUCAAACAUUCUUAGCCUGACUUGUUUGAUUGUAUGACUCAUUUAUCUCAUUUAUUUAUUUAUUUUUAUUUUUUAUUAUUAUUGUCAAUUGCUUUUAUUUUUUUUAGGUAUUCAUUAUUUUUUAUUUAUUUUAUUCAUUAUCUUGUUAUUUAUUUAUUUAUCUAUUAUUAUUAUUUUAUCAUUCUUCGAUUUAUUUAUUAUUUUAUUUAUUUAUUCUUUAUUCAUUUAUCCGAUUUAAUAAUUUGAAGUUUUAUAGGAAAAUCUAUGAUAGAGAAGUUUUUGGAAAAUGUAGGACUCUUUAGGUGAUUUUUGGAAGAGGUAAGACUCUUUAGAUGAUAUGCCUGGAUUGAUUUUUGGAAAUUCAAAAAAGGACUUUUCUGGUGGAUGAGACGUAAGAGUUUGGAGAGAAGAGGAGUCCUCAGUUGGACGGCUCCAAUGGAUAUAAAAUUACAGCCUGGUGGUUUUAGGAGGCAUUCGGAGAUUGUUUUUUAGAGAGAGAGGGUUUUCAUAGGCGAAGAAGAGAAAGGAAAAGAUAGGAAAAGGAGAGGGGUUUUGGGAGAGGGGAAGCAGAUUCCAGUCUUGGAAAGGAUUUCCCGGUGAGGAGCUGUUGGAGAAGACGUUGGGAAGAGGACACAGCCGACUUGAAGCCAAAUAAUAUUUCUUGAGGGGAAUUUCUCCAGGUAUGGUCAGAUGAAAUUCGUAUUUUCUCAUCUCUAUAUGAUUCAUCAUCAUUUUUUUUUAGCAGAUUUUGAUGUCAUCUUGUUGAUUGUUGUGAAUAUUUAAGGCUGAUUGUUCCUCCUGAUGAAUGGAUUUAAAAUAUGUGCAAGCUCUGUCCUGGCUUGAAAUGUAAUCUUUUUUUAAAUCACUACUGUUAAUGGCUGAUGUAUCUAAUCAACCGCUGAUAUUGAUAUCUAAGGAUCGUGCUCUUGUUCUCUUAUAUUCCCCACCUAUUUUCAAGCCCUUUGACAAAAUAAUGGAAUGUGGUUCGUCUGUUACCCAUCCUCUGUCUUCCUUCCUUUGUUUUUCUUGGGUCAUUCUUUCUAUGCUUAGCAUCUAUAUUUCACCCGCCUCCCUUUCUUUGGUGUUCAUGGCUAUGGAGACCAUGAUGGCUUGAGUAUUUCUAGAAAGAUGGAGACUUUGCAAAGAUUGUAUGCAAUGGGUUGUUUGGGGUUAGAUAGAUGCAGAGGCCGCCAUCAUUUCUGGGGGUUCUCAGGCACAUGUGAAUAUCGUAGGAAGCGAUCCAGUUGGCAGAUGCAGUUUUCCAGAUCACAACGCUUGCUUCAGAACGGCGUCAUAUACCAUAACCCUAUGUCUAUAUGAUAAGAUGCUUCGGUAUGUUUCCUUAUUCUGGAACCCAUGGAGAUCAGAAGGUGUUAGACUAUCAGAAUCUUCAGCAGAAAUUCCAGAAGCAUCUGCACCCAUUCCUCACUCUAUCCAUUCUGUUACUGAUUCAAAAUGAUCCAGCUGUUAGCAUUAUUUUCUCCUACAAAUGUGUAUUUGAUUGUUUCCUUAUCUCUGCUCAUACUUGUGUUCCUUAUUAUACGCUUGUCAGUUCAAUUGUACAACUAUAAAUAUAAUGAAAAACUACACAGCUUGAGUGCUAGAGCCAAGUCAAAGAUAUACUGUGUGUUCAUCUUUCUGUUGAGUUGUUAAGGUUUUACAGAAGGUAGGUGGGACCUUUCAAAGGAUGCAUGAUGGUUAGGAGCAAUUCUCCGGUUAGAAACUACCAUGUAAAUUCAAACGAUGCUGGGUUGGGGAUUCCCGAUGGAGCCGAAGAUCCUGUGGUUGCUAAUGGUUGUGCAUUUCAUAGUUGGUGCCGUUGCUUUAUCACUGCACUAUGCAAAUGUUAUUAUCAUUAUUGAGAAGUUGGUGGCAUCCCCUCACUAGAUUGGCCAUGAUGCAAGACAUGAUCUCUACAGUAUGUUAACUGUUAAAGUAAGAGCAAGGCUGCCUGUGUUUCUGUCAGCAAAAGUAUCCAAACCUUGCAAGGGCUUCAUCGGUUUUUGAUGUUUUAUUGUAACCAAAAGCUGUAAAGCAAAACCAUGACUGCAUCACUCGUCUCCAGCCGCGCAUUUCAUCUUUCAAAUGAUCUAAAAAAUGUAGGCAAGUCAAGGCUGCCAAGCUUCCAAUCCAUUUUCAAUGAAAUGAUGGUUGAACUUGGAAUUGAACUGAGCUGCACCACUUUGGAUUCUCUCUAGCGACCACGCACAGUCCAUGAUGAAGACAGCCUGCAUGCAUGAAUGGAUAUCCAACGCGGCUACCUUUUGCAGGCUAAAUGAAAAUCUCAUGCGAGUCAUGUUCAACCUUGAGUACGUACUAGCCUGAAGAGGGAUUUGAUCACCUCAGAAUAAGUUGGCAGCAAAAGAGCUCAUUCCCUGGCCCGCAAAGAUAAAGUUUGGUUGCUUAAGAACCUAUGUUUAUCCCCACGUGUUAUUGAUUAAAUAUAAGUGCAUCGGCAACAGAGCCUUGCAAUGGGAGACAAUGGAGAGGCGUCAAUUUUUAUGUUUCUUAAAGACCCAGUCAUCAUCUCAUGCCUCUAGUGAUGUGUCGGACAGUUGCAGCCAAGACCAUCCUUCAAAUGCGGCAGCUCCAUAUUGAGAAUAGACAGCAGGAUCUAGUUGAGGGGGCCACAUUUCCGUGGAUGCAGCCUGCAAUUAGUACAACUUUUGAGGUGCAUAGGUGUCUACGCUGUUCACAUGAAAGACAUGCGCACCCAACCCAAGGUAAAAUAAGUGGAAAGAUAAUCCACAAACAGUGUGGUCUGCUCAUAUUAUGUGGAGGCAAGAAUUAUCGUUCCAAGAAGAGGCCCAUGAUUCUAUUAAUCCUGUGAAGGCCCCAUGAGUAAGAAAGCUGUUAUAGAUAGCUUAUGCGUUGAGGAGAUGAAAAAAAAAAAUGGGAAAGAGGAGACUGGCUGUUUCCAUUUCAAUGAGACUUGCCAAAACUAGUUAUCAUGGUAUGAAGCUGAGUUCAGUAAGCUGAGUUUAUAAGUUUGAAUCCAAAUGCAGCGGAAUUGGUGCAUCCGCCCUUGGGACGUCAUCUAAAAAAACAUCAGUACUCCAGACGCGUCAACAAGACGAGAGAAACAACAUAUGACAUCGGCUAAACCAUCUGUAGAUGCAAAUUUGAUUAGAAGGAAUGUCGAUCCCAAAGAACUGCAGAUUGCACUUCAACGGCCUGUUCAAUCUAAGAUCAUAUCCCAGCGGAUGCCUCAGACUCCUAUAUCUAAUCCAGUUUCAAGCAAUAACUCCUUGCAAGGAUCACCUGUGCCUAUCUCAGGAUAUCAUAGUGCACCGUCAGCCCUUGGCAUUACAGCUCUAUUGCAUGAUCAUGCUGCACCUAUAGAUCAAGCAGUCUGCUAAUGCAAUAUCUCAGCUUAUAAAAGCUGCUGCAAGUGCAAUAAAUGGAAGUUUUUCUGCAGGCCAGCAGUCUAACAUUUCUAUUGGUGCUGAGUUGAGCAUGUUGGGAUUAAAUUCGAAAGAAUUUGAAUGGUCUACCGAUGUCUUAUCUGACCAGAUGGAAGCUGUUGCUAAGAGCGUACAGCAGUCAAACAUUGUUCCAGGAGCCCUAGAAGAAUCUAAAAUCUCUGUCGUUAAAGAAGACACAAUGUGAAUAGCAACAGUAUGGGAUGAGUCUAAAUUAGUGACGAAGUUGACGGAAACUUUCAUGCUUUUGUCAGAGAGACUUUCUGGGUUUCUCAGUGAGGGCCAAUUGAAGAUUGUCUGCUAAAUUAUUUGACUAAGUAUCUAAACUCAUAGGAGACUCUCAACUAUCUGAACGUUUAAAUGAAGAAAUGGAGAAAGUGUCCCAUUACUUGGAUGCCAAAAAUGAAGCCAAGAUAACUAGUGUUGUGGAAAAGGAGAUGGUUGAAAGUUACAUGUAGAAACAGGUUCAUAUGGAGAACUCAGGUUUGAUUAAUAUGCUUAUGGAAACAAUGUCGUUAUGGUUGAUUUGCAUCAGUUUAUUACCACUAGUUCUGAAACAUUUAAACCCUGUGUUUGGUGGGCCACCCUUCCUUUUUGUUUACUUUUGUUAAUUCACUUGCUUCUGGAUUCAUUAUCAGUGGUGAUGAAGAUUGUUUUACAAAGACCUGGAAAGAUGUAGUUUGUGUUGAAGCAUAGAGCAUCCUGGUCGUCUUAGGUAUGUCCAAUUCUGCAGAAUGUUGUACAGCAUGCAGCAAAAACCCCAUAAGCCCAGCUUCAGGUUCAAUAGCAUCUUUUGAAAUUAGAUGCCCUCCCACAAUCAGCUCGUUCAAUGACCCAGCUCGCAACAGGUGCCAUAGCUCUGAAGAUUCAGAGUCAAUUUCAGAAUGCAUUAAGGAGCAGGAUGAAUGUCUUAAUGUUUUCAGACCCAAUGACUAUGUGACAUGCAUUCAGCUCAAUCCCAUUGAUGACCAUUAUUUCAUAAGCAAAUCGCUACCAAUGUUCAUUACAAGCAUAUCUUUCAGUCGCCAUGUUGUUGCAUAUAUGAUGAGCUCAAAAGUGAGGAAAUAAGGCAAAUUACAUGGCCAAAUUCAGGUCAUAGUGUCAAAAUAAAUGCAAGUAAGUUCAGUUAGGAACCAGAUCAGCCAUCCUGACCCUCAGAGAAGUAAAUUUGACAGUACAAUGGGGGCAUAAAAUAGCGUUUUGCGGACCAGUUGGGGCGGGGAAAUCAUCACUCUUGCAUGCUAUAUUUGGAGAGAUACCAAAAUUUUCAGGAAUUGUUGAUGUAUUUGGUUCCAUUGCCUAUGCUUCUCAAACUUCUUGGAUCCAAAGUAGGACAAUUCGUGACAAUAUUCUCUAUGGAAAACCAAUGGACACAACCAAAUAUGAGAAAACCCUAAAAGCCUGUGCCUUAGAUAAGGAUAUAAACAGUUUUGACCAUGGUGAUGAAAUAGAAAUUGGUCAGAGAGGGCUUAAUAUGAGUGGAGGACAUAAGUAGAGAAUUCAACUUGCGCGAGCUGUCUAUAAUGAUGUCGAUAUCUACUUCCUGGAUGACCUUUUUAGUGCAGUAGAUGCACAUACCGUUGCAAUUCUUUUCAAUAAAUGCGUCAUGGUUGCUCUUGCUCAUAAAACCGUCAUUCUACUGACUCAUCAAGUGGGGUUUCUCUCUGAAGUCGAUAAAAUUCUGGUUAUGGAAGCUGGACAGAUAACUCAAUCAGGAAGCUAUGAGGAGCUCUUGAUAUCCGGGACAGCAUUUGAGCAGCUUGUAAAUGCACAUAAGAAUGCAGUAACAGUAUUGGAAUUUUCAAAUGAUGAACAAGUAGAACCUCAAAAAAAAUUGGGUCAGAAUCUGCUAGAGAAGUCUCAUGGACCCCUCUCCACCAAAGAAAACAGUGAAGGGGGGAUUUCUAUGAAGGGUCUGCCUGGGGUUCAGCUCACUGAAGAAGAAGAGACAGAGAUUGGUGAUGUUAGCAUGUCAAUUAAAUCUGAGUUUAUAGAAGUGAAGAUGGAAGUCUUGUGAACUCUGGGCAGGGAAGUUCAAAUAUUAGUGAACUAAAGAAGGAUAAUUUGGAUGAUAUCUGUGACCGAAGGCCUGAUAAUGAACCAAUCACACAUGGUGAGUCUGCUGGUUUUGCUAAGGAAGAAAAUGUUAAACUUGAGAAGGAGAAGUGAUGAAACUUUUACAAUGAGAAUUUAAUAUGGAAUGCAGAAAACAUGUCAGUGCAGAAAAUUGGGAAUUAUGAAGCAUUCAACGUCUGACAACUGUCGGGGAGAAUCCAGUUGAGCUUGCAAAUCAGAUUGCCUUUUAAAUCAAAGCAUUUGACAGCUAAACACCCUUAAAUUGAAGCAUUUGACAGCUGGACACUUUUACAGUGAAUUGGUUUCUUCUAUCCAAAAUCUCCCAGCUCCGCUCCUUUGGCCACAUUGGUGCACACCUCCUCCUCUCUUUGCUAUAUAUUGGGAAUGCACUGUUUUGAAUUGAUUUUUCAAAUCCUUUUUUUAACUUAAUAAUUCCAGCUUUGAAAAUCAUCUUUAGAUUUCUUCUAGGUGAUAAAAAUCCUCAUUUUCAAUAAACUUUUACUCCAAAUUUCCUUCUGGCAUGCAUUUUUAUUUAUUUAUAAUUUUCACAAUUUUUUGGGUUUUUAACAAGCAUGAAUAAAUUUCAUGGUUCCAAAUGAUGGGACUAAUUGAAUCAAUUCGUACAAAAGCAAUUUGGACCUUGGUGGGGGGUCCAACAUUCUUGAUAUCUUCUCUGAUAUUGAUUCAAAUGAGGAGAUUAUUUGAUAUUUGAUUGAUUUUGAUUCCUCUUGACAAUAUGCUUGAAUUUGUUUUAUAUUUAUUAUUGAGCUAACCUUGUUUCCCAUUUUAGUGCUCAGCUCACUGUCCAGGUACGCUCUCCAUUACCCUAUUUUCCAAAUUUCACGAAUAUCCAUUUUUUUGUGUACUAUGCCUUUGUUUGUUGUCUUGCUUGAUUGCUUUGAUAUACGUUGGAUCGUUUGGCCAUCUUGGAUAAAAUGCAUGUUGUGUACUAUAUUUCUGUACUAAUUUUGAUGUCUUAUGAUGGUGCUUGAGAGGUAGUCCAGGUACGCAUCCUAACUCUCCUUUAUUGUGAUUUGAUUUUGUUUGACACACUAUUUUUGAAGUCACCUUAGUCUACCUAGGUACCCUCAAUUAAUCAAUUAAUUGUCUCAUUUCUCUUAACUUAGUCAUUAGAGACCUUUUUAGGGUUUAGAGGGGUGUUACCUCCUAGAGGUACCUUCCCAAUAGGUAACCUGAUCAUCGGACCUAGACUCAAGUUUUUCAAGACUGGUUUUUCCAAAACUAUAUAGGGGGUCAUUUUUUAGGGUUUUAUUUCUUAUUUUAUUUUCUCUUUAAAAUAAAAUAAAAUAAGUUGUGACUCCAACCUUUUCCAAAAACAAAAUUUUUCACCAAUAAAAGCGAGUCUCGUCGAUCAAGUGGGGAUGCACGUGAAAAAUGCAGGUCCACAACCUCUUUAAGUUCUUUGGACAUUUUUCACUUAAUCUAGACUUUUUAAAUUCAAUUUUUGACAAAUAAAAUAUUGAAAUGAGAGAAAUAAUUUUUUUCUUCUUGCGCUUACUACACAGGUACUCUUCUAGAGCUGCGAGAUGUUAAUUUAAUUUUAAUUUUAAAUAUUUUAUGCAUGUAAUCUUAUCCUGUGAUUAUUUUUCAUAUAAAGUAGACAUAUUAAUGAGUUGUGUGAAUUUUUAUAGGAUUUUAGGAUAUCUCUAAGUUAAUUAAAAAAAUAAUUCUCACAUGCUAUGGAAAAUUACUCUGUUCUGGACCUAUUAUGCUUCGUAUGAAAUCUGGUACUAAAUAGGAUUUAAUUAAUUAAUUUGGACACUUGGAUGAUAAACUAGACAUAUAGUAAAUAUUCUCUGAAAAUUUUCAUGAUAAAAUUCAACUUCUGGAUAUUUUUUUCAAAUUUAUUUUGUAGAGUCUUCUAUUCUAAUCACUUGCUGAUUUUCUUGUGAAGUAACCCGCUUAUGAAUAAAUUUGAUAAUAAUUGUGAACUUUUUGUUGUCAUUGAUUCCUUGGUGAUUUGGUAACAUGUUUAGGGUCUUUAAAUUGAUCUUUGAUGCAUGUUUAGGUUACUAACAAAGGUAGGUACAGCUGCAUGUUGAUCUUCACAUUUCACACUCACUAAUGCACAUAUUUAGCUUGAAUAGGUGUUCUUAUUUAUUUUGAUUCCCUUUUUUGGUCGUGUAUUUGUAAAAAUUGUUUUCAAGAAUUUCAAAAAUGAUCAUUCUCAUUAUUAAUAUCCUCUUUCUUCUAUAGGUUCAAAAUGAGAUUUCAAAAACUUCAAAGUUACCCUUUUUUUGAAUUGGUAUGCAUUUCAAAUUUGUUUUCAAAAUGAAUUUGUGACCUUUCAUGGGAAUGAAAUUUGGACAUGGCUUCUUAUGGAGUUCUUUAAUCAUGAAAAUUUUCAUUCAAAUUAAAUUGGGAAGUCGUAACUCCCUACAUGUUCAUUUUCGAGUUUUGAAAUCUUAGUUUUUCAAGUAAUAGCUUAUUUCAAUGCUUUAUUUUGUACCCUCGAGAUUGAUCUAUGAAUUUAAAUUAGAAGAUGACAUGUUUAAUUUAUGAUUAUAUUUUUUCCUAAUAGUACACUCUGAAUUUAAUUUUAGAUACCUGCAUUACUUAAUUUGGAUUUUCCUGGCAUUAGAUAUAAUUUUGUCUUUAGGUACUUUGUACACAAGCUUUGUUUUGGGCAUUCUGAAUGUUAAAUUGAUUUUAAAUAUAUCAGUAUCAUUUUUCCUUUGAAAUAGACAUUUUCAAUAUUGUGUAUGAAUUUUGGGCAACCCUAGGUAGGCUAAAAAAAAUUCAUUUUUGCAUGCCCUAUGCACUGACCUUGUUUUGAAUCAAUCUGAUUUUUUUUAGUGCUAGUACUAUUUGACAUAUGAUAUGUGAAUUUUUCCAAUUGGGCUAGAAACUAUACUCCUUACAGUUAUUCCUCAAUUUUUUAUUUUUUUAUUUUAUGUAAAAAUUCAACUUCUAGAUUUUUCUAAUGUUUUAUCUUGUGAUGAGUUAUGUUUUGGAUUUUAGCCAAAGUCACUGUGUAUUGAUUAACUUGUGUAAUUUUUUGGCAUUAAUUGUUUGGGAAUAAUUGAUUUGUCCUUUUGGAAAUCAAUUUAUACUUAUUAAAGGCCAUACCUAAUUUUUAUCAUGAUGAAAUGAGCAUGUUUAAUAUUUGUUUUAGAUGUAUUUAGAAGACUCUUAUAUGUUGUUGUGUUGUGCUGAAUGUAUAUCAUAAUUUAGUCAGAAUCUUUUAUGCAUGCCUCAUCACUUAGAAUUUGUUUCAUUUCUUCUAAUUCAUUCUUUGUUCCCCAUGAUGCCUUGUAUAUAUAUGAUGUAAACCUUUCAUUUAUUACCUUGUUAAACUAACAAUUUCUUUUGAGGGAGUGCUUGCUUAUAUACUAAUAACGUAUCUACUUUCAUCCUUUGUUUCUUUCGCAUAUAUUUUAUAUUUUUUGGAUUGAUUCGAUUUCUAUUGUUGGUGUAUAUAUAUGAGCAUGUAUUUGAAUUUAUGUUCGAUUUUGUAUAUAUGCCUAUGCCAUAUGUGUGAUAUAUACUAUUACUUGUUAUUUAACUUCAAUUGUCUUAUGAGAACGCAUGUAGCUAAUUAAGGUACACUUCACUUUUAUCUCUAUAUGUGUAACUAUGUGAUAUUUCAUAGAGAAAUAAACUAGUUCCCCAUCAUUCUCAUGCAAAUGCAAGCAGUUGCUAGCCACCCAAGUGGUGGGAUUUUUUAGACAAACUUUAAAAUUGAUGAGGAUUUCAAUCAUUCAAUCUUUUUUUUUUUCUUUUUAUCUAAUGCAGUGGAUUUUGAAAUCCACACAACAUAAAAGAGAUCCUAUAAAGCAAACAAGCAAAGUUUGAGCCAUAUAUUGAAUUUGUAGGCAUAAUCAACAAUUUCCUUAGCUUCCACAGAUGUUCAAAUUUAGUGAGAAGGUCUUCUUUCUAUUAGACCACUUCUAAUAGACAAACUAUGCACCUCUCUUUUAUCAUCACAUGUAAAUGACCGUAAAGGAUGUGAAGAUCACUCUUAUAAAUCAUCUAACUUUGUUCAUUGGGUAAAAUAUUGAAUUUUGUAGUUUACUUUUUAGGGUUCUGAGUUUUAAUGAUGAGUCCAAGUCAAGAAUAGGAGAAACAAGAGGAUAUAUUUUAGGCUUAGCAUGGAAAUUCUGUACACAGACAUGCUUGUCACCUAAAUGCAUAACAUCUCCAAAUGGUGAUAAAUAUCACUUAAGUUUUGUGAAUUUCAUUCCUUUGUAGAAUAAUGAAAGUAUUGCACACCUACUUUGCAACAAAGAUAAUGCCACCAUGAUUGGCCAAUUCAUAAGUCAUAAUAAAUUGAUAUGCCCCAUGAUGCAACGAUAGAGAAGUGUGAAUUCUAGAAUGAUAAGUCACUAGAGAGAUAGAGGGGAAAAUGCUUACAGCCUAUACUAAUAAAAGAUUUUAAAGAUUAGAAGAUGCUAAUAUGUCCAAUGACUAAUGAGGUAAGAAAAACAAGUGUACAGAGAAGACAAUGACUUAAGUAAAUAGUUGAGCAUAAUGAAAAUGAUGGAACUAAAGAAUAGUUCUUAAGGAAUGAUAAGAUUUAUAACAAAAAUCUGAGACAGGAAUGGCACAGAAAACCAGUAAACUUUCAUAUAACUUGUUUGUACUAAUGAGAGCUUCUACCAUAGCUUUAAGUUUGAUAGGGCAUGUCCAUUAAAGCUGGAGAAUCUGAACUACUAUAUCAUUAAAUAUUGUCGUUUACAUUAACCUCGAAUCAAAACCUCUAUAAAUCUACCAACAAAAGAAAUAUCCCACUUCCAAGUCAAAACAAGAAGUAUUUAUAAAUCUACCAGCAAUUACAAACUUCUUCAUAUAUUGCAUCUAAAGUAGAGUGGUUCAAUUUCAACCCCCUCCAAGAACCCCUCCAACUGAUCUCUCGAAGGCAAUAAAAUCACAAACAACUAAACUAUUUGGAGACCAAGGACUGAUUAACAACAGAAUUCAAAUUUUAACAAUUCCUUUUCCUUUCCAAAUGCAGUUAAUGGCUAAUACAAAUAGGUAAUGUCUAAUAAAAAGGCCCCCUUUAUGGUGAAUUUUUAGAAACUUGGGUUAGUAAAAUUUGUGUCACAGGUUUAUUAUUGGCCGAAGAGGCUUAAUAAUAAAAGGGAAAAUUGUAAAUGAAUUUCCUAUUAUCUAUUUUGUGAACAAAAAGAAAAGAGAAAAAACAAUUGUCAUUGUUCAGAGGUAUUUUUGAAUUUUUUUUAUACUUCUCUCUAUUUUAAAACUUUAUAGAUUUUCCUUACAAAAUAUAUACUGGACUGAUGCAAUUCUCAAACAUUCUCUAGUGAGAAAACUUCCCAAGUGUACUCAAGACUGCUCAAGAAAUAUUUACAAAACAAAUUUCCCAGUAGAUUUAAAUAGAAAUAUUAAAACCAAAAUUUCAAAUGAAGAAAUUUAUUCUGUAAAUAUUAAUUACCAAAAACUCAGUUAGAAAGAGUUCUUAACUCCAUAUUAAUUGAUAAAUCAUUAAAAAAUUUACUAUCAACAUGAAGUAGUGCCUUAUCACUCACAGUAUAAAUUCAUAUCUAUCAUAUAUUUAACUAUUAUAUAAAAAAAUAAUUAAAAUUAACGUAUUUGUAAUUAAUAAUAUUAUAUAUACAGUUAAAUGUGCAAAUCUAACAAAAAAAAAAGGCCUUUCUUUUAGUCGAAUCUCAUCCCAUGCUUGAGCGCUAAGGUUUGACCUAUAGCCUUGUGGGUGAGCUUCACUGAAUUUUUUAUUGGUUUAAGAGGAGCAAUCCUACAUCAAAAUUUUAAGAAAAAAGUAUGGUGCAUUUAAUAGACAAUGCCCCAAGCCAUCAUCACAAGCAAACCAUGGGUUGGGUAUGGACGGCAUAGACUCCAAGGGCCUUAAAAUUUGCAGAAAAUAAAUGCUGACAUGGCAGUGAAAUAUCCACAAUAAAUCGGGCAAAAUAGUGAUGAAAUACCUUUAAUAGAGCAAUGAGAUUUCCAUACCACAUUUUGACACCUUACCCUUGUACCUUGGUCCAACUUGUUGGUAGCCUCCUUCAAUGACUUAGAUUUCAUUAUAAAUAUUCAAUUAUCCAAAUUUGGACUUAGAAUUUUCAUGGAAUGUAUGAAAACUUUCUUAUUCACAUGAAGCCUAUAUGGGCAAAGUUACAAAUGACUCUUAGGCUAGAAAUAAGGAAACAACCUGCUACACAUUAGAAAAUAACACCCCACUACCACUACUUACGUGGAGAGACUAAGGGCUAGCUCCUCAUUAACCAUUUCUUAGAGGCUAGGGCAAAUGAAACAUACCACAAAGGACUCACUUGACAAGUAACUUUGACUCUUUUAAUUUUUGUUCAACAGUCCCUCCCUUAAACUAAUGUUUUGUGUCAUAAUAGUCAGUUUAAUAAAAGUAAGCUUCGAAACACCCUCACAUAAAUUGGAUUAUCCAAUGUGCAAACAACAAGCAACUUCCUUAGCUUCUGAAAUAUGAGUGAUUUGAGGGACUUGGUACACAUAUCAGCAACUUGGUCUUCACUUUUGUAGUGUAGAUGAGAUCAAUCAUUCCAUCGUUAGUGAGGCCCCAUAAAAAGUGAUAUUUCACAUCUAUGUGCUUGAUUCUUCCAUGUAGAACAAGAUUCUUGGAGUUUAAUUGUUGAGCUACUAUCAAAAUAAAUUGGAGUGGGUUCUGGUUGCUUGAAACAAAGCUCUUUAAGAAUUAUCUUCAAUCAAAUAUCUUGACAGACAAAGUUGCAGCAAAAAAUUCACCUUUGGAUGAUAGAGUGACAUAGGACAACUAUAGUGACUGGGAGUCUUUCUUGUCUUAAGCUUGGACUUCAUGGCUUCCAUGUGCAUGCCCUUCGGGACACGACAAAUGCUCGCAUGUCAACUGGUAUUGUCUAAUUAUUAUUGGUUACUUCAUUUUUUACAUCCUUUGUCAUUAGGUCAGACUUACUCUCCUAGAUUUUCUGCAUAAUUCUUUCUAGCUUAAGUAUUUGAUUAUUAUUUAUGAGACCUUAUUUCAAUCCUAGUGGAAAAGUGCAUGGUGCUCUUGAAGAUGAGAAUCGUCAUACUGGUGAUUUAGGAAAUGCCAUUGUGGGUGAGGAUGGUAUGUACCAUGGUUUUAAAAACAAGACUGAACCAGCCGGUCGGUCACGGUUUCGAUCCGGUCCGGUCAUUUAAGUUGAAAAGUGUUCAGAUCAGAAUUAGGCCAAUUAAACCAAUGAUUCGACCGACGAACUAAAUAAACCGGAUGGUUCCCCCCGAACCAUCUGGUUCAAUCUUUUUUUCUUUUUUUUUUUUCCCACUGUCGCCGACUUGUCAUCCCCCGCCUGUAGGACCCCCACCCCACAUUGGAAAAGCCCCCUCUCAUCGUUCCCCACAACUAGAAAAGCACCCCUUGUCGUCCCUCACCAACAGAACCCCCACCCCUCGCGACCCUAUUGGAAAGGCCCCCCCUCCUUGCCGUCUCUCACCGGCAAGAUCCCACCCUUCUUGCAAAGCCACCCUCCCACUCUCCACACUGGAAGAAGAAAUGAGAAUCCAAAGUAGUGGUCGAGUGCGGUGACUUAUAGAGAAGAUCGAUGAUGAGGCGUCCAUCAAAGAGACAACCAUUGACUAAUUUAAUGAUUUUCAAAUAAAAUUUUAAUUUUUAAAUAAUAUAUAAAUUAUUAUUUUAUUUUUAUAAUUAUUUUAAAUUUUAAUAAUUUAUAAAUUAUCUUUUUAUGAUGUCACUGGUUCGACCACCAAUCAGACCAGUGAACCGUGAACCGGUAACUUUUUCGAUUCAAUGACCAAUCCGAUUCUGAAAACAUUGGUAUAUACUAUGUACUUCGUCAUAAUUAACUACUUAUAGAAUACCAUUAGAAGCAUUAUUAUUAUUUGCCUUGACAUUGCCAUUUUUUACGCAAUCAUUUUUCUUAGAUCCUCGUAUAGAUAUGAAUCUAUGUGAUAUAGGAAUGAAGUAUCUAGGUUGUAAAUCUAGAUCAGUUAUGGUAUUUGAACUUUCUUAGCCAUUAAGGUGCUCUCAUUUUCUAGUGUGCUUUUCAGGUAAAAUAAAUUUCAAAAUUGUUGACAAGCAGAUAGAUUUUUUACCUCUAUUUCCUGUUUUUCCUUUUUAUUCUUUUUCUCAUACUUGAAAACUAGCUAGGUUGAAAUUUAGUUCUUGUUAUCUAAAAAAUGUAUGUCUCUGUUUAAAGAUUCCUCUAUAAAACUUCUAUUUAUGAUGCUCUUUUUUCAGGUGUUUCCAUUUUGUGCUACUGCUAUUCUAUGCAAUGUGGAUUACUAAUGGACAAGAAUGAACAAUCCAAUCCUAGCUUAUGACAAAUGUUAAUAUAUUUUGUUGGAACAUUAUUAAGUUCCAUCUUACAGUGUUUGGACAAACAUACGUAUGCUUAUUCCGUCAUUUUGUGCACAGCAAUUAUUUUUACACUACAACAAAUAUAGGGUUUUAUCACAUUAAUUUGUGAUUAAAAAAUAGUAUUUUGUGGUAAAAGGUUUUUUUCAUAAAAAAUUAUUUGUGACAAGUUUGUUGCUAUAAGCCCAUGUGCAAUUAUUUUCAAUCAUAAAAUUUAAUCUUAUAACAACAUAAAUAAUUUUCCCAUAAAAUAAAAUUUGUGGCAACUUAUUGCUUUUCAACAAAAAAAAAAAAACAUUGAUAAUUUUAACAAUUGAUUAUCCAAUUCUCAAAUUGUGGAUGAUUGAAACUAGAUUUCAAUUCUUCAAAUAUCUCAAUUGAUUUGUGUUUAUAAUUGGAAUAAAAUGAACAUUAUAAAACAAUGUCAGAUGUAUUUUCAUUUCAUAAAAUAAAUGAAACAAUUUUUUUUAAAACAAUUAAACAAAUAAAUGUGUAAAAUGCAACACCUAAAAAAAAUAAAAUAAAAUAAAUUUAAAACACAUACCAACCCGUUCCACAAAAAUUAGAACUCACAAACAGUUGUUAAACAUAUAUUAUUAUUAGAUCAUUGACAUGAUCGAUACGCUUCCGAGGAGAGCUGCCUUGUCCAUUAGCAGUAAAGAAAUAUUGAUCCUUUUCAAAUUCUAACAAAGAAUGUAUGUAGGCUGUAUAACAUUUUUAAGGACUAGGCAUAACCAACCAAAUUUUUUUCGCUACUGAUCCUCAAGAUAUUACCUAAAAACAUGCAUAGACACAAAAAUUCCAGUCAUGAGCUGAAUCAAUUAAUCAAGAAAAAAUGGAUGAUCGAAAGAUAAAACGAUGCAGUCCCUUUUCAGACUUGAUCAGUAACCUUCAUGUGGUUGAGCAAGUAACAAUGGUGUUGGCAUGGAUAUUGAAGACUUUGGGCUUUGUAACUUUUAGCAAAAGUUUAAAUAUAGUACGCAAGGUUACGAAGGAGAUAGAAAAAAGACUUGCGUACAUGACAUGGUAUUGAUCUUCAGUAUCAUCUCAAAAUAGAAUGAGAUAGAUUCAAAUAUAGGGCCCGUUCUUUGCGGAGUCAGGAAGCAUUAUAUAAUGAAUGAUAGGGAGUUCCAGAUUUUGACAUUCGUCACUGAGCCAACACCAUUCAUAUGCAGGUUUGUUUUAUUAUUGAAAAGAAACAUGAGAGGCAGAGCAUAGGCACCAGCACAAAAAAGACUUAUGAGCAUAAUACUUGAUGUAGAUGCUAUAAAAAAUGUGAUGGUGGCAGCAAUUAGCUUCCCAGCUUCAGGAUUUUCCGGGAAAAGUUGAGAUGCUAUCAACUUCAUAUGUUCAAAAAUUCAACAAAAUAAUUAUAAAAACAAGUCCUCUCUCACCAAGGAAAAUACUCUGAAAAAUUCCAGUAUCAGCCAAAAAUAAAAUCAAGCUGACGAGAGUUAAAUAGAAACAUGGAUUCAAACAACACAAGUAAUAAUUACCUGAUAUGCAUCUCCAUGCUCAUGGUCAUCAUUUGGCUUUUUCCAUACCUAGAGUGAUUAAAGUGAAUCAAUUUUCAGUUUAAGAUAAACUUAAAGCACCAUAAUAGGUCACAUGCAAAGCCGUAGUCAUUUUCUCUUCAAUUACAAGAAACAAGUCAACAAAAAAAAAAAAAAAAGUUAAUCCCCAAGUCUGAAUUCUCACCCUUCUCUAGAAAAACAGAGGAUAUGAAGACAAUGAGAAUUGAGACUCAAAGUUUUGCUGAUUCAAGUGGUACCAGGAGGUGUGACGGCACCAAUUAAGGCCACCACACUGUCUCCUUCUUUCACUAUUUUCACUGCCUUACCACACUGCCUUACUAAUGUAGAAAGGAAAAAGUUAUGUGUUCAUCCACCGGCAAUUCACUCUAUCAAACAAGACCCAAACAGAUAUGGAGCAGAGGAAUUAAAUUUCAAUAAGCUAAAGUGGGAUAAAGGGCAUUUCAAAUAAAGGAUAAUAGUGCAAUAAGUGACUCUUCAAAAUGAGCAAUAAAUACAAGAAUUUACCAACUGCAUAGUAAACUACAUCGAAUUUCUCUGCCAAUCUUCAAACUUCUCCUUAGUGUAGUCAAUCAUCAAACCAGUUCCCAAGCUCUUCAUUAGCUCUAGUUUUCUUGUACUUGAAGUAGCAGUGCGACUCUUGAGGCACCAAACACUUGUUUUGCAUGGCUCAAGCCAUAAAAAAGGAGGAAAAAUGGAAUUAUUGUUCUAUAUCGUAUUCAUUUGCCUUAUCCUAAUUAUUUAGGGGGCAACAGUAGCACAAAUUUUGUUCUGUUUGCUCUACUGAGAGCCCCUAUCUCAAUUUUUAAUAACUAAUAAAUAGAGGAACCCCAUCUAACUGCAACAGGAGUUUCAUAUUUUAAGUACAAAAGUUUUUUUUCCAUUGUAGGCCAUGAAUGGAUAACAUUUAAAAUGGAAAAUAAAUAAUUAGGAACUGAAAUUCAAAUGCCUAGAUAACAAGGCUUCCAACUCCACCAACACCACCCAAAACAAGAAUCGAUUUACCAACAGUAAAUCCAGUCCUUUCGAGACCAUCAUAGGCUGUCUCAAUUGUAAGAGGAAGUCCAGCAGCUUGAACAAAAUCCAAAUUCUUUGGCUUUAGAGCCAACAGUUUCUCUUCAAUAGUAGUGCAUUUUGCAAAUGAGCUAAACUGUUUAGGCCCAUCCAAUGUUUUCUCAUUUAUGUUUCCAUGUAACUUCAAAUAGAGUAAAUAGAAAGGGAUCAUGUAGAAACCCUCAAGUAAUUACAUAUUUCUUCUUUAACAUGAAUUUCAGAAUUCUAUAUAUUGGUUACCAAUAAUCCAUGCAAGAACACACCUUCUUCAAAGUGAUGAAAACGUUUCCAAUCUCUGAUGGCAAUCUUCCUUUUAAAAACCUUUGAAACAAGCUUAAUUGCAUUGUACUUCAUGGGGGAUGUCAUAUUUGGUGUCAAGACUUUGUCAUGCUAAAAGAAAAUGGACAUGGAGGGUAACAAUUUGGAAGGGAUGAAGAGGUCAAAGAUAAGCAUAAUUUUUUUUUCCUCCGAAAUUUCUUGUUCUCUUGUUUAGGAUUCUUUAAGGGUAGGGCAGUUUGUCUUUUCCAUAUUUCAUUACUUGAGGACAAGGGUGAUGGUUAAGCUUCUCUUUGUUGAGCCCUUUUGUUCUUUUUUUUCUUCUUUUUGGGGGUAGAAUUUUCUCAAUUUCUUUUGUGUUUUCAAAUAUGUUUUAGAAGUAAAUUUUAUGGAUAAUAUUUUAUUUUAAUCAUUCUUUAUUGUAUAAUUAUUUUUUAAAACAAUUCUCAUCAAAUAACAAAAAAAAAAGAGUAAAAAUAAUUAAAAUAUGUUAAAAACAAACAAAGACCUUCUGACCAUGGAUUCCUUGUUUGCUUCACUCCAUGCCUAACAGUUUCCUCUUUCUUAGUGACACCGUAAUCACCUUCAUUCUGCACAAUCACAUACACCUUAUCGCCUCUAUGAAUCCGAAUGACCGGCCCUGGAAAGCUUUCAUUCACAGUCAGCAUGCUCUUUGUGCUGCACAACCUUGUGAAAUUGGACAUCUUUAGCUACAGGAGAUAAAAAAAGAGAGGCAAUAUACAAUGUGACUAACAAAAAAGACCCUGGAUUCUGACAAAAACAGGCAAGUGUCAAGGUAAUACUCACAACAAAGUCAUAAAAAGAGACUUCCAAAGCAUAUUCAAGGGACAUGUAGCUACUUUCAUUAUUAGAACAAUUCAAUUAGUAGUUGUUUCAUUACAAGUAUCUAUAUACACAUGCAAAAAAAAAAAAAAAAGGCCACGUUAUGUGAGAAUCCACAUAUUUUGAGGAACAAAAGCUCACCAAAUGACCAAAUUACUAAAGGAGAAAGCAUCGACAAAAGAAAAAUGGAUACAAGAGAGCUACUCACCAUAACUAUGAAUAAUGAAAUAUUCACUAGAAGUGCAGAAGGGGGUGUUUUAUUUUAUUUUAUUUUAUUUUUCCAUCAUAUGGACAGAUAACAUCAUAUGCAGGAACAGGUCUAAAGAGAGCAUUGGGCAACUCAGCAGAAACCACACUUAAUAAACUCAUUUGGAUCAAGUAUUAAUGAUUAAAAUCAUUUAAAUACAUAUCUUUACAUUAUCCUAGAACAUUUUCUUUUCAUUUAAAUGCAUUGUCAUCAUAAUUUAUAAGAUGAAUGCAUUACUCCCAAAUCAACCCAUCUAAUUCUCAAUUCAUCAUAACCGAGGAACUGUCUCAUUGAAGUCAUGUGUUGCUUAAGCACCAGUUUUAAUAAUUUAUCAUCCCAUAAAGCAACCAAAAGUUUAUGUUUAACUUAAGACCCACCAAAGAGGAAAUAAAAAUUUCCAAAACCUAACAAGUCAAAAUAUGUGCAUAAAUACAUACAUUUUAAGCAAGUGUGAUGAAAUAGAUAACACUAUUCCCCAAGAUUAACAUAAGAACAAUAGAAUAACAGAUGCAAAUAUAUUUUGAUUAAUUCAUAAUACAAAUAAGAGGCCUUAAUACAUACUUCUUAAGCCAUUGGCGUCCGAUUCUUUUAAGUUUUGCAGUGAUAAUAUCCUCGACAAACAACCCAAACAUAACCAAUCUAAACUCCACCUGCCAAGAUACCAUGAUUUUCAAUUAUUAUAUGAGCAUAAACAUUAGAAGAGUUGGACAUUCCAUAAAAAUUGGUCCAGCCUAUCAUCUUUUUCGACAGCAGAAUAUGUAGGCAUGACACAAUCCGAGAUCGAUAAAGUAUGAAAACCAAAUUUUAGAUUUAAGUAUACCGUAUAGGUUGAAGCACUAUCCCCAGGGAAGAAAAAACCACCAUCUAUAGACCUGAUAUCAUUAACAAAGCUACACAGCCCCAAAUUCGCAACGACCUUCAUCAAAACACAUUCUUCUCAAUCCCUUAAAUGCUUUGAAAUCACGAUAACAAAUAAAAAACGCAAAGAUAAUGCCCAAUCUCCCGACCUUGUCUAAGAAGAGACUUUCAAGCUCUCCUUUGAUGGCUUCACUGAGAGGAAGUCCAGAAGAUGAGGCGACAAUCGGAGUGUGUGCUCAAUCAAGCUAAGGAAGAACAUCUAAACCUAGAAAACGUAAAUUUCAAACCGAAAAUCAAUGGCAGAGGCUGAUUAUUAAAGGAAAUUGAACAAAUUAACAUACAAAAAAUAACAAAUUGUCUUCUCUAACUUGUUUUCGCAUCUGUAGGGUUCUUCAGUGAGCUUCUGGUUGAUCUAGGGUUUUAAUCUCCGACCGGUCACCGUUUCCGGCAAUAGGAAUAUUUCAAUUCCCGCCACACCGGUGAGGUUUGCGACUCUUCAAUUAUGAGAGGAGAGAGGGAAACCAAAGUUGGGAAGGGGGGGACGGUGGGAAACAGAAAUUAUUUCAAUAAUGUGAAAAAAAAAAAAAAAAAGGGAGAAUUGUGUUUUGACCGGCUCAAAAAUUAAUAUUUGGUUCAUAUAUCAUGCAUAUUUAAGUUUAAAACCCAAAUAAAGUAUAAAAAUUAAAAUGAAAGAUAUUAUCUUUUAUUAAUUUCUAAAAUACCCUUAAUCCUUAUAUGCCUACAAAUGAGUGUGAAUUUCAAUUUUUUUAUGUUUUUUUUCCCUUUUCUAUUCUUUAUUAAGUAUUACUCAUUUCUAACUUUUUUUUUUCUUUUUCUUCCAAUAUAUAUUUCUAUUUUAUGUUAAAUAAAAAGUAAUAAUAUUUUUUUAUUUUUCAUUUUUAAAGAUAUUGAAUCUUUUUGCUCUUAUUAAAAGCAAUGAAAAAAAUUUUGGGAUUUUUCAUCCAAAUAUUUUUUAUCUUUUUGUAUUUAUCUUUUAGUUUAAUUUUCAUUUUUUAUUUUAAAUUUAUAUUACCUUUUAUUUAUAUUUUUCUCUUAUUUUAAUUAUUUUUUAUAUUUUCUACAUUAACCAUAUUUUAAAAAUUGACUAUCACUUCACUUUAUUUUAUAUACAUAUCCUUUUAGCUUUUUAAUUUUUAAUGUUUUUAUUUUAAAAUUUUAAAAAAGAUAAAUUUAUUGAAAAAAAGUAACUAAGAUAUGAAGUUCUAAUAUUAUAUUAAUAAUUUUUCUUAUCUAGAUAAACUAAUGCAAAGUAUUUUGACUCACAACAAGAAAAUUGUCAAUACAAUUUUUUUAGUUAAACUUUAGAAAUUAAAUUUCAAAUAAAAUAUAUUAUAUAAAAUUUUAUCUAAAAAUUAUUGAAAGUGGUAUUUAAAUUUUUUUUAUUGACUUUCAAACUUAUCUACUUUUUUACUUGAAAGGUAAUAGAACAUGUUUACAAAAAAAAAAAAAAUAGUUUUUCAUUUUUUAAAUAAAUGAGUAUAAAUAUAUUAAAAGAAUUAAAGAUAAUCUUAGUAAAAAAUUUGAUAAAUAUGAUUAUAAUUUUAAAUAUAGAUUCAUUUGGAUAAAAUUUCAUAAAAAAAAAAUAGUGGAAAGAAAGAACAUUGCUAAAACUACAAAAACAAAAUAUGCAAUUACAAAAUUUUGAUGAUGAAAUUUAAAAAUAAAAUUCGAAACAAUUCUUGAGUGAGAGAAUUUGAGUGGGGGAAAAAUCUUUGAGUGGAAAAACAUGGGAAAGUUUUUUAAAAUCACUUGAAAUCUUUAACAAAAAGUAGUCUUGUACACCCUUGUAUAAUUAGUAAAUUUGUCUUGUACAGUUAAUGUAAUACCCUUGUACAAUAACUCAAAUUUCAUAGAUCAUCUCAUGAAUAUCUGACAAUAGAUCGGUUAACCAUGUUUGCAUUGGUUUGGUUUUAAAAAAGAAGAAAAAUUGUUGUAUAAUUUUGUUUUACAAUCAUCAUAAGUGAGGUACCUAUUCAAAUAACCAUAUACAAGUUAGAUAAAGUGUAUGAGAUGAAUGUAUAUUUAAUCAAUGUGUGUAAGGAAUGUCAUUUAUCCUCAGUUAGAGGAAAUAAACAAACAAGUUUUUCAAAAUCACUUAAAAUCCUUCACAAAUAAUAGUCUUGUACACCCUUGUACAGUUAGUGUAAAUACCUUGUACAGUGACUCAAAUUCCAUAUACCGGCUACUCAAUGUGUAACCAUAGGUAGGUUAACCAUGUUUUCAUUGGUUUGUUUCAAAAAAUAGAGGAAGAUGGAAAAACAAAAUUUUCUUUCAAACAUCAUUAGUGGGAUAAGUAUUCGAAUUAUCAUGUGCGAGUUAAAUAAAGUGCAUAAGAUGAGUGUGUAAUAGAGGAAUGUGUACCUUAAGAGUGCAAUCCUUAGAUGACAAGACAAAAAAAAAAAAUAUAUGUCCAAAAUUGAUUAAAAUAUUUCACAAAGAAUAGCCUUGUGAAGUUAAAACAUUUGUCUUAUCCAAUUGAAUAUUUACCUUGUACAGUUAGUAUAACACCCUUGUACAAUUGUGCAAAUUUCAUCCAUAUGCAUACAUUAUGUGCCACAUAUGAUGUGUGAACCAUGUUUCCAAUGGUUUCAUUUAAAAAAUGAUAUAAAAUGUAAAAACAAAAUUUUUCUCUAAACAUCAUUAUUAAGGUAAGUAUUUGAAUUGUUAUAUGCGAGUUAAAUAAAGUACAUGAAAUAAAAGAAUUUGUGGUAAGAGAACGUAUAAUCCUUAGAUGAUAAGAAAAAAAAAAAGUUGUUCAAAAUGUACAGUUUUGUACACCCUUGUACAAUUAGUAUAAUAACCUUGUAUAAUGAUAUAAAUUUUAUAUAUAUGUAUAAAUUAUAUUCACAUGAGUGUGUAAACUAUGUUCCUAAUAGUUUGACAUUUAAAAUAAUUAAAACAAAUAAAAGAUUAUUUUAUUUUAUUUUCAAUGCAAAAUGUAAUUAAAAAUAAGACAAAGAAAUUACUUAAAAACUAUUAUUUAAGCCAAGUUUAUUUAUUUAUUUCCCUUUAUUUUUGGAAAUAAAGAAAAAAGAAUAAAAAAUUUAUUUAACCAUAAGAAAUAUGAAUAUAAGAUCAGCUAGAAAAUACCAAAUUUAUUUAUUUAUUUCUUUUUAUUUUUGGAAUUAAAGAAAAAAAUAAAAAAAUUAUUUAACCAUAAAAAAUAUUGAUAUAAGAUAUGUUAAAAAAUAGAAAUAACCCCAAAUUUAUUUACUUAUUUCAUUUUAUUUAUUUAAAUUAGAAAAUAAUUUAUUUUAAUAGAUUAAAAUGUGCACAAUUAAUUUAUUACUUUGUUAAUUAUGGAUAUAUUUAAAUUUUCUAUUAGACAAAAAAAUAAAUAAAGAAAAUAAAAUUAAAAAGAGUAAUAAAUAUAUAUAAUUUAGUUAUUUAAUUAUUUUUUAUGUAAAAGGUAGUCCCACAAAAAACACAUAAUCGAUCAAUUUCUUUGUUUAAUUGUAAACAUACUAUAUUUUUUUUUUUUUAUUAAAAUAACUAAUGAAAAAAAAUAAAAAUGGAUAAUCAAUGAAUGAAAUUUAAUUAUUUUUAUUAUUUUCACAUAAAAAAUAGUACUAAACAAGGUUUUUAAUUUUUAUUUUUAAAAAUAGUUUUCAUUUUUUAAUUAAAUAUUUUUUCAAAAAGAAAAUAUAAAAAAUGUAAAUCAUAUUACCAUUUUUUUAGAAAGUAUUUUUUAAAAUAGUUUUGAACAUAAUUUUUCUUUAUUUAUAAUUUAAAAUAGAAAAUAAUGCUGAUUUUCAAUCAUUUAUAUAAAAAAAAUUGAAAACAAUGAAAAAUCCAAAUUGUUAAAAUAGAAUUAUUAUGGUUGCAUGAAUAGUGUGCAAUAAAGACUAAAAAAGCUUAUGUGAAAGGUCAUUAGGUAUUUUAGUCCAUCACUAUUUUAUAUCCUUAAAAGGUAAUAUAUAGAAAUUUGAAGGAUGUAUUAGUCUUUUAACACCUUAUAUCAUUUCCAUCAAUUAUAGAAGUUAUAUGGACCAAAUGUUAAUUUUUGGGCCCAGUUGGACUCAAAACACAAUUCUCCCAAAAAAAAAAAUCAAAAUUAACAUAAUGAUUUAAAAAUUAAAAAUUAUUUUAUUUUUAUUGUUCCUAAACAUAAUUUGAUAUCAAAUUUCCUAUCAAGAUUUGGAAAUGUUGACUAUAAUUUUGGAAAAAAAAAAAAUAUUUGCGAUCUGACAUGCUUAAGAGACAUUUUAAAAAAAAAAUUUGUAUAAAAUUAAUAUUGAAUUAAUUAGGCUUAACUUAUAAUAUGGUAUAAUUCAAGACAAAAUUCAUGUCAAAAUAUUACUAAAAAAACUUAUAAUAUGGUAUAAUUCAAGACAAAAUUCAUGUCAAAAUAUUAUUAAAAACUAUUUGCCACCAUUAUACGAUGUGGUUAAAUAUAAUAUUUUGUGAUGAAUAUAAACUUCAUCUUUAAAAAGUGGGGGAUUCUAAAUUAAAUAUUAGAAACUUGUUGUGAGAUUUUUGGAGUAUGGUUGAGAUCCAACACCUAGCCUAACUUAAAAAUCAAACUGAAAUUUUUUCAUUUUCUCCAUUGCAUGGUUGACAUAAGUGUGAGAACCUAAAUAUCCAUUUCAUCAUCGUUUAACAUUUUUAACCAAAUUCAUGUUCAGAAUAGGGGUAAAAUGGGCCUUAAUUUUAUUAGAACUAAAAGCUUCUUCAGAGAAUAGAAGUAGGUGGUGUUGACAUCACAAAUUAUAUGGAAUGUGAGUAAUUGCAAAUGAGGGUUCUAAGAAUUAUGGUUUAAAGUUAUUCUGACUCCCUUUUGGGCUUCUACUAUGAUCUCCAGAAGCCACAUAUGCUAGCUGCUAGAUCAUUAUUAAGUUUUUCGAGCCUUGGUAUCAGGGUUGAUUGAUUCCUUGAUAUAUGCUUACCAAUCACCAAGUACCACUCGGUUAGAAGAGGAUACUUGGCUAGUUUAGUCUGUUUUUAUUGUCUAGAAAAAAACUCCUAAUAUGGCCCAAGUGGGAAUGGCUUGACUUUGUUAGAGUAUGGACAUAUAUGUUCCUAUUUUUCUUAUUUUUAUUCUUAUUCUUAAUUUACCUUUGAACAUUUUUUUUGCUUUCAUAGCAUGCAAUAACAGUUUAUUUUCCAUAUUUUUUUGGGGGGACAUGUUAGGGUGAAUUCACAAUAUUCCAACAAACAUCAGAAUUUUUCUACCAUUUCUUUAUGUAAAAUUAAAUAGGUAAUAGCAACUAGCAGCAAUAAAUAAAUAAACUCAUGCAACGAAAAAUAAAUCAGACACCACCAUUUUUACGUAGAAAACCCCCCAAUGAGCACAUAUAGCCUUGGAUUAUAUAAUCUCUAUUGGAAAAAGAAACAAAGAAAAAUUGGAGAAAUAAUACCCAAAAAAAUGUCGUUACUGUUCACGGGCAGUAACACUAGUUCCCGAGCUUAAAAUCUUAUCUCCACUGUUCAUAUUGUAGCUACUCAAGGUUUGAACCUCUCUUCCAAAUUUCAACUCGAUCAAACCACAGAUGAAACGGGAUUGGCUUGUUGAUGAAAUCUAGGAAGAUGUGUUUUUUUUUUUUCCGAUCUUUUUUUUUUUUAAUGUAACUGACUUGGGCCCCAAGCAUAUGGGGCCCACUCCCUCACAUACGAGGGAACCCAACAAAUCUCCUCUCUCAACUAUGUGAAGGGCUCUACCAAGUCCGCUUGUUUUCGACAGAAUUAUAGCUUCUCUGUAGGUAUUGGUUUUAUCAUCAUAUCUGAUCCAUUUUCAUCAGUAUUGAUUUUCUCAAGGCAAAACAAUUUCAUCUCUAAUGCAUCGCGAAUCCAAUGAUAUCUCACAUCAAUGUGCUUGAAUCUAGAGUGAAAAGUUGGAUUAUUGCUGAGAUGAAUAACACUCUGACUAUCACAGUAGAGUAGAUACCUUUCUUGCUGUAAACCCAAUUCUUGUAGGAACUUCUUCAUCCACAGUAACGCCUUGCUAGCUUCAAUGAUAGCAAUAUACUCAGCCUCUGUGGUCGAUAAAACAACACAUUUCUGCAACCUUGAUUGUCAUGACACUACUCCCCCUAAAAAAGUGAUCAAAUAACCAAAAGUAGAAUUUCUGGAAUCAAUAUCCCCAACCAUAUCUGCAUUUGUGCAUCCUACAAGCACAGGUUUGUCAGUCCCAAAACAUAACAUGUCUUAGAAGUACCCCUUAGAUACUUGAGAAUCCAUUUCACUGCAACCUAGUGUUCUUUGCUAGGAUUAGAAAGGAACUUGUUGACAACUCCAACAACAUGAGCAAUAUUAGGCCUCAUGCACACCAUGUCAUACAUUAAGCUACCCAGGGCUGAUGCAUAGGGCGCCUUUCACAUUUAUUUUUUUUCUUUGUCACUUGAAGGACUUUGUUUGGACCUUAGCUUUAGAUGACUUCCAAGUGGAGAACUCACUGGUUUUGCCUUGCUGAUGUUGAACUUGUCUAAAACCUUCUCAAUAUAGCUUUCUUGAGAUAGCCACAAUUUUCUAUUCGUCCUAUCUCGAGAAAUCUUUAUACCAAGAAUCUAACUUGUAGACCCUAAGUUCUUCAUUUCAAAGGACUUGCUCAACUCCUUUUUCAGUUUAUUAAUUUUACUAGUAUCACGACUAACAAUCAACAUGUCAUCCACAUAUAGCAAGAGAAUAAUAAAUUCUCCAUUAAAGAAUUUCUUCACAAACACACAAUAGUUAGAAACAGAUCUAUCAUACCCAUGCUCAACCAUGAAGGAAUCAAACUUCUUGUACCACUAUCUCGGUGCUUGCUUGAGACCAUAUAAGCUCUUCUUUAGUCGACACAUUAAGUGUUCCUUGCCUCUGAUUGUAAACCCUUCUGGUUGCUACAUAUAUAUUUCCUCCUCUAAGUAACCAUGGAGGAAAACAGUCUUCACAUCAAGCCGUUCAAUCUUUAGAUUCAUACUGGCAGCCAAGCCUAACACAACUCAGAUCGAAGACAUCUUAACCCCGAGUGAGAAAAUCUCUUCAAAGUCAAUGUCUUUCUUUUGACUAAAACCCUUCACAACCAAUCUUGUCUUGUACCUUGGCUGUGAUCUGUUUGGUUCAAGCUUCCUUUUUAGUACUCAUUUAUUCUUCAAUGCUCUCUUACCCUUAGGAAACUCCAUCAAUUCAUAAGUGUUGUUCUUAUGCAAUGAUUUUAUCUCUUCAUGCAUAGCUCUCAACCACUCUUUUUUCUUAUCAUGCAACAGAACCUCUUGAUAACUUUCUGGCUCUCCCCCAUUAGAAAGCAACAAAUACUCAUCAUUAGUAUACCUUCUAGAAGGUUAACGCUCUCUAAUAGAUUUUCUUAACUAUGUUUUAGUAGGCAACUUUAAGUAGCUUGUUUUUGCUGCUAUUCUAAGCCAUCGUUCUCAACUGUAGGAUUUUCUUCUACAUCAUCCUGCUCUGAUAGAUUUGAACUGCUUGUCAGUUUGCCUCUCAACCUUCACAUGAAAACCUUUAAAUAUAUCAAGUACCUGGUCUUUGGAUUUCAAAGCAUAUGUCACACAUUUCUUGAAUGAUCAUCAAUAAAAGUCACAUAAUAAAGUGCACCACCAAGAGUAUUACUUUGCAUAGUACAAACAUCAGUGUGAACUAAAUCAAGAAUAUUUGGUUUUCUACAUGAAGAAAAUCUACGAAAUGCAACCCUACUUUGCUUUCUAGACAGACAAUGUGUACAAGGUAAUAGUGACGUACCUUUAACUGGUAGAAACUUCUUUCUGACAAGAACCUGAAGUCCCUUUUCACUUAUGUGAGCAAGCCGCUUAUGUCAUAGCUCAGUAGAGGCUUCAUUCUCAACAAUGUUCACUUCUCCCUUGACUAAUCUCACUUUUAUUUUAUAGAGAGUAUUGUUUUUCUUCCCCUUAGGUAAAACAAGAGAACCCUUAGUAAGCUUCCACUUACCCUCUCCAAGGUGAGUAUGGUAGCCCUCAUCAUCAAGCUUCCCAACAUAGAUCAAACUAAAGAGCAUUUCAGGAACAUGUCUGACAUCUUUCAGAACCAAUUUGCACCCAAUGUUAGUUUCUAGCUCUACAUCUCCUAUGCCAACAAUUUCACAUUUUGCUUCAUUUCCCAUCCCAUCCUAACCUAACCAAAACUGCCACUAGUGUAGAAAAAGAAGAAAUCUUUACGUGCAGUGAUAUGAAAUGAUGCUACUGUAUCAACCACCCAAGUGGAAUCGUAGCAUGCAAGGUUUACACACGCAUAAUCACAAACAAUGAUCGUAUCAACAUCAUAUGCAACUGCUGUAAUGUCUUUAUUCUCUUUCUAUUCUUCACAUUUUCCUUUAAACUAUUCUCUUCUGAAUUUUAUGCACUCUCUCUUAAUGUGUCAUGGCUUGUCACAGUAAAAACACUUUAUCUCUUUCCAAGACUUUGAUUUUCCUCUUGACUUGUACGGUUAUAAUCACUGGAAGGAUUUUUGCUUUUACUUUUCCCCCACCUUUCUAUAACAAGUGCUUCUAUAUUAGAGGAAAUACCUAACUCUUUUCUUCUUGCCUCUUCAGUAAACAUGUUGUCUUUUACCAUGUUGAUAGUUAUCACACCAUUUAGGGUUGAAUUACUCAAGGAUACCACCAAAGUUUCCCAACUGUCUUGUAAGGAACUCAACAAAAGUAAAGCUUGUACCUCAUCAUCUAGCUUAAGUUUCAUGGUAGACAACUCAUUCAACAAUCCCUGAAAAUUACUGAGAUGCUCUGCAAUACUAUUACCAUCCUUGUACUUUAAAUUGACAAGCCUUCUUAUCAUAAAGGCUUUAUUCUAUGCAGUCUUUCUCUCAUAAAGACUUUUUAAUUUAUGCCAAAGGCUAUAUGCAUCAACUUCCUUGGCUACAUGAUGGAAGACACUCUAAUCAACCCACUGCCUAAUAUGUCUAAUGGUUUUCCCAUUUAAUUUUUUUCCACUCAUCCUCAGUUGUAAUAACUGACUUAUAACCUCUACAUUUAAUGGGCUCAAACAACUCUUUGCAAUAUAGAAUAUCCUCCAUCCUAGUCUUCCAAAUUAAUUGGAAGUUGUGAGUUUAAUCAUUCCACUGCUAGCCUCCUCCAUUUAAUUAACACAAGAGAUCCCACUACUAAUCAACUUGGCUCUGAUACCACUUGUUAAGGUGAAUUCACAAUAUUCCAACAAACACUAGGAUUUUUCUACAAUUUCUUUGUGUAAAAUUAAAUAGGUAAUAGCAACUAGCAACAACAAAUAAAUAAACUCAUACAAUGAAAAAUAAAUCAGACAUCAUAAUUUUUAUGUGGAAAACCCUCCAAUGCGAAGGGAAAAACCACGGGACCUACUCUAGUUCAAACUUCCACUAUCAACAAUAAUAGGUUACAUCUGUUUUCUUUAGAAUAAUCUCUAGAGGCUACCAAAUACAUCAAGAGCACAUAUAGCCUUGGAUUAUAUAAUCUCUCUUGGCAAAAGAAACAAAGAAAAAUUGGAGAAAUAAUACCCAAAAAAAUAUUGUUACUAUUCACGGGCAGUAACACCAGUUCCCAAGCUCAAAAUAUGAUCUCACUGUUCAGAUUGUAGCUACUCAAGUUUCUAACCUCUCCUCCAAAUUUCAACUCGAUCACUACACAGAUGAAGCGAGAUCGGCUUGUUGAUGAAAACUGGGCAAAUGUGUUUUUUUUCUCUCUCCUCUCUUCUCUUCUCUUCUUUCUGUUUUUCUUUUUUUCGAUUUUUUUUUUUAAUGUAAUUGACUUAGCUAGUUUAGUAUGUUUUUAUUGUUUGGAAAAAAACUCCUAAUAUGGCCCAAGUGGGAAUGGCUUGACUUUGUUAGAGUAUGGACAUAUAUGUUCCUAUUUUUAUUAUUUUUAUUAUUUUUAUUCUUAUUUUACCUUUGAGCAUCUUUUUACUUUCAUAGCAUGCAAUAACAGUUUCUUUUCCAUAUUUUUUCUGGGGGACAUGAGCUCAGCAAAAGCACCGAAAUGUGGUGGCAGAGUAGCCUGUGGUAAGCAAAUUUCUUCUCUUUUCUUUUCUUUUUCUUUGUAGUGAGAGAGCGAUAAGGGUGAGGUGGGUUUUGGUUGGUACAUGAAAAUCAAAUCAUGCAUUUGGGUUUCGUUUCAUGCAAUUAAAAAUGAAAUAAGAUAAAUCACUUUGUUUCUUAUGCAAUUUUUGUUUGCAUUUAAAAAUUUUGAGAUACUAUAAUUAUUUCAAGUACGAGUGCUUUCCAAUAUUUAGUUUUUUUAUUCUAUUUUUUUCCUCCCCACCAUAGCAGACCAAGAACUUCUUUUCCAAAUUAUUAUGGAGAUAAAAUGGAAUGAUUGCACUAUUAUUUGUUCUUUAAAUGCACUUGUAAGAUAAAUUUUAUCUAUAAUGUUCUUUGGGAUCAUCAAAAGAUGCAUAUGGGCUAUCUAUUAGACUUCUACAUAUCUUGGGUUUUUAUCUUAUUCAUUUGUCUCUAAAGUUGUGUGUUCGUUUAUCUUUGUGUAGGGGUUAUCGGACUUCAAGGCUAAAAAACUAGCUCUACCGAUACUCAUGGUAAACACGUACAUGUAGUUGAAGAUGUUUGUUUUGUCAUGCAUGAGAGAACCCAAGACGAGACUCAAAAACUGGAAAGAAUAAAGGGAAGAGGUUGUCCUUUAUGGUGGGAUGUAUGAUGUUAUGAUCUUAAAUCUUUUGUGUUUUUUCCCGUUUAUAGCUAAAACUUCCUUUUGUUUUACAUGUCUCAUAGUGUUUUUGGUAGUUCUCUUAGCUUGGAUCUGGUAAGGAAUGAAUAAAAUAAAUUAAAGUAGAGAAAUAUUCAAUAUGCAUUGACAUUGAGAAUGAAAGUUUGGACAGUGUGUAUCAAAUAGGGAACAAAACUAUGAAUAUGAGGGUCCAAUGUGUUCAGAGUAAGCAAGAUAGCAAACCAUAGCUAUGUGGUAGCACCUUGGUUACUAGCCCUUCUAAUCAAUCUCAUCCGAUUUAGACUUAUUUAAGUGGUAUCAUUUGUUGAAAAUGUGUUGUGGGGUAUGUUGUUCUAUAUUAUUCUGAGUUUAAAGAUUUGUGAUUUUGGAUGGGGAUGGCAUUGAGAUUGCUCGAUAAUCCUCUGUUCAACUUUUUUUUUUUUAAUUUUGAUCUUCAUAGAAAUGUGAAAUCAAUAACCAUCUCUCUUUGGAAUGAAUCCCACAUUAUUUUGCAUUGGCAUAGGCAUAGGCAUACAACAUAGGCUAGUGAAUGUGUGUCGGUUUUAGGUAUGAGGUGUGAAACAUGAGCUGAUUGUGGAUGUUUGCAUUGCAUGAACUUUAUGGUUUAGGGAUUCAUAUUCUUUUAUUUAUAAUAACCCAAAUUUGUGAGAUGGGUUUGGGACAUGAGAGUCGAUCCACCCACCCUUUGGUUAAACACUUUUCUCUUUUCUUAUAAGAGGAAAAUAAAGGAUAUAAAUGAAAAAGGCUGCAUCUAGGGAUUGAACAAAAGAGAGCCUGAAGAUGGAGGUAAAGAAAGUAUAGGGCUAAGUGUGAUAGGAUCAUUAACAAAUGCAAUUUGAAUGAAUGAAAAUGUCUUGAGUGGUAUCACAUGUAUGCUUUGGAUGGUUCUUGGGUCCCGCUCUUACCACCAGAAAUCCUUGGAUUACCUAGUGUUGGCUAUCCUUGGAUUAUAAAAUAUCUCAUUUUUAUAAUAUAUUUUUAUUAUAAAAUUGAGUAAAUAAAAUAAAAAAUGAUUAAAAAUAUGAUAAAAUUAAAAAUAUAAAAAUUAAAUAUUUAUUUUUCAUUAUCAAUUUAUCAAUUUUUAAAAAAUAUUUCUCUCUUUUCUUUAUUUGAAUACAUCUUCAUUAUCAAUUUAUCAAUUUUUUAAAAUAUUUCCCUCUUUUGUUUAUUCGAAUGCAUCUCUUUCUAUAUCUAAUUGAUUUCUUAAGAGGAUUAAAUAAAUGUACAAAUGUGAAAUAUAGCUAGUGGUAAAAACUUCGUUCUUAAUACAAGCUCAUUGAUAUUCAAAACAUUAAAAUUAAAAAUAAGAUUAUUUUAUAGUCUCUAGCUUAAAUAUAACAUUUGUAUGUAUACAUCUUCUUUUUAAUAUCUUCAUUUUUUUCUCAUAAUCUAUUAUCUUAAUUUCUUUUCCUCACUUAACUUCUCUCUUUUAUUAUUUUUUAAUUUAAUUUUUUUAGUACUAAUGUUUUUAUUAGUUUUCUUUCAAUGUUAACCAAUUUUAGAAGUUUUACUUUAUGAAAUAGUGAUAAUGAGUUAUAAAAAUUAUUCGAGUUAAAGAUUUAAAUUACAAUCCUACUAAAUUUUAAUUUGUUUGUAAUUUUUAAAAAAUCUAAAUAGAGAAAAAGAUGUUGAAGAAGGAAAACAUAAACAAAAGAUACGAAUUAAUAGAGUGGUGAAUUUUUAUAUUUUAUUUUAUAUUUUCAUAUGGGAAUUUAAUAGUUUGUUUUUGUUAUUAGUUUUAAUCUUAUUUUUAAUAUUUCUUUAAUAAUAACUAAUAAAUUUUUUAUUUAAUUUUAUAAUGGAAAGAGAUAAAAAGAUGUAUUUUCGUAAGAAACAUUAGAUGGUUAAAGUAUGUAUCAAAUUAUUGUGUUAUUCCAAGAUUAGGGAUGUCAAGUUUUCAUUCUUUUUUGUUGAAUGACUUAAGUUUCAUAAUAACGUUGUUUAGAACUUGAGUUUUAAAAUAGCAAAUAUGAAAUAAGGUUCAUGAAUUUUUCACUUAAUGCAUGCAAAUUCUGGGUUACACUUGGGACAACAUAUGGUGUCCUUCUAACAUAAUGGUAGUACUAAAUCAUUCCUUAAUUUGAGAACAUGACUUACAAUGCUAAAGCCUGAUAAUAAUUAUGGUGUCAUCUAAAGCCUAAAUCAUUGGAUGAUCAAAUUGACAGGUUGUUAAUCCUAUUUAUUUAUUUAUUUUUCAAGUAAACUUUUCAUAACCCUUGAAAGGCUUGGAGGUUGCUUUAAAAUGCUAUCACUUUGGUUGCGUAAUUAGAGAUCAUAAUUAAGUAAGUUGCAAGUGAAUUUGAUUUACCUAACAAUUAAUAACCAACCAAACAUAAGUAGAUCAAUUGUUGCACAAUGAGCAUACAAGUGAAAGAGUCAUUUGGAUCAUGUUAUCUAAGGUCGAUUAUCCAAGAUGAGCAUUCCAUCCAAUUAGACUCAUUUCAUAAAUCAAGAGAUCUCUACUUGAAUGAUUGUAUUCAUGAGGCAUUCUUGAAUAUAUUUAACUAAAAUCAUGUCAAAGAUUCCUUUAUCAUAUUGUAGACCCCCUCUUUUGGCUUUUUUUAUUUAUUAUAUAUAUAUAUAUAUAUAUAUAGAUAUAUAUAUAUAUAUAUAUAUAUGUAUGUAUUUAUGUUGAGCCUUCCCACCACUUUUGGAGCUCGCGGAGGAAGGCGUUUGGAGUGGGGGACCGGCUCCUUGAAGCAUGAGCUGCUGAAGACGCAUGGCUGUGGAGGUGACCGUUGCCAUGGUGGUGGUUGGGGGGCUCCUAAGGAUGCUGAGCGAAGAAGCAGUGGAGUGGAUGAUAGCUUGGGAAAAAAGAUUAACAGAGGAGUUUUGACGGAAAAAGAGAGAGAUCUGGGGAAGGAGAGAUUGGUUUUUUUUUUCUGUGGGCUGGUCCAGAGAGAGCUGGCGAGAAAGAGGGAUAUUCCGGCAGCCGUUUGCUUGAGAGGAAGAGUAACCGAGAGAAAACAGAGGAGGGAGUGAGGCAUCUCCAGGUAGGUUUCUUAUAUUUUCCUAUAGUUCUUUUACUAUUCACUUUUCUCUGUUUAUUGUUGAGUAUCAUUUAGCUGUUUGUGCAUGAAUAUCAUAUGGCCAUUUUUUAUUUUUAUUUAUUUAUUUAUUUUUUUGUUUCGUUGUUGAUUUCCGAACAUCCAUUGGACUUGCCAUGAUUGUAUCUCAUUUGAUUUUUUUUUUCUACGUUUGUGUCGGGAGGAAUAAUAUGAAUAUGGUCAUCAGCUUAUUCCUCAUUCCAAUAUAUAUUAAACCCAUCAUUCACCAUUCGUACCCGUUCCUCAUAUUACCCAUAACUCUAUCCGAUAAGCCACUUUCCUUCUCAUCAUUCCCAUAUAUUCUACUACUUAACCCAUCACCGUACUCCAUUUUCGAAUCUCAUCCACAUGGCCAGCCCGCUACCCUGCUCCUACCUAUCUCAUCUCUAAACCCUCACCAUCUUUUCUCUCUCUACACCACAUAUCCUUCAUACCCAUAUUCUCACCACCAUACCUCAACCCCUUAACACCCACUUCCCACACCAUGCACGACCACCCCUAGAUUCCUCCAAAACCUCCAUUAAAAUCCCGAAGUCACCUACCCAUAUGCAUGCAUGGCCAUCCUCCACGGGCGCUCUUUCAUCUCGUAAUUCUCCAAUCCUUCGCUUCUUCUUCCUUCCACGGCUUCGAGAUGGCAGGCGGUGGAGUUUUUAUGACGUACAACAAAGGCGCUAUCACUGAGACCAAGAAAUCACAUUUCUCUGUCAAGGUGAAUCUGGACCGAAUGCUGCGCGGCGACCAUUAUCGUAGACGUUGCCGCCGCCAAGCUAGCGCGCCUCGAGGAGGAGGCCGGGGCCCGUGCCGUCAUGGCUCUAGGGCGGGUCUCUGCCAGCAUCUGCGCCCAAGGCGACGCCGCUCGAAUGAGCAACCCGAGCCUCAUCAAAGAGGUCGGACAGGCGGUGGCUGUUCCGAUGAUGACCAAGGCUUGUAAUGGCCAUUUCAUGGAAGCUGGUUUGAAGUGAUACAAUACCUCCAGGCAAGAAAAGUGAGAGAGAGCCUAGGAUGCAGCCCAAUGAAAUGCUAGUUGGGCUUCCUACCAUGCACCCCUAAGGUGCCUAAGGCCCAUGAGCAUCCCCUUAAGUUUUUCUCCCACCUUAGGCCUAUUCCCAAAGGCCACAUUUGUGUGGCCAUUAUAUUUGGUGCAUCCAAAAGCCCUCAGACUUUAAAAAUUCAAUUUAUGAAAAAUCCCUCAUAUAAAUAAUCCAACUCUACCGAUUUUCGCCUUUAAAUAAUUCUACAAAAAAUCUCAAUUUUCCAAAUUUGGUUUCUAAUCUCCGGAAUUUGUAUGGCCUUGUUUAUUUGAUCUUCAAUAUUUUAUUAUUCAUUUAUUUAUUUGUUUAUUUUUAAAAUUCAAUCUCUAAAUAACUCUUCAAAAUUCCAAUUCCUAAAUUUAAAUUUCAAUUUCCAUAAUUUUAAUUCUCACAUUAAUUUAUUUAAUCAUUAGUAUUUUAUUUAUUUAUUUUAAAACUCCAUUUUAAAUCAAUUCCUUAAAACUUUCGAUUUCCGAAUUAAAUUUCUUUUUCCGAAAAUUCCAAUAUUCACAUUAAUUGAUUUAACCAUUAGUACUUUAUUUAUUUAUUUUAAACUCCAUUUUAAAUCAAUUCUUUAAAACUUCCGAUUUUCGAAUUAAAUUUCUAUUUCCGAAAAUUUCAAUAUUCUCAUUAAUUUAUUUAAUCAUUAGUAUUUUAUUUAUUUAUUUUAAAACUCCAUUUUAAAUCAAUUCUUUAAAACUUCCGAUUUCCAAAUCAAAUUUAUAUUUCCGAAAAUUCCAAUAUUCACAUUAAUUUAUUUAAUCAUUAGUAUUUUAUUUAUUUAUUUUAAAACUCUAUUUUAAACCAAUUCUUUAAAACUUCUGAUUUUCGAAUUAAAUUUCUAAUCCCGAAAAUUCUCAUAUUCACAUUAAUUUAUUUAAUCAUUAGUAUUUUAUUUAUUUAUUUUAAAACUCCAUUUUAAAUUAAUUCUUUAAAACUUCUGAUUUUCGAAUUAAAUUUCUAAUCUCGAAAAUUCCCAUAUUCACAUUAAUUUAUUUUAUCAUUAUUAUUUUAUUUAUUUUAAAAUUCUAUUUUAAACAAUUCUUCAAAAUUUCCAACUUCCGAAUUAAAUUCCUAAUCCUGAAAAUUUCAAUAUUCAAAUUAAUUUAUUUAAUCAUUAUUAUUUUAUUUAUUUGUUUUCAAAUUCUAUUUUAAACAAUUCUUUAAAAUUUCCGACUUCCGAAUUUAAUUUUCAAUUUAAAAAAUUUCAAUAUUUACGUACAUUUUUUUUCCCAAAACCCCAAUUUCUGUACUUAAUUUCCGAACUCCAAAAUUCUAAUUUCCUUCAAAUUUAACCCCCAAAAUUCCAAUCCUUAAAUUUAAUUCCCAAUACUCUAAUUUUCAAAUAAAUUUCAAAAAUCAAGUUUCCUCUCGAACCGUUUUAUUUCCAAUCUGGUUCUCAAAUAAACCUUCUGUUCUUCUUGGUUUUACAUAAGCAUUAAUGUGAUUCUCGCAAUUCCAAAAUAAUGGAAUUUGUGAGACUAAUUCGUGUAAGAUAGAUUAGGCUUUAGUGGGGGACCCACAUUAUUAAAUGUUUCCUUUGGGAGUCCAUUUGGUUGUAUUGUGUUAUAUGAUGAUUUUGUAUUCAAUUUAGUGGCACUUGAGCUAUGUUUUGUAUUCAUUAAUUAUGCACUAACCCCAUUGUUUGAUAGCGCAUUGUGGCUCGUUGCCCAGGUACGCAUCCACUCCUCUUCUAGUCAUUCUCUAUGCAUGUUCCGAUUCCCAUAUGUGCAUGAUCGAUUUGAGUAUCCAUUGAUUUUCUUAUUGAUUGCCACAUCAGCUUCAUUUUAUUAGUAGAGACCCGACUUUAGGGACUUAGAGGGGUACUAUAGUCCUUACCGUACCUUCCCAAUAAGCAACCUGACUCCCAAACCCGAUCCGGUUUUUCACAGAACACCUUUUUCAAAAUAAGGAGUUACACUUAAGGUUUUUUUUUCUUAUUUUGUUUUUCCCUUCAAAAAUAAAACAAAAAUAAGUGCGACUCCAAGUCAGUUUUUAAUUAAUAAAAAUCAUUUUCAAAUGAAAAUUGAGCUCGCCAUCGAGUAGAAACGCAUGAGCAGAAAUAUGGGGUCCACACAUAUGUAUUUCAUAAUUUAUGAAAUCUCAACACACGCAAUACAAGAAGUUGAAUGCUCAUAAAUUAAAACUUUCAUCAUUGUGCAAGACCACAUACUUAACAAACACAUUUUGUUAGCGAUAUAACAAUGAACAUAACAAAAUGCAUAUGAAAAUCUAGCAUGUGUUUGAAAAAAUAAACUAUCUCAAAUAAAGGAAAUGAUUGAAGGAAACAUCAUUGACAAUUUCUCAAACAUCAUUAACAAUUUCUUUUUCAAAGACCGUAUCUGCAUUUCAUCUCAAAUAGAGCAAAUCAUAAAGUAAAUCCGGUGUACCUAAAAAAAUGAAAAUAAUAAGAACAAAUAAGAAUGAUACCAUUUCAAUAUAAAUAAAGGAAAAUAUAAACCAAAUCUAGUAAACCUAAAAAAAUGAAAAUGAUAAGAACAAAAGAAAAUGAUACCAUUUCAAUAUAAAUAAGGUAAAACUUAGCAAUAAUGUUUGUAGAAUAUAUCACAAAGAAGAAAAAAAAAACACCAUAUUCUUGCUUCUAGAUAAAAGGAUGAUUUCUACCUCCAUCCUAUUAAUAUUUAAUGUUUUUUAAAAUUAAAAUUUCUUUAAUCUUGUUUUUCAAUUCCUUUAUAUUUUAUUCAUUAUUAAUUUUUUAUAUUAUUUGAAAAUAAAAUUUUAAUUAAUGAAAUUUAUUAUUACAUGUUAAUAGUAAGCAUACAAAAUAUUAUUCUUUUUUUAGUAUUCAUCUUGAAAGUUAUGCUUAUCAUAAAUUUAUAUUAUAUCAUUUGCAUGUUAUACUAAUUUAAAUUACCAAAGGUUUUUUCAUUGUAAAAAGGUGUAUUAUUUAGUUAAAUCAGAUUAAAAGAAAGGAAGUUAAUUAUUAUGAAUGUAAAGAGAUAGAAUAUUCACAAUUUUUUUAAUCUAUUACAUAUAAAUUCUAUAAUUUUUUUUUUCAAAUAAGGAUGAUUUGAUUGUAUUUUGGAAGAAUGAUAAUUAAUCUCUUAUAUGAAAUAUAUUUAAAAUCAAAUUAAUUUUAAAAUUUAAUAAUUUUUUAUUAAACAUCAAUACAAUCUUCAUACUUUUUUAUUUUAUUUUUAUAGAAUAUUUUUGUCAAUAAUUCCAAAAAAUAGUAUAAGGAGAAAUAAAAAGUAUGAGAGAGAAAAAUAAAAAGUAUGGGAAAAAACUAACAUUUUUCACGAAAGAGCACUACAUUUUCCCCAGGUCUUCCAUUCUACAAUAAGUGAUAUAUAACUCUUUGAGGUAUUGAAUAUUCAUGAGUGUCACAAGAAAGGAAAAAUGUUUCAUGCUAUGAUUCCCAUCUUUGAUCCAUCUUAGUCUAGGUAGGUUCUCCAUCUUCAAGGUUUCUAACUUUGGGAGGAUCUCGACAUUUCCAUCAAUUUCUUGAAGAAUAAUCACAAGUUCUAGGAGUUCACAAUAUUGCACAUCUAUCUCUUUUAAAUUCUAGAAGUUGUGUAUCAAAUGAGGUGGGACAAGAUUGAGUAGACAUGACAGUUGUACACCCUUAAGAUAUGUAGAUCGGAGAAGGAUUCAAAUGGAAGUUAAUGAUGCUAUAUAUCCUUCAACUUGGGCAGAUUUUUGAGUGUCAACUCCUCUAACUUAGGGAAUGAAACCUAUAACAUGAUACAUGAAAUCAUCAAUUAGAAAGUUAUAAUAAAUAUAAAUAUAUUCCUUAAAUAUAAUUCAUCAACUUGGGAUUAUUCACAUGUAUACUUUAAUUAUGUUUUAAAAAAUGAAACAAAAAUGAUUCUCAUGCCACAAAUGAUUUUUAUUCAUAUCAAUAAUUUAUUAUUUUAAAUCAUAUACACUCUUUUAUUUUCUCCCAUUAAUAAAUUCUUGUGAAUGCCUUCUUUAAAUUUCCUUUUUCUUUUAAAAGAUUUUGAUGAUUUCACUCUUAAAUUUAUUUUAUAUUUAUUCCUAUAAACCUAACUUUUUUCUUAUUUAAAGUAAAAUAUUACUUAUAGUUUUUCCUUAUUUUUAUACUCAUUUCUAUUGAUAUUUAAUGUGUUUAAAAUUAAAAUUUCCUUUAACCUUAUUUAUUUUUCAACUCCUUCAUAUUCUAUAUAUUAUUCAUUAUUUUUAUAUUAUUUAAAAUGAAAUGUUUAAAUAAUUUUAACAUGGUGCAAAAAAAAUAAAAUUAAAACCAAUGAAAUUGGCUAAUAAGCUUUAACAUACCUUAUGACUGAAAAAUGAGUCUUCCGACCUUGCAUUUGUACUCAAAGAUGUGGAAGAUGUUGUUUCUAACUCACAACUAAAGUUGAUGAGUUGUGGUAGAUCCUGGAGUUUCAAGGAUCGCAAUUUUGGGAAUAGUUGCAAGUUGGUCCCAACAUGUCCAUCUUUUAUUUCUAACUCCUUUUCAUAUGCGAUUAUUUGUUGCAUGGCAUUGCAAUCUUCUAUUGUCAUUUCUUCAAGUUGGGAAAGGCCUCUAGCCAUGGAAAGCAGAAGGAGAAAUUUCAAUUUAGGACAUGAAUCCACAUUUAGAGUUUUAAGUUACCAAAAGACCCUAUCGGAAUUGGGCCAUGCCAUACUUCCUCCAAGUUAUUCAAACUGUCAAGAACCAACGACUCCAAUAGAGGAAAGACACCAUGUUGCAAAAACCAUUGAUUCUUUGAAUCAAUGAUAUAUUGAAUCUCGGGACUACUACUAACUUGGAGAUGCUUCAAUUCAAGAAAACUCUCCCCAUCUAAUGGGUAAAGAACAUAUUUAGUACCAUUUAAUUUCCCAAACUCUAUUUCUUCACUUCUCUCCAACAACUUGCUAAUUCCAUCCCCCAAAUGUAAGCUUCUAUUGACAUUCUCAAGCUUCAAUGCACUUUUGGUUCCAUAAUCUCUUCUAAACUCCCACAAAUCACCUACAAAUAUUGCAUAUCUUGUCAACUUCUUCAAUAGAAUGUCUUUUGGUAGCAACUUGGCAUCUGAUAUAUAUAUAUAUAUCUAAAGUUGUCAAAUGAGACAAAUGAUUUAGCUCGGAUAAGCAAGCAUUGCAUUCACCUUCAACCACCCAUUGAGUAAAGAUAGAUUUCAUGUACAAACAUUCUAAUCGAGACAAACUUGAUAAGAUAUUUCAUGGAAUUACUUCAAGCUUCUCACAAUCGUUCAAAUCUAACAGUCUUAGAUUGGUCAAUUGCAUCAUUUCUUUAGGCAAUCGUUGGAUUGUAGAAGCCACCAAGCUAAGAACUUCUAGUUUCGUUAGCUUUCCGAUUAGAGCAAUGUUUCCCAACUCGCACCCAUCUAGACGCAAUGUUCGAAGAUUUGCAAGGGAAUCAAGUGAUGAAGGUAGUGUUGUAAAAUGCAUAUCGGACAAAUCCAAAACUUUGAGUUUUUUCAUCCCUUCGAAAAAUGUGUUCAGGAUAUUCAAGGGAGGAUUGUUGUUCUGCAAUAGAAAAAAUUGAAGUUCCGGCCAUACUAACCCUUGAGGAAGGUCAUGCACAACUUUGCAAUGCAAAGAGAUGAAAGUGCACCUUUUGGAUUCACCAGUCUCUGACCAUUUUUCCAAUCCAACAUCCUUUCUAACUACAAAUGGAUGAGGAUCCUUCGAUGCAAUUGCUCUGGCAACUUCACGAACAAAUUUGUGCGCCCAUGUCUUUGCAUAAUAGGUCUCCAUCUCUCGAAGCCAACACUAUUUUGCAUUGCAUCCAAAUAUCAUCUUUAGAAAGAAUUCCGACUUGCUCCAAAUCAACUUCGGUCUGAAUAUCAUCUACGAUAAUAAGGAUCUGCCCUUUUUCCAUCAGUAUUUGCUUCAGUUCAUCCGCUUGAAUGAAUUCAUCCGCUUCACUGAAUUCGGUUUCCAGAAACCUUAAAAAUAUUCCACCUUUGAUGAAAAAAUAUGAAGAUAUGGCUCAACUUUAGCUUCGUUGAAGGUUUUUGGAAGAUUGCGAUCGGGUUUAGGUGGUUAGCUUGUGAAGAGAGACACUAGGGUUAGGCCAAAAUGAGACGAAAUGAGAGGAAGUGACAGAGAGUUAUGAAAAUGCAGAGCAAACGAGCCAUGAAAAUGCAAAUCGGGUUAGGGCAAAAUGAGAGGAAGUGACAGAGAGUUUCCCCAAAUUUCAAAGUUUAUCGGGUCGGGUGUUCUGUGGGUUUUGGAAAUUUGAUAACUUUUAAGUUUUUGAAUUUCGCGUUUAUUAAAGGCACAACUCCCGGGUGAUGGUUGCUGACAGGGAUGCAUGGAAGGGUAAUUUCGGAAAUGCAAUUAUAAACAGUAUAUAGUGCAUGAAAAGGAAAAUUUUUCUUGAAAUAGUGGACAUAUCUUGGGUUAUGAAAACUUGGGUUUUGAAAACAAUAUUAUUGGGAAAUGGGCCUCCCGAAACACAACUUUCCCUAUUUUCAAUGUGCAUUUUAAAAAUAUAUAUAUAUAUUUUAAAAAAUAUUAUAAUUUUAAUAAAAAAUCCUCAUUUCUUCUCUAUUUUUUGUUUCCUUCCUCUUCCUCCAAUUUCCUCCACAUUUUUUGCUUUUUUUUUUUUGUUAAUAUCAAUGCAAGUAAAAAAAAUUCAAAAAAAAAAAGUUUUAAUUCACUAAUAUAAAAAUAUAUAUAAAAAAAACUUCAAAAAUUUUAAAUUAGUAUUAUCUUCAUAUAUUUAAAAAUAAUUAAAAAUACAUAUAAUUUUUAAUCAAUCAUCUAAUUAUUCCCUAAAAUGUCUUUUUUAUUUAUUAUGUCACCAACAUCAAUUGACAACUAAACUCCUUCACAUUAAUAUUUUCCUUUAUUUUAUUAUUAUUAUUAUUAUUUGAGAUUUUUUUUCACUACUCCUAAUGUUUACACUAUUCAAACUACCUCACUUUUGUUAUGAGAUAUUUCUUCGUGAAGAAAAAUACUCAAAUAAUAAUAAGCUAACAAUAAUAAUUGUCAACUAAUAUUGAUGACUUGGUAAAAGGGGUAUUUAAAAAAAUAAUUAGAUGACUUAUUAAAAUGUAUAUAUAUUUCAAAUUAUUUUUAAUUCCUCAGUAGCUCAGUGGUAGAACAAUCGACUGUUAACUGACCGGUCGUAGGUUUGAAUCCUACUUUCUAUUGUUAAAGUGGAGAACUGAACCAAGAAUUAUUUUUAUGAUUAUAAUAUUGAUUUAAAAAAUUUAAGUCAUUUUUUUUCAUAUAUUUUUAUAUUAGUGAGUUAAAACCCACUAUCCUAAAAAAUUCUCUGGUUAUAAAAUACAAAACUAUAAUCUGUUGUGAAAUUUAAACCCAUACUCGAUAUCUCCCAAACAGUAGAAUUGUUCGAGUGAUAAUUUAACAUCUUGUGGACCUUGCAUUUCGGCUCAUGCGCUUCCACUCGAUGGCGAGCUCGAUUUUUAUUUUAAAAUUGAUUUUUAUUUAUUAGAAAAUGACUUGGAGUUGCCACUUAUUUUUGUUUUAUUUUUAAAAAGAUAAAUAAAAUAAGAAAGAAAACCCUAAGUGUGACUCCAUAUUUUGGAAAAUGUGGUCUGUGAAAAACAGGAUCGGGCUUGAGGGUUAGGUUACUUAUUGGGAAGGUACGGUAAGGACCAUAGCACUCCUCUAAAUCCCUAAAGUCGGGUCUCUACUAAUAAAAUGAAACUAAUGUGGCAAUCAAUAAGAAAUUCAAUGGAUACUCAAAUCGGUCAUGCACAUAUGAGAAUCAAAACAUGCAUAGAAAAUGACUAGAAUAUGAGUGAAUGCAUACCUGGGCCGCGAGCCACAAUGCUCUAUCAAGAAAUGGAAUUAGUGCACAAUUAAUGAAUACUGAAUACAAGUCGCAUGUCACUAAACAGAAUACAAAAUCAUCAAUGGCACACAUGGUACUUCAUUCAAAUUCAUUUUUUAUUUUAAGGACAAUUUAUUUGAUGUUGGGCCCCACCAAAGCCCAAUUCAUUUUCACAUGAAUCAAUUCCUUAAGUUUCAUCACUUGAAAAUACGGAAUUUGAUUUUUGCUUAUUUUAAAACAUUUUAAAAAACAGAGGAGGUAUGAAAAUUGCUUGCCAUAAGGAAAUAUGGCAACAAAAUUUUAUUGAAAAUGAGAUUUUUGGGACCUAAAAAAACUGAGGAUGAAAAAUUGAAAAGUUGGGAUUAUUUAAACACUAAAACCCGAAAAUUUAUUUGAAGAAAAGGAUUUGGAAAAUUUUUUAGUUUUUCAACAAAUAAAAAAAGAUAAAUUGGAGUGGUGGCACGUGGUCCAGAAAUGAGCCAUGCAUAAGGUGGCCAUGCAAUGGGAUGGGGUGUUUGAAUAGUCACUUGAUCAAACAAUGGCAUUGUGAAGCUCUGCUAGCCAUUGGGAUCCCAGUCAAAUAAUGAUCUUGAUCUUGAUACCAGGGACGUCCUAUCUGAAGAGAAUAUGUCUAUCAACUGAGUCUCCAUGAUUCUCAAUAGAUUGACCAAAUGAGAUCAAGUAUUCACCUUUAGACUUCAUUGAGUUGGCAUGUUGAAUAUAGAGCUCCCCACUCAUAAUGUCCCCCCGCUUCUUUUCACUUCACUUUCCACAACAAAACUCAGAACACUGUAGUAGACCAUCUGAACAGCGAGUCCUCUAAGAAGCUUGGAUCCCAGUGACUCUGCUCUUUUAUGAACCAUCGAAGUCAACUUGCUGAGGUCUAAAUUCAGCUGGUCAAGGAACCUCAGGCACCAAAUCAUAGCCGCGAAGGCCAAGGGUUUCAAGUGGAGAUAAAUAUGGUCUUUUAGAGUCCUUUCACCACGACCUUCCUGGAUUUCCAAUGUCAUAGGUCUUGAAACAACUCCUCUUGAUGCAAGAUCCUUCGCUAUAAGGACAUAUCAUUCCAUAAACCAUUCACCUUUACUAUUCCUCAGGAUACCAACCUCACCACGGGAUCCCUCAGUAAUAAGGCAUCCAGUGCCAUAUAUUCUGGUUGAGCGAAACUACACAAAUUCGAGAUCCUGGAGAGGGAGCCCAGCACGUGCAACCAUGACAUCACCAUCUCCAAUGCAUGCAUGGACUGAGGUUGUAGAGAAAUAUGCUCUGCCAUGACCCCUGUGGCUAGAAUUGUUGACACAACUUGGAACCUAUGUAAUAUCCCAUCCUUCAUAUUUAAUGCAAUUACACCUUGGCAUGCACUCUCGUUAACCAUUGAAAGAUCCAAUGUGAAGUUCUGCUUUUGGCAUCUCCUCACAUAUGUACUGCAUAACAUCCUAGUCACCUAACUAGUCAAUUCCUUUGAACUUGAGGAUCUUGUCCUCUAAAAGAAGACCUUCCAUGCCCAUGACUUCGCUUUAGAGACCCUACAGCUUCAAUAGGAGAUCGACCUAAAGAUGUUGAUCCCAUGUCGUCACCUCCAUCAUAUUCCAUAGAGUUUUCAAAAACCCUAACAAUACUCAUCUAUAAUGGAGGACAACCAUGCAGCGUCAGCAAACAACAAAGGCCAUUGCACCUAAAACCAGAUCCUUGGAACAAGAGGAUUUGACGAGCAUCAUGAUCCAUACUCGUGUCAAUAUAACAGAUUUGGAGUUCUUCACCCACUCCAACUUCACGGUGAGCUUUCAAUCUUACAUUCAUAUUAUCUACCCAUGCGAUACGCACAUUCGGAUCCAUGAGAGAUGGGAUUGGUUCAGUGCAUUAAUAUACCAUUGCUCGGUCAGAAAUGCCAUGCAUUCAUUUAUGUUAGUAUUCUUUCAAGCAAACCCUUGAACUCGGAUUGGACCCAUGUUAAGCAAUGGAUGGGAUUUUGUGGGAAAGAAUGCACCAUGACGUGGGGCUUGUCUCUCAGGUGGGUUUUUGGAAGAUGGAAAUACAUGGGAGAUAUGGGGGACGGCUAUAAGUGCAUACAUGAUGGGAAUGAAUGUGAGAGGUGGUGAAAUGAAGAUAGCUAUGUAUAUGGAAUGGGUAUAAAUGGGUUAGUAGGUACGAAGCAAAUGGGUUGAAUGAAGGGUAGGACGGAUGAAGUGGUGAGCAUGGAAUGGGUUUGAUGUGGCCAUGCAUGGCCAUGGAACAUGCAAAGGUGGGAAGAAAUGGAUUUAGCGGCAUUAAAAAAAAAUGGGUACAUGGUGCGGUGUAGAGAGAGAAAGGUAGUGGUGGGUAUGUGAGGGUGAUGAUAUGCAUGAGGGGAUAUGGGAUGAGAUGGGAUGAAGAAUGAAACAUGAGUAAUGGGUUUGGAAGGCACCUGGUGUAGAGAGAGAAGACAUGGUACGUAUGAUGUUGAAUGAGCUAGUGGGACGGAAUGAGUUUGGUGAUAGUGGGUAUGAAAAUGUAGAGAGAGAAAGGGUGGUAAGAAAACGGGUAUAUGCAUGAGAGCUAUGAGAAGAGUGAAGUAUGGCUAGGUACAGGAAUUCAGGCAUGUGGAAAUGAAGUUAGAUGGGUAGGGAAUGAAUGAUGGAUAAUGGGUAUGGGCGUGAAAGAUUUAAUGUGUGUGAAGGUUAGGUGAUGAGAUAGUGUGGCAAUGGGAGCGUGGGUGCGAUGAGGACCCUUGAGGGUGAUGAAAAAUGGUGCAUGGAGUUGGAUAUCCUGGGGUGGAAAUGCAUGGCAAAACGAGCAAGGGAGUGUCGUGAGGGGAAUAUACAUGAACUGCACGCAUGUGAGAGUCAGCACAACACCAUCCUUGGAUGGUAAAAGCCUCCAGACCAAGUUUGCAACAUUAACCGUACCAUUGACCCCACCUGGUGGAUAAUUGAGUGGAGCUUCACCAUUGGAUGCUACCAACUGUUUCAAACCUUUCCUAGUUGGAGAAAACUUCUGUCAUUGGAAUUCUUUCCUUCUGUUUAGAACCACCUUACUGAACCUGACAUCAGGAAUUCCAUCUUUAAAUUCUACCUCUCCCAAGGCAUCCUCCAAAUCCAUAGUAACACGCUGAAUAUUAGUUCCAGCUCUUAUAACGUCCAUUUCGAUCAACGCAUGAACAAAAGAACGGCCAAUCCCCGUUUACAAUAUGUACUAUGGAUGCAAGCAUGUCAAAUUGAUGUUUCUUUUCCAUCCAACAAAGCAAACCGAAAUCCAAAAACCCAAUUUGCCCAAAAAGUGUGUAACACAAAUUCCCAGGAUGUGGAUCAGCAUGCAAUAUGCAUGUAUCAAGGAGUUUAACUAGGGAUGCCUCCACUCAUUUGUUCACCAAACCAAGAAGUCGUCGUUUGGCAUCAAUUUGCUGCCUCUCUGAAUAUCCAGAGACAUGAGCAACUGAGUUUCCAACAAAUGCAGAAAUUAAAUCACUUGGAUUCUCACCUACCAUCCACUCCAUAGUUAGCACUCUCUUUCGACUUAGACGAUUUCCAAAGAAUAGAACCAAACUCAUAAUCCCAACCUUGUAAAGUAGGGCCUAAAUGGUGCAAUUCCAGCUAGCAUCUUUGACAACCAAUGACAAACAAGCAGGCUACCAGAACCAUGAAGUAAGCAGCAAACGCAACCAGACACUAUCCCCAAGAAAUAAUGAAACUAGGAAAUAAUUUGAGAACCGGAUACAGGGAGCUAAGAGAUUCCAGAAAAAAAAAACACAGAGCAUGCAUAAUCACAAUCUAAUUAACAUCCCUGCUUUAGUCUCCUUUGAUUACAUGUCAUUUCUUCCACAAAGCUUCCAUUCACUACCAUCAAACUGCCAUCCAAUACCACAAUGGUCCCAUCAACACUGUUGACUAUUCAGAGGCCAUUAAAUGAACCAAAAAACUGGAGAUUUCCAACAGCAAGAGCACCCUGAGGUUGAAUGGACUCAGAAUGACCCACUAAAAACUCUUAUAUAGCUUCUUCAGGCGGAGAUGANNNNNNNNNNNNNNNNNNNNNNNNNNNNNNNNNNNNNNNNNNNNNNNNNNNNNNNNNNNNNNNNNNNNNNNNNNNNNNNNNNNNNNNNNNNNNNNNNNNNUAAAAUCCCCAAUGCUCACAUUCUGACAUUAGAAUAAAUUAAAAAAAAAACUUUUAAUCCCAGAAAUUAUAAUAUAAUGAUAUGAAAGCAAAAUGAUCCAACUGAUAGAAACCAUACCUGUGUUAUUUCCCCCUCAGCAACACGCCUCCCAGAAAGAUGAACCUCUGUUCCCCAGGCCAAAACCUCUCCUCCAAAAAAAAAACUCUUCUUCCGGCAGCUUGUUCCCCAAGCUAAAACCUCCUUCCUCAAAAUAUCUUCCCAAACGGCAACGAAGAUACCACCCCAAAACUUGACCCCCUAAGCCAGAGGAUCCCCCACAGAAAAUAUCUCCCUCAAAAGUCAAAACAUAACCGAAGACGUUCCUCCCUUCAACUGCCUGCAGCAAAAAAAAACACCCUCUCUCUAAAUAUUCCUCCACGUGUCGACCUCUCAUUGGUCCUCAAAAAGCAUCAUCUGAUUCCCUAACAGCCAUCCCUGAAGCGACACGUGGCUUCUUGAGAGCCCUCCACCUGGUAAGAAAAAAAAAACCUGCAGAAAAGUGAUAAGAAAAAAAAUGAGCCCCUAAAAUGGGGGUCUACUCAUCUAUUCUCAUGCUUCAAUUCUAUGAACAAAAUGAAGUCUUUGCCCUAAAGAAAAAAAAUCUUAUACGCCCGAAUUUAAUAAAUAAAAUUGUAGACCCCCAUUUAGGGGCUCAUUUUUUCUCACUUUUUCUGCAGGUUUUUUUUCUUUGCAGCCACGUGCUGCCCUGAGAUUGGUUGUUGAAGAAUCAGAGUAGUGCUUUGGAGACCCAAUGGAAAGGCAACACGUGGCAAGAUGGAAUCUGCAAAAGCUGUAGGCCGUUGCAAGAGGAACGUCUUCUAGCCAGCUGCAGGAGAUUUUUGAGAGGGGGCUUUUCAUUGCCGGGUGGAGGAAAUAUUUUGGAGGUUUUUUUUUUCUUCUUCUUUUAGCUUGGAGAGCAAGCUAGAGUAGGGUGGGAUUCCAUUGCCGGUUGAGGGGGAUAUUUUGAGGGUCGUUGGAGAGAUAUUUUGAGGGAAAUGGAUCUCUCUGUGAGAGCAAGCUAGAGGGGGGGAGAAAGGAGUUCUUAACUUGAGAGUCAAGCAAGCUAGAGGGGGGAGAGAGGUCUUCAUUGCCAUUUUUGGGGGAUGAGAUUACUGGAUACUAGUUUUACAGAGGUAUUUUGGGAUAUUCUUUGAGCUUGCCGAUGAGAGCAGGAGGAUAUAUCAUUUUUUUUGGGUAGUUGAGUAAGAAAACGAGUAGGAAGGUGAGCAUCUCAGGAGCAAAACUUGGAAUCAGGCCCGUCUUGACUGGGAAAAGACUUCCUCAGGUAUGAUUGCUACAGACUUAUGGGUUCGUAUUUGGGUUGUUUGUCACUCUUCUACCUCUCUUAUUGACAUUUAAAUACUCAUUGAUUUGUUUGGGGUGGAUAAUGAAGGCCACAUGUUGUUUGUUAAGAUAAAAUCCUGCAUUCAUGUUUGCCCCUGCUGGUUUUGGUAUGUUAUGCUUCUAUUAUGAAAAUGCCCAUAGUUGUGUUUGAGAUAGAUUUUCUCACCUAAUAAGAGGGUUCACGGAUGACUCAUGAAGUGAAACCUCUAAGAAUCACCUUUACUUGUUUUCCUUUAUGUUAUAUUUUCAAUCCAUUCUUCUUUGUUGUGGUCAAUAUUUUGUUUAUGGGCCUCGUUCAAUGCAUUGGCUGUGAGAAGGUAAAUCCAGGUUUGGCUGUGUACUCCGUCAGAGAUCUAAUAUGGUGAAAAGGGACUAUGACUGGGUGGUGAAGUUCUAUUGUGAGGAUCAAAGGAGGCUCGGUUGGCUCAAUGACACCUCUCUGGGUUUAUAGGUAUCUUAUUUGUGUAUAGAAGAUAAGGUUCUGAUGAUAAAAUGUCUGGCUGGCCUGCAUUUCACUGGUCAACUGUCCAUUCCGGUCCUCCUCUGCAUGAUAUCGACAAGGAUGGUGUAAGGGAAAUAGCUUUGGCUACCUACAAUGGUGAAGUGCUUUUCUUCGGGGUCUCAGGUUAUAUGGUGAUUAAUAAGCUAGAGGUGCUUCGAAUGAGAGUUCAGAAAGAUUGGUACAUGGGUUUUAGAUCCAGAUCCAGUGGAUCGUUCUCAUCCAGAAGUUAAGAAUGACCAACUUGUUCAGGGAGCUGCUGAUAUGAAAUUAUUUUCCUAAAUGAAUGGAAGUACAUCUGGGUCAAGCACUUCUGUUCUCACAUCAGCAGAAAGUCACCUCGGCAUAGCGAAUGCAUCCAAUCUAAGAAAGGAAAACCAAUGGAAAUGAAACAGAGACAAACAUUAAGCUGCCAACAAGUACGCAUAAUUCUUCUUAGGAUAUUAGGUCUGUCAGGACCAAUAAUGCUGGGAAUGGGACAAACGCAGGAAGAAGGCUUCUUUGAAGGUAAUGAUUCAAAAUGGUAACAAGAGGGCCAUUCCCAAUCCAAAGACAAUAGUAGUGGGAAAGCUCAAGCUGUGAAUGUGCAAAUGAUGAGGUUUUGGAAGCGGAAAUUGAUUCGUCUUUUGAGCUAUUCUGUGAAGAUGAUGAGUUGGUUGAUGAGUAUAUUUAUGACUAUGAUGAUUAUGUUGAUGAAUCCAUGUGAGGAGAUGAGGGGUGGACUGAAGGGAAACAUGAGAAAAUGGUGGAUUAUGUGAGCAUUGGGUCGCAUAUCCUAUGUACCUCAGUCAUGGCAGACAUUGAUAAUGAUUGGGUAUCAGAAAUGGCUGUUGUUGUGUCCUAUUCCUUUGAUCAUGAGUACUAUGACAACCAAGAGCAUUCGAUGGAAACUCCGAGUGAUUAUUUGGGAGAAGCUAAUGCAAGGCCACCUAGCAGCGUCUCCUUUGACAAUUAUCUGAAUUUGCAAAGUGCCAGUCAAACCUGUCAGCUGCCAUUUCUUAUCCAUGUGACACGCAUGCGUUCUCUAGCUUUCCACCACAAGUCCUCAUCCUAUAAAUCAUCACUAUCCUUCAUACCCAUGCCCAUGUUCACCUUCAUUGGAAAUAGACCACCCUGUUCAUUCCACCAAUCCGUUACCUGUUUCCACCCAUACAUGGCUGUCCAAAACUCCUCAAAUUCAUCCACCCGCGCACAUGAGAACCAUGCAAACCUGGUCAUCUCUCUUAUACUCAUUUCUCAUUAAUCCCCACCAACCAGUCCACUAAUUUCAUGUCCAUAUACUCUACCAUUAAACUCAUUUCUUCUAUCACCUUAUCACCUUCCCAUUCAACCUUAAUGUUUCAACAAACUCAUCAUCUUUUCCAUAUCUAUCUUCAAUACUACCCAUACCCAUUCCAUCUCAUCAUCUUUCUCCCCUUCAUGCCAUCCAUUCCCUAUUCUCAUCUCAUAUUCCCCCUAUGCAUAUUAUCAAUCUCACAUACCCACUACUACUUUCUUUCUCUACACCACAAUCAUACCCACAAAUGUUCAUCACCACCCUCAUCCUCUCUCUAGAUUAUUACCCAUAUUCAGUAAACCUAUCCUCUCCCAAUAUAUUUGGUGUUCAUCUUCCCAUACUCUCCUCAAUAUAUUCUCUUUCUCAUUUCCUUCUCAAACACGUUGCAUGGCCAUGCACGACUCCACGUAACUGAGUUUUUUUUCCAGAGUUCAGUAAUAUGAAGUUCUCUUAAUGUCGUGGCGCCUUUCCAUGCUCACCAUCACGCCUGUCACCAUGCAUCAGCUAUCACACCUCCUGCAUGACAUACCCUUUUCCAUUGCACCGCGUACCCACCAUACCCACUAUCCACAGUUAGUCUCGCAUUCACCGGUCUCUACGUCCACAAAUUGAAGGAUUUGGCUAUUUGGUGGCUGGUUUUUAAGCGACUAUGCAUUUGGAUUGGGGUAUAUUCAGAUUUGGGCAUAACUUGGUAUCUGAUAUUGGGUCUAAUGGGAAAAACAUCGCUCCCUCCUGGGUUUCGGUUCUAUCAAAUGGAUAGACAGAUAUGGUAUAUAUCUUUGUCCUCAGUGCACCUAAGAAAUUGCGUGCUGGAAAGAAGAUGGAAGGGAUGUUUCUGCAUUCAAGGUCUUUUUGCUAGAGGAGUUACAAUGACCACAUGGAGAUUUUAUGGUUCUGAUGGGUAAGGAUACCAUGAUGAAGUGCUCCAUUAGGCUUCAUACACAGAAGACUUGAGAGAUUUUGGGACCUGGAAGUCCAUGGGAUAUAUAGUCAUGGCGCAAGUAGUCAUGUUCUAUGCAACUUCAGUGAUCUCCAGGUAGCAAGCGUUGACUGUCGCCAUCAUCACCUAAGAGAUCUGUGUUGACCCUCACUUUCCGGUUCAUCAGUGCCUUUAAUAUCUGAAGGUCAGUCAUUCAAAGUCGUGAGGUUGUAUGUCAAUUUCAGGAAGGAUAGAUUGAAGAUGAAAGUCUUUUUAUAGACAAAGAAGUCAGACUCUGUUGUGAAGAAAUUUUAUGAGGACACGUGCGCAAAGUUCCUGAAUCUUGGGGAAUUUUUGGACUUCAAGUUGUGCAUAAACGGUACUCUCACUCGGUAUUAUUUUGAGACCAGAGGCAUUAACUCAGAAAUGGUAUUGGAAAUUUUCUUGGUUAAAGGCUAAGUCAAGGACAAGUGACAGCUAUCCGGUAUUACGUGACAUCUGGGAUGAGACCUUUCUCUUAUGGACUUGUGGCUCUGUCUAAUCGAGAUGAUGGCUCAAUUUUUAUUCUCAAGAUGCCUAAUCUUACAAGAAUAAGGCCUCAUUGAGAAGCUUGCAGCUGUUUUUUUUUUUUUUUUUUUUUUCUGGUUACCUCAUUUUGCACUGAUUAUCACAUACCCUGCUUAGGGACUCGUACCCUGGACCCACUCUUCAAGCUCCUUGUUUACACGAUGUGUCACGUGCAUGGCUACCUUUGGGCCACGUGCUCUCUUGUCAUAUCUCCUUAUUCUUUGAUUUUUGAAAAUAAUUGCUCCAAAUCCCAUUUUGUUUUUUUUUAGGUUCUAGUUUUUAAAUAAUCCCAAUUUUCCAUCCUUCAUCCUUAGUAUUUUUCUUUAGGUUCCAAAGUCCUAUUUUCAAAAUUUUUGCUGCCACUUUUAUUUCUCGCAAGCAAUUUUCACAUUUUCUUUGAUUUUUGAAAUGUUUUGAAAUAAGCAUGAAUUUAAUUUUGUAAAUCCAAUUAAUGGAACUUAUGAAAUUAAUUCAUGCAAAAAUAAAUGGGCUUUGAUGGGAGCCCCAUAUCGGAAUUUUAAAAAUGAAAUUUGAAUGAAUUGAAGUGAGACACUUGAUGAUUUAUUACUCGAUUUGGUGGCGUGUGUGCUAUAUUUUAUAUCUAUUUGUUGCGCGCUAACCUGAUUACUUUUGAUAGCACAUUGUGGCUUGUGACCCAAGUACACAUCCAUUCCCAUUUUGGUCACUAUCUAUGAAUGUUCCGAUUCCCAUGUGUGCAUGAUAGAUUAGGGUAUCCAUUGAUUUUCUUAUUAAUUACCACAUCGGCUUCAUUUUAUUAGUAGAGACCCAACUUUAGGGACUUAGAGGGGUGUUACAGUCUUUAUUGUACCUUCCCGAUAAGUAACCUGACCCCCGAGCCCAGUCCGAUUUUUCACAAGCCGCAUUUUUCAAAAUAAGGAGUCGCACAUAGGGUUUUCUUUCUUAUUUUGUUUACCCUUUAAAAAUAAAACAAAAAUAAGUGGCGACUCCAAGUCAUUUUCUAAUAAAUAAAAAUCAUUUUUUUUUCAAAAUAACAAAUUGAGUUCACCAUCGAGUGGGAAACGCAUGAACCGAAAUGUGGGAUCCACAAAAAUAUAUGCAAUUUAGUAAAUAAAGUUGAUAUUUGAUUAAAAUAAAAAUAAUAAAAUUUAUAAUUUUCCUAAUUAAACUAAUAUCUUUUUUUUUUCACCGGUCUUCAUGUGUACUUUCUCAUACUCUUAACCAAAUAAUAAAUAUUAAAACUUGUAGUAUUUUUUUAACUUCUUUUUCAUCCUCACUUUGUGAAAUUAUUUCUCAAUCAAGGUUUAAAAUAUCUUAUAUAUUAUAUCCUCAAUACAUUCAAUAUUUGUGGAUCCUAAAAUUUAGGAAGAUAUAUUUAUCAAUUGAUUUUUUUUCGCAUUUCAAUCAAUAUUUUACUAAUAUUUUUGGAUAUUAUAUCAUAUUUCACCGAUUUUUUUAUUAAAUAAAUUAAUUCUAAUUAUUUUAUUUUUACAUUUGAUUUAAUUUAUUACCAAAAAUAUAAAAAUGUAAUUUUCGUAAUAGAUCUUUUUUAUAUAAUCUAUAUAUUUAUUAAAUAUAAAAAAUAUAAAUGUUAAAAGAAUUAUAUAUAUAUAUAUAUAUAUAUAUAUAUAUAUCCCAAUUGCUAUUUGCAACAUCAUUUUUACUAAUGCAACAUUUUACAUUCCUAAACUACCCUCCCUUAUUCCUUCCCCCCUCUCUCAUCUCUCCUCUCCAAUCUCACGUCCCAAUUGCACCCAUUUUUUAUUUUUUUUAUUUCCCAACCCUCACCCCACAUUUUAGCAUUAUUUUUCUUUUAUUUUUAUCUUCCAUUUAAUCUCUACCCACCCAACCCCCCACCCCUCAUGAACUUUGUUUUUUUUUCUUUUCAUUUCUUUUAUUUUUUCACACUCAUUGUUUUUCAUAUUCUUCUUUUAUUUUAAAACAAAAUAAUUUCUUUAAAUAAUAAAUUAUAAAAUGAUUUUUUCACCAAAAGUAUAUUGUGUAAAAUGAUUUUAUUAUAUUCAAUGUUUUAAUGUGAAAUUCAUAACUCAAUUUUUUUAAAUAAAAAUUAUUAUUAAAAUUUUAAAAUAAACAAUAUUUAAUUGGAAUGGUUUUUUAAAAAAUAUGUUUUUUUUUAUUAUAUUCAAUAUAAUUAUUAUAAGCAAAAAUUUAUGUCAUGAAAAAUUUUCUAACUAUUAUAAACGAAAAGUAAUUUAGUAACUAUUAUAAACAAUAAAAAAAAAUCGAUUUUUAUAAUUAUUAUAAGCAAAAAAUUUAGCCCAACCACUGCCGCCAAUGGUUGCCAACUUCCAUCCCUGCUCCAAACCCUAAUCGCCCUCGCCGCUGCCGCCUCCUAGGACGCCAGAGCCCCAUCCAGGUCGCCGGGUUUUUUUUUUUUUUUGAUAAAUGUAUAUAUUUCUUUAUAAAAAAAAACGAAAGUUAUAAAUUUUACCUGAAAAUUGUCAUCAGGUGAUUGAAUUUCGUUAUUCAUCGUAUUUCGUAUAUGAUUCGUAGUUUUAAUCAACUAGAAUUUUGGUUUAAUAUAUUUAGAGGAGGUUAGACAGAGUUCUUUAUUAAAAAUGGUAUAUGUGGAAAAAAUAUGACAAAAAAGUAUUACAUUUAGCAAAAGGGAUGUUGUGAAUAACAACCCCCUUAUUUAUUUGAUAUCAUUGACUACAUUUAAAUUAAAAUGAAUGAUAAUUUUAAUAUAAAUAUAUUUUAAAAUUAGACAUGUUAUCAUAUCAAUGUUUUUAAAUAACUUUAAAAUGUCUAUUUUUACUUAAUAUUCACCAAUAUAUCUCCAAUUAUAAUAUAUUCAAUAUAUCUAUAAAAUCGAAGUACAAAUGUGAUUACCAAUAUUUUCAUUAUUGAAUGCACUUGACAAAUUUAUCAAAAUAAAAGAAUUAAUUGGAUAAAAGGAUGAAAUAAUCUCAUAUUUGUGAAUUUAACCCCUCUCAUAUUGUUUUGAAGAGUAACUUAUUUUUUUAUAUAUAUAUAAAUACGCUUGAUUAUUUCAAGUAUUUACAUGUAUAUUUUAAAAUAAUUUAUAUAUAUAUAUAUAUAUAUAUAUAUAUAUAUAUAUAUAUAUAUAUAUAUAUAAUUAAGGAUAUUUUUGUCAAAAUGAGCCAAAAAUCAAUAAAGAAUUGGAUUUCCAAAAAUCAAUAAAGAAUGAGGCCAAAAAUAUCUGAUAUAUUAUAUCCUUGAUAUAUUCAAUAUUCAAUAUUCAUGGAUCCCAAAAUUUAGGAAGAUAUAUUUAUCAAGUGAUUUUUUUUUCGCCUUUCAAUCAAUAUUUUACUAAUAUUUUUGGAUAUUAUAUCAUAUUUCACCAAAUUUUUUAUUAUUUAAUUUAUUACUAAAAAUAUAAAAAUAUAAUUUUCUUAAUAGGUCUUUUUUAUAUAAUCUAUAUAUUUAUUAAAUAUAAAAAAUAUAAAUGUUAAAAUAAUUAUAUAUAAAUUAUUAAUUUGAUAUCAUUGAAUGCAUUUAAAUUAAAAUGGAUGAUAAUUUUAAUAUUAAUAUAUUUUAAAAUUAGACAUGUUAUCAUUGUAAAAUAAUAUAUAAUGCAAUUUGUUAGCCUAAGGGUUCUCCUAAUCAGGUUUUGAUGAUAACAAACCAUGGUUAAGUUAUUAAUUUGUUUGAAUUAUAAAGAAUUUAAGGUAUUAAUUCAAAAAUUCAUCAAAGGACUUAAUGGAUGCAAGAUCGAGACUUUUGGAAGACCUUUAAUUAUAGGAAACAUAUGUAAGAUGAAUGCAUGAGUGCACUUAUGAUUUACAUAUCAUUUCAUGCAUAUUUUAAAAACUCGAUUUAUGCUUUAAAGUUAUAUUUCCAUCAAAAUCCGAGAUCUAUCAAAUGAACCUUAAGCAAAACGUUUCAAAAUUGGCAUAUUAAUUUACCUAAAGACCUUGUCUAAGUGUUAUAAGAGAAAAUAAUAAAAAAAAAUGGUGAACCGAUCGAGGCACUGGCCAAACCGACUCAACCGAUUAGGGUACCGAUUGACCCGUUCCCUCUUCCUGGUCGAGGUUCAGUCGAGGAGUGCAAAAAACAUUUUCUCUCUUCCAAUAGCCUUUCCUUCCCGGUCGAGGUCCGAUCAAGAGUAAUGACCACCUACCAAGCAUUAAAUGCUCCAAUGACUAGUAAACUAGUCAACCCCUAACUAGACCGAUUGAGGCUCAUUUUUGGUUUUCUUGGCUCCUGAGGUUAGAAACUUAUAAAUAAAGAGUUCCACUUCAUUUAUGAGUAAGAGACACUUACAUUUAUUUGUCCACCCACUUGUUCUUGCCUUAAAAACUCUCAUUCCUUUAUUGGUGCAUUAAAUCUUCAUUUGCAUACUCUUUAGUGCACCUUUGUGAUUCAUCCUACCAUUGAGUUAUAUUUGAGCUAUUGUUGAGCUAAGUUGAGAUAUUCAUAUAUGUUAAUUGAGUGUUAAAGCUUUAAAGUGAGUUGAAACUUGAAGAGAUUGUGUAAGAGUACAUUAGGAUUGGAAUCCAAGCAUAAAGGUGAUUAGAAGCUUGGUUGAAGCUUCAAGUACAUAUGUGAUUAUCAAUAUUUUCAUCAUUAAAUGCAAUUGACAAAUUUAUCAAAAUAAAAGAUUUAAUUGGGUAAAAUGACGAAAUAAUCUCAUAUUUAUGAAUUUAAUUGCUCUCAUAUUGUUUUGAAGAGUAACUUAUUUUUUAUAUCAAUGCUCUUAAUUAUUUCAAGUAUUUACAUGUAUGUUUUAAAAGAAAAAAUUAUUUUUAUAUGUAUAAAAAAAAUUAAGGAUAUUUUUGUUAAAAUAAGGCCAACAAACAAUAAAGAAUUAGAUUUCUAAAAUUGGGUUUUCAAUAACUUUUUAAUUAAAUAACCCAAAAUAAAAUCAUAAAAUUUAUGAUUUUUAUUAAUUAAAUUAAUGCAUUAUUUUCCUUUUUCCAUUUUUAUGAAAGCAUUUAUUUUUUAGAUUCUUACAAAAAAAAAAUUAUAAAUGAUUUUAUCCAUUAUCCACCAAACAAUACCUUGUUUUGCCUUUCCUUAGUUUCUAUUUUUGAAAUUAUUCCAUUUAUGUUUUAAGAAAAUUAAAAAAAUUUAAAAACAAAAUACUAAAUUCCCUAUAUAAUUAAUUAAUUUCUUAAUUUUCUUUUAUUUUUUCCAUCUUGAUCAAAUAUUUUUUAGGGAGAAUUAUGUUUUGGGGGUAGAUGGACCUUCAAAUUAACAAAAGGUUCACGUAACUCUUCAAAUUGAGCCCAAGACCCAAUAAAAGUAUGAAAAUUGAGUUGAAGGAUAUCAUCCUUCAGUAUUUUCAAAAAUGUCAUUUGUUGAUUUUGAGAAAAAAAUUAAUAUUUUUGAAAAAUACUUUUAUUUAAUUUAAUAUUUUUUAUUUAAUUUAAUAUUUUUAAAAGAUACUUUUAUGUAAUUUAAUAUUUUUUAAAAAUAAAUUUAUUUUAUUUAAUAUUUUUUUUAAAUACUUUAAUUUAAUUUAAUAUUUUUGAAAAAAAAAAUUAAUUUAAUAUUUUUGAAAACUACUUUUAUUUAAUUUAGUUUUUUUGAAAAAAAAAUAAUUAAAAAAAAUUAUUUAACUUAAUUUUAUAAAAUAUUUUAUAUGUGUUCUUAAAGGGUAUAUUUGUCCGUUACUAUUUCAUAUCCUUCAACUCAAUUUGAUGAGUUAUAUGGACCUUUUGUUAAUUUGGGGGGCAAUCUACCCCCAAAAGAUAAUUCUCCCUAUUUUUUAGUCCAAAUUUUAAGAAAAAAAAAUUAUAACCAAUAAAAGGAUAAAACAAUAAAUCAAGGAUAUUCCAAGUUUCCUUUUUGCCUCCCUUUGGCCGGAAAUUAUUAAAUUCAAUUCAUUGCUUGUCUAUUUAUCCAUUUAAAAAAUAUUUCAAUUUUUUUUCUUUUAUAUGUUUUAUCUUUAAAAGUAGCAAACCUUCUACAUGUAUUUUUAAUUUUAUGAAGAAAAAAAAAAUUAUAUCCACCGUGUAAAUAUAUUAUUUCUAUUAAAAAUUAAUUAUUUUUAUUUUUAUUUAAAAAAAAAAAAUCAGAUUUUUUAUCUAAAUAGAAAAUAGGACAAUUAAGCAAAAGAUAGUGGUAGGUGAUAGGUGUGAUUCGAGAAAAGGUCAUUUAUCCAAACAGAAAAUAGGAAAAUUAAGCGCAAGAUAGUGGUAGGUGAGAAUAGAGACUAAAAUGAGCCGAUUCUUACCCUUACUCUUCACUUCUAUAAAUUGCUUCUUCGAUCCGAUUCAUGUAAAUUUUUUUUUGCUAGGUUUCAAUUUUUUGUAGCUGAUCUGUGAGUUUUGGGUUUGAUUUUGUGUUGAUCUGGUGUUUUGUCGAGGAUCGGUUUAUUUAUUUUAUUUAUUUAUUUAUUUUUUAUACACGAUGCUUUUAGAUUUUUGUGUUGUGUUCAUUUCUUAUGUGUAUAUAUUGUGAUUUUUAGUAUAGUUGACCAUAGAUGUUCGGAUUCUGUAGCUAGAUUGUGUUUCAUUUUUGUUAUGUGAAUUUGUGAAUAAAUGAUUUUUAGCAGAUCUCUUCAGUUCUGUUUGGAAAACUUUGAAUUUUUUUUCUUUUUUUCCCUCAUAAGGGAGGUUUUUUCUUUUCAAAAUUAUUUCUGCGUUUUGGUGAAUUUGAUGGGUAAUCUUAUUUGUUCCUAUGCCUUUUAGUGGUGGAAGUUAUACAUAUAUGUCAUUACUUCCUUCUAAUAUUGAAUUGCUUUGUGUAUUACAUGUUAUAGCGUGGCUAAAGGGUGUUUUUAUUUUUUAUAAUUUAGUUUAAUUUUUUAUAAUUUCGCUUCUUUUGUUGAAAUUUUGUGUGAGCUUCUCUUUCUUGGUAAAAUGCACUGAACCCUUUUUCUACAAAAAGGGGGAAAAAAAAAAGGAGAAGACCGAGGACAAAGAAAAGAAAGAAAACGAAGAAAAAGAAUAUUGUUGUCUGUGCAAGGUAUAGAACACCUCUGUUGUCUUUUAGGAACAUGACCGUGUCUUCAUUUAUGGAGAUUUUUGGGCCUCUGAGAAGAGUAAAAAAAAAUUAAAGUACUUGUCGCUUGCUUAUUUUAAUUAGGGAUUUUCUGGGAGAUUCUGUAGAAGCAGUGGUUUUUUUUUUUUUAACUUUUUUUUUUUCUGAAUGCAUUGUGCUAAAAUGGAGUUAAAAUUAUGUAGUAAUGCACUAAUUUGUAUCCCAUCUCUAAUGGGUAGAGUAGGAGGAUUAUAUUUUAAUUUGUGUAUGGACUAUACCUUUCCCUUGGUGGUAGCAAAUCAUUAUUUAUUCUAAAAUUAUUGGUAGGUGUUUUGCUUUCCAUUUAUUUUCUUUUGCUUUUAUCAUUGGAUUGAUUAUUGAUUUCAAUCCAAGCAUUUUAUAUGUAAAUGAAACCUCUUUAUCAGUUGCUAUAAUUUUAAAAAUAUUGUGGUUUCUCAUACAAUAGGGCGCUUUAAGUUUGUAUUUCUUACUAUUUUGUCUCUUAGAUCACAUAGAAAAUGGUGAAGGCUGUUGCCGUUCUUAACAGUAAUGAGGGUGUUUGUGGAACUAUCUAACUCGCUGAAGAAGGAGAUGGUAAUCAAGAAAUCUACCAAGUUUCUCUGGAUAAGUAAUGAAAUUUAGAUUGCUAUAUUUGCCUAUAAAUUCAUUAUUUUUUUCUCAAUUCUUUAGGUUCAACUACAGUGACUGGGAGUCUUUCUGGCCUUAAGCCUGGACUUCAUGGCUUCCAUGUGCAUGCCCUUGGGGACACAACAAAUGGUUGCAUGUCAACUGGUAUUGUCUAAUUAUUGGUUACUUUAUUUUUUACAUCCUUUGCCACUGGGUUAGACUUACACUCUUUAGAUUUCCUGCAUGUUUCUUUUUAGCUUAAGUAUUUAGAUUACUUAUUUAUUUAUUAUUUACAGGACCUCAUUUCAAUCCUGCUGGAAAAGAGCAUGGUGCUCCUGAAGACGAGAAUCGUCAUGCUGGUGAUUUAGGAAAUGUCAUUGUUGGUGAGGAUGGUAUGUACUAUGUACUUCAUUGUAAUUAACUAUUACUAGAAUACCAUUAGAAGCAUUAUUAUUGUUUGCCCGGCAUUGCUACUUUUUAGGCAAUCAUUUUUCUUAGAUCCUUGUAUAGAUAUCAAGCUAUGUGAUAUGAAUGGAAUAUCUGGACUGUAUAUCUAGUUCAGUUAUGUUAUUUGAACUUUCUUAGUCAUUAAGGUGUUUUCAUUUGAUUGUGUGCUUUUCAGGUACUGUUAAUUUCAAAAUUGUUGACAAGCAGGUAGGUUUUUUUUUUUACCACUUUGUCUUCUUUUUCUUUUUAUUCUUUUUACCAGCUAGGUUGAAAUUUGGUUCUUGUUAUCUAAAAAAUGUAUUUGUCUCUGUUUAAAGAUUCCUCUCACUGGAUCAAACUCCAUUGUUGAAAGGGUAAGCUGUAAAACUUCUAUCUAUGGAGCUUUUUUUUCAGGUGUUUCCAUUUUAUGCUACUGUUAUUCUAUGACCUGUGGAUUACUAAUGGAUAAGAAUGAACAGUCCAGUCCUAGCUUAUGACAAAUGUUAAUUUAUAUUUUGCUGGAACAUUAUUAAGUUCCAUCUUACAAAGUUUGGACAAACGUAUGUAUACUUAUUCCAUCAUUUUGUGCACAGUAAUUAUUUUUAUUCUUAUCAUGGGUGCUGUGCAGGAUGGCUAUUUUUAUUAAUCUGAUACAAGCUGUGCAAGAUGAAUUUUAGAGAAAAGAAAUGCUUUGAAAAUAGAAUCAAUUGUGUUUUACAAUUAUGCCUUUGUUGAGUCAAUAAGGAGGCAUUUGAAGUUACCUCAUUUUUACAAGGAAGUACUAAUAUACUACACUAAAUCGGGGGAUUCUAAGUUAAAUAUUAGAAACCCACAGGGAGAUUUUUGAAAUAUCGCUGAGAUCCAAGUCAUCCGACACCCAGCUUGCCUUAAAAAUCAAGCUGAAAAAUUUAGUUUAUCCAUUGCAUGGUUGACAUCUGUGUGAGAACUUAAAUAUCCAUCUCAUCCUCGCUUAACAUUGUUAACAAAGUUCAUGUUUGGAUUAGGGGUAAAAUGGGCCUUACUUUUAUUAGAACUGAAAGCUUCUUCACAAAAUAGAAGUAGGUUUUGUUGACAUCACAAAUUUUAUGUGAUGUGAGUGAUUGCAAAAGAGGGGUUCUAAUAGUUAUGGUUUAAAGUUAUUCUUGUUGAUGCCUCGCGUUCCUGACGAUCCACGUAGUUGCCAAAUGGAUGGAUGCGCGACCUCAACCAAAAUAGGUUAUUGAUUCAGUCGUUAUACCUGCAAAAAGGGCAUCCGGACAGGGUGUCCGAACGCACCCUCCGAUGGUUUUGUUAGCCAUGGUUAGGGAGAGGGAUAAAUCAGUUAGCCUUUUACUAGGUAUCAGAAGAUUACCUUCAUCUUCGUGUGAAGGUUUAUAUAUAGUGUCAGGGGUACUGUUCCUCUCAUUAAUGGUGAGGAGAUAUUUUGUGUUGUUAUGAUGACAUGAGGUGGCAGCAUGGUCAUCGCCACCCUACGGGCGGCUGUCAGAAACCGUGGUAGGUGAAGCGGCUGUCAGAGAUCGUGGGAAGUGAUCAUGUAGAAUGAUCGUGGGAAGUGACUUGUUGUCACCUCAACUCGUCCUUUCACUCUACAGGUGAUGGGACGUGGGCCAUGGCUGGUUGUUGUGAUAGCGUGUAAGACUCGCUUACUUCAGUCAAUGAUCCGGACCAUUGUAUCCGGAUGGCAUAUGUUGAUCAUCCGGAUGUAUUGUGUAAGCCAUCCGGAUGAUACGUUUAUAAGUGUCGUUUGGUCUUCUUGAUCAUCCGGAUGUAUUGUGUAAGCCCUCCGGAUGAUAUGUCUAUAAGUGUCGUUUGGUCUUCCUUGAGGUAGUCCGGAAAAGUGUGUCAUGUGCGUUUUAUAGGGAGAUCCGGAUGAGGGUGACUCGGGUGACAAUGCCUGCCAUGUGUCACUGUAAGAUGUGUGCCACGUGUCUUGGAGGGAGGGGUCCCUACAAUGCCCCCCUUUUUAACUUGCCUAUUUUGCCAGAGCAAAAAUGGGCGGGUUAAAAAAUAAUUGGUUUUUUGAAAACCGAAGUCGACCUUUUGUCUGGUUGGGCCACGUGGCGAGUGGGGGUGCGGAAGCCAAAAAAGGCAUUUAUGGUGAGCCGCCGACUCUGGGUAUUCCCAGGCAGCAUGUCGUUUCAACGAUGGCGUUGCUGGGCGUUUGGCUUUCCGAGGGGCUGUCCCCCUAUAAAUAGCAUACUGUGCCUACUGUUGUAUUUUUCCUACUGCGUUUUUUCUGAGAGUUUUUGCUUCUUCUUCUUCCUAUGCUUUCCUCUGCUUUUCUGAGUAAAAAACCCUAGAGUUUUUCUUGCCGGUGAUUUUGUAUCGCAACAUCAACCUUUCUUCGCGGCAUUUCUAUUUGGUACGUGCAUUUUGUUUUUGUUUUCCCUUUGUUGCGCUUGUUUGUUCAUUGGCUUGAUUUUUGACUUGCUUUGGGCAAAUCGCUUGCGACUGUGUGUUGAAUGUUGGUGUUUGUUGAUUUUCUGGAUUGCUGUGUUUAACUGUUGAGCUUCUUGUAUGUAGGCUUUUUAUUCAACUUUCGGGCUAAGAAAUGUCUUCGAAUAAGAAAACUGUUUCAUCUUCCGAGGCCGGCAAUGCUUGUGAGAAAGCGACGGACAAACUGGAUGUGAAGGAAUUCCGGGACCGGUUCUGUAUCCCCAAUGGCGUGAUUGUGGAACUGCUAAAUGAUGAGGAGGUGCCUGUGCCGGCCGAAAAAAAUACCAUCAUCUUCUCAAAGGAGCAAUUCAACGCGGGGCUUCGGUUCCCUCUACCGGCGUUGUUCAAGGAAUUCCUCCAUUUCACCCAGAUUCCACCCGCCUUUAUUCAUCCCAACAUCGUCCGGGUGCUAAUGGGAUGCAGCAUCAUAAACAUGUUGUACAACCUCGACCUGACGCUACUGGAGGUGUUUUUUGUCUAUUCACUGAAGAAGGCAAAAACUGAUAUCUUCAGCAUGUCCGCUCACCUGCCCUUCCUUCAAUUGGUGACGGAGCUGCCAGAUUCGAUAAAGGGAGGGGCGAAGGGACACGUAGCGGUCCGGGGUGUAUGGGCGGGGUCACCAGGACGUCCGGGGAGGCCCUUCUCUCCAAACUACUCCUUAGUGAUUCCGGGUAAGUUUGCUUUGACACUUUUGUCCGGCUUUUAUUUUGUUGUCUUUUGUUGAUUUUUUCGGACGGUUUUCUCACCUUUUGUUACUGUCAACGUAGGUCAGGAAAGGAGGGGCCAUAUCGUGGACUGGGUGGAAAAGGUGUCUUUUGCCUGUCUCAAUAAGUUGUUUGAGAUAGAUGCCACGGAGAGGUGCUACAAGACGCUGCUUACUGCGCGGAACCUGAUGGUGGUCGUCCGGGAGUCCCAAGAGUAUGUUGUCAACAUUCUCCCCAGGAAAAUGCCAAAGGAGGUAGUGCCUGGGGAGCAUUAUACUGUGAAGGAUCUCCCAAUUUACUAGGAGUUUAAAGAGGCGGACGCUGAAAAACGCCGAGCGCUCCUGGAUAAUCGGGAGAAGAAGAAGAACGAAGGAACCCUUCAUAAGGCUCCCGGACAGAAACGCGGCGCAGCCUCUCCUCCAAAUAAAGCUCCAACGAAAAAGAGGAAGCUGGUGAAGAAUGGGAAGGGGGUGAAGGAGCCCACCCCUCCCAAGGAUUUUGCCCCUCCGCCAAUUACUCAUGAGGCGGAGGUAAUAAUAGAGGAGCCAGUGAACCCUGCUCCUCAUUCUAUCUCAAGCGGAUCAGGACACGUCGCGGGGCUGAACCACUCGAGUACUUCCUUGGCAGCGGUUGCCCGUCUGGAUAAUUUGGCUGAGGAAGCUGCGUCCAUCAACCAUCCGGACUCCCCUAAUCCGGAUGUCGAUGCAGCUGAAGCCGUUUGUGCAACCCCGAUGGAGGAAGCAGCGGCAGAAAGUCAGAGUCAGCCCUCUGACGAUCCGGACCGUCUGGCUCUUGUUUUGGUGAAGGGGCCACCUUCAAAGAGGCCUCGUUCGGCGCGCAAUCUGAGGUCCGGACUCAUCGGGCGGCUUCAAGAUCGUCAGCAAGAGAUCGAAGUUAGUUGCUCAUCCGCCCACGACGCUCAUCCGGAGGGGGGUGAAGUAGAGAUGGCAACUGAGACUCCAGCCGUCCCGGUGAUGGUCCCGAAUGAGGUUGCACCCAGGGAGACCCAUCCAGCCGUAAAUGUUGAGGCCCCGAAUCCGAAACAAGAGUCGCCUUCUGUCGCCUCAUCAGGUGGGGAUCUUGUUAAUGACGCGGCUUGCACCUCCGCUAGCCCUUUUAGCUACGCGGAGUUGGAAGAUAAGCUGAAACAGAUUCCACCCGGCUCGACUGCUAUCGUACCUUCAGCCAAGAUGUUCGAGAUGGUGGAAACGGUAUAUUGUUUUUUUGUGCUUCUUGAUUCUUUGUCAUUCUGAUAUGUGUUUGUGGUGUGACUUAUAACUUUGUUUUUCUCGUUUGUGUGUUUGCCUGCAGCUGGUGAGUGGUCUCCGCGGCAUGGCCCAACAACACGAUCUUUUCACUGACCUGUUGCGGACCACUAAUUAUAUGAAGACCUUUGCCUUUCGGCGCAAAGAUAGUGAAAACCAGUUGCGCCUGAGACUGGAGGAGGUUGAAGCCAGCUUAUCCACCGUUCAAGAGGACAACGAAGCCCUCAGGGCGGAUUUGGCUGAGGCUAAGAGCCGGGAGGAAUCAACAUUCACCCGUCUGUGUGAGGCAGAGGAUGAGGUGGCCCGGCUGAGGGGGAAGGUGAGGCAACUCCGGACAGAGGCUUCAAUUGAAAAGAAGCAGAAAGAAGAUUUGCAGCUGCGCUUAACAGCGCAAAAAGAAGAGCUAGAGCGGGAGUUUGCUGCAGAGAGGGAGGAGCUUGAAGCGGACUAUCAAAAGCAAGUGGAUGAUACCUUCAUCUUUGGCUAUCGCUGCUGUAUGAAGAAGAAUGGCAUAAAGCGAGACGUCCCUUCAAUUCCUCCGGGUGAAGAGAAGAAACUUCAUGACAAGCCCACUCCGUGAUAGCUUUUCUUUUUGCAAUUUCUUCUGUAAUCUUCUUUCUGUAUUUUUUGUGGUCCGGAGACCUCUUUGUACAUACAUUGACAUAUAUCAAUAAAACAAUUCUUUUUCCCAUUUGUACUUGUCUUGCUUUUUCAUUGAUAGUACUGUUUUAAAUUGGAAACAUUCCAUGGUCUAAGUAAUGGAGUUCCGUCUAACUUUUGUAAAUGAUAGGCUCCACUUUCACUUGCUUUAGACACUAUAUAGGGUCCUUCCUAGUUAGCUUGGAACUUGCCUGCGCCCAUUUCAGCAGUGUUUUCAAAAACUUUUCUAAGGACUAGCGUACCAUUUUUGAAGCUCCUGGGCCUUACUUUACGAUUGUAAUGGGCGGAUGCUCUUUGUUGAUAGUCUGCCAUCCGGAUGGCUGCGCUUUCCCUCACUUCAUCUGCCCAAUCCAAGUUUCUUCCCAAUUCUGUGUUUGCAUCAUUCUGCUUUGCCGCGUCAGUCCGGAUAGUAGGAAGACCUAUUUCAGUAGGAAUGACUGCAUCCAUUCCAUAUGCGAGGGCGAAAGGAGUGUUUCCUGUUGGGCGUCCGGGUGUGGUUCGAUAGGCCCAUAGGACGCCGGGUAACUCUUCCACCCACUUCCCUUUGGCUUGUUCAAGCCUUUUCUUUAAGGCAGUGAUUAGGGUUUUGUUUGUGGCUUCUGCCUGCCCAUUACUUUGGGGAUAUCGCGGUGUGGAGUAUGAAUUCCGGAUGUUCAGCUCUGAACAGAAAUUCCUGAAUGCGAUGCUGUCAAAUUGAGGACCAUUGUCAGCUAUGAUAGUUUGUGGAAUUCCAAAACGGCAGAUGAUGUUUUUCCAUACAAACUUGGUGACAUCCUUGUCUUUGAUGCUAGCGUAUGCUUCAGCUUCCACCCACUUACUGAAAUAAUCUGUGGCAACGAACAAAAAUUUCUUUUGGGCAGGUGCAGCUAGGAGGGGUCCCACUAUGUCCAUGCCUCAUUGCGCGAAGGGCCAUGGGCCUGAGACUGAUUUCAACGUUGCUGAUGGCAUAUGCGGAAUGGGGGCAUACCUUUGACAUUUAUCACAUCUUUUGACAUAUGCUGCCACGUCUUUCUUCAUUGUUGGCCAAUAGUAUCCUUGCGAAUGAGCUCUAUGUGCCAGAGAUCGUCCUCCCGAAUGAUUCCCACAUAUUCCCUCAUGCAACUCAGCUAACACAUACUGGGCCUCUGAAUGCCCUAGGCAUCGAAGGUAAGGUCCUGUGAAGGAUCGCUUGUACAGGUGCCCCCCAAUCAGGGUGAAACGGGCAGCUUGUACCCGGACUUUGUGUGCCUGUUUGAGAUUUCCGGGUAGAGUUCCUGUCCGGAUAUAUUCUGCGAUGUCAUACGUCCAUUCUUGGCCGUCCGCUUGGGGUGCCUCAAUGGUAUUGCAGGUGGAGAUUUCUGCGACAGAGGGGUUGGGUUGCAUAUGUAUAGGCAAUAGAAUGGCUUCUUUGAUAGGGAGGGAGGCAGCUAUGCCGGCCAAGGCGUCAGCGCGCCUAUUGUCGGCUCGCUUGAUUUUUUCGAUUGUCCAUUCGGUGAAUUGCUGCAAGGUGUUUCUUACUUUAGCUAAGUAUCGCGCCAUGCGUGCGUUCUUAGCCUCAUAUUCCUUCUGGACGUGUUUUACCACGAGUUGUGAGUCGCUGUAGAUCCGGAGUUUGGAGACGGAUAGAGCAAGGGCAAGGUCCAAUCCGGACAAGAUGGCCUCAUAUUCUGCUUCAUUGUUAGAGGCAAAGAAUCCCAGCCUGAUGGCUUGCUCCAAAUGUUCCCUAGUUGGGGACUGUAGUAGGAGCCCAACUCUAGAGCCUGAUGAGCGUGAGGCUCCGUCAACUCGUAGAGUCCACCAUUCUUGUUUACUUGAUUCGUGGUGUUGGCUGGGUUUUCGGGAAUAUUCUAGCACGAAGUCAACCAUUACUUGGCCUUUCAUAGACAAUCUGGGUUAGAAUUCGAUUCCAAACUCGCUCAAUUCAAUGGCCCAUUAUAGCAUUCUUCCGAUUAAAUCUGGCUUGUGCAGAAUGUUACGAAGGGGCUGGUCAGUUAGUACGAUCACUGGAUGAGCUUGGAAAUAAGGGCGGAGCUUCUAGGCAGUGCUUCGAAGGGCUAAGGCUGUUAGCUCCAUUUUUGAAUAUCUGGUUUCUACGUCUGCCAAUGUCCUGCUGACGUAGUAGAUAGGUUUUUGCUCCUUUGGUGAGGGGCAGCGGAAUAGAAUGGCGUUGAUUGCCCAUUCUGAUACCGCUAGAUACAUGUAUAAUUUUUCCUUUGGGAUGAGGCUGCUCAAGAUGGGUGGUUGCAUAAGACAAUGCUUAAUCUUUUCAAAAGCAUUUUGGCAACUGUCCGUCCAUUCGUGUGCUCCAGCUUUUCGUAUUGCCAAGAAGAAGGGUCGUAAUUCAUCAAUGAAGCGGGCUAUGAAGCGCCCUAGUGCGACAAGUUUGCCUGUGAGGCGUUGCAACUCCUUUUUGUUCUUGGGUGGUGGUGUUUCUAUAACUGCCUUGACUUGAUCCGGACUGACCUCUAUGCCCCUUUGGCUGACCAUAAACCCCAGGAAUUUGCCAACGCUUAUGCCGAAGGCGCAUUUAGAAGGAUUCAGCUUCAUACCAUACUUUCGUAAGAUGUGAAAAACUUCUUGUAAGUGAAGGACAUGUUGCUCUCGGGUUUUGCUUUUGACCACGAUAUCAUCAAUAUAUACCUCUAUCGUGUGGCCUAUGAGAGGUUUGAAGAUUUUUGUCAUCAGUCUUUGGUAAGUGGCGCCAGCAUUUUUGAGUCCGAAUGGCAUGACUUUGUAGCAAUAGAGGUCGUGUGGCGUUAUGAAUGCUGUCUUUUCUUCGUCAUCCGGGGACAUGGGAAUCUGGUGAUAUCCUGAGAAGGCAUCCAAGAAAGAGAGCAUCCCUUGCCCGGAAGUGGAGUCCACAAUUUGAUCUAUUCGCGGCAAGGGAAAACUAUCUUUUGGACAUGCAUUGUUGAGAUUGGUGUAAUCUACACAAACUCGUCAUUUUCCUUCUUUUUUGGGUACUACCACUACGUUUGCCAACCAAUCCGGAUAAGAUACUUCUCUGAUGAAUCCGGCUUCUAGCAAUUUGUCAAUCUCAUUCCGGAUAACUUCUUGUCUAUCCGGGUGGAAACGUCUAAUCUUCUACCGGACGGGUCUGGCAGCUGGAAAGACGUUAAGCUUGUGAGAGGAAAUAGAGGGAUGAAUUCCCUUCAUAUCGGAAUGUGUCCAUGCGAAGAUGUCAUGAUUCUGUCUGAGAAUAUUUUGCAUGCUCUGAGUUUCUUCGGUCGUCAUGAGGGAACUGAUGUUCGUGAGGUGAGUGUUUUCCUCCGAAAUUUGGAUCGUUUGUAAGGGAUCCGCUGUCGGGGGAUCUUUGUCCUCCGGACCUAAUAAUUGUUAUUGGUCAUGUGUAUGGCUGAGUUAAGGGGGAGAUGCAUCCUCCUGGUUGGCCCCUGCUUCUCGUGCUAUCUGAUAGCAUUGGCGAGCGGCCAACUGGCUACCAUAUAAGUCAAUUUGCCCAUCGUUGGUUAGGAAACUCACCAUUUGAUGAUAUGUAGAGGGGAUGGCUUUCAUGUAGUGUAGCCAUGUGCGCCCCAAGAUGAUAUUGAAGGGUGAUAAAUCUUGUACCACUGAGAAUUGUACGUUGAGAGUAACUGGGCCUGCUUGGACCGGCAGUACAAUGUCUCCUAAGGAUGUAGUUGAUGAGCCGUUGAAUCCGGACAGGAUUCGUCAGGGGUUUUCAAGGCCUGUGAGACAGUGUCCCAUGUGGCUAACGACCGAUGCUUGCACAAGAUCGGCGGAGCUGCCCGGGUCAAUCAAGAUGCGUCUCACAUCGAAGUCCCCUAUCUCUAGGGACAAGAUGAGGGCGUCUCGAUGUGGCUGUAGUGUCCGGGUGGGGUCAACUGGUGGGAAAAUGAUUGUCCCAUCUAUGGGGCGAGGACCCCCUCCAGUUAGCCCGGGCCGGAUGGAAUUGAUGCGUUCGCGUGUUGAUGCGGCACGCAACAACUUCUGUCUUUUUCGCCUAGAGUCGUACUCUUCGUCAGAUGGGCCUCCAUUAAUAUAGCUUAUAACGGCCUUGGGUGCAGUUGGGGCUCUGGGGGCUCCAGAGUUGAGAUUUUGGGGAACGUCUCUUUCCCCAGCACCUGAGCAGAGGUAUUGCUUUAAAUGUCCCGCCUUAAUGAGCUUUUCGACCAAAAAAUGGAGGCACCUGCAUGUCUCUGUUGUGUGACCAUGAUCUUUGUAGAAGGCACAUAUCUUGUUAUGAUCCCUUGUGGAUGGGUCUGUUCCUUGGGGUCUUGGUCACCUGAAGUCAGACAAGCCUUGGAUCAUAGGGAGAAGUUUUUCAUAUGAUAUGGAAAGAGGUGUGAGAGGCGCCUCUCCGGGCGACUUGGCCCUUCCUGCCUUCGGUCAGAUGGCCUCGGUCGGUCCGAAGGUUUAGUAUUUCUUUCCGCGUCACCUCUAGAUGGCCGUCUGGCAACCAAGACUUGCUGAGUGGCUGCACGUACGUCAUCUUCGAGCAUUGAAUAUUUAUUGGCACGUCUGAACAAGUCGUCCAUCGUUGUAGGAGGUUUUUUGGCUAGUGAUUCGAAAAUGGAGUGCCUGGACAGAUGUUUCGCUUGAAGAUCUGUAGGACAGCAUCCAUGCUGCAAGCCUCUACCUGAAGUACGGCUUGGCCAAACUGUUUCACAAAUUCCCUCAAGGAUUCGUUGUCUUGCAUUUUUAUGUUCUGCAGGGUGCUAAUAUUUUGCUUGUGUCGAGCGGAGCACAAGUAUUGUCCGACGAAAGCUUCGGACAGGUCCCUGAAAUUGCCAACAGAGUUGGGAGGUAGGCGAUGAAACCAUGAGAAGGCCUGUCCUUGUAGGCUGGCGGGAAAUACUUUGCAUAGUAGUGCAUCAUUGCCAAUAUCGAGCGUCAUGAGCUGUCGAUAAUGCAUGAUGUGAUCGAAGGGAUCGUUGGUUCCAUCGUAUGUGGAAAAUUUUGGUACGAGGAAUCCCCUUGGGGGCUCGUAGUGAAUGAUAUGAGAGCAGAAAGGCGUGGAGAGCAUGUCAUCCAGCCUUUUGCUGAUGGAGCCGAUGGGUGGCUCGUUUGGGAGGUUUCUCCCAGUCGGUUGUUCCGCUAGGUGCGAGUGAACGUUUCGCAUCGCGGGGGUGACCAUGGGGUCACGAUGCGGGUGCACAUUCUGCACCAUGGGGGCGACCAUAGGGUCAGGGCGUGGUGCCUAGGUUGUGGCUACUGGUGGCCUUGAUCGCCCAGGCUUUUGUGGGCCUAGUCUUGCGCGCAUCGAAUUUGACAACUGAGAUUUUUUAUCACGUUGUCUUUUCGCUGAAAAGUGAGUAGAGUCUGAGCUUUCCUCACGUGGGGCUCGAGGCAUAGGUGUGCGCGGCUCAUGAGGCCUCACGUUGCAUGCUCCUGGGAUAGCUCCUGCUGAUCCAGGAUAUAUUGAUUCUGGUUCUGUCCUUGAGUUUGCUACUUGGCCUCUUGAACGCUGACGACGAGGAGGCCCUGAUGUCGAAGCCUGGAUGCGUAGUACAGCGUUUUCUUCUUUUAAUCUCUCUGUCUCCUGGAGGAGAGCUUUGAGUUGUCGCUCGCUUGCCAACUGUCUCCUUUCGAUGGUUUUACGCCAUUCACGAUCAUCAUCCCCUCCCCUAUCGGCUGAAUGGCUUCGGGAAGGUGUGGCCAUCUUUGCAAGUGACUGAAUCAAAUGAAAAUAAAAAUUCCCACAGACGGCGCCAAUGUUGAUGCCUCGCAUUCCUGACGAUCCACGUAGUUGCCAAAUGGAUGGAUGCGCGACCUCAACCAAAAUAGGUUCUUGAUUCAAUCGUUAUACCUGCAAAAAGGGCAUCCGGACAGGGUGUCCAGACGCACCCUCCAAUGGUUUUGUUAGCCAUGGUUAGGGAGAGGGAUAAAUCAGUUAGCCUUUUACUAGGUAUCAGGAGAUUACCUUCCUCUUCGUGUGAAGGUUUAUAUAUAGUGCCAGGGGUACUGUUCCUCUCAUUAAUGGUGAGGAGAUAUUUUGUGUUGUUAUGAUGACAUGAGGUGGCAGUAUGGUCAUCGCCACCCUACGGGCGGCUGUCAGAAACCGUGGUAGGUGAAGCGGCUGUCAGAGAUCGUGGGAAGUGAUCAUGUAGAAUGAUCGUGGGAAGUGAUUUGUUGUCACCCCAACUCGUCCUUUCACUCUGCAGGUGAUGGGACGUGGGCCAUGGCUGGUUGUUGUGAUAGCGUGUAAGACUCGCUUACUUCAGUCAAUGAUCCGGACCAUUGUAUCCGGAUGGCAUAUGUUGAUCAUCCGGAUGUAUUGUGUAAGCCAUCCGGAUGAUACGUUUAUAAGUGUCGUUUGGUCUUCUUGAUCAUCCGGAUGUAUUGUGUAAGCCCUCCGGAUGAUAUGUCUAUAAGUGUCGUUUGGUCUUCCUUGAGGUAGUCCGGAAAAGUGUGCCAUGUGCGCUUUAUAGGGAGAUCCGGAUGAGGGUGACUCGGGUGACAAUGCGUGCCAUGUGUCACUGUAAGAUGUGUGCCACGUGUCUCGGAGGGAGGGGUCCCUACAAUUCUGACUCACUUUUGGGCUUCUGCUAUGAUCUCCAGAAGCCACAUAUGCUAGCUGCUGGAGCAUUAUUAAGUUUUUCAGGCCCUGGUAUCGAGGUUGAUUGGUUCCUUGAUAUAUGCUUGCCAUUCACCAGUACCAUUUGGUUAGAAGAGAAUACUUGGCUUGUUUAGUCUGUUUUUAUUGUUUGGAAAAAAAAACUCCGAAUAUGGCCCAAGUGGGAAUGGCUUGACUUUGUUAGAAUAUGGACGUAUGUGUUCCUAUUUUUCUUAUUUUUAUUCUUAUUUUACCUUUUAGCAUAUCUUUGCUUUCUGAGCAUGCAAUAACAGUUUAUUUUCUAUAUUUUUUUUAGGGGGACAUGAGCUCAGCAAAAGCACGGGAAAUGCUGGUGGCAGAGUAGCCUGUGGUAAGCAUAUUUCUUUCUUUUCUUUUCCUUUCCUUUGUAGUGACAGGGGGGGCUUUGGUUGGUACAUGAAAAUCAAAUCAUGCAUUUGGUUUUUUUUUUUUUUCAUGUAAUUUGAAAUGAAAUAAGAUAAAUCACUUUGUUUCUUAUGCAAUUUUUGUUUGCAUUUAAAAAUUUUGAGAUACUAUAAUCAUUUCAAGUAUGAGUGAGUGCUUUCCAAUAUUUAGUUUUUUUUAUUCUCUUUUUUUCCUCCCCACCAUAGCAGACUGAGAAUUUCUUUUCCAAAUUAUUAUGGGGAUAAAACGGAAUGAUUGCACUAUUAUUUGUUCUUUAAAUGCACUUGUAAGAUAAAUUUUGUCUAUAAUGUUAUUUGGGAUCAUCAAAAGAUGCAUAUGGGUUCUCUAUUAGACUUCUACAUUUCUUAGGUUUUUAUCUUAUUCAUUUGUCCCUAACGUUGUGUGUUUGUUUACCUCUUUGUAGGAGUUAUCGGAUUGCAAGCCUAAAAAACUAGCUCUACCGACACUCAUGGUAAACACAUGUAGUUGAAGACAUUUGUUUUGUCAUGCAUGAGAGAUCCCUAGACAAGACUCAAAAACUUGAAAGAAUAAAGGGAAGAAGGUUGUCCUUUAUGGUGUGAUGUAUGAUGUUAUGAUCUUAAAUCUUUUGUGUUAUUUCCCAGUUAUAUCUAAAACUUCCUCUGGUUUUGCAUGUCUCACAAGUGUUUUUGGUAGUUCUCUUAGUUGGAUCUGGUAAGGAAUGGAUAAAAUAAAUUAAGAUAGACAAAGAUUCAAUAUGCAUUGACAUUAAGAAUGAAAGUUUGGAUGGUGUGUAUCAAAUAGGGAAUAAAACUAUGAAUAUGAAGGUCUAAUGUGUUCGGAGUGGGAUAGCGAACCAUAGCUAUGUGGUAGGACCUUGGUUACUAGCCCUUCUAAUCAACCUCAACAGAUUUAGACUUAAGUGGUAUCAUCUAAAUGUGUCUAGGGAUAUUUCUUUAUUCGAAUGCGACUCUUUCUAUAUCUAAUUGAUUUCUUAAGAAGAUCAAACAAGUGUGAAAUAUAGCUUGUGGUAAAAACCUUAAUCUUAAUAAAAGCUCAUUAAUAGUCAAAACAUUAAAAUUUAAAAAGAAGAUUAUUUUAGUCUCCAACUUAAAUAUAACAUUUGUUUGUACACAUCUUUUUAAUAUCUUCAGUUUUUUUCUCACAAUCUAUUAUCUUAAUUUCAGUUCUUUGGUUAACUUCUCUCUUUUAUUAUUUUUUAAUUUAAUUUUUUAAUAUUAAUGUUUUUAUUGGUUUUCUUUCAAUGUUAAUCAAUUUAAAAAGUUUUAUAUGGUAUCCCUCUAACAUAAUGGUAGUACCAAAUCAUUCCUAAAUUUGAGAACAUGAUUUACAAUGCUAAAGCUUGAUAAUAAUUAUGGUGUCAUCUAAAGCCUAAACCAUUUGAUGAUCAAAUUGACAUCAUGUUAGUCUUAUUCAUUUAUUUAUUUUUCAAGUAGGCUUUUGAUUGCCCUUGAAAGGCUUGGAGGGUUGCCUUAAAAUUUUGCGUAAUUAGAGAUCAUAAUUGAGUAAAUUGCAAGUGAACUUGAUUUUCCUAACAAUCAAUAACCAACCAAACAUAAGUAGAUCGAUUGUUGCACAAUGAACAUACAAGUGAAAAAGUCAUGUUAUCUAUGGUUGAUUAUCCAAGAACAUUCUAACCAAUUAGACUCAUUUAAUACAUGAAGAGAUUUCUACUCUAAUGAUUAUCCUCAUAAGACAUUCUUGAAUAUAUUUGACUAAACUCAUAUGUCAAGCCAAACUCUGAACAUCCUAUCAAAUGAUAUUAUGAAUCCUUUAUUUACUAUUAAAUUUUAUUUAACGAAUUUUCACGGUGUCAUAUUUCACAUUUGAAAGCAAUAUUUCAUAAUUUAAGACAUGAUUAAAAAUUUACUCAAACAAUAUACAUAAAUUUAGCAAAUAACAAAACUUCCUUUAUCAUAUGUAUUUUAUAAUUUAUGAAAUGUCAACUCACGCAAUACAAGAAAUCGAAUACUAAUAUAUAAAACUUUCAUCAUUGUGCAACACCACACACUUAACAAACAAUUUUAUUAGGGAUAUAACAAUGAUGCUUGAAUAAAUAAACUCUAUCAAAUGAAGGAAGUGAUUGAAGGAAACAUCAUUGACAAUUUCUCAAACUUCAUUAAUAGUUUCUCUUUCAAAGGCUGCAUCUGUACUUCAUCUCAAAUAGGGCAGAACAUAAAGUAUAUCCAGUGUACCUAAAAAAAAUGAUAAGAACAAAAGAAAAUGAUACCAUUUAAAUAUAAAUGACCUAAAAUUUAGCAAUAAUAUUUAUAGAAUAUAUUAUGAAGAAACAAAACAUAUUCUUACUUCCGGAUAAAAAAAAUGGAUUCCACCUCCAUCCUAUUAAUAUCUAAUAUUUUUUUAAAUUAAAAUUUCUUUAAUCUUGUUUUUCAAUUCCUUUAUAUUUGAUUUAUUAUUUGAAAUUUUAUUAAUUUAAGAAAUUUAUUAUUACAUGUUAAUAGUAAACAUACAAAAUAUUAUUCUUUGUUUGAUAUUCAUCUUGAAAGUUAUACUUAUCAUAAAUUUAUAUUAUAUCAUUUGCAUACUAUACUAAUUUGAAUUAGAAAAGGUUUUUUUCAUUAUAAAAAGGUGUAUUAUUUAGUUAAAUUAGAUGAAAAUAAAGGAAGUUAAUUAUUAUGAAUGUAAAAGGAUAGAAUAUUUACAAUUUUUUUUAAUCUAUUAAAAUAAAUCCUAUAAUUUUUUUUAAUGAGGGUGAUUUGACGGUAUUUUGAAAGAAUGAUAGUUAAUCUCUUAUAUGAAAUAUAUUUAAAAUUAAAUUUUAAAUUAAUUUAAUAAUUUGUUAUUAAAAAUUAAUAUAAUCUUCAUACUUUUUUAUUUUUAUAGAAUAUUUAUGUCAAUAAUUCCAAAAAAAAAAGUAUAAGAAGAAAUAAAAAGUAUGGGAGAGAAAAAAAAAGUACAGAAAAAAACUAACCUUCUCACAAAAGAGUACUACAUCUUCCGUAGGUCUUCCAUACUACAAUUAGUGAUAUGUAGUUCUUGAAGGUUUUGAAUAUUCAUGAGUGUCAGAAGAGAGGAAAUAUGUUUCAUCCUGUCAUUCCCGUCUUCCAUCCAUCUUAGCAUAGGCAAGUCCUUCAAUUUCAAGGUUUCUAACUUUGGGAGGAUCUCGACAUUUCCAUCAAUUUCUUGAAGAUUAAUAAUCACAUGCUCUAGGAGCAUACAAUCUUGCACAUCCAUCUCUUUUAAAUUCUGGAAGUUGUGUAUCAAAUGAGCUGGGACAAGAUUGAGUAGACAUGGACAUCCGUACACCCUUAAGAUCUGUAGAUUGGAGAAGGAUUCAAAUGGAAGUUGAUGAUGCCAUAUAUCCUUUAGCUUGGGCAAAUCUUUGAGUGUCAACUCCUCUAACUUAGAGAAUGAAACCUAUAAUAUGAUACAUGACAUCAUCAAUUGGAAAGUUAUAAUAAAUAUAAAUAUAUUUCUUAAAUAUAAUUCAUCAGCUUGGGAUUAUUCACAUGUUUACUUUAAUUAUAUUUAUAAAAAAAAAAUGAAAGGAUAAGGGAUUCUCAUGCUGAUGCCACAAAUUAUUUGUACUCAUAUAAAUAAUUUCUUAUUUUAAAUCAUAUACAUUCUUUUAUUUUUCUCUCAUUAAUAAAUUCUUGUGAAUGUCUUUUUUAAAUUUCCUUUUUCUUUUAAAAUUUUUUAUGAUUUCACUCUUAAAUUUAUUCCUAUUAACUUGACUUUUUUUUCUUAUUUAAAGUAAAAUUAUACUUAUAGUUUGUCCUUAUUUAAAUACUCAUUCCUAUUAAUAUUUAAUGUGUUUAAAAUUAAAUUUUCUUUUAACCUUAUUAGUUUUUCAACUCCUUCAUGUUUUAUAUAUUAUUUGUUAUUUUUUUUAUAUUAUUUAGAAUGAAAUGUUCAAAUAAUUUUAACAUGGUGGAGUUUGGAAAGUGCAUGUGGGCCCACUCUAGUUUUUCUUUUGACUUAUAUCAAUAUAAAGUGGUGCAAAAAAAUAAAAAUAAAUAAAACCAAUGAAAUUGGCUAAUAAGCUUUAACAUACCUUAUGACUAAAAAAUGAGUCUUCCGACCUUGCAUUUGUACUCAAAGAUGUGGAAGAUGUUGUUUCUAACUCGGAACUGAAGUUGAUGAGCUGUGGUAGAUUCUUGAGUUUCAAGGAUCGCAAUUUAGGGAAUAGUUGCAAGUUGGUCCCAACAUGUCCAUCUUCUUCUAUUUCUGACUCCCUUUCAUAUGCGAUUAUUUGUUGCAUGGCAUCGCAAUCUUCUAUUGUCAUUUCUUCAAGUUGGGAAAAGCCUCUAGCCAUGGAAAACAGAAGGAGAAAUUUCAAUUUAGGACAUGACUCCACUUCUAGAGUUUUUAAGUUACCAAAAGACCCUAUUGGAAUUGGGCCAUGCCAUACUUCUUCAAAAAUUUCCAGAGUAUCAAGAAUCAAUGACUCCAAUAGAGGAAAAGCACCAUGUUGCAGAAACCAUUGAUCCUUUGAAUCAAUGAUAUAUUGAAUCUCGGGACUGUAAAAAACUUCAAGAUGCUUCAGUUCACGAAAACUCUCCCUAUUUGAUGGGUAAAGCACAUAUUUAGUACCACUUAAUUUCCAGAACCUUAGUUCUUCACUUCUCUCCAACAACUUGCUUAUUCCAUCCCCCAAAUAUAAGCUUCUAUCGACUUCUUCGAGCGCCAAUGCUUUUUUGGUUCUGAACCCCCCCCAAUUACCUAUAGAUAUCACAUAUCUUGUCAAGUUCUCAAAUAGAAUGUCUUUUGGUAGCAACUUAGCAUCUGGUAUUUCUAUAAAUAAAGUUGUCAAAUAAGACAAAUGAUUUAGCUCUGAUAAACAAGCAUUGCUUUCACCUUCAACUGCCCAUUUAGUAAAGCCAGACAUCAUGCUCAAACAUUCUAAUCGAGACAAACUUGAUAAGAUAUUUCGUGGAAUUACUUCAAGCUUCUUGCAAUAAUCCAAAUCCAAGAGUCUUAGAUUAGUUAGUUGCAUCAUUUCUUUAGGCAAUCGUUGGAUUGUAGAACCCACCAAGCUAAGAACUUCUAGUUUCGUUAGCUUUCCAAUUAGAGCAAUGUCUCCCAACUCGCACCCAUCCAGAUGCAAUGUUCGGAGAUUUGCAAGGGAAUCAAGUGAUGAUGGUAGUGUUGUAAAAUGCAUAUGGGACAAAUCCAAAACUUUGAGUUUUUUCAUCCCUUCGAAAAAUGUGUUCGGGAUAUUCAAGGGAGGAUUGUUGUUCUGCAAUAGAAAAAAUUGAAGUUCCGGCCAUACCAACUCUUGAGGAAGGUCAUGCACAGCUUUGCAAUGCAAAGAGAUGAAAGCGCACCUUUUGGAUUCAUCAGUCUCUGACCAUUCUUCCACUCUAACAUCUUCUCUGACUACUAAUGGAUGAGGAUCCUUGGAUGCAAUUGCUCUGGCAACUUCACGAACAACACUGUGCAUCCUCACAAACUUGUUAUCAGCAUCCAUGAAAAGCAAACUUGAAUCUAUUUCUUCAUCAAACAUGUGUGUAUCUUCAUGACUGUCAAGUAACAAGCCUGAGGCUUUGAGGAUUUCCACCAAUGCAAGUAGUCUAUUUCUUGCUCGCUCCAAUGAGUCGAUGCGAUCAAACAAAUCCAGACCCAUACCAUAUCUUAACAAGAGAUCCAAUGAAAUAUCACCAUAGCCCAACAUCCCACAAAGUAAGAACAAUGACUUAACGUCAUCACCCUUCAAAUGGGUGUAGCUCCACUCCAGACAUGAGUAAACCUUCCUAUCCACUGCUCUAAUGUUUGUUGGUGCACAACUCCUAAGUUGUUCCAAGGCAUUCUCCCAUACAGCCACGGUCUCAUUUUUUAAUGCCUUGGCAAUUGUUACAAUUGCAAUUGGUAGACCCUCACAUUCUUCAACUACUUGAAUGGCUAUGGGUUGCAGUUCAAGAUUCUCCUCCAUGGAAUCACCUGCUGUCUUCUUAAACAAACUCCAAGCUUCUUCUAGUGGUAAAUAUUCCACUGGAAAACAAAUUUGUGCGCCCAUGCCUUUGCAUAAUAGGUCUCCAUCUCUCGAAGCCAACACUAUUUUGCAUUGCGUCCAAAUAUCAUCUUUAGAAGGAAUUCCGACUUGCUCCAAAUCAACUUCCGUCCAAAUAUCAUCUAAGAUAAUAAGGAUCUUCUCUUCCUUCAGUGCCUGCUUCAGUUUAUCCGCAUUGAGCUUCCAAAGUGGUAAGCCCAACGCUUUUGCAAUUCUUUGUCGAAGUUUAGCAAUUCCUUCUUGACGUUUAUCCGAGUCUCGAGUCCAGGAUACAUCCAUAUAAGCUUGUCUGGUGAACAACCGCUGUUGCUUAGCUUGUUGAGCCACUUGUUUCAGCAGUGUUGUUUUGCCCACACCGGCCAUGCCCCAUACUCCAAUCAAGUUGAUAUUGUCGUCUCUUAAGGCAUCCAUAAUAUCGUUCAGAGUGGAGGGUCUUGAUUCUAGGAAUGAAGCCUGUAGCAAAAACACAAGAUAAGGCAUCAAUUGGAAAGUUGUGAUGAUAGGCAUAAACAUAUUUCUUAAAUAUAAUUCAAUUCAAUUCUGAAAUAGUCUCUCGCAUGUUCACUUGUGUUACAUUAUAAAAUUUUCAUUAGUGAAAGAAAAAGUAAUUAUCAUUCUAAACAAUUUCCCAAAAAAUCAAAUAACUAUUAUAAUACAAAUAUCCUUCAAGAAAUACAAGUCAAAUGGGUUUCUGAACAAACUGUAAAUAAAGUAUGAAUAAUGAAAAAAAAUAUAAAAAAAAAAUACAAAAUCACAAAACUUACAUCAUUGAUACAAAGAAAAAGCUUUUAACUUUUCUUUAAAAAAAAUGUUACGUUUAUUUUGAUAUUAACAAAAAAAUAACACAUAAUUUUCUUUUAAGAAAAAGAGUAAAAGAGAAAAACUAUUUAUAUUAGAAAGGAUGUAUAUGUAUAUGUAUAUGUAUAAUUUUCAUGUAAAAAAUAAUAUUCAAGAUUGUAUUUUUAUAUUUUAAAAAAUAAAUUUUAUUAUUUUAAAAGAAUAAUAAUUACUCUCCUUAUAAGAAAUAAAGUAUGACUUACUCUUUUUAUUUUUAAAAAUAAAAAAUUACAAAAAAAUUCUUUUUGAAAGUUUUGUAAAAUAUGUUAACAACAAAAUAACACAUUUUUUUUCCAAAGAAAAAAAGUAAAAGAGAAAAAAAAAAGUCCAAAUUAAAAAAAAAAUGUACAUAUAGUAUUUCCACAUACUAUAUAUUUAUAGCUAUUUAUUAAUUUUAUAAUAUAUUUUCCACGUAUCCAUGCUCUCCUCUACUAUUCUCUAUAUGUAUUUUGCCAUUGAAUUUUUAAUUUUUUAAGAGGGAAAAUAUAUUCUGUUACUUCAUUUUGAAGAAUUGUUUUGUCUUUUUAGGAUUAUAUCCAUCAAUUGGAAAAUUGGGAUAGAACAUUUUGGGGAACUCCGGUAAAUCAAGCAUUAAAAAUCGCCUAAACAUAGAGAAUUUAUUGGGCUCCUCAUAAUACCCUUAUGUUCUUUUAUUAUUAUUUUCCGUUAAAACUAACAGAAAAGAGGGAUCACUAAAACAAGGUCAGGCAAACAGGCCAACUACAGUGCCAGCAAAGCAGUAAAAAAUGGAAAUAGGGUAUAUAGUUUUGGGAAGAGGUGGCAUCUAGACAACUGCUUGCUUUUUGUUUCAUACACACAUUUCAUAUAUUAAAAUUACCCAAUAUUUCCGAGUGAAAAUCUCUAGACUUGAUUUAUAACAAAAAAAAUUUCAAAAUUAUUUUGACAUAACUGGGAUUAAAUAUUUGAAUUUUUUUUAUUAUUUUCUAAGAAGUCGAAUAAUUUAAAUGGGGUUUCAUACAAAAAAUUAAAUAAAGUAUAAAUAAUUAAAAAUUAAUCAAAACAUACAAAAUAAAAUAUAAAAUUACAAAACUUACAUAAUUGAUACAAAGAAAAAGUUCAUAACUUUGUUUUUAGAAAAAUAUUACAUUUAUUUUGAUAUUAACAACAAAAUAACACAUAAUAUUUAUAAAAAAAAAAAACAAGAGUAAAAGGAGAAAUGAGGUUCAAAUUAAAAAGGAUGUAUAUAUAAAAUUUAUAUGCAAUAAAUAAUAUCUAGGAUUGUAUUUUUAUAUUUUUUAAAUGUUAAAAUAAAGAUAAUAAAGGUAAUUUGGUUGUUAUUUUAAAAGAAUGGUAGUUUAAUAUUUUAAGAAUGUCGUGCAUAAUGGAAAAAAGAAAAAGAGAGAGACAACUAACCUUUUCAUUGAAGAGCACUUCAUCAUUAGUAGAAGUAUUGACACCUCUCAUGUCUUCCAUCCCACAAUCAAUGAUAUGUAACUCUUUGAGAUUGUGAAAAUUCUUGAACAUUGAAGAAGACAAAACUAAUUGAGGUAGUUUCUCAACGUUUAGGAUUUUUAACUUUGGGAGGAUCCCAAAAUCUAUCUCCUCCAAUUUUGGAAGACUUUUUAGAACUAUCUCCUCCAAAUUAGGAGAAAGUGAAACCUACAUAAGAAACACAAUAUAAUACAUGACAUCAUCAAUUGUAAAAUUGUAAUAAAUAUAAAAAUAUUGGGUCAAUAUUGGAAAAUAUAUUAUUUUACCUCAUUUUGAAGAAUUGUUCUAUCUUUAUUGAAUUAUAUCCCUCAAUUGGAGAAUUAUGAUAGAAUAUUUUGGGGAAACUCCAGUAAAUCAAGGAUUAAAAAUCGCCUUAACAUAGAGAAUUUAUUGUGCCAGCAUAAUACCCUUAUAUUUUUUUAUUAUUUUUUUUCUGUUAAAAAUAACAAAAAAGAGGGACGACCAGAACAAGGUUAGGGUGAGAGGCCAAGUGCAGUGCCAGCAAAGCAGUAGAAAAUGGAAAUAGGGUAUUUACUAUUUAGUUUUGGGAAGAGGUGACAUCUAAGACAACUGCUUCCAUCUAGCAUAUGCACACUAGAUAUAUUAAAACUACCCAAUAUUUUUGGGUGAAAAUCUCUCGACUUGAUUUAUAAAUAAAAAAAUUCAAAAUUAUUUUUACUUAACUAGCUUUAAAAUAUUUGAAUUUUUUUUAUUAUUUUCUUUUAUUUUUAAAUAUAAAAGGAUUAAAAUUUAGUUUAUUUAACAUAAAAGGACUGGUGAUUAAAACUAAUAUUUCUAAUAUCUUAUUUGAUGACAAUUUUUUUAUUUUAUAAAAAUUAAAAUACUAUUUAAGCAAAAAAAUUAUUUUGUAAAAUUAAAAUAACAUAUAAAUAAAUAAAUUAUUAAUAAUUACUUAACUUAAUAAUAUUAUUGACAAAACCUUUAUCUAAUAAAUGCAUAUAAGAAGAUUGAAUUAAACAUACCAGAGCAUGAUAAAUUUAAAUAAAAAAACAUCAAAUCAUUUUAUUUUAAAAAAACCUUAUUAUUGUAAGAAGGUAGGAGAUGUACUUAAAAUAAAAUAAAAAAUUAAAUUUUAGAGCACAAUAAAAAAAAACAUAUAUUUUUUUUUUGUUUUUUCAUUUGUUAAAUAAAAAGUGAUUUUUAUUCUAAACAAUUUCCCAAAAAAAUCAAAUAACUUCAGAAGACUUUCUAGAGUCAACUCUUCCAAAUUAGGAGAGAAUGAAAUCUAUAUAUAGAAACACAAAAUACAAUACAUAGCAUCAUCAAUUGUAAAAGUGUAAUAAACAUAAAAAAUAUUGGGUUAAUAUAAUUCAUUAACUCUCAAAUCAUAUACAAACUUUAAUAAUUUUCUUUUUAAAUUUAUUUUUCCUAUUAAAAUUUCAAUAAUUUCACUUUUAAAUUCAUUGCUAUAUUUAUUUCUAUUAACACUUAACCUUUUUUUAUUUAAAUUAGAAUGAAAUUUACAAUGUUUCCUUUUUGUUAUGUUUCAUAUAUUAAUAUUUAAUGUUUUUAAAAUUAAAAAUUCCCUUUUUAACUUUAUUCUUGUUUUCAACUCCUUUAUAUUUUAUUUUUUAUUCAGUAGUUCUUUUUUUUUUUUUUGAAACUAAAUAAUAAAAUUAUUAACUUUGAUGGUUAUUUUAAGUCAAGAUUAAUUAGUCUUCUUAUAUGAAAUAAAAUAUGUUUUGCUAUUUUUUAUUUUUUAUCUAACAUCUUAACCCAAUUUUCCCAAAAGCCAUUAAUUUUAACUCUUCUAAAAUUUAAAUAAAAUAUUAUUAUUUGAAUUAAAUUUUCACUAGUUCUCCUUUCUAAUUCAAUGCAAUAUUUCUUUCAAUUAGUACCUAUUUUUUUUCAUUUCUAAAUUAAAAUAAUAACUUCCAUUUUUUCCUCAUUUUUAUAUUAUUUCUAUUAACAUUUAUCCUUUUUAAAUUAAUUUUUCACAUUAAAAUUUUAUUUUUUUUCAACUCAUUUGUAAUUUACAUAUUAUUCACAAUUUUUAUUAUUUAAAAUCAAAUUAAUAAAAUUGUUAUUGAAGAUUAAUGUAUUCUUCUCAUACUUUCUUUUUAAAAAUAUUUUUAUAAUAUAUCUCCCUAAAUAUUUCAAGUAGUAUAAGAACAAACAAAAAAUAUGGGAAAAAACUAACCUUAGACAAAAGACAUAGUUCUUCUACCCAUAGGAUUCUUAAGUUUGGAAGGUUCCCAACAUCCAUCUCCAUCAACUUGGGAAGUCGUUUUAGAACCAACUCCUCCAAAUUAAGAGGGAAUGAAACCUACAUGAAAAACACAAUAUAUAAAACAUGAUAUCAUCAAUGGUAAAAAUGUGAUAAAUACAAAAAUAAUUGGUCAAUAUAAUUCAUUCACUCUCAAAUCAUAUGCAAAUUUUAAUUAUUUCCUUUUCAAAUUUAUUUUUUCUAUUAAGAAUUUCAAUAAUUUCACUUUUAAAUUCAUUGUUAUAUUUAUUUCUACUUACAAAUUAACUUUUUUUUUUAUUUAAAUUAAAAUGAAAUUUACUAUGUUUCCUUUUUAUUAUGUUUUUUCAUAUUAAUAUUUAAUGUUUUUAAAAUUAAAAAUUCCUUUUUUAACUUUAUUCUUGUUUCAAUUUCUUCUAUAUUUUAUUUAUGAUCCACUAGUUAUUUUUUUAUUUUUUGAAACUAAAUAAUAAAAUUAUUAACUUUGAUGGUUAUUUUAAAUCAAGAUUAAUUAGUCUUCUUAUAUGAAAUAAAAUAUGUUUUCCUCUUUUUUAUUUUCAUCUAACAUCUUAACCCAAUUUUCCCAAAAGCCAUUAAUUUUAACUCUUCUAAAAUUUAAAUAAAAUAUUAUUAUUUGAAUUAAAUUUUCACUAGUUCUCCUUUCUAAUUCAAUGCAAUAUUUCUUUCAAUUAGUACCUAUUUUUUUUCAUUUCUAAAUUAAAAUAAUAACUUCCAUUUUUUUCCUCAUUUUUAUAUUAUUUCUAUUACCAUUUACCCUUUUUAAAUUAAUUUUUCACAUUAAAAUUUUAUUUUUUUCAACUCAUUUGUAAUUUACUUAUUAUUCACAAUUUUUAUUAUUUAAAAUCAAAUUAAUAAAAUUAUUAUUCAAGAUUAAUGUAUUCUUCUUAUACUUUCUUUUUAAAAAUAUUUUUAUAAUAUAUCUCCCUAAAUAUUUCAAGUAGUAUAAGAACAAACAAAAAAUAUGGGAAAAAACUAACCUUAGACAAAAGACAUAGUUCUUCUACCCGUAGGAUUCUUAAGUUUGGAAGGUUCCCAACAUCCAUCUCCAUCAACUUGGGAAGUCGAUUUAGAACCAACUCCUCCAAAUUAAGAGGGAAUGAAACCUACAUGAAAAACACAAUAUAUAAUACAUGAUAUCAUCAAUGGUAAAAAUGUGAUAAAUACAAAAAUAAUAGGUCAAUAUAAUUCAUUCACUCUCAAAUCAUAUGCAAAUUUUAAUUAUUUCCUUUUCAAAUUUAUUUUUUCUAUUAAGAAUUUCAAUAAUUUCACUUUUAAAUUCAUUGUUAUAUUUAUUUCUACUUACAAAUUAACUUUUUUUUAUUUAAAUUAAAAUGAAAUUUACUAUGUUUCCUUUUUAUUAUGUUUUUUCAUAUUAAAAAUUCCUUUUUUAACUUUAUUCUUGUUUCAAUUUCUUCUAUAUUUUAUUUAUGAUCCACUAGUUAUUUUUUUAUUUUUUGAAACUAAAUAAUAAAAUUAUUAACUUUGAUGGUUAUUUUAAAUCAAGAUUAAUUAGUCUUCUUAUAUGAAAUAAAAUAUGUUUUCCUCUUUUUUAUUUUCAUCUAACAUCUUAACCCAAUUUUCCCAAAAGCCAUUAAUUUUAACUCUUCUAAAAUUUAAAUAAAAUAUUAUUAUUUGAAUUAAAUUUUCACUAGUUCUCCUUUCUAAUUCAAUGCAAUAUUUCUUUCAAUUAGUACCUAUUUUUUUUCAUUUCUAAAUUAAAAUAAUAACUUCCAUUUUUUCCUCAUUUUUAUAUUAUUUAUAUUAACAUUUAUCCUUUUUAAAUUAAUUUUUCACAUUAAAAUUUUAUUUUUUUCAACUCAUUUGUAAUUUACUUAUUAUUCACAAUUUUUAUUAUUUAAAAUCAAAUUAAUAAAAUUAUUAUUCAAGAUUAAUGUAUUCUUCUCAUAGUUUCUUUUUAAAAAUAUUUUUAUAAUAUAUCUCCCUAAAUAUUUCAAGUAGUAUAAGAACAAACAAAAAAUAUGGGAAAAAACUAACCUUAGACAAAAGACAUAGUUCUUCUACCCGUAGGAUUCUUAAGUUUGGAAGGUUCCCAACAUCCAUCUCCAUCAACUUGGGAAGUUGUUUUAGAACCAACUCCUCCAAAUUAAGAGGGAAUGAAACCUACAUGAAAAACACAAUAUAUAAUACAUGAUAUCAUCAAUGGUAAAAAUGUGAUAAAUACAAAAAUAAUAGGUCAAUAUAAUUCAUUCACUCUCAAAUCAUAUGCAAAUUUUAAUUAUUUCCUUUUCAAAUUUAUUUUUUCUAUUAAGAAUUUCAAUAAUUUCACUUUUAAAUUCAUUGUUAUAUUUAUUUCUACUAACAAAUUAACUUUUUUUAUUUAAAUUAAAAUGAAAUUUACUAUGUUUCCUUUUUAUUAUGUUUUUUAUAUUAAUACUUAAUAUUUUUAAAAUUAAAAAUUCAUUUUUUAACUUUAUUCUUGUUUUCAAUUCCUUUAUAUUUUAUUUAUCAUCCACUAGUUUUUUUUUUUUUUUUUAAACUAAUAAAAUAUGAAAAAAAAAAUGUUUUAAUUAGUCCCCUUGUAUCAAAUAAAAUAUUAAUUUUUAUGAAUAUAUCCAAAACGUCUCAAUAGGCUUUUUAUUCUUUUUACAAUAUAACGAGUAAGCGCAUUGAAUUUUUUAUUUUUUUGAAAGAGAAAAUAUAUUCUUUUAGCUCAUUUUGAAGAAUUUUUCAUCUUUAACGAAUUAUAUCCAUCGAUAGAAUAUUUAGGGAAAACUCUGGUAAAUCAAGGAUUACAAAUCGUUUAAUACCCUUAAAUUUUUUUUUUAUAUUAUUUUCCGUUAAAACUAACAGAAAUGAGGGAUGUUUAGGACAAGAUCGGGCUGAGAGGCCAAGUGCAAUGCCAACAAAGCAGUGGAAUAUUUUCCCAAAAAAUUUCCCAAAAAAUCAAACAACUAUUACAAAGAAAUUUAUUAUUAAAUCUUAAUACUAAAUAUAUAGAGAUUCAUUUUUAUCUUUAUUUUCCAUCUAAAAAUUAUUAAAUCUAAUUUUACUUGACUAUUUUUUUUAUUAAUCCUUUUUAAUUUAUUUAUAAAACAUUACUAAUAUUUUAAGGUUUUUUUAUUCAAUUUGGACUUUUUCCAAAUAUCAAAGAGUAUCUACAAAUAAAAUAUUUUACUAAAUUCUCUUCUCAUCUUUAUAUUUUCUCCUUUUAUUAAUACACUUACAAGGUGGAAUUUAGAAUGUACAUGUAUACCCAACCUAAUUUUUCCUUUAAUAUAUCUAUUAAAAGAAGUGAUGUGAAAAAAAUAAUAAAACCAUAUAAAUAAGGUAUUAAUUAAGCUUUAACAUACCUUAUAUCUGAAAAACGGCAUGUGAAUAUCAAGAUUGCCUUGGGAACACGUUCCUUGCGAUGUCAUUUCCAACUUAGAGUCGAAGUAGCCAAAGUUCAUGAGCUCUGGUAGAUCCUCAAGUUUCAAAGAUCGUAAUUUAGGGAAUGGUUGUAAGUUGGUCUCAACAUGGUCAUCUUCUUUUAUCUCUGAUUCGCUUUCACAGACAACUAUUUGUUGUAUGACAUUGCAACUUUUUAUCUCUAUUUUUUCAAGUUGCAGAAGGCCUCUAGCCAUGGAAAGUAAAAAGAGAAAUUUCAAUCCAUGACAUUUCUCCACAUCCAGAGUUUUUAAGUUAUCAAAAAACUUUACUGGAAUUGGGCCACAACACACUUCUUCCAAGUUAAUCAACUCAUCAAGAAUCAACGACUCUAAUAAAGGAAAGGCACCAUGUUGUUGAACUCGUUGAUCCUUCGAAUCAAUGACAUAUUGAAUCUCUGGACUUGCACUAACGUGAAGAUGCUUCAGCUCACAAAAACCCUCAUCUAAUUCAUAGGGAAUACUUUUAGUACCAAUCAAUUUCCUUAACACUAGUUCUUCAGUCUUCUUUAAUAACUUGCCAAUUCCAUCUCCCACAUAUAAGCUUCUAUCAACCUCAUUGAGCUUUAAUGUUCUUGACGUUUUACAAUAUUGGUAGGACCCCCAAUCGCCUAUAAAUAUUGAAUACCUUGUUAGCUUCUCCAAGAACGUGUAUUCUUUUGGUAGCAACUUGAUAUCUGGUAUAUGUAGAUCCAAAUCUAAAAUUGUCAAGCGAGACAAAUGAUUUAGCUCAGAUAAACAAGCAUUGCUUUCACCUUCAAUCGCCCAUUGAGUAAACCUAUUCAUGUAUAAACAUUCUAAUCGAGACAAACUUGAUAAGAUAUUCCGUGGAAUAACUUCAAGUUCCCAGCAAUAGUUCAAGUCCAACAGCCUUAGAUUGGUCAAUUGCACCAUUUCAUUAGGCAAUUGUUGGAUUGUAGAACGCCUCAAGCUAAGAACUUGUAGUUUCGUUAGCUUUCCAAUCAGAGCAAUGUCUACCAACGUGCACCCAUCUAGACAUAAUGUUUGAAGAUUUGCAAGGGAAUCAAGUGAUGAAGGUAGUGUUGUAAAACACAUGUAGGACAAAUCUAAAACUUUGAGUCCUUUCAUCCCUUCGAAAAAUGUGUUCGGGAUAUUCAAAGAAGGAUUGUUGCUGUCCAAUAGACAAAAUUUAAGUUGGGGACAUACCAAGCAUUUAGGAAGCUCAUGGGCGGCUCUGCAAUUCAAAGAGAUGAAAGUGCAGCUUUUGGAUUCAUCAGUCUUUGACCAUUCUUCCAAUCGAUCGUCUUCCCUUACUACAAAUCGAUGAGGAUCCUUGGAUGCAAUUCCUCUGGCGACAUCACGAACAAUGUCAUGCAUUCUGACACAUUCAUCAUCAUCACUUUCUAGCAAUAAACUUGAAGCUUUGAGGUUGUCAAUCAACGUAUGCAGUCUAUCCCAGGCUUCUUCCAAUGAAUUGAUGUUUUGGAACCAAUCGAGACCCACACCAUAUUUAAACAAGUUAUCAAUUGGAGUAUCACCAUAAGGCAACAAACCGCAAAGCAGGAAGAAUGACUUCACCUCAUUACUGUACAAGGAAUUGUAGCUCAACUCUAGAGUGAGGAAGAUUUUUGCUUCAAUUCCUUUAACAGUGGUCUCAAUAGAUCGUGUCAGUUGUCGUAGGGCAUCCUUCCAUGCAAUCGGAUCCUUCCCAUUUAAUGCCUUUGCAACUAUAACAAUUGCAAUAGGCAAACCCGCGCAUUUUUCAAGCACCUUCUCUGCUGUAGGUUUCAAAUCACGUUUCUCAAUUGAAUCACUUGUCAUUUUUUUAAAUAAACUCCAUGCUUCUCCUGGCGGCAAAUGUCCAACAGCAAAAUUCUCUUGGGUGCCCAUCUCCCUAGACAAAACGUCACGCUCUCUAGAAGUCAGCACCAUUUUCAGCCCUCUAUGAUCCGAAGGGAUCCCGAUGGCCUUCAAAGCAAGGCCCGCCCAAAGAUCAUCUAAAAUUAUGAGAAGCUUCUUCUCUUGUGUCAACCUCUGACUAAGCCGCCCUGCUCUUCCGGUUUCGCUCUCCUCCUCAAAUUUCAAACCUAACGCAUCUGCAAUCUGUGCUUGGAUUUUCUUCAAGUCCACAGUUUGGGAUACAUAUGCCAUCACUACUCUGUCAAAUAACUUCUGUUGCUUAGCUCGUGCAGCUACUUGUUCUACCAGCGUGGUUUUGCCCACACCGCCCAUUCCCCAUACCCCAAUCAUGCUGUUCUUAUCAUCUCUCAAUGCAUCCAUUAUUUCAUUCAAAAUUGAUGUUCUUGAUUCAAAAGGGUCAUCAUUUUUAUAAGUCACGUUCGGGGCGGGGGCACUAUAUGAUACGCCAUCGGGGAAAUUGCGGUGUUCUCUGAUUUCAGCAAUAACCUGCGCCUUCUUGUGUGCUUCUCUGCCUAGCUGGUAACGUGACAUGAGGUUAGGACACCACCCAUUGAAACAGCUCUUGGUUCUGUUCUUUUCAUCUUCCAUGAAUGUCUUUGCCUCCCGUGUCUUCUUGUCUGCCCGAGUCUGCCAGUCUUGAACAAUAGGUCUGAUUUCAUCCCCACUUCUAAUAGCUGCAUCAACAGUUAUCUGAAGGUCACCCCUCACACGCCCCAAUUCCUGAAUCUUCUUGUCGAGUUCAUCCAUGUGGCUGCGGUAGCAAAACAGAUAACUAAGCUGGCGUCCAAUUGGAGCAACCAAGUACUCUGAAACUUUUUCAACAACGGCACUAACGAUCUCUGUCAUUUCGUCUCAGUUGGAUUUUUUUUUUUUUUUUGGGAAAACAGAAGGGAAAUGAGGAAAAAACAGAAACAAUUGAAAGCAGGAACAAGAGGAAACUAAACUAAGAGAGUGGAAGAAAUGGACGGGGCAGAGAGACGGGUCACCAAGAAAAUGAAAAGCAGAAUCAGAAGUGAAUAUGAGUGAAGCUAAAAAAGAAGUAGGGAGUGGAGGUGGAGAAAGCUCAAGGAAUGCGUACAAUUUGAUUCAGUGUGACAAAACACAAGCAAAAAGCAAGCAGAUCCCUGAUGUAAGGCUGAAUUUAGAUUACCCGACUAUGAAGACAGAUGAGAAUAUUUUUUUUUUUUCUUUUUUUGAGAAUUUGGUUUUGUCGGAAAACAGAUGGGAACCGAUGAGAAAAUAAGAGGAAAAUAAGAAGAGAGUAGAGGAAAUGAAAAUAAACAAGGAAAUGAAGGGAGGAGAGUUUCUGUUCCAAACAGAGAUGUGGUGAAGGGAUCAGAGGUGUCUGUGAGUGAAGUUAGCAAUGGAUGAUAAAAUGGCAAAGGUGUAGAAAGUGAAGAGAUGGAGAAAGCUCAAGGAAUGCUUGUAAUUUGAUUCAGUGCGACACAAAGAGAACAAGGAAAGACGGUGUUUUGGAAGCAAAAAAGCAGCAGAUCCCUGAUGUAAGGCUGAAUGUGAAGACUGAAGAGGCGAUUAGAGUUGUAGGUAAGAGAGAGAGUAGCAGCAGCAGGGUUCACCACACCACGAAAAUUGAUUAAUGAUUUGAGUGUAUUUAGGCAUUUUUAACAAAAACAAAUAUUUUUCAGCCUUGGAUUCCAAUGGCCGGCAGCAUGGAUUAUUACAUUUAUUAUGGAUUAUUAUAUUAGCUUAAAAAAUAUUUUUAACUUUUUAAAUACUUAAAUGAUUGAUAAGAUGCUUAUUAAUUUAUACAAUAUUUUUGUAAUUUUUCUUUUUUACUAUUAACGCUUUUAAAGAGAAUCAGGCUAAUGACUAUAUUUUUGGCAUAAAAAUGAAAUGUAAAUUAAAGCAAGAUGGAUUCCUUUACACAAAUCCCCUAUUAUUAUUAUUAUUAUUAUUAUUAUGGGUCCCAUGUAUAUGCAAGUACAUGAGUUUUGACGCAAAAUAGAACAUUGAAAAGAAAAAAUUCAUAAAAUAAACUUAUAUCCAAAAUAAUGUUCAAUUUAAUACGUAUCUGCCACAUAAAUUGUCAUAUCAUAAAAUCGUAAUUGGUGACUAUGAUUUUAUUUUUCUAAAACAGUUAGCAACCAUAGUCAGCAACUAUGACUUUAACUUUAAGUUUAAAACUACUGGUGAUUAUGAUUUUGAAUUCUUUUUAAAAUUGUCAAAACCAUAAUCACUAAUUACUAUUUAAACUUUAAUUUAUAUAUAUAUAUAUAUAUAUAUAUAUAUAUAUAUAUAUAUAUAUAUAUUAAUUUUAUUAAAACAAUUGGUACUAUAUUUAAUAUAAAUAUAAUUAAUUAAAUAUAAAUAAAAUAUAAUAAAUUAUAUUUCUUUAAAAUAAAUAAAUUAUGAAAGCCUAUUUAGAAAAAAAAACAAAUGAUAUAAAUUAUUAUAUUAAUUAAUAAAUUUUUAUGUAUUAUUUGUAAGUGAUAUAUAAUAUCACCUAUAUAUAAAAGUUUAAUUUAAGUUUAAAAUCUAUCAUAUUUUUAUUUAAAUAUUUAAAUAAAUUAUUAUCGAUAUAAUAUUAUGAACUUAAAUUAAAAUGUAAUAAAUUUAAAUUUAAAUUGAACUUACAUACAUGUGAUACUAUAUAUAUAAAAAAAUUAUUAAUUAAUAUAAUAAUUUGUAUUAUUUAUUUUUUUAAUAGGCUUUCAUAAUUUAUUUGUUUUAAAUAAAUAUAAUUUAUUAUAUUUUAUUUAUAUUUAAAUAUUAUUAACUAAAUUUAUUUAUAUUAAAUAUAGUGUCUAUUGUUUUAAUAAAAUUUUUAAAAAUAUUUUUACAGCAAAUAAAAAAUAUUAAUUAUUUAAUUUCAUAUGUUAUUAUUUUUUAAAUAAUGAAAUAAGUUUAUUUAAAAUUAAAAUAAUAUAAUAUUUGUAUUUAAAAAAAUUAAAAUUAUAUAUAUAUAUAUAUACAUGUAUGUAAUUGAUAAUUACCAUUUUGACCAUUUUUAAACAAAUUUAAAAUCAUAUCAAUUGUGACUUUAAAUUUAAAAUUCAAAUCUGGGUUAGUGAUUAUGGUUUUUAAUCAUACGGUUUAAAAAAAAUAAAAUCGUUGUCAUCCAUUACGAUAUUAUGACAUGAAAGUUUAUAUAGAAAUGAUACAGUAGGGUAUUAUUUUGAAAGUAUGUUUAUUUUUUUUAUUUUUUUUAAUCUACUAUUUUGGGUCAAAAUUCCGAGUAUAGAAAGGGGUUAUUAACGUCAACCAGUGAAAAUAGCUGUAGCAAUGAAGAAAGAAGAAAAAGAUGGAGACAAUUAUGAAACAUGAUGUGAACUGUGAAUGGAAGAGGGAUGCGGCUGUCUUUUCCCAAUUCAAAUUACCUGCAUGUGGCUCCCACAUCCCAUUCAAUAUUCACACACCUUCGGCUACUAAAAUUAUUUCCCUUUUGUCGUCUUUAAUGACCACAAAAUUACUUAACCAUAAUUCAUUAUACAUGUUUUAAAAAAUAUAUAUGAAUAAAUGUGUACGCUUCCUAAAUUUUUUAUUUUAAAAAUAAAAAAUAAAAAAUAUUAUCUUUUAUAAAAUAUACCAUACGUUUAUAUUGAAAAGAUAAAAAUUUAAGAGUUGAGACAUCGAAAAAAUGUUAUACCUUAAAAUUUUAAGAUAAUUUAAAAAAAUAUAAAUUAAAUCUAAUUUAUAUAUAUAUAUAUAUAUGUAUUGAAUUUAUUAAUAUAUUCUAUUCUAACAAGAAAAAAAAAACAUAUCAAGGUAUAAAAUUUGUUUCACUUCUUUUUUUUUUUUUUUAACUUUUAAAAUGGAAAAUUAUCACCCAAUUCACCCACUUUUUUUUUUAUUUACUAAACCAAUAAUAUGGGUGUAUAAUCAUAAAAUAAAAUAAAAAGUAAAAAAUUUAUUUGAUUUCAUUAGGAUGAAAAUGAAAAACAAAACUAUAACCACCAAUAAAAGAACACAAAUACGUGGCAUGUAGCUCUAUCAAUUUUCAAUAACAAAGACAAAUAUUUUGAGCCUUGGAUUGCUUUACAUGAACCAUUCCUAUCUCUACUGAAAAGGGGCUCCCAUCCAUUAUUCCCCUCAAUAAGUGAAACAAUCAUAACAAUGAAGAAAAUAGAUAAAAAAAACAGACACAUAUGAAAUCACAAUCCAUUAUGCAGAUUUCAAAAAAUAUAUGUGAAUUAAUUGAAAUAAGUUAAUUAAAUUUAUUUUUAUGUAGAAAAUACGUUGUAUGAUGUAAUUUUAUUAUAAUAUUAUAAAAUUGGUAAAGACUCCGCUGAACACAAUUUGCACUAAAAGGAAUAAUAAAGUAAACAAAAAAUGUUUAUCCUGAUAGAUUUUGUAUAUCCUAUCAUUAGAAUCAAAAUAAAAUUGAGAGUAUUUUUAAGUGUUAACACUAUCAUACAUUCCACAACUCUACACAUUAAUAAAAAAUAAUAAUUUUGACUUAUUAUUUAAUCACACUUAUUUUUAGUAUUAUGUGUAUAAAAAAUAUAUUAAUUUAGAUUUUUUUUUGUUAUAUUUUUGUAUUUUUUAAUAUUAAAAGAUUUUAAAUAAUUUCAAAACACAUGUCACUAAAUAAAAAUUGUGAAAGAUAUCUUCACAUGGUUAAAACUAUAGUAGAUUCUAAAUACUUUUACAACUUUUUUUUUAUUAAGAAUAUUUUUUUCCCAAUUUUCUGUAGAAGUUAAAAACCCAAGCUGCACUUUCCAGAAUCAAAUCUCAAUAAGCCUGAGGACACACCACUAAAACUAAAUAACAAUGUUUGAUUGAAUACUUAUAUAUCAUAUAUGACAUCAAUUUGAAUAUAUAACAUAUUUUAUAUUGUGCUACUAUUUAAUUUGUUCAAAGACUAAAAAUUGAAGUGAAAAAAUAUAUUUUAUCUCAAUUUUAAUCUUUUUAAGGGAAAAUAUAUUGCAUCUGAAGUUUAAUGCAUGCCCCUUCAAACAUGAGGGAGGAACAAUGUGAAGCCUGUCUCAAAUAUGUUGAAAGCAAGUGAUUGAGAGAGGUGAAGAAUUUCUCCAAUUUCUCCAACUUCAAAUAUGUUAGAUCCAAUUAUAAGAAUAAAAAAUUUUAUCUAUAAAAAAAAAAAAAUCAUUAUAGUAUUUUUCCUUUUUUUAUUUAAUUAACAAACAUAUUUUACUUUUUAUUUUUUAAAAAUAAAAACAAAUUAUAAGCACCAAAUAUAUUUAAUAUUUAAAAAAACCAAAUAAAAGUGCAUCCAAAUGAUACCCAGUCUAUUAAUUCUAUUUGAUUUUAUUAAUUUGUAUUAAAUUAUGAAAAGUCAAGCAAUUAAUUUUAUAUGACUUUAAUAUAAUAAUUUCAAAAUUUUGAGGAAUAAAAAAAGGAAAAAAAAAAAAGUAAUGCUUGUACAAGUUAGAAGUGGUAGAUGAGUGAUAUUUUUUUAUUUAAGAUUUAAAUUGAAAUUGUGUUAACCCCUACCUCAGAGUCUGAGAGGCUAAAACGUAAGGAAAAAAAUCGGGAUAUCAUACCCCAGAGGCUCCCGUUAUUAGGCUCAAACAGUGAAAGAUACUGUAGCAAUAAAUAAAAUAAAGAAAAAGACAGACACAUUCAAUGACUUUAAAUUCCUUUGUCUGCCAUUCACCACCUCCCACAAGUCAUUCAAGUUUCAGUCUCCUUUGGCCGCUUUAAUCUCUUCUUCUUUGACUAUAAAAAAUAAUCAUAAUUUAUUUAUCAUACGUGUUUUAAGAUAUAAUAUAUGUGAUAUGAUCUAAUUUUUGCUAAUUUAUUUCCAUUUAAUCUCUUCUCCAACAAUAAAAAAUAAUCAUAAUUUAUUUAUCAUACAUGUUUUUAAGUUAUCAAAUAGGUGGGUGGGCAUUCACAAUGACGAUCACUUACUUAUCUCAUUAAAACAUGCUUUAAACAAAAACCAUAAGAUCACUUACUUCGAAUUCUUAAAAUUGUCUAUGUUGUUCUUUAAUAAUCAUAAUUUUGACUUUUUUUUGUCAACUUAAAAAUAAUGUUUAUACAAGCUAGAAGUCGGCCUAUUUCCAAACUUAUAACAUCAUUGGUAUUAUUAUUAUUUUUUUUUAAAGAAAAAACAAAAACAGAUAGAUGAAGUAUUAUAGGAUCACCCACUUAGUUACUAAUUCCUUUUUGUCUCGAGAACUUGACAAUAUGAUGAGAUUUUAAUGUAAUAUUAUAAACUCAUUGUGAAAGACAUCUCAUCUUAAUUUUAAUUUUUUAAAAUAAAAAUAUAUGACAUCUUAAUGCCUGAUUUAAAAAAAAAAUAUAAUAUUAUUUAACCAUUUCUUCAAAAUUUAUUUCUCAUUGUUUAUUUUUUAAAUAAAAAAAUUAAAACUAAUUUCGUAAAACAUGUUUGGUAAUGUAUUUUACUUUUUACUUUUAAAUUUGAUAACAAAAAAUUGAAAAUAAAGAUAUAAAAUUUGUUUGAUAUCUAACAAGCUCUUAAUUUAUACAAAUAAUUCUGUAAAUUUUUAUUAUUAAUAUUAUUAUUAUAAAUGGUUUUAAAGAGAAUCGUCUAAUGAUUACAUUUUUGGCUUAAAAAUGAAUAUGUAAAUUAAAUGAGAUUGAGUGUGAAAUCACGAGACUGAAGACCCUGCCAUAUCAUGCUUGCAUUUUAAAAAAAAGACAAAAAUCUUCAGCCUUGGAUUCCUGUACACGAAUUCCCUACAAUUAGUAUUGUUGUUGUGGAGCCCUUGUAUCUGCAAUACUGAAAAGGGCUUCCAUUAUUAACGUCAAUCAGAGAAAACAGCUGUAGCAAUGAAGAAAGUGGAAAAAAGAUGGAGACAUUUCUGAAACACGAUGUGACCUCUGAAUGGAGACAUAUAAUUUGAGGGAUGUGGCUGUCACACCAUGUUCAAUAGUCAGGCGCCUUUGGCUAUUGACAAUUUAAUUAUUUCCCUCUUAUCUUCUAUAAUGACUAAAAAAUUACUUAAUCAUAAUUCAUUAUACGUGUUUUAAAAUAUACCCUUCCUAAUUUUUUAUUUUAAGAACAAAAGAUUAAAAUAAUAUUAUCUUUAUAUAAUAUACCAUAUGUUUAUAUUAAAAAGAUAAAAAUUUAAAUGUUGAGAUAUAAAAAAAAUUAUAUCUUAAUUUUUUAUAUAGAAUUUAUUAAUAUAUUCUAUUUUAAUUAAAAAAAAAACAAAAGGAAGAAGAAGAAGAAGAAGAAGAAGAAGAAGAAGAAGAAGAAGAAGAAGAAAGAAACGUAUCAAGGUAUAAAAUUUGUUUCACUUUUUUUUUUUUAACUUUUAAAAUAGAAAAUUACCAACCAAUUCACCCAUAAUUUUUUAUUUUUACUAAACCAAUAAUAUGGGUGUCUCAAUCUCAACUAUGAUCAUAAAAAAUAGCAAAAAAAUUUAUUUGAUUUCCUUUUGAUGAAAAUGAAAAACAAAACUAUAACCACCAAUAAAGGAAUACAAAUACUGACAUGCAACUCACAUGAAAGUGGGCUAUCAGUUUUCAAUAACAAAGACAAAUACGUUGAGCCUUGGAUUCCUUUAUAUGAACCAUUCUUAUAUCUACUGAAAAGGAGCUCCCAUCCAUUAUUGCCCUCAAUAAAUGAAACAGCUGUAGCAAUCAAGAAAAUAGAGAAGAAGACAAAUCACAAGCAGCGAUUCUAAAUUCCAUGAUCUGCCAUUUCCCACCUGCAUUUGACUCCCACAACACAUUCAAGUUUUGGUCUCCUUUGACUGCUAAAUUAUUUCCAUUGAUCAUUGAUCAGGCCUUAAGACUCUCAAAGUAGAAAAAAUUGUAAGGUUCAAAUAUGUGGGGAGUUGGAUUCCUUAUAGGAGAUAUUAUCUAUUAAGGAUGAGCACAAGUUGGUAUUAACUUUAAUUGGUGAAAGCAACUACACAAAUAAAGAAAACAAAGAAUAAAAUAAAAGGUAUUAAACAUGAUGUGAGUUGGAAAUCCAUGUCAAUGACUCGGGGUUCGAAAAGAAAUAGAAGUGUAUCCAAAUGAUACCCUAUCUAUUCAUUUUAUUUUAUUUUAUUAAUUUGUAUUAAAUUUAUGAAAAUUCAAGCAAUUAAUUUUAUAUGACUUUAAUAUGAUAAUUCAAAAUUUUCAGUAAAAAAAAUAAUGUUGUUCAAUUUAGAAGUGGAUCCAUUUCCAAACAUGAAAGAUCAUUAGUACUAUCCGUACUUAAAAAUAAAGCAAAAUAUGGUAUUUCUGGAUACAAGAUUUAAAUAGAAAUUAUGUUUACCCUUACCUUAAAUUCUUAGAAGUUAAAUAGUAGGGGAAAAAAUGGGUUAAAUUAUGUAAAAUUUAUAUCACUUUCCAUUUCUUUUCUUUCUUUUUGGUAAAAUCUACAAAAAAUAAAAAAUAAAAAAAAAUUCAUUACCAAUCAUUUAAGAACUUUUUUACAACUUUAAAUGAGAUGAUUGCGAUCUUUAAUUUUUUGUUAAACAAUAUGUAAGUGUUGUACCUUUGUAUUCUUAAAUUUGUCUGAAUGUAAGAAGUUCAUGAUUUAAAUUUUUCAUUAACAAUUCUCCGAUUCUUAAUUUACAACUAUGUCUACAAAGAGGAUGAAAUCUCAACCACAAUUCAUUUAAGAAUGAUUUUAACUAGGUCUAAAAAGUGGACAAUCUUGAAAUUAUAAUCCAACUUGAAAUAAAAAAUCUCAAUCAUAAUUUAUUUGAGAAUGAUUUUGGUUAAAAAUAUAUUUAGAGUGUGUUAAUAAUGAUUUUAGGAAAAAAAAUUUAAUUUUUUUCAUACGAUAAAAUUUUUAAAUGUUAAAAAUAUUAAAAGCAAAUUCCUAAAAUCAUUAUUAAAUAAAUUCUUAAUUUAUACAACAUGUUUAUUAAUAAUUUAUUUUAUUAUAAAUGCUUUUAAAGAGAAUGAUUCUCAGGAUUACAUUUUUGGCUUGAAAAUGAAUAUGUAAAUUAAAGCAAAAUAGAAAUGAAAUGAGAUUGAGUGUGAAAUGUAAAUAAAUUAACAAGACCAAGUGAUGUAUAUGUGGUACUGAAAAGGGCUUCCAUUAUUAACAUCAAUUAGUGAAAACAACUGUAGCAAUGAAGAAACUAGAAAAAGAUGGAGGCAUUUAUUAAACAUUUGAUGGGCAUACAAUUUGAGGGAUGUGGCUGCCUUUUCCAUAUUCAAAUCACCUGCAUGUGGCUCCCACAACCCAUUCAAUAUUCAGACCCCUUUGCCCACUCAAAUCAUUUCCCUUUUGUCGUCUUUAAUGACCACGAAAUUACUUAAUCAUAAUUCAUUAUACAUGUUUUAAAAUAUAUAUAUAUGAAUUAAAAUUAAAAAUUAAAAUGGUAUUGUCUUUUGUAUGAUAUAUAAGAACUUUUUAGAUGUUUAUAUUAAAAAGAUAAAAAUUUAUACAAAAUUGAAAUAUAAAAAAAAGAAAGAUAAUUUUUAAGAUAUAAAGUAAAUCUAAAUUCCAUUAUUACCCUCAAUAAGUUAAGCAACUAUGUAGAAGGCAUAGAUAUGGAAUCACACUCAACGAUUCUAAAUUCCUUGGUCUGCCAUUCCACACCUGCAUUUGACUUUCACAACACAUUAAGUUUCAGUCUCUUUUGACUGCUAAAUUAUUUUCAUUCAUCAUUGAUCAUGUGUUAAUAGUCUCAAAGUCAAAAUAAUUACAGGGUUCAAAUACUUUUAGAGUUGGAUUCCUUGUUAUUUCCACAUUAAAAUUAAGUAGGUGGCCCACUAACCUAGUAUUUAGCCAAUUAAAAGAAUACCCAAUAUCUUUAAACUGUUAUAAAGAUAUUUACCCUUGAUGGAGUGGGUAAAUUAUAAUAAUUGUAAUAUUAUUAUUUGGAAUAAAAAACAGUUAUUCGAAUAACACGUUCAGAACGGUUUUUGAACGUGUAUUCUUGGCCCUCUUCUCCUAUCAAUAAGAUAUAUAUACAGAAACCCCUUCAUGUGCGGUGUGUGCUCUCUUCCAUCAAUUACAGAAAACAAUUCUGUGUAUUAAAGUUUGAUAAGGAGAAGAAGAGAUCAAGGAUUUAAGAUCUAUAAACUGAAGGAAAAUCUCUCAUGGCUGCGUGUUCUUCAAACGGUAUGUAAUCUAUUUUUAAUUAAUGUUUUUAUUAUUUUAUUAUUAGAGAUGAGUUUGAAUUCAAUGAUCUGGAUUAUUGUGUGUUAAUUUCCGUAUUAAAUUUCAACAAUUGGUAUCAGAGCAAGGUUGAAUUUAAAUAUUCAGAAUCAUUGUUUUAUAAAGAUUAAAUUUUGAGAUUUAUGUUUGAUUAAUUCGUCUCACUAAAAUGAAUAAAAAAAAAAUUAAUUAAACAAAGUAAAGACCAGCCUCAACGCAUAGAAGGAAGAUUUUUAUUUUUCCUUGCAACGUUGACUGGAUCAAUGCCGGUGAGGGGCGCUGGUUUGGUGUUAGUCCGAUGGCUGUUUUCAGGCGCCAUUGCUGGCCAUUUUCAGGCGCCAUUGCUGGUCAUUUGGUUUGUCUACCCCUUAGCCACUUGAUUUAGACACGGAGAAUUAGGCCUCAUGGGUAGACCUUACACCCUUGAGAGCCUAGGAGGAAAGUAAGGAAAGCCUGGAGGUUUGGUGGUUCAAACCCCAGGAGCUAAGUGUGGGGAUCGCGGACAAGUCAAGCGCGCACUCCAGAUAGGCGUUACCGAAGGAUCCGGACAUGUCUGCCCAGGAAGUUGAAUCGUCCUCCUCUCCCAUCCGGCGACAGGGGUGCCGGAUGUGAUGGUAUCAACAGGGGUGCCUGAUGUGAGAUAUCCGGAGAGGUGGAACAUCGGUCGGACAGGCGCCAGAUAUGAGAUAUCCGGGUGGAAUGAGGGAUUCCCGUCCGAGUGGAAUGAAAUGAUUAUUAACUCAAAUAAAAGAAUUAAUUUCAUCUUGUGAAAUUUUAUCCAAAUGACAAUUUAUAAAUGUAAGGUUAACUAAUUUAGAUAGUUGCCAAAGUAACCUAAAUUAGUGAGCCUUGUAUUUAUUGAAUUGCAUAAAAGAAUAAAGGGAGACUUGUAAAAUUUUUAAUAAUUCUCUUCAUAAUUAGGAGAAUGAGACUAACCCAAAGGAGAGUCAAUUUCUGCUAAUUAUUAAUUAAUGUUUUUAUUUUGUGUUGCUUAGAAAGGUAAAAUGGAUACCCAAAGGUAACAUAUAAAUGACACAAAAUAGUAAAGUGUUUUAAGAUCCUUCCAAGUGAACACUGGAUAUGUUAAAAUUUACCCAAAGGAGAAUUUUAAUGAUAUCAAUAGUUCAUUGCUAUUUAUUUUAUACUUGAGGCCUUAUUGUGAGCAUUGUUCUAUUUUGUACAGUUCCCACUUCAUUACACUCUCUUGCAUCUGGAAUGACUGUUUUUGAUGGGUUGAACUUUUCUGAAUGGUAUGAAAGGGUUCAAUUCUCACUGGGCGUAUUGGAUCUUGACCUGGCUUUAAUAACGGAUAAACCUCCUGAAGCUACGGAUGACAGUACUCCAGAGCAAGUGGAACAAUCAAAAGCCUGGGCAAGAUCCAACAGACUCAGUCUGAUGUUUAUGAGAAUGACUAUUGCCAAUAAUAUCAAGACCUCUUUCCCUCAACCGAGUUUGCCUCGGAAUUUCUAAAAUCUGUUGAGGAGCGCUUCAAACGCGCUGAUAAGUCCCUUGCAAGCACAUUGAUGGCUGAAUUGACCACCAUGAAAUAUGAUGGUUAGAAAGGUAUUCAGCAACAUAUUUUAAACAUGAUUGAAAAGGUUGCAAAGCUUAAGGCACUAGGCAUGGGUAUGGAUGAGUCCUUCUUGGUACAGUUUGUCCUUAACUCACUUCCAUCACAGUUUGCUCCAUUCAAAAUCCACUAUAAUACUAACAGUGAUCAGUGGAACUUGAAUGAGCUCACCAGUAAAUGUAUAUAAGAGGAAGUGAGAUUAAGACAAGAAGGACAUAAUCUUGCUCUUGCUGUAACUCAUGCAGUCACGAAGAAGAAAGGAAAAUUCAAAAAAGGAAAGAACUUUCCACCUAAGAAAAGCGGACCUGGGGAAGGUAGCCAGAGUCAUGAUGGAAAAUUCACGGUAAGUUGCUACUUUUGUGGCAAGAAAGGGCAUGUGAAGAAGGACUGUAUCAAGCGCAAGGCUUGGUUCAAAAAGAGAGGUAUAAAUCUUUCUUUUGUAUGUUAUGAAUCCAAUCUUGCUGAAGUUCCUUCAAAUACUUGGUGGAUUGAUUCUGGAGCCACAACUCAUGUGACUAAUUUAAUGCAGGGAUUCCUUACAACCAGGAAACCAAAGGAAAGUGAAAAGUUCCUCUAUAUGGGAAGCCGUCUCAAGGUUGAAGUGGUAGCUGUUGGUACCUAUCGCUUACUAUUAGAGACGGGUCAUCAGAUGGAUCUUUUAAACACUUUUUAUGUACCUUCUAUCUCUAGGAAUUUAGUUUUCUUGUCUAAAUUCGAUGCUACUGGAUAUUCUGUUUUAUUCAGCUCUGGACAAUUAAGUUUGAUGUUAAAUUCUAUUACAGUUGGUUCUGGUAUUUUAUGUGAUGGUUUAUAUAAAAUUUCCUUGAAUCAUGAAUUUGCACAAGCUUUGAUAACCCUGCAUUCAAAUGUUGGUUCAAAACGUGGCUUAAUUAAUGAAAAUUCUUCAAUCUUGUGGCACAGAAGACUAGGGCACAUCUCUAGGGAAAGAAUUGAGAGAUUAGUGAAGGAAGGAAUUUUACAAAAUCUUGACUUCACUGAUUUUCAUGUAUGUGUGGAUUGCAUAAAGGGAAAGCAAACUAAACAUACAAAGAAAGGUGCCACAAGAACUAAUGAGCUCCUUGAGAUAAUUCAUACAGAUAUUUGUGGACCACUCUCUGUUCCAUGUUUUACAGGAGAGAAAUAUUUUAUCACCUUUAUAGAUGAUCUAUCUCGUUAUGGUUAUGUUUAUCUAAUGCAUGAAAAGUCUCAGGCCAUUGACAUCUUCGAGAUGUUCAUAAUAGAGGUCGAGAGACAAUUAGAUAAAAAGAUUAAAAUUGUGAGAUCAGAUCGAGGCGGUGAAUAUUAUGGCAGAUAUGAUGAAUCAGGACAAAAUCCUGGUCCUUUUGCCAAAUUCCUUGAAAAGCGUGGCAUUCGUGCUCAGUACACAAUGCCUAGUACACCACAGCAGAAUGGUGUUGCUAAAAGGCGUAAUCGCACAUUAAUGGAAAUGGUUAGGAGUAUGAUGAGUUACUCUUCUGUACCUAUUUCAUGGUGGGGUGAAGCCUUAAAAACCGCAAUGUAUAUCUUGAACAGAGUUCCCAGUAAGGCAGUUCCAAAAACUCCUUUCGAGAUAUGGACUGGUAGGAAACCUAGCUUGAGACAUAUACAUAUAUGGGGUUGUCCAGCGGAGGCAAGAAUCUAUAACCCACAUGAGAAAAAGCUUGAUUCAAGAAUGAUAUCUGGAUAUUUCAUUGACUAUUCGAAUAAAUCGAAAGAGUACAGAUUUUAUUGUCCUAACCAUAGUGUGAGAAUAGUUGAAACCGGUAAUGCCAGAUUCUUAGAGAAUGGCGAAAUCAGUGGGAGUAAUGAACCAAGAAAGGUAGAUAUUGAGGAGAUAAGAGUGGAUAUCCCACCACCUUUUUUACCUCAAGAAAUUAUUGUCCCUCAACCUGUUCAACAAGUUGAGGAAAAUGAGCAACAUAAUAGAGAUGGUUCAUUACCACCAGAAAAUAUUGCCAUUGAAAAUGCUGUAGAGCCACCACAACCGACACCUUUGAGGACAUCUCAAAGAGAAAGGAGACCUGCCAUUAUAGAUGAUUAUGUGGUGUAUCUACAGGAAUCUGAUUUUGAUAUUGGGAUAAGGAAGGAUCCGGUUUCGUUUUCACAAGCCAUGGAAAGUGAUGAUUCUAGUAAAUGGAUGGAAGCUAUGAAUGAAGAGUUGAAAUCUAUGGCCCAUAACGGUGUCUGGGAUCUCAUCGAAUUGCCUAAUAGUUGUAAACCCGUCGGCUGUAAAUGGGUCUUUAAGACAAAGCGCGACGCUAAAGGCAAUAUCGAACGAUUUAAGGCCAGACUUGUGGCCAAAGGUUUCACUCAAAAGGAAGGUAUCGAUUACAAAGAUACCUUCUCUCCGGUUUCCAAGAAAGAUUCGCUUAGAAUCAUCAUGGCACUUGUAGCUCAUUUUGAUUUAGAAUUACAUCAAAUGGAUGUGAAAACUGCAUUCUUAAAUGGGAAUUUGGAUGAAGAUAUCUACAUGGAACAACCUGAAGGGUUCGCAAAGAAAGGAAAUGAACACCUAGUUUGCAAAUUAAAGAAAUCCAUUUACGUCUUAAACAAGCUUCCAGACAUGGUAUAUUAAGUUCAUAAUACAUUACAUAGUUCGGAUUUAAAGAGAACNNNNNNNNNNNNNNNNNNNNNNNNNNNNNNNNNNNNNNNNNNNNNNNNNNNNNNNNNNNNNNNNNNNNNNNNNNNNNNNNNNNNNNNNNNNNNNNNNNNNUAAAGAAAUCCAUUUACGGUCUUAAACAAGCUUCCAGACAAUGGUAUAUUAAGUUCAAUAAUACCAUUACAUAGUUCGGAUUUAAAGAGAACAUUGUUGAUCAGUGUAUAUAUCUGAAAGUUAGUGGGAGCAAGUUUAUAUUUCUGAUACUAUAUGUGGAUGAUAUUUUGCUUGCUAGUAGUGAUCUUGGUUUAUUACGUGAAACCAAGGAAUAUCUCUCUAAAAACUUUCAUAUGGUUGAUAUGGGUGAGGCAAACUAUGUUAUUGGCAUUGAGAUCUUUAGGGAUCGAUCUCGAGGAGUGCUAGGUUUAUCUCAGAAAGGAUAUAUUGAUCGGGUUUUAAAGAGAUUUAAUAUGCAGUCAUGUUCAUCGGGUAUUGCACCUAUAUUGAAAGGUGACAAAUUAAGUAAAAUGCAGUGCCCAAGGAAUAACAUGGAAAUGGAGCAAAUGAAGAAAAUUCCUUAUGCAUCAGUUGUGGGGAGUUUGAUGUACGCUCAAACAUGUACAAGACCGGAUAUCAGCUUUGCUGUAGGUAUGUUAGGAAGAUACCAAAGUGAUCUAGGAUUCGAACACUGGAAAGCUGCAAAGAAGGUGAUGAGGUACUUACAAGGGACAAAGGAUUAUAUGCUCACAUAUAAAAGAUCAGAACAAUUAGAGGUUGUCGGUUACUCGGAUUCUGAUUAUGGUGGUUGUCUCGAUAACUUAAAGUCAACUUCAGGAUUUGUCUUUAUGCUAGCAAAUGGGGCAAUUUCGUGGAAGAGUGAAAAACAAUCAAUUACUGCUUCAUCUACGAUGGAGACCGAGUUUGUUGCUUGUUUUGAAGCUUCAAGUCAUGCUUUAUGGUUGCGGAAUUUUAUCUCAGGGCUUGGUGUUGUCGACUCUAUUGCUAAACCUUUGAGAAUAUACUGUGAUAACACCGUAGCUGUUUUCUUCUCUAAGAAUGACAAAUUUUCUAGUGGAUCGAAACACAUGGAUUUAAAGUAUUUAGUUGUUAAAGAAAGAGUCCAGAAACAACAAGUGUCAAUUGAAAAUAUUAGGACCACACUUAUGGUUGCUGAUCCAUUAACAAAAGGAUUACCUCCAAAGGCAUAUUUGGAACAUGUUAUGAGGAUGGGCCUUUUGAGUAAUCCAUAAUAUGUAUGAUAAUGAAUGGUAGUUAUGUAAUUGACAAUUUGCACAUUAAAAUUGUUUCUGUUUAUUCUUGUUUUCAAUUAUGGGUGCACGUUUUAUUGUUUGAUAAACAAGAAUUGUCCUAACAAGACAAAUUACAGGGGCUAUUUGGCAUUAAGGACUGGGUUAGUAAGGGUUAUUGAUGUGUGGUGCAUGGAAGGAAACAUGACAUUAUGGUCAUGUGACCGCCAUGACUCGCAUUUAUGAUCUAAACUGAUUCAGUAUUAUGGUAUAUGAUUUUGGAUGUAUUGACUAAGUUUAUUGAAAUCGUGAUCACGUGUCAAAUUUAUUUUCCAGUAUAUAUUAUAUAUAAACUAAAUAUAUUAUAGUUUUCAUAAUCGGUUUAGUGGGCCAAGUGGGAGAAUGUUAUUUCCACAUUAAAAUUAAGUGGGUGGCCCACUAACCUAGUAUUUAGCCAAUUAAAAGAAUACCCAAUAUCUUUAAACUGUUAUAAAGAUAUUUACCCUUGAUGGAGUGGGUAAAUUAUAAUAAUUGUAAUAUUAUUAUUUGGAAUAAAAAACAGUUAUUCGAAUAACACGUUCAGAACGGUUUUUGAACGUGUAUUCUUGGUCCUCUUCUCCUAUCAAUAAGAUAUAUAUGCAGAAACCCCUUCAUGUGCGGUGUGUGCUCUCUUCCAUCAAUUACAGAAAACAAUUCUGUGUAUUAAGGUUUGAUAAGGAGAAGAAGAGAUCAAGGAUUUAAGAUCUAUAAACUGAAGGGAAAUCUCUCAUGACUGCGUGUUCUUCAAACGGUAUGUAAUCUAUUUUUUAAUUAAUGUUUUUAUUAUUUUAUUAUCAGAGAUGAGUUUGAAUUCAAUGAUCUGGAUUAUUGUGUGUUAAUUUCCGUAUUAAAUUUCAACAUUCCUUACAUGAGAUAUUAUCCAUUGUGGAACCCAUGUCCACUAAGGAUGAGCUUCCGUUGGUGCUAACUUUAAUUGAUGAAAGUAGCUACACAAAUAAAGAAAAUAAAUAAUAAUUUUGACUUAUUAUUUAAUCAAACUUAUUUUUAAUAUUAUGUCUAUAAAAAAUAUAUUAAUUUAGGAUUUUUUUUUUGUUGUGUUUUUAAAAUUUUUUUAAUAUUAAAAAGUUUUAAAUAAUUUCAAAACUCAUGUUUGAUAACCUACUAAACCUAAUUAUCUUUAAAUUUGAUAAUAAGAAUAAAAGAUGAAAGUAUAAAAAAAUUUUCAUUUCUAAAUUUUUUAAAAUAAAAAAUCAUCAACCAUAACUUACUUACAAUUUAUUUAUUUAUUUUUAUCAAACCAACAAGGUUUCGUACUUUUUAGAUUGAUGAAAAAAUUCUUCAAAAAUCAUAAGGAAUAAUCAUAACAUAUUUUCUUUAUUUUUAUUUCAUAAUAAUAAAAAAAAAUUUUUAUUCUACAACUAGAAACAAAAUUGGUACUAUAAUGGCUAAUAGUCAUAAAAAUUAGAAAUACACUUGAAAAAUCAUUUAUUUUUCAGUUUUUAAAAAUAGUAAAAACAAAAUUGUACAUUGUUGACACGUUAAUUAAUCAUCUUAUUUUAUUAGUUUAUGUUAUAUUAUUAAGAUAUAAUUAAUUAUUAAUGUAUCAUUUUAAUAGAGUAGUUAAAAAUUAGAAAUAUUAAUUCUUUUCUCAAUCACCACCAAAUAGAAGUAUUACCAAUUUUGUGUUAAUGGACAAAAAUGAACAUUUCGUGCACUUAUUCCAUCAUUUUGUGUAUAGUAAUUAUUUUUAUACUCCAACAAAUGUAGGGUUUUGCCAAAAAUUAAGUUGUGAUUUAAAAAAUAGUAUUUGUGGUAAAAAAAAAAAAAUUUAUUUGUGACAAGUUUGUUGCUAUAAAUCUGUGUGCAAUUAUUUUUAAGCAUAAAAUUUAAUUUUAUAACAAAAUAAAUAAUUUUUUCACAAAAAAAAAAAAAAGAAUUGUGACAAAUUACGGCUUUAUAUAACUUACCAGAUGUUUAUAUUGAAAAGAUAAAAAUUUAAAUGUUGAGAUGUAAAACAAAAUUAUAUCUUAAUUUUAAAGAUAUAAAUUAAAUCUAUUUUUUUUAAAAAAAUUAUUUUUAUAUAGAAUUUAUUAAUAUAUUCUAUUUUAACAAAAAAAGGUAUAAAAGUUGUUUCACUUCUAUAUAUAUAUAUAUAUAUAUAUAUAUAUAUAUAUUUUUAACUUUUAAAAUGAAAAAUUAUCACCUAAUUUACCCAGUUUUAUUUAUUUACUUAUUUACUAAACCAAUAAUAUGGGUGUCUCAAUCUCAGCUAUAACAUAAAAAAUAAAAAAUAAAAAAUUAUAUAAAAUAGCAAAAAAUUUAUUUGAUUUCCUUUUGAUGAUAAUGAAAAACAAAACUAUAACCAGGGAUUGAAAAAUCGGAAAAUGUCGCCGAUAUUUCGAAGAAAUAUCGGAUAUCGGACGGCGUCGAAACGAUAAUCGUCACCGAUUAUCGAUCGACGGAAAAAUCGACAAAAAAUCGGCAAAAUCGCCGACAUAUCGGCGAAAUAUCGGCGAAAUACCGAUUUAUCGGGAAAUUUCCUGAUAUUUUCCUACCAGUCCAGCCCGCGCACAGGAUACAAAAUCUGGCUCAAAAAUCGUGGCUUUAGGGUUCGUGAAAUUUAAAUCCAAUGGCACAACAACAAAGAGACCCUUAAAACAGAUCCAGAAAACACAGGGAGCAAAAGAAAAGCAAAUUUUUUGGUUUUCUUUGGGGGUUUUGAAUGGAUGGAUUUUCUCGGAAAUCAAACGAGAAUGAAUUUUCCCGGAAAUCAAAUGGGGGAUGGAUUUUCUUGGGAAUCAAACGGGGGUUGCAAAAAAAAUAAUAUCAACGUGAUUAGAUUAGUACCUGCGAGGAUUGAGAGUGGCAGAGGAAGAUAGGUCUUUUUAGGAAGAGGAACUCUCUUGGCUGGAGGGCAGCUUCAGAAAAGGGGAAAGGGGAAUUCUCUCGGCUGGAGGGCAACUUCAGACGUGGGUGGCCCUUUUAAUUUUUAGAUUUAGUAGAGGUAAAAAAAAAAUAAAUAAAUAAAUAAAUAAAUAAAUCAUGAGAGCAAUUUUCCUCUACCCAUAUAAAUAAUUAUAAAUUAUUGAAUUUUAUUUUGAUUAUUAAAUAAAUUAAUAUUAAUAAAAAAAAAUUGUUAUUAUAUGUUUUUAAUAAAAUUUUAAAAAUUAAAUCUCAAAUAAAAUAUUUAUAUAAAUUAAUUUAAUUUUCAUUUAAAAUAUAAUAAAACAUGUUUUAAUAAAAAUAUUUUAAAAUUUUUUAAAUAAACAUUAUCUUCAGCAAAUUGGGUCAUCUUCAUCUAACAAUAUAAUGAAAUCACAUCGAUCUCUUCCUUAGUAUAAGGACUAUUGUAAUAUCAUAUGUAUUAUAUUUAUGUAUAAAUUGUUUUUAUUCAAUAAAAUCAAAUAUUUUUUAAUUUAAUUCUAACUCUAUAUACUUUCAAAAUUCAUAUAUAUUAUUUUUAAAAUUCAAAUAUGGAAUCUACCAAUAUAUCUUUAUUUAAAAUAUCUUCUUAAUUAUAUAUAUGUCAAUUACACUUACAAGAUAACUUUAAAAUGUGUAUUUUUACUUAUUUUAUCAUUUUUUUAAAGUUUUUUCAAGCAUUUCUAUUAAUUUUAAAUAAUUUUCACUUUAUUGAUAUUUGUGAAAAAAUAUCCACGAUAUUUCUCCAAUAUUUCUCCGAUAUUUCCGAUAUAUCCGUAAAAUCGAAGUACCGAUAUAUCCGUAAAAACCGAUAUUUCAAUCCUUGACUAUAACCACCAAUAAAGGAAUACAAAUACGUGGCAUGUAACUCACAUCAAAGUGGGCUGUCAGUUUUCAAUAACAAGGACAAAUAUCUUUCCUUUACAUGAACCAUUCUGCUCUCAUCCAUUAUUGCUCUCAAUAAGUGAAACAACUGUAGCAAUCAAGAAAAUAGAGACGAAGACAAGCGCAUAUGAAAUCACAAGCAGCGAUUCUAAAUUCCAUGAUCUGCCAUUUCCCACUUGCAUUUGACUCCCACAAUACAUUCAAGUUUUGGUUUCCUUUGGCUGCUAAAUUAUUUCCAUUGAUCAUUGAUCAAGUCUUAAGACUCUCAAAGUAUAAAAAGUUGUGAGAUUCAAAUAUAUGGGGACUUGGAUUCCUUAUAGGAGAUCUUAUCUAUUGUGGAACCCAUGUCUAUUAAAGAUGAGCACAAGUUGGAACUAACUUUAAUUGGUGAAAGCAACUACACAAAUAAAGAAAACAAAGAAUAAGAUAAAAGGUAUUAAAUCCAUGUCAAUGACUCGGGGUUUGAAAAUUCAGAGGUUUUGGACCUUUCGGCUUACUAAAAUUGUUAUCUUUGAACAUCUUAGGUGAGUAAUUGAUAGAAGCUAGUUAAUUAAAUUUAUUUUUAUAUACAAAAUAUGUUGAAUGUUGUAAUUUCAUUAUAAUAUUAUAAAAUUGGUAAAGACUCGGCUAAGGACAAUCUGCACUAGGAAGAAUAAUAAAGUAGACUAAAAAGUUUAUCCCCGGAUAAAACCAAGAAUAGUGGAGAUUUUGCAUAUCUUAUCAUCAUAACCAAAAUAAAAUUGAGAAUAUUUUUAAGUAUUAACACUAUCAUACAUUCCAUGACUCUACAUAUUAAUAAAAAAUAAUAAUUUUGACUUAUUAUUUAAUCAAACUUAUUUGUAGUAUUAUGUGUAUAAAAAAUAUAUUAAUUUAGAUUUUUUUGUUGUAUUUUUAUAUUUUUAAUAUUAAAAGAUUUUAAAUAAUUUCAAAAUUCAUGUAAUCGAUAUAAAAAUUUUGAAAAUAUCUUUUCAAAAAACAAUUUUAAACGUGGUUAAAACUAUUGUAAAUUCCUCAAUACUUUUACAACUAUCAUUUUUAAAUUAAAGCAAAAUAGAAAUGAAAUGAGAUUGAGUGUGAAAUGUAAAAUUUAUAUCACUUUCCAUUUCUUUUCUUUUUUUUUUUUGGUAAAAUCUACAAAAAAAAAAAAAAAAAUCAUUACUAAUCAUUUAAAAACUUUUUUUUACAACUUUAAAUGAGAUGGUUGCAAUCUUUAAUUUUUUGUUAAACAAGUGUUGUACCUUCGAAUUCUUAAAUUUGCUUGUAUGUAAGAAGUUCAUGGUUUAAAUUUUUCAUUAACAAUUCUCCAUUCCUUAAUUUACAACUAUGUCUAUGAAGAUGAUGAAAUCUCAACCACAAUUCAUUUGAGAAUGAUUUUAACUAGGUCUAAAAAGUGGACAAUAUUCAAAUUAUAAUCCAACUUGAAAUAAAAAAUCUCAAUCAUAUUGUAUUUGAGAAUGAUUUUGGUUAAAAAUAUAUUUAGAGUGUGUUAAUAAUGAUUUUAAGAAAAAAAUUUAAUUUUUUUCAUACGAUAAAAUUUUUAAAUAUUUAAAAUAUUAGAAGCAAAUUCCUAAAAUCAGUAUUAAAUAAAUUCUUAAUUUAUACAAUACUUUAAUUAAUAAUUUAUUUUAUUAUAAAUGCUUUUAAAGAGAAUCACUCUCAGGAUUACAUUUUUGGCAUGAAAAUGAAUAUGUAAAUUAAAGCAAAAUAGAAAUGAAAUGUAAACAAAUUAACAAAACCAAGUGGAACCCAUGUAUCUGCAGUACUGAAAAGGGCUUCCAUUAUUAACAUCAAUUAUGAAACAUGAUGUGAAUUUUGAAUGGAAACCAGGCGUGGAUGGGCCUACAAUUUGAGGGAUGUAUCAUGUGGCUGCCUUUUCCAUAUUCAAAUCACCUGCAUGUGCCUCCCACAACCCAUUCAAUAUUCAGACCCCUUCAUUUCCCUUUUCUCGUCUUUAAUGACCACGAAAUUACUCAAUCAUAAUUCAUUAUACAUAUUUAAAAAUAUAUAUAUAUAUAUAUAUAUAUAUAUAUAUGAAUUAAAAAUAAAAAAUUAAAAUGGUAUUGUCUUUUGUAUGAUAUAUUAGAACUUUUUAGAUGUUUAUAUUAAAAAGAUAAAAAAUUUUUACAAAAUUGAAAUAUUAAAAAAAAAGAAGAUAAUUUUUAAGAUAUAAAUAAAAUAUAAAUUCCAUUAUUACCCUCGAUAAGUGAGGUAACUGUAGCACUGAAGAAAAUAGAGAAGAAGACAGAGACUUAUGAAAUCACACUCAGCGAUUCUAAAUUCCCUGGUCUGCCAUUCCACACCUGCAUUUGACUCUCACAACACAUUAGGUUUCAGUCUCCUUUGGCUGCUAAAUUAUUUCCAUUCAUCAUUGAUCAUGUGUUAAUAGUCUCAUCAAAGUCUAAAUAAUUAUGGGGUUCAAAUAUAUUGUCCACUAAGGAUGAGCUUCCGUUGGUACUAACUUUAAUUGAUGAAAGUAGCUACACAAAUAAAGAAAAUAAAAGGUAUUAAUCGUGAUGUGAGUUGUGAGACCCAUGUCAAUGAAUUGGGGUUUGAAAAUUGAGAGGUUUUGGACCUUUUGGCUUACUAUAAUUAUUAUCUUUUAACGUCUUACAUGAGUACAAAAGUAAUCAUAUAUGGUUUAUUAUGCAUAUUCCAAAAAAUAUAUUUGAAUUAAUUGAUACAAGCUAAUUGAUUAAAUUUAUUUUUAUGUACAAAAUAUGUUAGAUGAUGUAAUUUUAUCAUAAUAUUAUAAAAUUGCUAAAAGCUCAACUAAACAUAAUCUACACCAUAAAGAAUAAUAAAGCAAACAAAAAAAAAACUUCUAAAAGAAAACCAAGAAUAAUAGAGAUUUUGUAUAUCGUAUCAUUGAAACCAAAAUAAAAUUGGAAGUAUUUUUAAGUACUAACACUAUCAUACAUUCCAUGACUCUACACAUUAAUAGAAAAUAAUAAUUUUGACUUAUUAUUUAAUCAAACUUAUUUGUAGUAUUAUGUCUCUUAAAAAUAUAUUAAUUUAGGAUUUUUUUUGUUUUGUUUUUAUAUUUUUUUAAUAUUACAAAGUUUUAAUAAUUUCAAAUUUUUUGAUAACCUACUAAAACUAAUUAUCUUUAAAUUUGAUAAUAAGAAUAAAACAUAAAAGUAUAAAAAAGUUUUUUCUUUUCUAAAUUUUUUAAAAUAAAAAAUCAUCAACGAUAACUUAUUUGCAAUUUAUUUAUUUAUUUUUAUUAAACCAACAAGGUUUCAUAUUUAUAGACUGAUGAAAAAAUUCUUCAAAAAUCAUAAGAAAUAAUUAUAACAUAUUUUCUUUAUUUUUAUUUCAUAAUAAUAAAAAGAUAUUUUUAUUCUACAACUAGAAACAAAUUUGGUACUAUAAUGGCUAAUAGUCAUAAAAAUUAGAAAUACAAUUGAAAAAGAAUUUAUUUUUCUGUUUUAAAAAAUAGUAAAAACAAAAUUGUACUCGAUUGAGUAUUGACACAUUAAUUAAUCAUUUUAUUUUAUUAAUUUAUGUUAUAUUAUUAAGAUAUAAUUAAUUAUUUAUAUAUAAUUUUAAUAGAAUAGUUAAAAAGUAGAAAUAUUAAUUCUUUUCUCCAUCACCACCAAAUAGAAGUAUUACCAAUUUUGUGUUAACCCUUUGAUUUUUAUGUUGUUUAAAUCUAUCAACACUAAUAAUUCUAAAAUGUGGUAAGUAGAGCAAUAUAUAUGAGUGGUCGAUUUAGCUCGUUAAUCGGCACAUUGAGGUAACAUAAAAAUGGAUUAAUUUAUCUAUUUAUCGUGUGUUAGAACGAAGGAAAUAAAAGGAAAAGAUAAAUAUAAAUUUAUGCUUAAGGGAGAGUGUACUUUUAUCCUCCCACCUUUGUUUAACUUAAAUUUAAAAAAAAAAAAAAUCCCUAGUGAGGACCAACAAUAUUCAUUUUUAACAAAAUAUGUAAACUAUCAUUAAAGAAUCACUGACAUUUUUUUCACUUCCACCUUCUUUAUUUUCAAUUUUGUGACCGAAAAUUAAAUAGUUAAAAAGAAAAGGAAAAUGAUGGAAGCAAUUAGGGAUUUAUUUGAUGGUUUUUUUAAAACCAAUUCUCUAAAAAAGAAAAAAAGUUUUUAAAAUCAGAUUUUAAAAUAGUUGAUAAUUAUUUUUUAAUUUUCUUUUGGGAAUUCAAAUAUAAUAAAUAAUUUUCUCGACUUAUUAUAUAUCCGUAAAGGUAUUGUGCAUUUAUCUAUAAUAUAGAUAUUUUAAAAGUGUUUUUUUUUUUAAUUUUUUAAUUGUUAUUAAAAAAUUCACAAAAAUAAUUAAAAACACAUCUUAAAAUCAUUCUAAAAAAAAUAUGUUUUUAGAAUAAAUUUUGAAAAAUUAAAUUUUUAUUAUAAAUUUAUCAAAUGUAUUUUUUAUGUUUAAAAAUAAUUUUUUAUUAUGAAAAAUAAAAUUACGAAAUAAGCCUUGAUGUUUUUACUUGAGUGCUAUUAUUGAGAAACAACAACACGCUAUGCCCGCAUUUCCAAACAAAACAAUAUCUUAAGUUGUAUUUGUUAUUGAGAAAUUUAUCAAAUCUCACUAUUUUUUUUUUUUGAAAAAAGAUAGCUAGUAUUAAAUAUGGAGUGCGUUGUGAAAUAGAUGUUUGUGGCUAACAAACCUCAAUGGCUUAUGUCUAGGGAUGGCGUUAUAGGGUUGUCUCUUUUAUGUUUGAAUAAAAAAAAUGAUUCCAUUCAUCUCUGAUGCCCACGACUAAUUUGAAAUCUAGAGGACUUUACAAAAGCAAUUAUAUAUGGUUUAUGUUAGGAUUCUAAUAAUAUCAACCUACACCUAAGAAGAGGGUGAAUUGGACAUUGGUCCCUUUUACAAAUUAUAACAAAUAUGAACUAUGAUGAAUGUUAGAGAAAAAGAAGCAAUAAUAUAAUAAAAAUAAUAAAGAAUAAUAGCAUAUAAAUAGAGUAAAAAAGUGAGAAAUUCAAACUCAAGAUUUAUAAGAUUUAUAGUAAUUUGGUCUAUUGGCUUACAUCCACUCUCCUCUAAUUUUAAUCUUAAGCUUAGGUUUUAUUAUAUCAAAACUUUCAAACCAAGCCUUAAAGCUUUAUAUUUGGAUUAACCAACUCGAAUAGCCACUUACAAAUUUGCUUAAGAGAUUCUCACUUUUGAACUCCCCAAAUAAUACAUAAUACUUAUAUUUUUCUCUUAAGUAAUACCUCAUACUUGAGUUCAGCUCGCAAGAUUUAUAAAAAAUGAAUUUUUCAAUACAAAUUCAUAAUUUACAAAAAAUUUCUCACUUUUGAAUUCCGCACGUGACACUCGAAGAGUUUUUUAAAUCAUUUUGGUUAUGUUUGGUUCCUAAAAAACUUGAGGGAAAAUGUAAGGAAAAAAAAUAAAGUGAAAAAUUAGAAAAAAUGAAAAACUGAAAGAAAAUAAAAAAUAAAUUAAAAUUCAAUAAAUUAUUUUUAUUUAUUAUUUCAAACUUAUUUUAAUUUAUCGAUAUAAAGAUUAAAUAAGUUAAAAAUUCAUAAGCUUUUAACUAGUUUUAAUUAUAUUUAUUUAUUUUUUAUAUUUUUUAUUGGACAAUCAAAUAUGAGAAAAUCAUUUUUCGUUUUUUCUUUUUUUAUCAUUUCUUAAUAUUUUUUGGGAAUCAAACAUAACAUUUUAAAACAUUUUUUACUCCAAGCAACAACUAAGCACUCAAGGAGUUUUUAAAAUCAAUUUAUUUAUUUAUUUUUUGCUUAAUUAAAAACUUCUCAUCUUGAUGCCUUAAAUUAAAUCCAAUUAAUCUUUUUCGAACCUUUCUAUACUUACUUGUGUCAUCUUGAUUGAUCAUGCAAUAACCUUUAAUCUUCAACAAAGAAUAAUAUACACAAUCUAGAAAAAUCUUAUAGUAAAUGAAUGAAACAAAAUUUACAACUUAAAUUAUAUAGUCUAAUGUAGUAACAAAUGUUAUAAUUGUGUGUAGUAAUCAUGAAUAUUCCAUUUCUUAUAUUAGUCUUGGAGAUAUUUAUAUAAUUACAAAUUAUUUACUAUACUAAUUAUAGUUUGAAUUUAAUAAGUAGGAGCUGAACUUAACUUGAAUUUCUUUUUAGGUACUUCUCUAUUUUUUCCUCUUUUACAACAAGAGUUACAGUAAAAUUAUGCAUAUGCCUUAACACAAAAAUUAAUACAAAUGUGGGAAAAAUACUACUUUUUAUAAAAAAUUUGUGUUGCUUAUGUAAAAAGUUCUUUUUUUUUUUUUUUUGUUUAAUAAAACUUUUAUAAUCCCAAUAUUAUUUUUGAAAAAUUAUGAUUUUAGUUUGAGUUUCAACUUCCAAGUAAAACAAAAAAAACAUAAAAAAAUAUCCCAAACAAGAUGCAAGUGGCUGAGGAAUAUGUAAAUGACUUACACUUGAAGAUGGGGUUAUAGGGCUUACGUUGACAUUCACAAUCAUUGAUGAUCAGUGAUGUACGGUUAUGACUCCCACGAUUGAUUCAAACCUUAUCCAGAUGACAAGUGAUUAAAGUCCCGAGUUUAGAAAUUGGUACACAAAUGCUUUCAUUUUCCUUGAGCACCUACUCUACCAACUUUAUUAUUAUUCUUAUUCUCACUCUACCUAAGGGUCUCCAAAAAGCUCGCGGCCCGCAACCCGUUUUAGGCCCGGCCUGCCCGACGGGCUAAGGCCCGGCCCGAUGGGCUAAAGCUCGGCCCAAGCCCGCCGGGCCAGGCUGCAGGCCUAAUUUUAGGCCCCGCGGGCCAGCCCGCCCCUUUAAAAAAAAACUACAAAAAUAAAAAGUAUUAAAAAAAAUAUUCAUUUCAAAAUUUUAUUCAUUGAAUGUAUAAUUACAUUUGAAAAUGUGGGAAAAGUUUACAUCACUACAAAAUAAAUACAUCCCAACUAGGUUGGGACCUAUUUAUUUGUCAAUCAUCUGUAUUUUUCAAUCACAAAAAAUAAAAAUAAAAAUAUAAUAUACAUUUAGUCAUUAUUUUCUGGCGGUGAUGGCGAACUAUCAUGCAUCCAUGAAGAUCUUGAUAAUUUUAAAGAUUCCAUAUCGGCAAGCAUAUCUGUUUCUCGAAUGGAAUCGUACAUCCUUUUAUCUGCUAUUUCCCAAUCUUUCAUACAUAUCCCUGCUUCAAUAACAUCUGGCGCUAAGUUGCAUCGUUUUUUACUAACUACUCUUCCACUUGCACUAAAAGCAGCUUCUGAUGCAACUGUACUCACAGGAACUGUUAGUACAUCACGAGCAAUUAUAGAAAGCACAGGAUAAUUGUGUUGAUGUGAUUUCCACCAUAUUAAAAUAUCAAAAUCUUCUUGAUCUUCAAAUGAAAUUAUAUCAAUAUUAAGAUAUUUAUCUAAAUCAGAUGUAUUAUUUGGAGAACUAUUUGUUGUCUUUUUUCGACUUUUCAACAUUUCUAGAGCUCCUUUAUAAAAAGAUGAGGAGUUUGUAGAUGUAGGUGGUAAUUUAAUAGUAUUAAUAUCAUUACCAUAUUUUUCUUUAUAAUAGUUAUAUAAAUUAUAUAAUAAUGAAUUUAUUUCAUUUUUAAUUUCUUCAAUUUUUAUUUGGUCAUUAAAAUAAAUAAUUGUUAACCAUUCAUCCAAAGCUUCAAAUUUCAAUCUAGGGUCCACAAUUAAAGCAAUAUAAAAAAUUAAAGGUAUUUCUCCCCAAUAUUUUCUAAAUUUUUCUAUCAUUGCAAAUAUUGUAUCAUUAAAUAUUUCAAAACUUAAAUAUUUUUGAAGUACAAUAAAAAUAUUAGUUAUUUGCAUAAUAACUCGAUUUGAAGUUGGAUAAUAUACACUACAAAAAAUGUUUGUUGAAGUAUCAAAAAUUUCAAAAAGAUCCGCAAUAUGCCAAUCAUAAUCAUUUAAUGCAUAAAUAUCUGCUUCACAAUCAUUAUUAAUUAAUUGUAUUUCAUAUAAUUCGACUACUUUUCUAUAUUUUGUAAUAUUUUGUAAAAGUUUAUAUGUGGAAUUCCAUCUAAUGGUCAUAUCCAAAUUUAUAUUUUUUCUUUUCACAUUUAACAUUUUGCAACAAUCAAAAAAUAAUUCAUGUUUUGCUUGAGAACUAUUAAUACUAUAUGCAAUGCCUCUAAUUUUUUCCAAUGUACUAUCAACAUUUUUUAAUCCAUUCUUUACAAUUAAAUUUAAAAUAUGUGCACAACAACGCACAUGAAAUAUUUUAGCAUGAUCUUCUUUUACAUGCCAAUAUCGUUUUAGUCUAUGUAUUGCUGCAUCAUUAUUAGCAGCAUUAUUUAAUGUUGUUGUCAAUAUUUUAUCACGAAUGCCUAAAUCUAUAAUUUCAUCAUUUAUUAAAGAUGCUAUAUUUUUACCACUAUGUGGAGCAUUUAUUAAUUUAAAUGAAAUUAUUCUUUUAUUUAAUUUCCAUUCAUUAUCAAUGUAGUGAGCAGUUAUACAUAAAAAACCAGUGUGAGUUAAAGAUGUCCAAAUAUCAGAUGUUAAACAAAUAUUUCCUUCAAAAUUUGCAAAAAAAAAUUUUAAAAUUUCUUUUUGUGUAUAAAUUUUUUUCAUAAUAUCUCUUUUAACUGUAUUUCCAGACCAACCUUUAAAUUGAGGAUUAAUACCUCGUUGAAUUGUUCCUGCAAAAUCAUGAGUUUCCAUCAUGUUGAAAGGUUGUUCUGCUCUUAUUAUAUAAUCAAUCAUUUCUUCACGACAGUUAGAUUCAUCAUAAGAAAAUGUUUUUAAAUUUCCACUUUCAUUUUUACCUAAUUGCAUAUAAUUUCUAAUAUCUACAUUAUUUUUAGUUUUACAAUUUUCAUGAUGUCUUUUUAAAUGACUUGUGCCUGCAUUUGAGCCACCAGUAAGAAAUUUAUUACAAAUUUUACAUUUUGCUUUUAUUUCUUUUUUAUUAUUUUCUAAAAUUAUUUCUAUUCUAUAAAAAAAAUUCCAUAUAUUUUUUAAGUAAAUUUUUUGUUUGAUGAUAUUUCAUCACAUGGACUAAAUGAAGAAGCACUUGUCAUAUUAUAAUUAUUGAUAAAAUAUUAUGCCAAAAAUAAUAAAGUAAUAAAUAUAAAAAAAAAAUGUAACAAAAAAAUAAAGUAGUAGGGGUGAAGUAUGUUACUCAAUUAGAGAACCGAUGCAGAAAUUCCUAGCAAAUUUGAACUCUUGAAGCCACCAAUGCUUGUUUUGCACCACCAACAAUAUUGUAUAAUUUGAGGGAAAAAUAAAAGAAUUUGAAAUAUUGUAGAAUGUGAGAGAAGUAGAGAGAGAAAUAGAGAGAAUUUGAUGAAAAAAUGAAAAUGAAGAAAAUGUAUUUAUAGGAAGGUUAAAAAAAAAAUUCAAAAUUCAAAAUAAUUGGUCAUGUGACCGUUGGAGGCUUAGCUCCAACGGUCACAUGGGCUGGAGCUAGGCUCCAACGGUCACAUGACCGUUAGAGCCUUUAAUUUUUUUUAAAAAAAUAAUAUACUUUAUUUUUAUAUAUAUAUAACUAACUCAAUUAAUAAACAUAAAAAGAAUGUAGUUUAGCUGGUUAGAAGCUUAAAGUUUAAACAUGAGGGGAGGGGUUUGAAUCCCCCCCCUUCUCCCUUCUCUUGGCUUUUUUGAAAGUCAUUUUGGCUUAAUUCAAAAAGCUCGCCGGCCAGCCCGCGGGCUCAUAGGUAGGGCCGCGGGCCUAGUAUUUUAGCAUGGCCCGGCCCGGCCUGGCCCUUUGACCAGUCAACGAGCCCAUAGGCCCGGCCCGAGCUGGGGCGCGGGCCUCCUAUUUACGGCCCGGCCCGCCCAUUGGAGACCCCUACUCCUACCCCUUCAUUUAUGACUCCCACGAUUGAUUCAAACCUUAUACAAAUGACAAGUGAUUAAAGUCACGAGUUUAGAAAUACUCUACCAACUUUAUUAUUAUUCUUAUUCUCACUCCUACCCCUUCAUUUAGUCUGGUUUUAUUUGAUCCAUACCCUUCUCCUACUAUUUACAUAGCAGUGAAGUUAUUACUUUUCGAAGCAAGAAAAAAAUUUCAUCGAAGUCAUAACAAGGUUCUUUAUAUUAUAUUAUAUUAUUAUAAACAUUUUUGUUUUUUAUUUUUUACUAUAAGAAAAAUUAAUACUAUCGGUCAGAAAAAUUAGGUUAAUCCAAUAUAAGGUAAUCACCCUAAAAGGGGUGAAAAUGAUGAUGAUUUCUUUUUGUCAAGGAAGAAAAUAUCGCAAUAUGUCGGCGAUAUAUCGUGUAUCGAAGGGUAUCGAUACAAUAUUUCAUGGAGAAAUAUUGAUUCGGCAAAAUUUUGGGAGAAAUCUCCAAAAAUCGGCGAUAUCUCGUGAUAAAUCGGCAAUUUUGGAGAUAAAUCACCGAUUUUUCCCUAUAUAUCACAUGGUCAAUGCGGGUUAACGACGAUCAAACGCGUUAGAGUAAGUCAAAGCGCUACAGUCGCUAAGUGCUUGAAAAAAGGCCCCCAUCUGGGCUAACUUGUCCUUAUUAUAUAAUAUGUACUAAACAUAUAUAUAGUUAAACUCAUUAUAUAAAUAAAAUAUUUAAAAAAUAUUUUAAAGAGUAAAUUAAUUAUAAUUAUUUUAUAAUUAAAUGUAAAAUUUUCUUUUAAUUAAUUACCAAAAAUAUAAAAUUAUAUAAUUUUCUUCAUAGUGUUUUUAAUAUCAUUAAUAAUGAAUUAAAUAUUAAAAAAUUGUACAUAUAUCAUAAUUUAUUUUAUAUUGUUUAAUACAAUUGAAUUAAAUGUAUCAUAAUUUUAAUAUUAAUAUAUAUAUAUAUAUUUUAAGAAUAGACAUAUUAUAAUCAAAUAUCAUAAUAUUAGAUGUAAUUUAAUAAUAAAUGUACAUUUAUAAAAUUCAUAUUUUUAUCGAUGCAUACGAUAUUAUUAUCAAAUAUGAUAAAUCAUAUUAUACAUACAUCAAAUUAUUUAAUAAAACAACUUAAAAAUAUCAUUAUACUUCUAAUUACAUUUUUAUAAAAAUUUUAUUAUAUUUUUAUAAAUUUUGAUCAAUUUUAGGUUUAUUGAUAUUUUUUUCCAAAAUAUCAGUCGAUAUAUCUUCGAUAUAUUCGAUAUAUCCAUAAAAUAAAAGUACCGAUAUAUCCAUGAUUACCGAUAUUUUCAUCCUUACUUUUUGCAAAUUCAAACUAUGUGAAUGUAAGAAACAAUUAUAUACAAGUAUAAAAUAAAACAAUAUAAAGACAAUUGCAUAUAAAUUAAAAGAGUAGGGAAGAGACAAUGCAAAUACAAGAUUUUAUAGUGGUUCGACAACCCGGCCUACAUCUACUCUCCUCUAGCUUUAAUCCCAAGCUUGAGGUUCCACUAGUUCAAGACUUUCAAACUAAGCCUUCAAGCAAUACAAUUGGAUUAUGGUUCCAAUCCACCCUCUUGGACUUUUGGCUCCAAGCACCCUUUACAAACCUCAAGAGAUACCUCACUCUUGAAUAACCCCUCAAGUGAUACCCCACACUUGAGAAUCUCUAAGUGAUACAUCACACUUAGAUUCUUCAUCUCAAAGAUUUACAAAGAAAUGAUCUCACAAAAUCCUAAAGUUCAAAUGAUACAAAAAAAAGGAUUGAAUGGUGCACUAAUGAUAUGUAGGUGUAGACCCCUCUUUUGGCUUGGUUUAUAUAUAUAUGUAUCCCAUCGAUUCUGAGCCUUCCCGCCACUUUUGGAGCACUCGGAGAAGGGCGUUUGGAGUGGGGGGCCUGCUCCUUGGAAGAUCAGCUGCAUGAAACACAUGGCGGAGCAGCUGACCGUGGCCAUGGUGUUAGUUGGGAUGGUGACCAGCGGAGUAUCGAGGAAGAGUGGGGGUUGUCUGGGUGAAGGGGGAAGAGAAAAAAUCGCAGAAGAAUUGAGAGGAGGCCCAGGUGGAGUCGCGGAGAGCAGGGAAAGAGCUUGUUAGUUCGAUCUAGGUAUGAUUUCCGCACUAUUUUGUACAUUCUCAAGAGAUCUAUCCUGUUUCUUGAUAGUUUUUGGGUUUUAUUUGUUGGUUUUCUGUGGACAUCAAGAGCCACAAGAUGGUUUUGGGUUGAAUGUGAUUAUCUGCCCAUAUAUGCUCUGUUUUGGUCCUUUUUGCUGCUCUCGUUUUUUUUUCCCUUCUAAAUGGCCCAUGUGCAUGGAGAAAAGUUUAACUUGUCCAAGCAAAGGCUUCAUGUUCUCAUGAUGAAUAACACGGUUACCACAUGCCUACGCCUUCUUCACUGUUCGCGUCAACCAUACCUAUUUCCUCACUCAAGCUUGUAGGAAUCAAGUAUCCUCCACCACACCCAUUUUCCUCUCAUUCAUUCUCCAUCCUACUCCCUCACUUACAUGGAGUCUCACGGGUGCAUGCUAUCCUUCACUCCUUCACAUACCCAUUAAAACCACUCACCCAAGCCUCCAUAUCCAUACAACCCAUACCCAUCCUUCAUGCUACUCAUAAUCAUGUUCUACCAUACCCAUGUGUACACCCAUUUAACCAUACCACCAAACCCGUUUCUCUCUCUAAACCUUCACCUACUUGUGGGAUUCUCCCUAAAAAAUGCCACGUGGCUCUCUCUCCCUUGCACACGCAGACGGUCCCCUUGCGACGCGUGACAUUAGCUCAUUCCACCCGGGGAAGAAUUCUGUCCGGCCGACGUUCCACCUUCUCCGGAUAUCUCAUAUCCGGAAUUUUGUUCACCGACGUUCCACCUUCUCCAAAUAUCCCACAUCCGAAAUUCUGUCCGUCGACGUUCCACCUUCUCCAGAUAUCUCACAUCCGGAAUUCUGUCCGGCUGACGUUCCACCUUCUCCGGAUAUCUCACAUUCGAAAUUUUGUCCGUCGACGUUCCACCUUCUCCAAAUAUCUCACAUCCGAAAUUUUGUCCGCUGACAUUCCACCUUUUCCAGAUAUCUCACAUUCGGAAUUUUGUCUGACCGACGUUCCACCUUCUCCGGAUAUCUCACAUCCGAAAUUCUGCCGGCCGACGUUCCACCUUCUCCGGAUAUCUCACAUCCAGAAUUCUGUCCGGUCGACAUUCCACCUUCUUCGGAUAUCUCACAUCCGGAGUUCUGUCCAGCCGACGUUCCACCUUCUCCGGAUAUUUCACAUCCGACGCCUGACGCCGGAUGGGAGAGAAGGGCGAUUCAACUUCCCCGGUCAGACAUGUCCAGAUCCUCUGAUAGCGCUUACCCGGAGAGCAUCCGUAGCCGACAAUUCAGAUUCCCCGGACAGCUUGGCUCCUCAGACACUCGCGAUUCGCCGGAUCCAUUUCCGCCCACAGUCAAAGGGCAAACUCCGAUAAUACUGACGACCAAGUCUCCUGAACUGUCACUCAUCUUUAAUGCAAGAUAGAUUGGGCUUUGGUAGGGGCCCCACGUGCGUGAUUUUAUGAUCGAUUGGUGGAUUGAUUGAUUUGAUUGCUAUAUGUGAUUGAUUUACAGUAUUCUAUGAUACACACACGAUUAUUUUGUGUUUAAUUGCUAACAUUUGUUUUCAUUGAAGUAAACCAGUUCAUCACUCAGGUAUAUUAUUUGCCUCUCUUGUUCAUUCAAUUAUUUUGUUUUGAGUGAUAUUCAUUCAGUAUCCAUGCUCGAUUAAUUAAUUGUCAUGAUUGCUUCAUUUUAUUAGUAGAGACCUGUCUUUAGGGACUUAAAGGGGUGCGACGGUCUUUACCGUACCUUCCCGAUAAGUAACCUGACCCCCGAACCUGAUCCGGUUUUUCGUAGACCAACCUUUUCCAAAACAAGGAGUCACACCUAGGGUUUUUUUUCUUAUUUUGUUUACCCCUUUAAAAAUAAAACAAAAAUAAGUGGCGACUCCAAGUCAUUUUCUCAAUCAAUAAAUCAAUUUCUCAAAAUAAAAAUCGAGCUCGCCAUCGAGUAGGAAGCGCAUGAGCCGAAAUGCGGGGUCCACAAAAUGGCGACUCCGCUGGGGACGACUAGAGGGUCAAGCUUGAACAUAAAUUGAGGCAAAUGUGGCGUUUGAUUGGUCGGUCAGUGGAUACUUGUCUCUUGAUUGCGUAUUGAGAGUUCUAGACGUCAUUGGAUGCAUGCUUAGAUAUUGUAUUCAUUUAGGGCAUGGACAUGCUGAUUAUGAUGCUUGUUUAUCUUGAGUGAGCAUUCCGAUUGUGGCGAUUUUUUUUUUCCCGUGCUUCAUAGCUAUAUAUGUUUGGACAUUGAUAUGUUGAUUAUGUUGAUAGCUCAUCUUACCUUGCUUAGCGUAGUGGCCCUGAUUUUGCCAUGUUUGUUCUGAUUACCUCGCAUGUAUAGACUCACCAUUGUAUAUCAUUUGAUUGGACAUGAUUGAUUCUCUCGGCUAUAUAUUAUCUUGAUUAUUAUGGAGCAUGCUAUCAUUGUCAGAUAUUCCUAUCGAUUAGCUUGUGUGUAGAUUUGGAUGAUAUAUACUUGUUUUGCAUGACUGUCUGUUGCAUGACUCUUCUCAUCCUGAUGUGACUGCAUGAGUUGUGUGUCUAUGUGGGACACACACUUAUCCCCUUAUUUCCAAGUCCCUAGUCUCGGUUCAACAUUGUUUUCCUUGAUCUCGUAUUUGAUAUGAGACUUGUCACUUUGUUUGCUCUUCGACCGAGCUAGUGAUUAGGAGUAGGGUUUAAUGAUGGGCUAUAUCGAUGUUUGGGAGCAUUCUGGAGGAGGCCGACACAUUGAUGUUGAUUGGUGUUCGAUAUUUGAAGACCUGUAUAGCCCAGAGCUAGGUUUCAUGGAUAUUUGUGUGAUCAGUGUGUCUCGUUUUCUACUUUAGCUUCAUAGGAUUUUCGGAUGCACCCACACCGCUCACCAUGCACUUUAGUCAACUACUGAGUGUUGAGAGUUUUGAGAGGUUUCACCAUAGGAAACUCCCUGGGAUGUUGAGGUAGUGCAUGUGUGGAGGUGAUGACCACCUUGCAUGGAAGCGCCCCGUCUCUUUAGAGGCAUGCAGAGGGUUGCGUAUCGCCGAAGGGUAUGAUCGUUUCUGCUAGGGAUCUUUUAAAGUCUAUCUUUAUCCUUUUAGAGUCACCUUGACCCUGUAGGUUGAGCUUUAGAUCAUUCGACUAUGAUUCCCUCCCUACACGUGGGUGCAUCUGAGGGCCUUCAGAGCCUCUUUGGUCAUAGUUUGGAUUCAUUAUUCCAUCUUUUAGUCUCCAAUUGAGGGUGCACCGAGAUCAGUACGGGUUUGAGUUACAGUCGGACAGUCCUUUUACACUUUGAUGCCUUGCUCAUUCCAAUUCAGACUAGCAUUUUUCUAUCUCGUGCUUCAUGCUCUUCAGGAUUGGUUUUUCAUUCUUAGUAUGGAUUUACCAUCUUGGGUCAAAGUAGAGGGGAGCUUAGUUUUUUUUUUCGAGAAAUUAGACAUGGAUCAGCGGGUUGUCGCAGUUGAUCAGUUCACAACCGCCAUGGCUUCUAUUCAGGAGGCCUCGGCCAGUCUCAAACAGGAGAUAGACAGUCAGCAGAGUAGACAGUUUGUAGUUCAGGAUGAGACGCCUUAUGAUUCAUUGCCACCGCCACUUGGUUCGACAGUGCCACCUUAUCUAUUACAUGGUCAUUCUGAGGUUGCCUCACCUGCAGUAGUACAUACCAUAGUCCUUGAGGAUACUCACACAUGCAUGGAUCUUAUUGAGCAGCAUAUCAGACAGUUGAGGGUAUCUGAUAGUUCAGCAACUUGGGAUGAUCUUGAGGGUCAUUAGGGGAUUGAUCAGAGGUCCUAGAGGGAAGUUCAGACCCAAUUAGAGCGGACCUUACUUCACCAGGGAGCUGACCCUAGAGGACGCUGCAUGGUUGAUGGAUCUAGAUGGAAACCGAUUCUCGAAGCCAACUAUUGUAGACCAGUUGGAAAAGUACUAUGUUUGAGACCAUGGUCGCAGGAUGGGUGGCCAUCAUUUCGGUUAGCCAUAUACCUUGUUAUUCCCUUUUUGAUACAUAGUCCACUGCUAGCCCAUUGAGCCUCGCAUGCGCAUUAUAGCUUUCUAUCUUAUCGCCUUGCUCACAUUUUUACACCGGGAUUGGGGCCCUUUAGUGUAUGCAUGCAUUGUUUGGAAGCCUCAUGAGCCUUGGACCUACAAGUGCAUCUUUCUCUCAUUAUUUUUUUCUACCAUCGCACUACUACAUUCCUUCAUAUCCCAUUAGUUGUGUUUUUCAUCUCUCAUUAUUUAUUCUAUCUACUUGUUUUGCUUCAUAUUCUCUCCACCCCGAGUGGUAAUCCUCCUCAGUUCAUUACAUGGGGGAUAGUCACAUCAUUUCCACUAUUUAUCAUACGGACACUGAUUUAGAGAUCCUUAGUUUGAGAAGGUUAUCUUGUCAGAGAGAGUUUUUGUUACCUUAGCACUUGGGAGUGUGUCUAUUCAUUAUUGAUAUCAUCUUUGGGGUUCAUUUGUUUAUGUUCAGGGUAUGUGUAUUUGGAUAUAUGUAAAAAAAAAAAAUGAUGAAAAGGAAAGAAAAAUAAGCACAUGUGUGUAUGUGCAUAGUAUUCUCCAUUGUUGGGUAUGUAUAUUGAUGUUUGGGGGUCAUUUUUAUCGAGUAUGUUCGUUAUUGGGAGUUCGUAUGUGAGCUCUUUGAGAUCCCAUGUUAUUUGUAUUGCCUUGUCAUAUCUAUUUGUGAGAGAGAUGAGUGACCUUCUCCUAAGGACUCCGAGUCAUUGUCCUUUCCAUCAUUAUAUUCAUUAUUGAUGUGGCUUCACUUCAUGUUUGAUCUGAGUCGAUCACCACAUUUCUUCACAUAUUCAUUGUUCCGCUGUCGUUUUUAUCGUUGCUUGUGAUUCAUCUCAUUCCCUUCACAUCUUAUUUCUCUCCUUACAGCAACCCAUCUCGGGUUUGAUACUCACUUCGCAUCAUCAUUACACAUAUCACUAUUAGUUCAUUUUGCUUCAUUUGUCUCCUUAUCGACAUCAUAUCCACGUUAGGCAUCCUCAAGUCCAUGGCUCACGGGACUUACUAUACAUGUUGCAUUUCAUAUAUGAGGGCAUGGUUUUCUGAUCAUUGGGUAUUUGAGCCUAGUUUCUAUUCAUUUCUAUUACCCUAUCACCCUAGCCUACGUUACGUCCCGUGUCUUAAGACCACCCUGAGGCCAUGGGAUCAAAUGUCGUCUUUGACAGCCUCUACUUGGACAGGUGUUUGAGAUCUGGUUGACAUUUAGAUAUCGUCAUGCUUCUUCUUCUGGGAGUCGCCUCUUUGAUGUGUAGGACCGAUUCAGUUGUGUUCGGAUUACUGGGAUCGUGAGUUUGGCUAUGAUUGACUUGGUGUCACCUGAUUUUUGACCUAUCGUACCUCUGGUGCCACACUGGGGGCAUAUCCCACUUCAUUUGGAGGUUUAUGGAUCCUCGCAGACUUGCAUGAUCAUUAUCACUUACCGGAUGCUCACUGAGACAUGGACAUGAUCGUUACCUUACAGAGCCCCCGAGAUCCAUCCAGCUAGGUCCGCACUUCUCGACACUUAGAUGCCAUCAUGCCUCUCCAUCUGGGAGGUACAUCUUGGAUAUAUGUGCACGAUUCAGUUAUGGAUUUGGACAACCAGUGUUACAUGUGCGGCGAUAGAUGAUUUCAUGACAUUUGUUAUUCGGACCUGUCGCGCACCCGAUGCCCAUACUGGGGCAUAUUUUCUGUUUCGGAUGAGAUUUACGGAUCUUCACGGAGGUUACAUGUGCGACGACAGAUGAUUUCAUGACAUUUGUUCUUCGGACCUGUCGCGCACCCGAUGCCCAUACUGGGGCAUAUUUUCUGUUUCGGAUGAGAUUUACGGAUCUUCACGGAGGUUACAUGUGCGACGACAGAUGAUUUCAUGACAUUUGUUCUUCGGACCUGCCGUGCACCCGAUGCCCAUACUGGGGCAUAUUUUCCGUUUCAGAUGUGAUUUAUGGUUCUUCGCUUAUGUCGCGUAUUCGAUGAUAAAUGAUUUCAUGUCACCCGAUUUCUGACCUGUCGUGCAUCCGAUGCCCAUAUUAGGGCAUAUUUUCCGUUUCAAAUGUGAUUUAUGGUUCUUCACUUAUGUCGCAUGUUCGAUGAUAGAUGAUUUCAUGUCGCCCGAUUUCUGACCUGUCAUACGUUCGAUGCCAUACUGAGGCAUAUUACCGUUUUGGAUGAGAUUUACAGAUCUUGGCGGAGUUGUGCGUUUAUUCCCAUUUAUGAGACGUACAUCGAGACGAUGAUCUAUCUGCUAUCUUUACGAUGAUUUCCUCGGUGGAGCCUCUCGGGAGUUACCCAGUUAGGCCUACACUUCUUGACGCUUCGAUGUCAUCCUGCUUUCCUUCCGGGAGGCGCCCCUUUGAUUCGUGGGCCUGAUUCAGUUGCAGAUAUGGAUGAUUCGAGCUCAUUUGAUUUUCCGAUAUGUCGCGUUUUGAUGCCACAUUGAGGCAUAUUCCCCAUUUCGGCCGAGAUUUGUAGAUCCCCCACUGAUUGGCAUGAUCGCCCCCAAUUUUGAGAUACACAUUGGGUUGAUGAUUCGAUUUCAUCGUGUCCUGAUACUUUGUGGAGCCUCUCUCGAGUCUUUCAGCCCGAUUCAUGUUUUCUGAUAUAGUCGUGAUUCUUGGAUGGAGUUUAUCUCAGGUGCGUGGAUUCCUGUUUCACCCUUUCAGCGGAGUACAUGUUAGAUCCUUUGUACGUCCCCGUGGAGGUACUCUUGAGUUAUCAGGACAGAUCGGGUACAUACGAUGCCAUACUGGGGCAUAUUUCCCUCAUUUAGUUGGGGAGGCGAUCGUUCUCUCACAGAUCCUUCACAGUUUCCAUCCCUCAGCCAGGAUAUACUGUAUUUGCCUUACUGAUUGCUAUUCCUGCGAGAUAGGCUUUCAGUGGAGCACGAUGUUCGGGUUUGGAUCGUCUCAUUAGCCAGGAAUUUUCAGUAAAUGGUUAUGUUAAGAUCAUGGUGUGUCUCUUACCAGACUACUCCCUGAGACUAUCUGAUUAUCCGUUCGAGACGACGAUGGGUCCUUCAGGCAGAGCAUUAUGAGUUAGAGGAGUUUGGCUUAUUACGACACUCUGGCAGACCUCGUGAUUUUUUUUCGGGCAGGUCCUGAGACUAUGUUCACCGUCGACCUGAUCAUUCUGACUAGCUAGCAGAGCGUUUUUCGGGGCUCAUAGAGUCUCUUUCAGACCCUUCCAGCGGAUUGAGAUUUGCAGCGCCAUGCCACACUGGGGCAUAUUUCUCUCUCAUCAUUUCCUUGUAGUUCGGCGUUCAGAGCCAUCAUCACUUUUUAGUUUCGGCGUUCAGAGCCAUCAUCAUCACUUCCUAGUUUGACGUUCAGAGUCACAUCUUCAGUUUUGGCGUUUAGAGCCAUCACUGUCGCAUUCUCGAUUUUAGCGUUCAGAGCCAUCAUCACAUCUUCGUUCGGUGUUCAGAAUCAUCAUUAUCACUUCUCAGUAUCGGCGUUCAGAGCCAUCAUUAUCACUUCUUAGUUUGACGUUCCGAUUUGCGUCCCCGAUUUUAGUGUUCAAAGCCAUCAUCACAUCUUCGUUCGGCGUUCAGAGCCAUCGUCAUCACUACCCAGAUUGGUGCUCAGAGUAGUAUUUUCAGUUUUGGCGUUCAGAGCCAUCAUUGUCGCAUUUUCAGUAUCGACAUUCAGAGUCAUCAUCAUCACUUCUUAGUUUGACGUUCCGAUUUGCGUCCCCGAUUUCGGCGUUCAGAGCCAUUUUUCGCUUCGUUCGACAUUCAGAGCCAUGUUUCGCUUCGUUCGACGUUCAGAGUCACAUUCCCGGUUUUAGCGUUCAGAGCCAUCAUCACAUCUUCGUUCGGCGUUCAGAGUCAUCGUUAUCACUUCUCAGUAUUGGCGUUUAGAGCCAUCAUCAUCACUUCUUAGUUUGACGUUCCGAUUUGCGUCCCCGAUUUCGACCUUCAGAGCCAUUUUUCGCUUCGUUCAACAUUCAGAGCCAUGUUUCGCUUCGUUCGACGUUCAGAGUCACAUUCCCGAUUUUAGCGUUCAGAGCCAUCAUCACAUCUUCGUUCGGCGUUCAGAGUCAUCGUUGUCACUUCUCAGUAUCGGCGUUCAGAGCCAUCAUCAUCACUUCUUAGUUUGAUGUUCCGAUUUGCGUCCCCGAUUUCAGUGUUCAGAGCCAUUUUUCGCUUUGUUCGACAUUCAAAGCUGUUUUUUUCAGUUUGGUGUUCAGAGCCGUGUUUUCAUUUUGACAUCCAGUGCUGUCGCGUUUUUCAUUUAGCGUUUAGAGCCACUUUUUCGGUUUGGCGUUCAGAGCCACUUCUUCCAUUUGGCGUACAGAGCCGCGUUUUUCAUUGGGACAUUCAUAACCACUAUCUCUUCUCAGCUUUGCCGUUCAGAGCCACUAUCUCUUCUCAGCUUUGGUGUUCAAAGCCACUAUCUUUUCUUAGUUUGGCGUUCAUAGCCACUAUCUCUUCUUAGUUUGACGUUCAGAGCCAUUGUUCAUUUUCCAUUUGGCGUUCAGAGUCGCAAUUUCACUUUGGCGUUCAGAGCCGCAGUUUCAGUUUGGCGUUCAGAGCCAUUGUUCGUUUUCAGUUUGGCGUUCAGAGCCAUUUUUUCAGUUUGGCGUUCAGGGCUGCUUUUUCCAUUUGGCGUUUAGAGCCGCAUUUUCAUUUCGACAUCCAGUGCUAUCGUUUUCCGUUUGGCGUUCAGGGCCACUUUUUUUAGUUUGGCGUUCAGAGCCAUUAUUCGUUUUUGCUUGGCGUUUAAAGCCAUUAUUCGUUUUCAUUUUGGCGUUCAAAGCCGUUCUUUUCCAGUUUGGUGUUCAGAGCCGUAGUCUCAUUCCGGCGUCCAGUGCUAUCAUAUUUUUUUCAUUUGGCGUUCAAAGCCAUUGUUUCGUUUUGGCGUUCAGAGCCAUUGUUCGCUUUCCGCUUGUCGUUCAGAGCCGUUUUUUUCAGUUUGGCGUUCAGAGCCGUGUUUUCAUUUUGACAUCCAGUGUUAUCACGUUUUUCAUUUAGCGUUUAGAGCCACUUUUUCGGUUUGGCGUUCAGAGCCACUUCUUCCAUUUGGCGUACAGAGCCGCGUUUUUCAUUGGGACGUUCAUAGCCACUAUCUCUUCUCAGCUUUGGCGUUCAGAGCCACUAUCUCUUCUCAGCUUUGGCAUUCAGAGCCACUAUCUCUUCUUAGUUUGGCGUUCAUAGCCACUAUCUCUUCUCAGUUUGAUGUUCAAAGCCAUCGUUCAUUUUCCAUUUGGCGUUAAGAGCCGCAGUUUCACUUUGGCGUUCAGAGCCAUUGUUCGUUUUCAGUUUGGCGUUCAAAGCCUCUUUUUCAGUUUUGCGUUCAGAGCCACUUUUUCCAUUUGGCAUUCAGAGCCGCGUUUUCAUUUCGACAUCCAGCGCUAUCGCUUUCCGUUUGGUGUUCAGAGCCACUUUUUCAGUUUGGUGUUCAGGGCUGUUUUUUCCAUUUGGCGUUCAGAGCCGCAUUUUCAUUUCGACAUCUAGUGCUAUCGCUUUCCGUUUGGCGUUCAAGGCCACUUUUUUUAGUUUGGCGUUCAGAGCCAUUAUUCGUUUUUGCUUGGCGUUCAAAGCCAUUAUUCGUUUUCAUUUUGGUGUUCAAAGCCGUUCUUUUCUAGUUUGGCGUUCAGAGCCGUAGUCUCAUUCCAGCGUCCAGUGCUAUCAUAUUUUUUCAUUUGGCGUUCAGAGCCGUUGUUUCAUUUUGGCGUUCAGAGCCAUUGUUCGCUUUCCGCUUGUCGUUCAGAGCCGUUUUUUUCAGUUUAGCAUUCAGAGCCGUGUUUUCAUUUUGACAUCCAGUGCUAUCACGUUUUUCAUUUAGCGUUUAGAGCCACUUUUUCGGUUUGGCGUUCAGAGCCACUUCUUCCAUUUGGCGUACAGAGCCGCGUUUUUCAUUGGGACAUUCAUAGCCACUAUCUCUUCUCAGCUUUGGCGUUCAGAGCCACUAUCUCUUCUCAACUUUGGCGUUCAGAGCCACUAUCUCUUAUUAGUUUGGCGUUCAUAGCCACUAUAUCUUCUCAGUUUGACGUUCAGAGCCAUCGUUCAUUUUCCAUUUGGCGUUCAGAGCCGCAGUUUCACUUUGGCGUUCAGAGCCAUUGUUCGUUUUCAAUUUGGCGUUCAGAGCCUCUUUUUCAGUUUUGCGUUCAGAGCCACUUUUUCGAUUUGGCGUUCAGAGCCACGUUUUCAUUUCGACAUCCAGCGCUAUCGCUUUCCGUUUGGCGUUUAGAGCCACUUUUUCAGUUUGGUGUUCAGGGCUGCUUUUUCCAUUUGGCGUUCAGAGCCGCAUUUUCAUUUCGACAUCCAGUGCUAUCGCUUUCCGUUUGGCGUUCAGGGCCACUUUUUUUAGUUUGGCGUUCAGGGCCACUUUUUUUAGUUUGGCGUUCAGGGCCACUUUUUUUAGUUUGGUGUUCAGAGCCAUUAUUCGUUUUUGUUUGGCGUUCAAAGCCAUUAUUCGUUUUCAUUUUGGCGUUCAGAGCCGUUCUUUUCCAGUUUAGCGUUCAGAGCCGUAGUCUCAUUCCGGCGUCCAGUGCUAUCAUAUUUUUUCAUUUGGCAUUCAGAGCCGUUGUUUCGUUUUGGCGUUCAGAGCCAUUGUUCGUUUUCCGCUUGUCGUUCAGAGCCAUUUUUUUCAGUUUAUCGUUUAGAGCCGUGUUUUCAUUUUGACAUCCAAUGCUAUCACGUUUUUCAUUUAGCGUUUAAAGCCACUUUUUCGGUUUGGCGUUCAAAGCCACUUCUUCCAUUUGGCGUACAAAGCCGCGUUUUUCAUUGGGACGUUCAUAGCCACUAUCUCUUCUCAGCUUUGGCGUUCAGAGCCAUUAUCUCUUCUCAGCUUUGGCUUUGAGAGCCACUAUCUCUUCUUAGUUUGGCGUUCAUAGCCACUAUCUCUUCUCAGUUUGACGUUCAGAGCCAUCGUUCAUUUUCCAUUUGGCGUUCAGAGUCACAGUUUCACUUUAGCAUUCAGAGUCGUAGUUUUACUUUGGUGUUCAGAGCCAUUAUUCGUUUUCAGUUUGGAGCUCAGAGCCAUCACAUUUUUUUUAUAAGUCGUUCAGAGCCACUAUCUCUUCUUAGUUUGGCGUUCAGAGCCAUUAUUCGUUUUCGUUUUGGCGUUCAGAGCCAUUGUGCAUUUUUCGUUUGGCGUUCAGAGCCGUAUCACCAUCUGUUUUUACUUUUGGUGUUUAGAGCCAUUGUUCGUUUUCCAUUUGGCGUUUAGAGCCAUUGUUCGCCUUCCAUUUGGCGUUCAGAGCCGUAAUUUCGUUUGUCAUUCAGAGCCACCGUGCAUUUUUCAUUUGGCGUUCAGAGCCAUUAUUCAUUUUCUGUUUGGCGUUCAGAGCCAUUGUUUCAUUCUGGUGUUCAAAGCCGUACUUUCAGUUUGGCGUUCAGAGCCAUUAUUCGUUUUUUGUUUUGGCGUUUAGAGCCAUUGCAUUGUUUCAUUUUGGCAUUCAGAGUCAUCGUUCGCUUUCCACUUGGUGUUCAGAGCCAUUGUUUCUUCUCAGUCUCGGUGUUCAGAGCCAUCAACAUCUUCAGUUUUGACGUUCAGAGCCACUAUUUUUUCUCAGUUUCGGCGUUUAGAGCCAUCGACAUUUUCCAUUUAGUGUUCAGAGCCAUCAUCGUCUCUCAGCUUUAGCGUUUAGAGCCACCAACGCUUUCAGUCUCGGAGUUCAAAGCCAUUUUUUAUACUCACCCAAGCAUUCGAUGCCCCCAUCUUUCUUUAGUUUGGCGUUCAGAGCCAUUUGUUCGUUCUGACGUUCAGAGUCAUUAUUCACUUUCUGUUUGACGCUCAGAGCCACCAUCUUUUCUCAUUUCCGGCAUUCAGAGCCAUCACCUCUUUCCAGUUUGGCAUUCAGAGCCACAUUUGCACUUUGGCGUUCAGAGCCGUUAGUCAUUCUCAGUUCGAUGUUCGGAGUCGUAGUCUCAUAUCCACAUCCAUAACCAUCACCAUUUUUCUUUAGUUUUGGCAUUUAGAGUCGUUUUUCGUACACAUUCAUGCAUUUUGAUUCACUAUCUUUCGUAGUUUGGCGUUCAAAGCCAUUCUUCAUGCCCAUUCAUGCAUUUUAAAGUCACCUUCUUCCUUAGUUUCGGCGUUCAGAGCUGUUUUUCAUGCCCAUUGAUGCAUUUUAAAGUCACAUUCUUUUUUAGUUUUGGCAUUCAGAGCCAUUGCACAUAUCCAUUUAAGCAUCUUGAGUCACCAUAUUCUUCAUGUUUUUGGCGUUCAAAGUCAUGCCUUCUCAUCUGUAUCAUGUAGAGUCACAAUCCUCGGUAUUCAUAUUCAUUGGAAUUGCAUGUUUUUGCCUUCAGGGGUUCAUGUUUAUCCUCAGUUUCCUCACCUGGUUACAUCGCUCUUCUAGAUUUCCCUUUCCGCUGCUCAUGACACAGCCCUUUGAGUUCACGACGCAUGUUUCGGUCAUGUCGCUUGGGCACCCUACACUUGUCAUUUUCAUAUAGUUCACUUAGGGUAGUCUCCUUCUAGCACAUUCUUCCCCGUACUUCAGAGUGGUUCGACCGUUACUCAUCCUUGAUAUGGUAUUUCGAGUCACUUCUGGAGACAUUCUUGGAGGGAGCUUGGGUCCUCAGUGUGGCUUUUGAGACAUUUUGAGACAUCCUUUUCUUUUAGGAUUAGAGUCCCUAUGUUCGUCUGUUAGUCUGAGUGAGUUCAUGUCUCACUGGUGUCUUUGUGGGGGUCUCCUUGGUUCUUCGGUAGAGUUCACUUCAUUACACUCACUAUUCACACUUGCUUUUCACUUCAGUGUUCAUAUUCCUUACACUCGUGAACUCUAUCGAAGAGGGGCAUAUUUGUAGACCCCUCUUUUGGCUUGGUUUAUAUAUAUAUAUAUAUAUAUAUAUAUCGUCUUUACAAAUGAGGACUGAGCCUCUUUAAAUAGGCAAAAAGAAAUCUUGAAUAGUAACAAUGAACAGUAGACCCGUGCUUGAAUAGUGAAUAGUGAAUAGUAAGAUUCACUUUUAUACUGAAAUCCCCCAAAAAACCCUCUUUCGGCUGAGAAGACUUCUGGCAGGCUGCUUUAUACUGUGUAGACACAUGCUUGAUGCUUUUGGUGCAGAAACUGCAAAGCUUGUAAAAUAUUCUUGAUGGAAGACAAAAGGCUAAUGAUUACUUAGAUCUUCUUAUUGGAGGAAGGAUUUAUAUAUAUAUAUAUAUUUAUCCCAUCGAUUAUGAGCCUUCCCACCACUUUUGGAGCACUCGGAGAAGGGUGUUUGGAGUGGGGGGCCUGCUCCUUGGAAGAUCAGCUGCAUGAAACACGUGGUGGAGCAGCUGACCGUGGCCAUGGUGUUAGUUGGGAUGGUGACCAACGGAGUAUCGAGGAGGAGUGAGGGUUGUCUGGGUGAAGGGGGAAGAGAAAAAGGCGUAGAAGAAUUGAGAGGAGGCCUAGGCGAAGUCGCGGAGAGCAGGGAAAGAGCUUGUUAGUUCGAUCCAGGUAUGAUUUCCGCACUAUUUUGUACAUUCUCAAGAGAUCUAUCCUGUUUCUUGAUAGUUUUUGGGUUUUAUUUGUUGGUUUGCUGUGGACAUCAAGAGCCACAAGAUGGUUUUGGGUUGAAUGUGAUUAUCUGCCCAUAUAUGCUCUGUUUUGGUCCUCUUUGCUGCUCUCGUUUUUUUUUUCCCUUGUAAAUGGCCCAUGUGCAUGGAGAAAAGUUUAACUUGUCCAAGCAAAGGCUUCAUGUUCUCAUGAUGAAUAACACGGUUACCACAUGCCUACGCCUUCUUCACUGUUCGCGUCAGCCAUACCCAUUUCCUCACUCAAGCUUGCAGGAAUCAAGCAUCCUCCACCACACCCAUUUUCCUCUCAUUCAUUCUCCAUCCCACUCCCUCACUUACAUGGAGUCUCACGAGUGCAUGCUAUCCUUCACUCCUUCACAUACCCAUUAAAACCACUCACCCAAGCCUCCAUAUCCAUACAACCCAUACCCAUCCUUCAUGCUACUCAUAACCAUGUUCUACCAUACCCAUGUGUACACCCAUUUAACCAUACCACCAAACCCGUUUCUCUCUCUAAACCUUCACCUACUUGUGGGAUCCUCCCUAAAAAAUGUCACGUGGCUCUCUCUCCCUUGCACAUGCAAACGGUCCCCUUGCGACGCGCGACAUUAGCUCAUUCCACCCGGGGAAGAAUUCUGUCCGGCCGACGUUCAACCUUCUCCGGAUAUCUCACAUCCGGAAUUCUGUCCGGCCGACAUUCCACCUUUUUCGGAUAUCUCACAUCCGAAAUUCUGUUUGCCGACGUUCCACCUUCUCCGGAUAUUUCACAUCCGGAAUUCUGUCCGGCCGACGUUCCACCUUCUCCGGAUAUCUCACAUCCGGAAUUCUGUCCGGCCGACGUUCAACCUUUUCCGGAUAUCUCACAUCCGAAAUUCUGUCCGGUCGACGUUCAAUCUUCUCCGGAUAUCUCACAUCCGGCGCCUGAAGCCGGAUGGGAGAGAAGGGCGAUUCAACUUCCCCGGUCAGACAUGUCUGGAUCCUCUGAUAACGCUUACCCGGAGAGCAUCCGCAGCCGACAAUUCAGAUUCCCCGGACAGCUUGGCUCCUCAGACACUCGUGAUUCGCCGGAUCCAUUUCCGCCCACAAUCAAAAGGCAAACUCCGAUAAUACUGACGACCAAGUCUCCUAAACUGUCACUCAUCUUUAAUGCAAGAUAGAUUGGGCUUCACGCGCGUGAUUUUAUGAUCGAUUGGUGGAUUGAUUGAUUUGAUUGCUAUAUGUGAUUGAUUUACACUAUUCUAUAAUACACACACGAUUAUUUUGUGUUUAAUUGCUAACAUUUGUUUUCAUUGAAGUAAACUAGUUCAUCACUCAGGUACAUUAUUUGCCUUUCCUGUUCAUUCAAUUAUUUUGUUUUGAGUGAUAUUCAUUCAGUAUCCAUGCUCGAUUAAUUAAUUGUCAUGAUUGCUUCAUUUUAUUAGUAAAGACCCAUCUUUAGGGACUUAAAGGGGUGCUACGGUCUUUACAGUACCUUCCCGAUAAGUAACCUGACCCCCAAACCCGAUCCGGUUUUUCGUAGACCAACCUUUUCCAAAACAAGGAGUCACACCUAAAGUUUUCUUUCUUAUUUUGUUUACCCCUUUAAAAAUAAAACAAAAAUAAGUGGCGACUCCAAAUCAAUUUCUCAAAAUAAAAAUCAAGCUCGCCAUCGAGUGGGAAGCGCAUGAGCCGAAAUGCGGGGUCUACAGUAGGUUUUAGAACAAUGGUGCACUCAAAAACACUCUCCUAAGACUCAAAUAUAUUCAAGAAAAGUUUUGGAAGGUUAAACUUAUAAACAAUGAAGAUUUGGAGUCUUUUUUAUAAAGGAAAAAAAGUCAAACUAGCCGUUAGGGGUUCAAUCGGUUGAGGUGAGAGUCAAUCGGUUGACUAGCUGUUAGCAUUUAAUGCUUGGUAGGUGACCAUUGGAUCUCGAUCGGACCUCGACCGGUUGAGGUAGGGGUCAACCGGUUUUUCAUCCGAUUGAACAACCAUUCUGGAAGAGAGAGAAUGUUUUUUGCACCUCUCGAUCGAUUGAGCUAAGGGUCGAUCGGUUACUGUUCACAUCAUUGACUGGUUGAACUGGGGGUCGACCUCCUCCUAGACCGGUUGAGUUAGGGGUCGACCGGUUGCUCAUCUGGUUCAACCGGUUGAACGUUUUUGGCUCAACAACCAACUUUUUCAAUUUAAAACCUUUUAAACAAGUUUGAAAAACAUUUGACACAAGAUUUUAGUUAAAAAAAAUGAAAUCAUUCAAUUUUAAAAUAUUUAAAAAAAAUAACUCUUUGAUGAUUUUGGUGCAAAAGUAAAGAAUAUAAUACAUAAAAAUCCUAGUGCACCAAUAACCUUACAAAGAGAUCUUACGAAACUUGGAUCUUAAAAAAAUACUUCUUUUUAGGUAUUCUUCUUGUUUAUGAUUUCUCUUUUUGAUUAUCACUUUGGAAAUUGUCUUACCUAAUCACACUUGAAAUAUAAUCAUUAGUUUUAAACUUUAUUUUGUUAUCAUCAAAACUAAGAUUAACCAAAUCUUUGUUUUACACUAUCAUGUUUAAUAUCUAUAAAAAUUUAAAAUAUAAUUUUUAGGUAUGGAAAAAUUAGGAAUGGAUGAUAAAAUGGGAAAGAGGUAGUGAGUCGAAGAGAAGAGGCAAGACAAAAGGAUUAAGCAACAGCAACAUUAAUGACACCAAACAAAGAAGAGAGUGGCAUUGCAAUUAGGUAUGGAAAGGAGCAGACGACUUUUUAACUUAGGGUGUUAUUAAUUUAAUUUUCCUUCAAGAUUUCACUCCACAAAUCAUAAAUUAAGAAUGAGAUGGUUGCAAUUUUUAAUUGUAACAUUUAUGACUAUAUCUACACCGUGAUGUAAAUAUUUGAGGACAUAGUGGAUUUUAAAAAAACGUUUUUAAUUGUAACAUUUAAAUAAUAAAUAUUUUUAAGUAUUACAAAAUUAUAAACGAUUUGUAAAUUUUUUUUUUUACUAUUAACGCUUUUAAAGAGAAUCAGGCUAAUGGCUAUAUUUUUGGCUUAAAAAUGAAAUGUAAAUUAAAGCAAAAUGGAAAUUGAAUGAGAUCGAGUGUGAAAUGUGGAGGGAGUAAGAAGAGCCUGUCAUGUCAUGCUUGCAUUUUCAAACCAAGACAAAUAUCUGCAGCCCAAGGCCUUCACACGGAUCCCCACCCAUGUAUGAAUGUACAGAAAAAGGCUUCCAUUAUUGACGUGAAUCAGUGAAAACAGCUGUAGCAAUUAACAAAGUAGAAAAAGAUGCAGACAUAUGAAACAUGAUGUGAACUGUGAAUUGUGAAUGACUACAAUACUUAUUUGAAUGAUAUGGGUUCCACAACCAAUUCAAUAUUCUUGGACGCCUUUGGUUGGAUUUUUUACGAGGGUACCAUAGUUUUAAAAAAUAUUUUUUAGUAGAAAAAUUAAUUUUAAUUUUAAAAAAUUUAAAAUGGUUAUUUUUUUAAAUCUUUUUUUCAAAGGAUGAUUUAAAAAAAAAUUAUAACCAAAAAAUCGUCUUGAAAUGAUUUUUUAAAUUUCUUUUAAAAAGAAUUAUAGGCUAAAAUCGUCUAUGGGGAGAUGAUUUUGGAAAAAAAAAUAAAAUUUAAGGGAGACAAAUACCCUGAGCCUUGGAUUCCUUUACAUGAACCAUUAUUGUGUGUACGGAAAAAGGGCUCCCACCACUAGGCUCAAUCAACGAAAGCCACCGCAGCAAUGGAUAAAAUAUAGAAAAAGACAAAUACAUAUGAAAUCAUAAUCAAUGACUUUAAAUUUAUUUAUCAUACAUGUUUUAAGAUAUAAUAUAUGUGAAUCACCCCACUUAGUUACUUAAAUUCAUUUUUGCCUUCAAGGUUUGGCCAUAUGAUCUAAUUUUAAUAUAAUGUUAUAAAAUGGGUAAAUUCCCAUACAAGCUUCAUUUAGAAAACAAACCUGUUGUCGCCUCGCGUAUCCGAUGGUCCACGUUGCUGCUAUAUGGAUGGACACGUGAUUCUCAACACACAAGGGGUUCUUGAUUCAGUGGUUGCACCUGCAAAAGGCAUCCGGACAGGGUGUCCGGACGCACCCUCCGAUGGUUUUGUUAGCCAUGGUGAGAAAGAGAUAUAUAAAUCAGUUGGCCUUUUUUAGGUAUCAAGAGGUUACCAGAAGAUCCCCCUUUUCUUCUUCGUGCGAAGGUAUAUAUAUCCAGCUUCAGGGGUACUGUUCCUCUCAUUAAUGGUGAGGAGAUCUUUUCUGUUGUGAUGAUGACAAUAGGUAUUAGUAGGAGCACUAUCAUCCUAUGAAUGGCUGUCAGAGACUAUGGUAGGUGAUGCGGCCGUCAGAGAUCGUGGGAAGCGAUUAUGCAGAAUGAUCGUGGGAAGUGACUUGCUGUCACUUCCUCUUGUCUUCUCAUUCUGCAGGUGAUGGGAUGUGGGCCAUGGCUGCUUGUUGUGAUUGCGUGUAAGACUCGCUUUACUUUAAUUGACCAUCCAGAAGAUUUAUAUCCGGAUGGCUCAUGCUCACUAUCCGGAUGUGUUGUGGANNNNNNNNNNNNNNNNNNNNNNNNNNNNNNNNNNNNNNNNNNNNNNNNNNNNNNNNNNNNNNNNNNNNNNNNNNNNNNNNNNNNNNNNNNNNNNNNNNNNNNNNNNNNNNNNNNNNNNNNNNNNNNNNNNNNNNNNNNNNNNNNNNNNNNNNNNNNNNNNNNNNNNNNNNNNNNNNNNNNNNNNNNNNNNNNNNNNNNNNNNNNNNNNNNNNNNNNNNNNNNNNNNNNNNNNNNNNNNNNNNNNNNNNNNNNNNNNNNNNNNNNNNNNNNNNNNNNNNNNNNNNNNNNNNNNNNNNNNNNNNNNNNNNNNNNNNNNNNNNNNNNNNNNNNNNNNNNNNNNNNNNNNNNNNNNNNNNNNNNNNNNNNNNNNNNNNNNNNNNNNNNNNNNNNNNNNNNNNNNNNNNNNNNNNNNNNNNNNNNNNNNNNNNNNNNNNNNNNNNNNNNNNNNNNNNNNNNNNNNNNNNNNNNNNNNNNNNNNNNNNNNNNNNNNNNNNNNNNNNNNNNNNNNNNNNNNNNNNNNNNNNNNNCAUGGCUGCUUGUUGUGAUUGCGUGUAAGACUCGCUUUACUUAAUUGACCAUCCAGAAGAUUAUAUCCGGAUGGCUCAUGCUUACUAUCCGGAUGUGUUGUGGAGACUAUCCGGAUGUGUACGCUCUGCCAGCGUCGUUUGCUCUUCCUUGGAUAGGAGAAGAUGAAACGUCGUUUGCCUUUCCUUGAGGCGGUCCGGAUAGGAUGUCUACACCAUGCAUAUCCUUAGGGGAAUCCGGGUAAUGAUGGUCCGGAUGAUAACACGUGCCACGUGUCACUAUGAGCUGCGUGCCACGUGUUUCCCAAGGGGAGGGGUCCCUACAUUGCCCCCCUUUUUAACUUGCCUAUUUUGCCCAAAAAUGGGCGGGUUAAAAAUAACUGGCUUUUGAAAACUGAAGAAGUCCCUUCGUCUGACUGGGCCACGUGGCGAGUGGGGGUGCGGAAGCCAAAAAGGCUUUUAUGACGAGCCGCCGACCCUGCGUAUCCCCAGACAAUAUGUCGUUUCAAUGAUAAUAUGGCUGUUGGUUUGGCUUUCCGAGGGGCUGUCCUGCUAUAAAUAGGGUACUGUACCUCUUUUUGUAUUUUUUCCUACUGCAUUCUCUUGAGAGUCUUUCUUCUUACUGCUUUUUCUACGCCCUUUGCUUUUCUGAGAGAAAAAAACUCCGAAAGCUCUUUUGUACCAGUGCUUUUGUAUCGCGACUUUGUUGGUUUGCUGCUGGUGAUUUUGUAUCGAGGCGGUACCCGUUCUUCUUCUUCGGUGCUGUAUUUGGUACGUAUCUCUUUGCUACUGCCGUUCCUUUGGUUGCGUUUGCUGGUUCUUUACACUUGCUUUCUGGCUUGCUUGGGCAUUGUUUUGGACGAGUCGUUUGCAAUUGUUGUUGAAUGUUGGUACUUUGUUGUUGUUUGGAGGGGUUUUUGAGGGGUUUUUCUGACGGCUUUGAGUUAGGGUUUGUGGAUUUUCUGAUUGCUUGGUCUGAACCGUUUGCAUUGUUUUUGCGUGUAGAUUUUGCUUUGGCUUUGUGGUAAGGAAUGGCUCCAAAAAAGACUGUUUCGUCUGUCCGGGUCAGCGAGGCUAGCGAAAAGGCGAUAGACAAAUUAAAUGCNNNNNNNNNNNNNNNNNNNNNNNNNNNNNNNNNNNNNNNNNNNNNNNNNNNNNNNNNNNNNNNNNNNNNNNNNNNNNNNNNNNNNNNNNNNNNNNNNNNNNNNNNNNNNNNNNNNNNNNNNNNNNNNNNNNNNNNNNNNNNNNNNNNNNNNNNNNNNNNNNNNNNNNNNNNNNNNNNNNNNNNNNNNNNNNNNNNNNNNNNNNNNNNNNNNNNNNNNNNNNNNNNNNNNNNNNNNNNNNNNNNNNNNNNNNNNNNNNNNNNNNNNNNNNNNNNNNNNNNNNNNNNNNNNNNNNNNNNNNNNNNNNNNNNNNNNNNNNNNNNNNNNNNNNNNNNNNNNNNNNNNNNNNNNNNNNNNNNNNNNNNNNNNNNNNNNNNNNNNNNNNNNNNNNNNNNNNNNNNNNNNNNNNNNNNNNNNNNNNNNNNNNNNNNNNNNNNNNNNNNNNNNNNNNNNNNNNNNNNNNNNNNNNNNNNNNNNNNNNNNNNNNNNNNNNNNNNNNNNNNNNNNNNNNNNNNNNNNNNNNNNNNNNNNNNNNNNNNNNNNNNNNNNNNNNNNNNNNNNNNNNNNNNNNNNNNNNNNNNNNNNNNNNNNNNNNNNNNNNNNNNNNNNNNNNNNNNNNNNNNNNNNNNNNNNNNNNNNNNNNNNNNNNNNNNNNNNNNNNNNNNNNNNNNNNNNNNNNNNNNNNNNNNNNNNNNNNNNNNNNNNNNNNNNNNNNNNNNNNNNNNNNNNNNNNNNNNNNNNNNNNNNNNNNNNNNNNNNNNNNNNNNNNNNNNNNNNNNNNNNNNNNNNNNNNNNNNNNNNNNNNNNNNNNNNNNNNNNNNNNNNNNNNNNNNNNNNNNNNNNNNNNNNNNNNNNNNNNNNNNNNNNNNNNNNNNNNNNNNNNNNNNNNNNNNNNNNNNNNNNNNNNNNNNNNNNNNNNNNNNNNNNNNNNNNNNNNNNNNNNNNNNNNNNNNNNNNNNNNNNNNNNNNNNNNNNNNNNNNNNNNNNNNNNNNNNNNNNNNNNNNNNNNNNNNNNNNNNNNNNNNNNNNNNNNNNNNNNNNNNNNNNNNNNNNNNNNNNNNNNNNNNNNNNNNNNNNNNNNNNNNNNNNNNNNNNNNNNNNNNNNNNNNNNNNNNNNNNNNNNNNNNNNNNNNNNNNNNNNNNNNNNNNNNNNNNNNNNNNNNNNNNNNNNNNNNNNNNNNNNNNNNNNNNNNNNNNNNNNNNNNNNNNNNNNNNNNNNNNNNNNNNNNNNNNNNNNNNNNNNNNNNNNNNNNNNNNNNNNNNNNNNNNNNNNNNNNNNNNNNNNNNNNNNNNNNNNNNNNNNNNNNNNNNNNNNNNNNNNNNNNNNNNNNNNNNNNNNNNNNNNNNNNNNNNNNNNNNNNNNNNNNNNNNNNNNNNNNNNNNNNNNNNNNNNNNNNNNNNNNNNNNNNNNNNNNNNNNNNNNNNNNNNNNNNNNNNNNNNNNNNNNNNNNNNNNNNNNNNNNNNNNNNNNNNNNNNNNNNNNNNNNNNNNNNNNNNNNNNNNNNNNNNNNNNNNNNNNNNNNNNNNNNNNNNNNNNNNNNNNNNNNNNNNNNNNNNNNNNNNNNNNNNNNNNNNNNNNNNNNNNNNNNNNNNNNNNNNNNNNNNNNNNNNNNNNNNNNNNNNNNNNNNNNNNNNNNNNNNNNNNNNNNNNNNNNNNNNNNNNNNNNNNNNNNNNNNNNNNNNNNNNNNNNNNNNNNNNNNNNNNNNNNNNNNNNNNNNNNNNNNNNNNNNNNNNNNNNNNNNNNNNNNNNNNNNNNNNNNNNNNNNNNNNNNNNNNNNNNNNNNNNNNNNNNNNNNNNNNNNNNNNNNNNNNNNNNNNNNNNNNNNNNNNNNNNNNNNNNNNNNNNNNNNNNNNNNNNNNNNNNNNNNNNNNNNNNNNNNNNNNNNNNNNNNNNNNNNNNNNNNNNNNNNNNNNNNNNNNNNNNNNNNNNNNNNNNNNNNNNNNNNNNNNNNNNNNNNNNNNNNNNNNNNNNNNNNNNNNNNNNNNNNNNNNNNNNNNNNNNNNNNNNNNNNNNNNNNNNNNNNNNNNNNNNNNNNNNNNNNNNNNNNNNNNNNNNNNNNNNNNNNNNNNNNNNNNNNNNNNNNNNNNNNNNNNNNNNNNNNNNNNNNNNNNNNNNNNNNNNNNNNNNNNNNNNNNNNNNNNNNNNNNNNNNNNNNNNNNNNNNNNNNNNNNNNNNNNNNNNNNNNNNNNNNNNNNNNNNNNNNNNNNNNNNNNNNNNNNNNNNNNNNNNNNNNNNNNNNNNNNNNNNNNNNNNNNNNNNNNNNNNNNNNNNNNNNNNNNNNNNNNNNNNNNNNNNNNNNNNNNNNNNNNNNNNNNNNNNNNNNNNNNNNNNNNNNNNNNNNNNNNNNNNNNNNNNNNNNNNNNNNNNNNNNNNNNNNNNNNNNNNNNNNNNNNNNNNNNNNNNNNNNNNNNNNNNNNNNNNNNNNNNNNNNNNNNNNNNNNNNNNNNNNNNNNNNNNNNNNNNNNNNNNNNNNNNNNNNNNNNNNNNNNNNNNNNNNNNNNNNNNNNNNNNNNNNNNNNNNNNNNNNNNNNNNNNNNNNNNNNNNNNNNNNNNNNNNNNNNNNNNNNNNNNNNNNNNNNNNNNNNNNNNNNNNNNNNNNNNNNNNNNNNNNNNNNNNNNNNNNNNNNNNNNNNNNNNNNNNNNNNNNNNNNNNNNNNNNNNNNNNNNNNNNNNNNNNNNNNNNNNNNNNNNNNNNNNNNNNNNNNNNNNNNNNNNNNNNNNNNNNNNNNNNNNNNNNNNNNNNNNNNNNNNNNNNNNNNNNNNNNNNNNNNNNNNNNNNNNNNNNNNNNNNNNNNNNNNNNNNNNNNNNNNNNNNNNNNNNNNNNNNNNNNNNNNNNNNNNNNNNNNNNNNNNNNNNNNNNNNNNNNNNNNNNNNNNNNNNNNNNNNNNNNNNNNNNNNNNNNNNNNNNNNNNNNNNNNNNNNNNNNNNNNNNNNNNNNNNNNNNNNNNNNNNNNNNNNNNNNNNNNNNNNNNNNNNNNNNNNNNNNNNNNNNNNNNNNNNNNNNNNNNNNNNNNNNNNNGAAGUAAUGAUAGAGGAGCCAGUAAAUGCUGCUCCGCACUCUAUCUCAAGCGGCCCCGGGCGCAUGUCGGGGUUGAAUCACUCAGGUCCCUCCUUAGUCGCGGCUGCGCGUCUAGCCAACGUGGCUGAGGAAGCUGCAUCUAUCAACCAUCCGGGCAACCUCAAUCCGGAUGCAGCUGAAACGGCCCCGUUGGAGGAAGCGGGGGCAGAAAGCCAAAGUCAGCCUUCCGACGACUCGGAUCGCCUGGCUAUAGUCCUGGUGAAAGGGCCUCCCCUCAAGAAGCCGCGUUUGACGCGCGAUCUACAGUCCGGACUCUUUGAGCGGCUUCAAGAGCGGCAGCAAGAGAUUGAAAUUAGCUGCGCUUCUGCUCAUGACGCUCAUCCGGAUGGAGGCGAGGUGGAGAUGGCUACUGAGACCUCAGCCGUUCCGGCAAUAAUUCCGGCUGAGGAUGCAUCCGGACCUAUGUGCCCGAACGAAAAUAUGGGGGCUCCGAUUCCGGGACACGAGCUACCCUCUCCUUCCUCAUCCGAGGAGGAAUCUGCUGAUGAUGCCGCUCCCGCUAGCCCUUUCAGUUACGCGGAGUUGGAAGCUAAGUUAAAGCAGAUUACUCCUGAUUGGAAAGCCAUCAAGCCCUCUGCUAAGAUGUUUGAUAUGAUAGAAACGGUACGCCGCUGUCUUGUGUUUUUGCUUUUUGACUUUUUGUUGCACUGAUGUGUAUGUUGUAGUAUGAUUUAUGUUUUUGCUUUUCUUGUUUGUGUGUUAGCUGGUGAGGGGCCUCCGCAGCAUGUCUCAACAACACGCUCUUUUUACUCAGCUGCUGCAGACCGCAGACUAUAUGAAGACCUUCUCCUCUCGGCACCAAGAGAUUGAAAAUCAACUGCGUCUGAGAAUGGAGGAGGCUGAGGCCAGUCUAUCCACCAUGCGAGAGGAAAAUGAAGCCCUCCGGGUGGAGUUGGCUGAGGCAAAGGGUCAAGAAGAAUCAACUGCGGGCCGCCUUCAUGAGGCGGAGGGUGAGGCAGCCCGGCUAAGGGAUGAAUUGAGUCGACUCCGGACAGAAGUUUUGAAUGAAAAGAAGCAGAAGGAAGACUUGCAGCUGCGUCUGGAUGUGCAAAAAGAGGAACUUGAACGGGAGUUUGCUGUGGAAAGGGAGGAACUUGCAGCGGAUUACCAGAGACAAGUGGAUGAUACAUUUAUCUUUGGGUAUCGCUGCUGCANNNNNNNNNNNNNNNNNNNNNNNNNNNNNNNNNNNNNNNNNNNNNNNNNNNNNNNNNNNNNNNNNNNNNNNNNNNNNNNNNNNNNNNNNNNNNNNNNNNNNNNNNNNNNNNNNNNNNNNNNNNNNNNNNNNNNNNNNNNNNNNNNNNNNNNNNNNNNNNNNNNNNNNNNNNNNNNNNNNNNNNNNNNNNNNNNNNNNNNNNNNNNNNNNNNNNNNNNNNNNNNNNNNNNNNNNNNNNNNNNNNNNNNNNNNNNNNNNNNNNNNNNNNNNNNNNNNNNNNNNNNNNNNNNNNNNNNNNNNNNNNNNNNNNNNNNNNNNNNNNNNNNNNNNNNNNNNNNNNNNNNNNNNNNNNNNNNNNNNNNNNNNNNNNNNNNNNNNNNNNNNNNNNNNNNNNNNNNNNNNNNNNNNNNNNNNNNNNNNNNNNNNNNNNNNNNNNNNNNNNNNNNNNNNNNNNNNNNNNNNNNNNNNNNNNNNNNNNNNNNNNNNNNNNNNNNNNNNNNNNNNNNNNNNNNNNNNNNNNNNNNNNNNNNNNNNNNNNNNNNNNNNNNNNNNNNNNNNNNNNNNNNNNNNNNNNNNNNNNNNNNNNNNNNNNNNNNNNNNNNNNNNNNNNNNNNNNNNNNNNNNNNNNNNNNNNNNNNNNNNNNNNNNNNNNNNNNNNNNNNNNNNNNNNNNNNNNNNNNNNNNNNNNNNNNNNNNNNNNNNNNNNNNNNNNNNNNNNNNNNNNNNNNNNNNNNNNNNNNNNNNNNNNNNNNNNNNNNNNNNNNNNNNNNNNNNNNNNNNNNNNNNNNNNNNNNNNNNNNNNNNNNNNNNNNNNNNNNNNNNNNNNNNNNNNNNNNNNNNNNNNNNNNNNNNNNNNNNNNNNNNNNNNNNNNNNNNNNNNNNNNNNNNNNNNNNNNNNNNNNNNNNNNNNNNNNNNNNNNNNNNNNNNNNNNNNNNNNNNNNNNNNNNNNNNNNNNNNNNNNNNNNNNNNNNNNNNNNNNNNNNNNNNNNNNNNNNNNNNNNNNNNNNNNNNNNNNNNNNNNNNNNNNNNNNNNNNNNNNNNNNNNNNNNNNNNNNNNNNNNNNNNNNNNNNNNNNNNNNNNNNNNNNNNNNNNNNNNNNNNNNNNNNNNNNNNNNNNNNNNNNNNNNNNNNNNNNNNNNNNNNNNNNNNNNNNNNNNNNNNNNNNNNNNNNNNNNNNNNNNNNNNNNNNNNNNNNNNNNNNNNNNNNNNNNNNNNNNNNNNNNNNNNNNNNNNNNNNNNNNNNNNNNNNNNNNNNNNNNNNNNNNNNNNNNNNNNNNNNNNNNNNNNNNNNNNNNNNNNNNNNNNNNNNNNNNNNNNNNNNNNNNNNNNNNNNNNNNNNNNNNNNNNNNNNNNNNNNNNNNNNNNNNNNNNNNNNNNNNNNNNNNNNNNNNNNNNNNNNNNNNNNNNNNNNNNNNNNNNNNNNNNNNNNNNNNNNNNNNNNNNNNNNNNNNNNNNNNNNNNNNNNNNNNNNNNNNNNNNNNNNNNNNNNNNNNNNNNNNNNNNNNNNNNNNNNNNNNNNNNNNNNNNNNNNNNNNNNNNNNNNNNNNNNNNNNNNNNNNNNNNNNNNNNNNNNNNNNNNNNNNNNNNNNNNNNNNNNNNNNNNNNNNNNNNNNNNNNNNNNNNNNNNNNNNNNNNNNNNNNNNNNNNNNNNNNNNNNNNNNNNNNNNNNNNNNNNNNNNNNNNNNNNNNNNNNNNNNNNNNNNNNNNNNNNNNNNNNNNNNNNNNNNNNNNNNNNNNNNNNNNNNNNNNNNNNNNNNNNNNNNNNNNNNNNNNNNNNNNNNNNNNNNNNNNNNNNNNNNNNNNNNNNNNNNNNNNNNNNNNNNNNNNNNNNNNNNNNNNNNNNNNNNNNNNNNNNNNNNNNNNNNNNNNNNNNNNNNNNNNNNNNNNNNNNNNNNNNNNNNNNNNNNNNNNNNNNNNNNNNNNNNNNNNNNNNNNNNNNNNNNNNNNNNNNNNNNNNNNNNNNNNNNNNNNNNNNNNNNNNNNNNNNNNNNNNNNNNNNNNNNNNNNNNNNNNNNNNNNNNNNNNNNNNNNNNNNNNNNNNNNNNNNNNNNNNNNNNNNNNNNNNNNNNNNNNNNNNNNNNNNNNNNNNNNNNNNNNNNNNNNNNNNNNNNNNNNNNNNNNNNNNNNNNNNNNNNNNNNNNNNNNNNNNNNNNNNNNNNNNNNNNNNNNNNNNNNNNNNNNNNNNNNNNNNNNNNNNNNNNNNNNNNNNNNNNNNNNNNNNNNNNNNNNNNNNNNNNNNNNNNNNNNNNNNNNNNNNNNNNNNNNNNNNNNNNNNNNNNNNNNNNNNNNNNNNNNNNNNNNNNNNNNNNNNNNNNNNNNNNNNNNNNNNNNNNNNNNNNNNNNNNNNNNNNNNNNNNNNNNNNNNNNNNNNNNNNNNNNNNNNNNNNNNNNNNNNNNNNNNNNNNNNNNNNNNNNNNNNNNNNNNNNNNNNNNNNNNNNNNNNNNNNNNNNNNNNNNNNNNNNNNNNNNNNNNNNNNNNNNNNNNNNNNNNNNNNNNNNNNNNNNNNNNNNNNNNNNNNNNNNNNNNNNNNNNNNNNNNNNNNNNNNNNNNNNNNNNNNNNNNNNNNNNNNNNNNNNNNNNNNNNNNNNNNNNNNNNNNNNNNNNNNNNNNNNNNNNNNNNNNNNNNNNNNNNNNNNNNNNNNNNNNNNNNNNNNNNNNNNNNNNNNNNNNNNNNNNNNNNNNNNNNNNNNNNNNNNNNNNNNNNNNNNNNNNNNNNNNNNNNNNNNNNNNNNNNNNNNNNNNNNNNNNNNNNNNNNNNNNNNNNNNNNNNNNNNNNNNNNNNNNNNNNNNNNNNNNNNNNNNNNNNNNNNNNNNNNNNNNNNNNNNNNNNNNNNNNNNNNNNNNNNNNNNNNNNNNNNNNNNNNNNNNNNNNNNNNNNNNNNNNNNNNNNNNNNNNNNNNNNNNNNNNNNNNNNNNNNNNNNNNNNNNNNNNNNNNNNNNNNNNNNNNNNNNNNNNNNNNNNNNNNNNNNNNNNNNNNNNNNNNNNNNNNNNNNNNNNNNNNNNNNNNNNNNNNNNNNNNNNNNNNNNNNNNNNNNNNNNNNNNNNNNNNNNNNNNNNNNNNNNNNNNNNNNNNNNNNNNNNNNNNNNNNNNNNNNNNNNNNNNNNNNNNNNNNNNNNNNNNNNNNNNNNNNNNNNNNNNNNNNNNNNNNNNNNNNNNNNNNNNNNNNNNNNNNNNNNNNNNNNNNNNNNNNNNNNNNNNNNNNNNNNNNNNNNNNNNNNNNNNNNNNNNNNNNNNNNNNNNNNNNNNNNNNNNNNNNNNNNNNNNNNNNNNNNNNNNNNNNNNNNNNNNNNNNNNNNNNNNNNNNNNNNNNNNNNNNNNNNNNNNNNNNNNNNNNNNNNNNNNNNNNNNNNNNNNNNNNNNNNNNNNNNNNNNNNNNNNNNNNNNNNNNNNNNNNNNNNNNNNNNNNNNNNNNNNNNNNNNNNNNNNNNNNNNNNNNNNNNNNNNNNNNNNNNNNNNNNNNNNNNNNNNNNNNNNNNNNNNNNNNNNNNNNNNNNNNNNNNNNNNNNNNNNNNNNNNNNNNNNNNNNNNNNNNNNNNNNNNNNNNNNNNNNNNNNNNNNNNNNNNNNNNNNNNNNNNNNNNNNNNNNNNNNNNNNNNNNNNNNNNNNNNNNNNNNNNNNNNNNNNNNNNNNNNNNNNNNNNNNNNNNNNNNNNNNNNNNNNNNNNNNNNNNNNNNNNNNNNNNNNNNNNNNNNNNNNNNNNNNNNNNNNNNNNNNNNNNNNNNNNNNNNNNNNNNNNNNNNNNNNNNNNNNNNNNNNNNNNNNNNNNNNNNNNNNNNNNNNNNNNNNNNNNNNNNNNNNNNNNNNNNNNNNNNNNNNNNNNNNNNNNNNNNNNNNNNNNNNNNNNNNNNNNNNNNNNNNNNNNNNNNNNNNNNNNNNNNNNNNNNNNNNNNNNNNNNNNNNNNNNNNNNNNNNNNNNNNNNNNNNNNNNNNNNNNNNNNNNNNNNNNNNNNNNNNNNNNNNNNNNNNNNNNNNNNNNNNNNNNNNNNNNNNNNNNNNNNNNNNNNNNNNNNNNNNNNNNNNNNNNNNNNNNNNNNNNNNNNNNNNNNNNNNNNNNNNNNNNNNNNNNNNNNNNNNNNNNNNNNNNNNNNNNNNNNNNNNNNNNNNNNNNNNNNNNNNNNNNNNNNNNNNNNNNNNNNNNNNNNNNNNNNNNNNNNNNNNNNNNNNNNNNNNNNNNNNNNNNNNNNNNNNNNNNNNNNNNNNNNNNNNNNNNNNNNNNNNNNNNNNNNNNNNNNNNNNNNNNNNNNNNNNNNNNNNNNNNNNNNNNNNNNNNNNNNNNNNNNNNNNNNNNNNNNNNNNNNNNNNNNNNNNNNNNNNNNNNNNNNNNNNNNNNNNNNNNNNNNNNNNNNNNNNNNNNNNNNNNNNNNNNNNNNNNNNNNNNNNNNNNNNNNNNNNNNNNNNNNNNNNNNNNNNNNNNNNNNNNNNNNNNNNNNNNNNNNNNNNNNNNNNNNNNNNNNNNNNNNNNNNNNNNNNNNNNNNNNNNNNNNNNNNNNNNNAUAUAAAUCAGUUGGCCUUUUUUAGGUAUCAAGAGGUUACCAGAAGAUCCCCCUUUUCUUCUUCGUGCGAAGGUAUAUAUAUCCAGCUUCAGGGGUACUGUUCCUCUCAUUAAUGGUGAGGAGAUCUUUUCUGUUGUGAUGAUGACAAUAGGUAUUAGUAGGAGCACUAUCAUCCUAUGAAUGGCUGUCAGAGACUAUGGUAGGUGAUGCGGCCGUCAGAGAUCGUGGGAAGCGAUUAUGCAGAAUGAUCGUGGGAAGUGACUUGCUGUCACUUCCUCUUGUCUUCUCAUUCUGCAGGUGAUGGGAUGUGGGCCAUGGCUGCUUGUUGUGAUUGCGUGUAAGACUCGCUUUACUUUAAUUGACCAUCCAGAAGAUUUAUAUCCGGAUGGCUCAUGCUCACUAUCCGGAUGUGUUGUGGAGACUAUCCGGAUGUGUACGCUCUGCCAGCGUCGUUUGCUCUUCCUUGGAUAGGAGAAGAUGAAACGUCGUUUGCCUUUCCUUGAGGCGGUCCGGAUAGGAUGUCUACACCAUGCAUAUCCUUAGGGGAAUCCGGGUAAUGAUGGUCCGGCUGAUAACACGUGCCACGUGUCACUAUGAGCUGCGUGCCACGUGUUUCCCAAGGGGAGGGGUCCCUACAAAACCUACAAAAACAAUUAUUAUUUUUAUAAAUAUUUUAAGAUAUUAAUAAUAAUAACAUAAAAUAAUAAUAAGUCUUAUAUUAUGUAUGUUAAAGAAAUAAAAAUUAGAGUGAACAACAUCUCAUAUUAAUUUUAAUUUUUCUUUUAAAAUAAAAAUAUCUGAUAUUAAAAAUAUAUGAAAACUCUUUUAAUUUAUUUCUCUUUUUUCAAAGUUUUGAUAUCAAAAAUUUUAAAUUUGAUAGCAACAAAUUACCAACUUUUUUCCAUCUUCUUAAAUGGCAUGGCGAUUGAAUAAAAAAUAUUUUCAGAUUUUUUUUUUCAUUUAUUCCUCCAAUAACAACUAAAUGUAUUUAAAAAAAUUGAGGUAAAAAAUUUAUGAAAAUGAAUUUAAAGAUAUGAAACAAAUUUAUACUUUUUUGUACAUGAUAUUUUAAAUUUAUGUAAAAUUUUAUGAUUUAAAAAAUUUAAAAAUAAAACAUGUAUCCAACCAAAAAUUAAGGCCUCAUUUAAAAUUAAUUAUAAUUUCAUUUAUUUUUAUACGAAAGAUUAAAAUAAAUUUAAAAUAACAUAAACAAAUAAUUUAUUCAUUUCAAAUUUUUUUUAUUUUUUUUCUUUCUAAUUUUCUUAUCCUAAUAUGUGGGUUUUCUUAAAAGCACAUUCAAUAAUAAUGUUUAUUGAGUCAAAAAUUUUAGAAACACGUCUGGAAAUCGGUUAUAAGUAGGUGAAAAUUAUUGAAAGAUUUAUUUCCACAUCCGAAGUGAUUUCUGCCUUUUUAGUAGCUUUGGUGCUUUUGGAUCUAAUUAUAUCACCAAUAAGCUAUUGGGAAAUUUAAAUAAAAUUAGAUGAGUGAAAUUUGAAUAUAAAGUGUUAAGCACAAGUUGGAGGUUUUUUCUCCCGUCCAGAGACCUUUGCAAUUAAUUGAGUGGAAAAUUAAAAAAUUAGAUGAUUCAUCCUUGAUUGUCUUAAUUAAGCAUAAGGUAAUUGAACAUAGAAAACUAAAAAGUUGCAAUUUAUUUGUGGUUGAUAUGUCUGUUUAGAAACUUUUCAGCUAACUAAUAUUUCUACAUUUACAUCUGCAUUGUUUGUGUAUAAGUUAUUUUUAUAUGGUAUUUUAAGUUCAUUCAGUUAAUUUUAACUCUUUAAUAUAAAAAUUAAAUAAUUUUAAAAUAUAUAAAUUUUUAAUUAAUUUUAAUUAUAUUUUAUUAUUAUUGAUACCAAAAUAAUUUUUGAACUAAAUAUAACUUAAGUUUUGGUGUUUACAUUAUCUCCACAAUUCAGAAGGGAGCCAAUUAUUGAAGUGGGAGGCUUUAGUACUUCUUGAAAUUAGUUUGCUUUUAGUUAUAUGUCCUUUUUUUUUCGAUAUAUAUCCUAUAUACUUAAAAGCUAAAUUUUGUUUUGAUCAUUAUAUGUAUUUGCAAGAGCACUUUCAAGAGUACUAUAUACAUUGUUGUUUUGCCCGACAUAAAAGUGACCUUCCUACCAGCAAUUGAUAAGUCUAAUCACAAGCUUGUUGCCAAAGAGACACGGGAGUGUCUUAUUAUAUGAUCCAGCACCUAGUUGAAAGAGAAGUCCAACUCCAUACUUUGGUCAUAUGAGAUGCAGGGGAGGCAGAAACUACCAUUGUAGGGGUAUUUUUGGGGUAAAACUGGUAUUGAUGCAGUGAAAAUUCUUAUACUAACUAUAUACCAUAUGCCAUUGAGUUGAGAAGUUUAAAGAAAAUAAAACUUUAAAGAAUAUUUGCCAUGAGAAGUUUCGUAACCUCAAACAAUAGUGAAAGAUUAUAUAAUAGAGUUUGAUCAUCUUAUAGUAAAAUGUGAUCUUGUUGUACAAGAAGAGGACACUAUAGCUCGUUAUCUUAGGGGGUUAAGACUGGAAGUUGGCAACAUGGUGCAACUGUAACCUUAUUGGACUUAUGAUGUUUGUAGAUUUGCCCUUAGAGUGGAAAAACAACAAAAGGAAGAAUGUAGGAAAAAUUGGUGAUUCUUAGUGCAAGAUAACUCUUCUAACAAUGGGAAUGUUUCCAUUUCUAAAACUAGCUCAGUUGCAAAGUCCAUUCCUUGAAUCUCAUCAAAAGAUAAUAGUAGGGUUGGUUUUAAACAACAACCAUACCUCUCCAAUACCAAUUCUUAUCAAUGCUUCAAGUAUCAAGGGUACAAGCAUAUUGCUUCUAAAUGCCCCAGUUGUAAAAUUAUCGUACUAAUUGAGGAAGAAAGUGAUAAAGAGAGUGAAGAAGAUGUCUAAGGUAACUUUGAAACCCCAACAACAAAAGAAGUCAUACCAGAUCAAGGAGAAUAUCUUGUAGUUCAAAGAAGUUUAAGGAGGUGUUUAUUUUUUAUUUUUUCUUAAAUCUAAAUAGAAGUUAAUUUAACUUAAUUUUAAAUGCAAUUUAAUAGUAUUAAGUAUUAAGUUAUUUGUUUUUUCACAAUGAGAGUAGGGUGUGAGGGUUGGGGGUUAGAAGUGUGAAUCAACUAACUUUUUAGAUUAACAAAAAAGCCACAUAUUUUAGCUUUUUAUAUUUAAUUAAAAAUAAUGGUAAAAACAUUAAAAGUUAGAAAAAGAAAAUUAAAAAAAGAAACAACUAGUCUAAAAGUAAAUUGCAUUCAACAUUAAGUUUAAAAAAAAAAACAUCAUCUAAGUGUUCUCCUAGAAGAAGGAACAAAUUGGCUAUGGAAAAAUAUGUUUUUUUUUACACUAAGUGCACUUCCAAGGACAAGGUCUAUAAUGUCAUCAUUGAUAGAGGCAACUUUGAGAAUUUGGUGUCUAUUGAAAUGGUGGAGAAAUUAGGCUAUAAAAUGGAAAUGAUUGAAAGAAAAAAAAAAAAAAAAGAGUAACUGAAACAAAGAACCGUGUUCUUCAAGAAAUGGCCUGUGUAAUGAUCCACAUUCAUGACAAUCUUGCUUACUUUUGGGCUGAGCCAUUGGCAUUGCUUGUUACAGUGUCAAUAGUCUUUCAUAUGAAUUAUGGUAAGGAAAGAAGCCUAAUUUGAAAUAUUUCAAGAUCUUUGGUAGUAGAUGUUAUAUUCUUAAGGAUGGGAAAAAACUAGGAAAAUUUGAUUCUAAAUUUGAUUUAGGUAUUUUCCUAGGUUAUUCUACCAUAAGUAAAGCCUAUAAGGUUUAUAAUUUGAAUGCCAAAAUGAUCUAGAAAUCAUAUAAUGUGGUUAUUGAUGACUCUGGGUCCAUUCGAGAAAAAAAUAAUUCAUAUAUUGCCCAGGGUUCUACUAGAGAUGUUCUUGAAGUUAUCCAUGAGAUAAUGGAUGAUACUAGAGAUAUUCUUAAGAUCAUCCCUGAAAAGGUGGUUGAUCCCAAAAGUGACAUGAAGGUAGAUGAAGAUAUAUGAAAUAGUAAAGUGGGAAAUAGGAAUAAAUCCAAGGUACCUAAAAAUCACCUUAUCUUUUGUGUCAUUGAAACCAAGAAAGGUUCCAUGGUAAUAAGGAGACAAUUAAGACUUAACGAGAUAGGUUUCAUUUGCUACACCUCCGAAUUAGAACCUAAGAACAUUGAGAAAGCUCUCAAAUAUGAAUCUUAGGCUACCAUACUAUAGGAAGAACUAAACUCGUUUGUUAGGAAUGAAGUGUGGUUUUUAGUACCUAGGCCUAAAGACAAACAUGUGAUAGGUACCAAAUGAAUUUUCAAGAACAGCCAAGAUGAAAAUGGGAUAAUAGUGAGGAACAAGACUAGACUUGUGGCAUAGGAUAUUCCCAAAUUAAGGGAAUUGAUUAUGAGGAAACCUUUGCUCUUAUAGCUAGGUUAAAGUCCAUUAGAUUUUUCUUUGUUAUAGCAUGCUCAUUAAGGAGAAAGUUAUACCAAAUAUAUGUAAAGAGUGCCUUUUUGAAUUAAAUCCUUAGGGAAGAAGUAUACGUAGAGCAACCUAAGGGCUUUAAAGAUCCUAAAUUUCUCAAUGAUGUGUAUAGACUAAAGAAAACCCUCCAUGGACUUAAGUGAGCUCUUAGAGCUUAGUAUAAGAGACUUACUACUUACCUCUUGAAAUAUGGUUUUGAGAGAGAGGAGUUUAUAGGACUUUAUUCAUCCAUAAGACUAAUACUAGACUCCUAAUGGCACAAUUUAUGUUGAUGAUAUUAUUUUAGAGUCACUUUAAAUAAACAUGCCUUUGGUUUUACUAAGGAGAUGAAAAAGAAAUUCGAAAUGAGCAUGAUAGGUGAACUCAUUUUUUUCGUUGGCUUGUCAAUUAGAGAACUUAAGAGUGCUUCUUUCUUUCUUACUCUAAAUAUGCAAGGGAGUUAUUAAAAAAGUUUGGUUCUAAGUCGGCUAAGCACUUUAGGACACCUAUGAGCACUAUCAUAAAGCUUUACAAUGAUAAAUAUGAUAAAUAUGUUGAGUAAAAUCUUUGUAGGAGUAUGAUAUGAAGUCUUUUGUACCUCACUACAAGUCAUCCUAAUAUUUCUUUUAGUGUGGGAGUGUGUGCGAGAUACUGGGCUAAUCCCAAAGAGUUAUAUUUAAAAUUAGUAAAAAGAAUAAUCAAAUAUGUGAAUGAGACUUUAGAUUAUAGCUUGUGGUAUCCUUUUGACUCUCCACUUGUUAUCAUCGAUUAUUUUGUUGUUGACUAAGCCAAAAAUGUAGAGGAUAGAAGAAGUACUUUAGGUGCUUCUUUCUUUGUUAGCGACUAUUUAGUUGCAUGGCUUAGUAAAAAACAAAACUUGGUAUUUUUCUCCAUUAUCGAAGCAAAGUAUAUUGUAGUAGGAAGUUGUAUCCAUCUUCUUUGGAUGAAGCAAAUGUUCAGUGACUAUGGCAUUGAGCAAGACACCAUGAAUGUCAUGUGUGACAACUUGAGUGCUAUAAACAUCUCUAAUAAUCUUGUCUUUCAUUCUCAAACUAAAUAUAUUGAAAUUCAACAUCUUUUAUUAAGGAUUUUAUGGAAGACAAGGCAAUUUCCUUAGAGUUUAUACUCAUUGAACAUCAAUUGGUUGAUAUCUUUACAAAGCCCUUAGAUUAUCUUAGGUUUGAGUUUCUAAGAAAAUCUUUGGGCAUUUGCUUCAUUGAUUAAGAGCUUGAGAUGUGGGCCUAAGGAUCAAUUUUUUUUAGAAUGGUACAAUUUUUUAGAAUCCUAGGUCCAUUUUUAAUCAAUCUUAGGUUUCAUAAGUUCUAUGUUAAUUUGUGUUUUUUUUUUAGUAUCUACUUAAAUAUCUUAAUAUUAUGCUAUAUAAGAUUUGAUAAAUUUCCCUAGAAUCUCAUAAAUCACUUUUUAAGCCAUUAAAACAAAGUAAAUAAAAACUUUGUAUGUUAGAAAAUCUUAAAAUUUUCUAUGGUAAGUGAUUAAUAGGCCUUCUUAAGUUUAAUUGAUACAGUAGAUUUUAAGUUCUUAAAAGUAAGAAACACCAUGCUAGUUUUUAAAUUCACAUAUCAUGUUUGACUUAGUCUAAAAUUGUUUCCCGAAGUGAUCUUUGACAUCUUGGCUAAAAUUAGUUUAAUAUUCUUUCCCGGAAAAUAAUGUCAUCACUUGCAAAAUUUGGAAACAACCCCACGUGGAAAAAGGCAACCAUGGUUGAAAGUAUGAUUUCUAUACCAUAUAUAGUGCUUCUACUAUUCAAAAUAAAAUAAAAAUGAGGAAAAUGAUGAGAUCUAAUUGAGAGGGAGAAAAAGUUAUGCUUUAUGAAGAUCAAUAUUUAUUGUAUUAAAUAUAAAAUGCGCUAUCAAUGAAAACAAGGUUAACUUAAGUAUAAAAUUAUCAAAUGCAUAUCAAAGAGUAAUACAAAGAUCAAACAAAUAUUCAUUAAGCAUAACAGUCGGCAAUUAGAAGAGAAAUCUCGUAUGUAGGGCCCCCACCAAAGCCCAAUUGAUUUUGCAUGAAUUAAUCUCAUAAGUUACAGUGUUUUUGGAGUUACAAAAAUUCAUUCAUGCUUAUUAAAAAUCAAAGAAAGCGAAAAAUUAUUUUAAAAUCAAAGAAAAUUUGCCAAAGUGCUUACCUGAAAGAAAAAGUAGCAAGUUUAUUUAAGAACGGGAUUUUUAGUGACUUAAAACCUAAAUGAAGGAUGAAAAGUGGUAAAAUUAGAAAAUAUUUGAAAACUGGAGUGAAAUUAAAAUUACUUGAAAGAAAACUAGAGUUUUGAAAAUUAUUUGAAAAUUGAGAUCUUAAAAUUUAAAUUUAUUUGAGGAUUAAAGUUUUGAAAAUUGGAAUUUUGGAAAAUUAUUUAAGAAUUGAAGUUUUAAAAAUUAAAUUUAAGAAUUAGAGUUUUGGGAAUUAAAUUUGAAAGAGAUUGAAGUUUUGAAAAUUAAUUAAAAAUUGGAGUUGAAAAUUAAAUUUGAGAAUUGGAGUUUUGAAAAUUAUUUGUGAAAGAAAUUGGAGUUUUUAAAAUUAAUUUUAAGAAUUGGAGUUUUGAAAUUGGAAUUUUGGAAGAUUAUUUGAGAACGGUAUUUUAAAAAUUAAGCUUGGAAAUUUGGAAUUUUGGAAAUUUUGAAAAAUUAUUUUUAAAAAGUAAAUUUGAGAAUAGAAUUUCAGAAAAUUAAAUUUUAAAAUAAAAAAUAGGAAUCUGGGAAAAUUAUUUUGAGAAUGGAAUUUUGGAAAAUUAAAUUUAAAAAAACUGAAAUAUUGGAAAAUUGGAAUUUUGAGGAAUUAUUUUAAAAAGUAAAUUUGAGAAUAUAAUUUCAUAUAAUUAAAUUUUGAAAAUUGGAAGCUUGGAAAAAUUAUUUUGAAAAUGGAAUUUUGGAAAAUUAAAAAAAAUGGAGUUUUGGAAAAUUAUUUGAAAAUUGAAGUGAAAAUAUGAUUAUUUGGAUAUCCGAAAUUUUGAAAAUUAUUUUAAAAAAUAAUUUGUGAAAAUUUGUGAGCAUAAAGGAUAAAAAAAAAAAAAAAUUUGAGCAUGUAUGCCCUAAGGAUGGCCCACCAAAUGUUGAUUAUGCACGCAAAAGCUUCAGAUAUUUUAUAACAGGUUAGGUAUAAUAAAAAAAAUUCACUUUGUUGACUUCUUUUUUAUUGUUUCAGCCCUUGGUCCUUCAAUUGCCUGAAUAACCUCAAUGAAAGCAUUGCAAGAUCCUACAUCCAUGUGAUCCACUUGAUCAAACACUUGUGACCUCUCAAAUGUGCAGGAACACUUCUCGUACAUAUCAAUAAGUGCGCUAUUCACACAUUUAUCUAACAUAAGACCUUGCUUUAUCACAUAACCAUGAAUUAGUAUCCCCAUAACCAGAUCCUCCAAGUCUCCAAUAGCCGGAAAAACACUAGAAAUAGUAACAUCUGGUUCGAACAUUCUAUCAAACACUCUAUGAGCAUCACUAAACCAACAACAACACCAUAAACAUUUCUGAUAUCUUUUCCAUCCCCAAAAAUUAGUAUCACAAGAACGCAAAGAAUCAUCACGAUAUAGUUUAUUUCUAGGGAGUAAACCUCACCUUCUUUGCUAGGGGCGACGACAAGUGAAAAGGAGAGCGCCACCGGUGAUCGUGGGCUUGAGCUUGGGGAUGGGUUGUCGACGCGGAUCCAAGUGUUGGAGCUGGCAUGGUGGUUGGAAUAUUUGUGCUGCUACUCCCUUCCUCCCGCUUGUAGCUUAUUUCGCUCCCCGAAAAUUCCCUCACCUCUCUGUUUUUUCCCCACUUCUCUUCGGUCUCCCGCUCUCUCUUUGGUCUUCCUUUUUCUCUAUGUAUUCUCUUUUUUCUGUCGACCCUUGACGCCUUUCUUGCAACUCCCAAAAUCCAGACUCCGGGCCUGUUUGUUUAGUGUUUUCAAGAACUGUUUUUUGUUCUUGAAAACAAAAAACACCAAAAACUCGUUUGGUUGAGAGAGUGAUUUUUGUUUUUCUUGUUUCCCGUGUUCUCAAAAUGACACUGUUUAGAGAACAACAAAAUCUUGUUUUCCCCGUUUUUUUACUGUUCACAGAACAAAAUUAAACCAAAAAAAACAAUCUGUUUCCCGUGUUUUUUUUUUUCUUCCCGUUUUCAUCUCUUCUCCAGCACAGUGGCUCGCCUCUUCUUGUUUCUCAGUUUUGAUUCAAGGUUCGUGAAAUUUAAAUCCAAUCGCACAAUAGCAAAGAGACCCCUAAAACGGAUCCAGAAAACGCAGGGAGCAAAAGAAAAUCCAUUUUUUUGGUUUUCCUUGGGGUUUUUGCUUGGAUUUUCUCGGAAAUCAAACGAGGAUGAAUUUUCCCGGAAAUCGAAUGGGGGAUGGGUUUUCUUGGGAAUCAAACGGGGGUUGCAGGGUUUUUGCUUGAAUUUUCUCGGAAAUCAAACGAGGAUGAAUUUUCCCGGAAAUCGAAUGGGGGAUGGAUUUUCUUGGGAAUCAAACGGGGGUUGCAAAAAAAAAAAUAAUAAUAAUAACAUGAUUAGAUUAGUACCUGUGAGGAUUGAGAGUGGCAGAGGAAAAUAGGGCCUUUUACGGAUUCUUUCGGCUGGAGGGCAACUUAGAAAAGGGCUUCUUGAUGCCCGAUGAGAGAAGUGGAUGAGAGAAGUGGGUGGAGAAGUGGGUGGCAUUUUGAAUUUUAGAUUUAGUAGAGAUAAAAAAAAAUUAACAUCAUAAGAACAAUUUUAUCUCAACUUAAUAAAAUAUGCUAUAAUUUUUAAUAAAGUUAAAGAUUAAAUAAAAAAAUAUUAAUAAAAAUAAUUUUAUUAUGUUUGAUUUAUUUUAAAAAAAUAUAAAAAAUAUUUUUAUUUUUAAAUUAAUAAAAUAAAUAAUUUUUUUAAUUUAAAUGAACUAUAUAUCUAAAAAUUAUUUAUAAAUUUAUAAUAUAAAAUUACUUGAAGAAAAUAUUUUAUUAAUUAGAAAAGAAAAAAAAAAUCUUUCAAACAUGUUUUUUGUUUUAUUUGUUCUAAAUUUUUUUUUUAUUAACUUAACCAAACAUGUUUUUUUGUUUUUGAGAACAAAAACUGUUUUUCAAAAUUCAGUUCCCAAACACAAUUUUUUUAAAAAAAACAUUAAAAACUGUUCUUAAAAACUGUUCUCAAAAAUUGUUUUCCAGAACAGUUUUCAAAAACAGCAACCAAACAGGCCCUCCCUCUCUGUUUUCCACUCUCUCUCUUAUCUUCUUAUUUUUUCAGCUGCUCCCUAUCUUUUCUCUGUUUCUCUUAUCCCGCAAGCCUCCACCUACUCCUUGCUACCGCCAUGGCAAGUCACGUCUUUGCCACACGUCCAUGCAGCUUUAUACUUGAAGAAACCGGCCCCCCACUCCUGGAAAUGAAAUGCUCAGCUGACUCCAGGUGUGGGAGAAAAAAAACUCUGGCUCCCAGAGGGGUUUACAAUAUCAUUUAAGAAAAAAAAUGAUUUUGUAAAAUUAAAGUACCAUAUAAAUAAAUAAAUUAUUAAUAAUUAAUUAACUUAUUGAUAUUAUUUAUAAAACCUUUAUAUAACAUAUGCAUAUAAGAAAAUUGAAUUAAACAUACUAGAGCAUGAUAAAUUUAAAUAAAAAAUAAAAUCAUUUUAUUUUUAAAAAUUCUUAUUAUCAUGAGAUGGUAGGAGAUGUACUUAAAACAAAACAAAAUUUAAAUUUUAGAACAUAAUAAAAAAAUAAGAACAUAUAUAUUUUUUUAGUUUUUUCCAUUUGUUAAAUAAAAAGCAAUUUUCAUUCUAAACAAUUUCCCAAAAAACCAAACAAUUAUUAUAAAAUUAAUAUCUUUCAAGAAAUAUAAUUUAAAUGCAACUUCAGACAAAACAUUAAAUAAAGUAUGAAUAAUUAUAAUUAAUCAAAACAUACAAAAUAAAAUAUAAAAUUACAAAACUUACAUAAUUGAUACAAAUAAAAAGUUCAUAACUUUGUUUUUUGAAAAAUAUUACAUUUAUUUUGAUGUUAAUAACAAAAUAACACAUAAUAUUUAAAAACAAAAAAACAAAAAUAAAGGAGAAAUGAGGUCCAAAUUAAAAAGGAUGUAUAUGUAUAAUUUAUAUGCGAUAAAUAAUAUAUAGGAUUGUAUUUUUAUUUUUUUUAAAUGUUAAAAUAAAGAUAAUAUAAAGGUAAUUUGAUUGUUAUUUUAAAAUAAUGGUAGUUUAAUAUUUCAAGAAAACUCGUAACGGAAAAUAAAAAAUAGGGGAGACAACUAACCAUAGUUGUGUUUCAUGAACAUGUAUCUCAAAUGGGGUUAUUGGGAACCUAGGUCACAUUAAGUUAGUGGGAGCCAUUUUUUGUAUUGUAAUAUUAUGCUAUUAUUGUAUAUUUUCUUUAAAUCAAACAAUGAAGCAUAUAUGAUUGCUUUUUUAUUAUUUGUUUUGAUGAAAUUAUAUAGGACAUUGAUUUAUGAUUAUGUAUAUGUUGUGAUGUUUGAUUAUGUAGUUCAAGUGGGAGAAUUGUUGGAAUUUUUAUAUGUUGACUUUCAUAUGCCAUAAAUCAAUAUUAUUUAAUUUUUGUAUCGUGGUCCAUAAUGGGACUGGACACAUAUUAUUACUUGAUUUUUUAUGGACUCACCCUAAUUCACUUGACUGUUUAUUAAGUCAAGUGGUCUAAAUAAUGUGUGUAAUAUGAGAUAUAUAUAUAUAUAUAUAUAUAUAUAUAAGUGCAAAGAAGACUUCUUCUUCUUGGAAUGGAAAAAAGAGAUGCACUGUACGCUCAUCUUGAGAGCACACAUGGACUGAAUCUUAGGUGUAGAAAGGAAAGAGCUCAUUGAAUAUGGAUUUUCAUAUCAUCAUGAACCGAGCAUAUUCUUGAACACCAGUGGAGCACAAAAAUGACUUUCCAUAACAUUAAUCAAGACAAGCAUUUCAUUUAUUACCAUUUAAUGCAUAUUUUAAUGUCCACAUCUUUUCGUAUCGUUUAAAAUUUCAUCAACAAUAUGAUAUGCCAUCGGGGAAAUUGUUGUUUUCAUGGACUUCAACAAUAACCUGCGCCUUCUUGUCCGCUUCCCUGCUUAGCAGGUACCGUGACUUGAGAUUAGGACACCACCCAUUGAAACAGCUCUUGGUUCUUUUCUUUUCAUCUUCCAUGAAUAUCUUUGCCUCCCCUGUCUUCUUGUCUGCCCGAGUCAGCCAGUCUUGAACAAUAGGUCUGAUUUCAUCCCCUCUUCUAAUAGCUUCAUCAACAGUAAUCUGAAGGUCAUCCUUUGCAAGCCCCAACUCCUGAACCUUCUUGUUGAGAUCAUCCAUGUGGCGGCGGUAGCAAAACAGAUAACUAAGCUGGCGUCGAAUUGGAGCAACCAAGUACUCUGAAACUUUUGCAGCAACGGCAAUAAUGAUCUCUGUCAUUUUGUCUCAGUUGGAUUUAUUUUUUUAUUUUUUGGUGUGUGUGUGGUUUUGUUGGGAAAACAGAAGGGAAAUGAUGAAAAAAACAGAAACAAAUGAAAGCAGGAGCAAAAGGAAACUAAAAUAAGAGAGUGGAAGAAAUGGAAGGAGCAGAGUAUUUGUUCCAAGCAGAGAGACGGUCACCAACAAAAUGAAAAGCAGAAUCAGUAGCGAAUAUGAGUGAAGGAAGAAAAAAUGUGUGACAAAACGAGAACAAAGGAAGUUGGUGUUUUGCAAGCAGAUCCUGAUGUGAGGCCGAAUGUGAAGACAGGUCAUUUGGUUAUGUUGGAAAACAGAUGGGAACUGAGAAAAUAAGAGGAAAUUAAGAAGAGGGUGGAGGAAAUGAAAGGAGCAGAGUUUGGGUUCCAAACAGAGAGAGGGUGAAGGAAUCAGAGGUGAAUGAGAGCCAAGUUAGGAAUGGAUGAUAAAAUGGGAAAGCCAAAAGCAACAGCAACAAUGACACCAAACAAAGAAGAGAGUGGUAUUGCAAUUAGGUAUGGGAAGGAGCAGACUACUUUUUAACUUGGGGUGUUAUAAUUGAGAAAGCACUGCCGCAACAAUAACCAAUGGAUUAUUCCUCACAUGGAUUACUUUUAUCAUCGUGGAAAGUGGAAAACAGGCUUUAAUGGCUUAUAAUACGAGGCUGCUGUGGCUGCCACUUCCUUUUCCAGAAUCGUAUCUCUAUGGA
rnacentral:lncRNA from 1 species